CUCCUGUUCUCAAUCUUGACAUUAGAGAGUACCAAUCUCUUGGGGAAUUUGUAGACCAGUAAAACAGCCGACUGAAGGAACAACAACAAAACAGUGGAGAAGGACAUAGAGUUAUCUACAUUUAUUUACCCAGGUAAGGUCAUUAAAGAGAGAAGUUGGCAUUAACCAUCAUGGUCUUAUAAAGAAAAGUAAUCUUAAUAUUAUAAAAGUAUGAAGAAUUUAACUUUGGAUUACAAAAAUCCAACCGAUUCAGGGACCCCUGGGUGGCUCAGUUGGUUAAGCAUCCAAAUCUUGGUUUCGGUUCAGGUCAUGAUCUCACGGUUCAUGGGAUUGAGCCCCGUGUCAGGCUCUGUGCUGACAGCAUGAAGCCUGCCUGGAAUUCUUUCUUUACCUUUCUCUCUGCCUCUCUCCAGCUUGUGUGCACGCUUGUUCCCCACCCCCCCACCUCAAAAUAAAUAAACAUUAAAAAAUAUCCAACCCAUUCACUUUUAUGAAAGCCUUGCAACAUUGGCCUUCCUUUUCUCAUUUCAUCCAGAACAGGUUGUCUUUGUCACAGACAAGUGGCCUUUGGCAACCACAGGUCUGUACCGUAUUCUAAGUUAUUUUCUCUGAUCUAGGCCUGAGCUUUGUCAGAUAUCCAGACAGUGGAUUGGACAAAAUGGUAUCUAAGAUCACUUUUCAAUUCCAAGGAUUGAGUUUGGCCCAUUUGUCCUUCUAGUCCAGAGACAAAGAGGAGGCUGGCCUCAUGUACAUUAGCCAUCAAGUCAGCAGCUGCUGCUCUAUCAAUCUUGCCCUUGGCAGGAGCAGGCACCUUGCGAAUUGACCUCCAGGAAAAGAAUGAAUGCUUAGUGGUGGCAAAUAAGUUGCGUUAAGUAUUGGGAAACAGAGCACACACAUAAAUCUCCUGUGGAUCUAUAUUCCUUAAGGAAAUCCAUCAGAGAAGAGAGGCAACUCAUGGAAGAAGACGAUAACGCUCUGGCUGUUCCCCCUCCCCGCCCCUACCGCCCCCGAGGUAAAUACCCUUCACAAUGGACAUGGCCCACCAGAUAAGCUAGCUUUAGGACCCUUCCACUUUUCUACUUACUUAUACAUUAGGGAUUUUCCACUGUCCAGGCCUGUGCUCACUUGCCCAAAUGUUGCAAAAUAAUAAGAAAGACCCAAUAACAAGUAUAGUUUAUUAAUGUGAAUACGGUACUUUCUGUUGACAUGCCAAGCUCUCAGCAUAUUUAAACCUCACGACAGCCCUUGUCAGGUAAUACCAUCAUCGUCUUCACUUACAGACGAAGAAACUGAGACACUGAAAGGUGAAGUAGCUUGACCCAUCACAUCACCAAUAAGUAGGAGAGGUACGACUCGAACCCACAUCCAUCUCGGCGAAGCUUUUGCUUCCCGCCAACACACUGUGCUGUCUGGCCUGCACAGUAUGCUGUCUUUCCGUAGCAUUUGAAAUUUUGCAGCUAAAUGUCCAACUUCCUCAUUUUUCCCUUUUGGUGUCCAUGUACGAAAAGAGUCUGAAUCAACUCAAUUAAUAUGUGUGAAUCUCACCGUGUGCCAAAUUCAGAGCUCUGGGGACUCAGACAUGGAGAGCAGACCUCUGUUUUCAAGAAGUUCCCAGUCAAGAGGGGAGGCACGUACUCUGGUGCCUAGGUAUAAAGCAGUCUGUAAGAGAGUUAUUAGAGAAGUUGUAAGAAUAACAUGCUGUUCGACCUAAAAUCUGGAGGAUGGUGGCCAGGAGUAACAGUGCCCUCCAGGCGGAGGUGAAAACAGGACCCAUGCAGCCUCUGUGGUAGCUGGACUGUGAGGUGUUUGUGGGUGAUUGUGGUGAACAAUGGUCUUGCAGUUAUCCAGAGGUCAUAUUUUGGGAGGACUUGGAUACCAUUGGAAGAAGAUCGGAUUUUACUAAGUAGACAAUGGGGAGACCUUGAAGGUGUUUGGAUGCAGAAGGAACAUUAUCAGAGCUGAAUGCAGGAUAAAUAUACCCUAAAUAUAUGGUUAAAGGCCUUAUAUAUUAUCUUUCUAGCUUGUCUGCAUUUAGCAGGAGACAAAACAGAAACCACAUGUACGAACCUUAGGUGAUGGGAUUUCAAACACCAGGGGAGAUCCUUGGUUUCGAGUUCUGUCAGUCAAACCACUUAGGUGGAAAGUUCCCAAAUGUGGUUAGUCAGAUGAAAUACUGGGUAGACUGUUUCCAGAUUCCUGGGGCACCUGGGUGGCUCAGUCGGUUGAGCAUCCCACUCUAGAUUUUGGCUCAGGUCAUGAUCUCACAGUCCAUGGGUUCAAGCCCUGUGUCGGGCUCUGGCUGAAAGUACGCAGCCUGCUUGGGAUUCUCUUUCUCCCCUCUCUCUCUCUGCCCGUAUCCUGCUUGCUCUCUCCCUCAAAAUAAAUAGAUAAGCUUAAAAAAAUAAUUAAAAGGGGCACCUGGGUGGCUCAGUCAGUUGAGCGUCCGGCUUCGGCCCAGGUCAUGAUCUCACAGUCCGUGAGUUCGAGCCCCACGUCAGGCUCUGCACUGACAGCUCAGAGCCUGAAACCUGCUUCGGAUUCUGUGUCUCCCUCUCUCUCUGCCCCUUCCCCGCACACACUCUGUCUCUCUCUCAAAAUAAAAUAAAAACAUAAAAAAAAAUUUAAAAAAAACAAAUCCAGAUUCCUGGGCUCUGCCUCCUUAAGGUACUAAUUCAUAAGAUCCAGUCACAAGACUGAGAAUUGAUGUUUUUAAAGCUGGCCGGUGGAUUCCAACAACCACUGACUCACAUAGCAACUUCUAUUGGAUGCACUGAAAACAUUUCUAUCAGUGUAAGAAAUUUUAGUUAAAGACUAUCCCUGAAGCACCCUCCUCUCCCAAAAGUGUUUAUAUUGCUAUAGACGUGUUUUAGUCAGAGUUCCUCAGACGAACAGAACCAAUAUGAUGUGUAUGUGUGUGUGUGUGUGUGUGUGUGUGUGUGUAUGUGUAUAAACAAAACCAAUAGGAUGUAUGUGUACCUACAUACACAUACACACACGCACACGCACACACAUUCUAUUGGUUUUGUUUAUAUGUUUAAAACACACACACACACACAUAUAUACAUAUAUAUACAUAUAUAUAUAUAUAUGUAUAUGUAUAUAACAUUUAUAUAUACAUACACACACAGACUUAUAAGGAACUGGCUUCCCCAAUCAUGGAAGCUAUUAAGUCUCAAGGUCUGCAGCUGGAGUCCCAAGAAAACUGAUGUGAAGCUCCAGUCCAGAAGCUGGUGGGCUUUAGCCCCAGGAAGAGCUGUUGCUUCAGUGUAAGUCUGAAGGCAGGGGGAAAAAAAAAAAAAAAAAACAAUGUCCAAAGCCAGUGCGGUCAAGCAGAAAGAAAUUUCCUUUUAUUCAGCCUUUUUCUUCUAUGCAGGUCUUCAACUGAUUGGAUGGGGCCCGCCCACCUUAGCGAGGACAAAAUCUGUUUUACUCAGUCUAGAAAUUCAAAUGUCAAUUUUACCCUGAAACACCCUCACUGACACACCCCGAAUAAUGUCUUACCAAAUAUCUAAAUACCCUGCUGCCCCAUCAAGUUGAUUUGUAAAAUUAACAUCACAAGAUGUCAGAAGGGCUUCAUUUCAAUAGUAUCAAUAGUAUGGUCCUUAUAAAAACAAUGGUAACAAGAAUCAUUAUUUGUAUCCCUUUAGUACCUGGGUGUGUAGACAGUCUUUGCAACUGAAUGAAUGAAGCAAGGGUAUUAGCAUAGGUGUUUAUGGUUUAUCAUCUUAUUUUAUCCACACAAUAACUCUGCUGGGCAUUUGAAAUAGAUUUCAUUAUUACCUUCCAUUUUUGAGAGGGGUGGUGCAAAGUAUAAAGAGGUGAGCUUAGGUGUCCAAGGACACAGGGUAAGUGACAGGGACCAACUCAAACCCAGAGCUUCUUUUGUGAUAUUUCCACUGUGUGACACUAGUUCAUUGUAGAUUACAGGCAAAGGGAUGCAUACCUUCAUGAACUCCCCUGACCAUCAGCAAUUUCCUGAUCUUAUGACUACAUCUAUUGCCAUCUUUAAAUAUAGGAGAGGCACAAAUUAACAAGUGAAAACCAAGAGAUAUGUUUGUAGUUAAUGCUACUAACAGGCAGCGUAAUUAUAAGAGAGCAGAGAGUGUUGCUUGACAAACAUUAAUAAAAAACUCUCAUGCCAGUCUCAAGUAUAAAUUACACAGCAGAAGGCAAGGAGAGGCUGGGCUUGACAGCUGUAGGAUAACAACCUUGAAAUAUAUCUACAUUAUCUGAGGGGUCUUUGGAGGUCUGUCUUUUGGACUCGGUUAGAGACCAUGCUAAUGAACUGCCUUAAUGUCCAUAUUUUUGCAGGGCCAUCUAUAUUUCUUUUAAGGCCGAGUUUACCACAAUUGGGAAAACUGCUUAGUUAGAUGUGAGGUUCUAGUCAUUUUAUGUGCUUGAUGGGGUUAAAUAAACCUGUCCAAUUAACCAGAAGUCAUUAGAUUAAUAUAUAGUUGUUUAUCUCACAAUAUUUUCUAAUAGCCUUACAUAAAUUAUUCUUUAUAUUUCUAUUACGGUUCAUAGUUCAUUCAUUUGACAACUAUUUAUUCCACAGUAAUCUUUGCUAAUAACUAGAGUUGCAGAGAGAAGCUAUGUUAUUUGCCUUGUGGUAGCUCACCAUUUUGUACAGUGGUUCUCAACUCUGGCUGCGUAUGAGAUUACGGAAGAGCAUUUUGAAAAUGCCUAUGCCCAGACCCCAACCUGGAGAUUCUGAUUUCUCUUGGUCUGGAAUGGAGCCCAGGCAUCAGCAUAUUUUAGACUUUCUAGGUGAUUAGAACAUACACAGCCCAGACAUAUGGGAGAGACAAUUAUACCUCCAGACAAGGUGCACUGUUUCAAGUACCAGAGGAAAGAAAUGUGUUACUGGCUAUGGAUUAAAAAUGCUAAAUUCUUCUGACUUCGGCUCAGGUCAUGAUCCCAUGGUUCCUGGGUUCAAGCCCUGCAUCCAGCUCUAUGCCGAUAGGUCAGAGCCUGGAGCCUGCUUUGGAUUCUGUGUCUCCCUCACUCUCUGCCCUUCCCCUACUCAUGCUCUUGUCUCCUGUCUCAAAAGUAAAUAAACAUUAAAAUUUUUGUUAAUUAAAAAAAAUGCUAAAUUCUUCUAGAGUGGAUGUGGGAAGGUUUUACUGGGACUAUGAUUUUCUAUUUGAGGGUAUCAGUUUUAUUUUUAAUUUUUUUUAUGUUUAUUCAUUUUUGAAAGACAGAAAGAGACAGAGCACAAGCAGGGGUGGGGCAGAGAGGGGGGGGGGCGGGGACACAGAAUCCAAAGCCGUCUACAGGCUCUGAGCCAUCAGCACCAGAGCCCGAUGUGGGACUUGAACUCACAAACCGCCAAGAUCAUGACCUGAGCCUGAAGUCAGACACUCAACCAACUGAGCCACCCAGGUGCCCCUAUUUUUAAUUUUUAAUAAAACUAUAUUAUUGUUUUCUUUGAGCUGCAUCUUGGAGGAUGGUGGAUGAGAAGGGAAGGGAGGAAGAUACACCAGGUAGUGUAUAUGCAAAGGCACAAAGGGAAAAAAUGUCAGUGUCUUCAGAGAAUUUUGAGUUGUUUAGUUGGGCUGAAGUGUUGAGCGUAUGAAUUAAUUAUCAUUAAUUCUUUCAUUCAAACAGUGUUUAUUGUGGAUGUAUGCUGUGUGAGGCAUUGUGUUAAGUGCUAUGAGGGAUUCAAAAAUAAGACAAAAGAGAUCCUAUCCCUAACAAACUCAGGCUAUUCAAGGACACACAUUAUGAAAGAUGGUGAUGUGGUGAUGGUAAUAUAGGCUUAAAAUGGAAAUUUUGACUAGACACUAAGAUAUAACAGAAAUGAAAUCCCAAAGUGAAAUGCCAAAUUAUAUUAUGCAGAUGUUUAGAGGAAAUGGCUUAGAGUAGAGAGAGUGGAAAGGGAUCUGAGUAAUGAGAUUUCCUUCCAGAAUGUUCUUGCUGAGUCCCCAAUGACUCUCAGGGAAGAGGAGUGGAAGCAUGGGUCUACCCCCUAGCUUCAAGCCAGGUAAGAGGUAAAGGAUCUGCUCCUCCCACCUCAAUCCCAGAGGGAACGGUGGCAGAAGCUUGAUAAACUGGGGUCUGGCCUCCGUUUGCUCCAGAAAAGAGAGAAUAACGGUCAGCAAACUUGUUUUGUAAAACAUCAGGUAGGAAGUUAGGCUUUGCCAGAGGCAUAUUAUCCAUGUCCCAUAAUCUUUAUUUUUUACACCUUUUAAAAUUUAAAACUCAUUCUCAGCUCCAUGGGCUAUAGUUUGCUGGCCCUUGAUCUAGGGGGAAAAAGGCCUGACCCUUCAAGUAGAACACCUAGAAAUGAGGAAGGAGAAGGAGCCCUCAGCUCCCUCAAGGAUAGGGAGGUACAGGCAGGGUGAUGAUAUGGUAUGAUUUGUUAUCCAAACAGGGACACUUGGGAGAGUGAACAGGGACAUUAAUAACCAAGUAAUUUAAUGAGAAUAAAGCCUGGACAACAGGACUUAAACCCGGACUCUCCAGGCAAGAUGGGAUGUAUGAUCAGGUCACCUGGCAAGUGGUCUCCAGGGACAGAGACCUCUCAACUAUGCUGUCCAAUAUGGGAGCCACUAGCCACAUGUUUACAUGCUAGACAGGUAAAAUAAAAUAUAUUAUUUAAAUUAGUUUCACCUGUUUCUUUUUACUUUUUACUAUGUGACUACUAGAGAGUUGAAUGUGUGGCUUGCCUAUGCGGCCUGCAUUGUAUUGCUAUCGGUCAGCACCGCUCUAGAGCCCUCAAAAUUGCCCACUAGACAAAGAGACAGCCUUGAAAAUCUGUGAGACCCAGAGAUCCUAAAGGUAGUUUGCUUAUUAUGCAAGUGCAGGUAAGACCUGUCCCGUCUCUUCGCCCUCCUCCCUCUUACCUGCCACCCCUGGUUGGGGCAGGGGUACAGGAUGGGGAGGCUAGAAACCAUAUGUAGCUCGGCCAGCCAUGCCCUCCCCCCUUUCCUCCAGUGAGUCUCCAUCCUAAAAUGCCCAGAACUGAGAGGUGUCAGAUCAGCCCUAAAUCUUGGUCAAGGCUUGAUUUAUACCUUGGACUAGACAUUCUCAUUUCUGAACUAAAACUGCAUCUGUGACUUAAAGAUCCCCUAGAAUGGUCUGUUACUCAGGAGUGAGGCAGAAAGUCAUGGAGUUUUAAUCUAAAGGCAGGGAGAGGCUAUUCUACUGAAUAUAUUUAUAUUCUAUUCUAUUAUUUAUUUCUUAAUUUUUUACUGUGAAAAAUUUAAAGAAAGCAUGCAUGAAGGUGGAGAGACUCCUAUAAUAAACUCCCAUUUACCCCUUACCCAGUUUCGACAAUCUCAACAUUUUGCCAAUUUUAUUUUAUCAAAUAUUCUUUUAUGGGGAUUAGGGGGAGGGACUCAAGUAUUUCAAGCAAGUCUCAGACAUUAUAUUAUUAUUAUAGUAACAAAUACUAUACUGUAUGAAGGAUAAGGAUUUUGCUUUUAACAUAACUCAUUUUAUUUUGAAGGGACAGCAAGAAAUGUAAAAGUAAGCACAUUUCAAAUAUAACACGAGUCUUGCCUGUUAGCACAUGAGUAUCAAUAGUAAUGAUAAUAACGGGCAAACUUCAGAGACCUUAGAGGUCAUUUAGUCCUGUCCUCUUAUUGAAGCUCAGAGAGGGAGGGACUUGUUUGAAGUCCCUGGAGGCAGAUCUGGGGCUGAAAUGCAGGCCCAACUUCUCAGGACACAAGCCUGCUCAUUUGAAUCUCACUCGGAGAGACUUGAACUUGGUUUCCUGAGGGACUCAACUGGGUCUCCCCAGCACCUUCCAGCCAUCUCUUUUGCAUUUCUGUCCCGCAAACUGAGAAUCAAAGAGGAGCUUCCGGAAAAUCACUUGUCAUUUACCAGCAGAUUAAGUUGGGAAGUGUGCAUGGGACAAUUAAUGUCUUGCACUUAAUGUCUUGCAGAGACCUUAUGUAAUGUUGUAGGAAAAAGUCAAGAGUCAGCAGAUCCUGAAGUCAUCCAGGUUGCUUUGAGGUUAGAGACUUGGCUUCUAAGGAAGAGUUUUAUUAAGGGCUUUGCCCAUGGGCUCUCUCUCUAGGUUUCUCAGGGUAGCUGAUAGCCUGAGUUCUGUAGCAAGAUGAACCCUCUUGCCAAUCUUUUGGAAGCCACCUUUCUUAGACUACUGGGAAUAACUUUGCUUUAUGAGAGGAGAAAGAAGAGUAUAUAGACCACUUACUCUAUGCCUCUGGUCCCCAGCCCCUUAGCUUCUUCUGAGCAUAAUGGCAGCCUCAGCUCCUAAAGUCACAUGACCUCAAUUUAAUUAGAUGCUUCAUAUUGCUUAGAAUUGUUGCCUCUUCAGGUUCACUCCUUCCUGCUUUCUUUUUACCUGAUUUUCUGAUCUUUCCACUGUACCAACUCCUACAUUUGCCUCCUGACUUCCUUUCUCUUGGUCCACUUCUACUUUGAUAAUGCAGGUUGCCCUCUUGUCACCAUCCUCUGUUUUGGUCCUUUGGCCACAUUCCGUGUUUCCCUGUUUUUCCGGUUUUGGGUAUCAUAUGCUUAUGCUUAAAAUAAUGAAUGUCAUUAUUUUUCCACUUAAUCCUAUGGAGCCCCAUCUACUCUUAUUGGUAGGAAUUUCCUUAUUCCCCUUUAGGAGUCUCUCUCUCUCUCCCGGUGGUUUUAUCUGGAAUACCUGGAGCUCUAUCCUGACUCUCCUGCUUGCUAAUCAUGUGAACUUAGGCAAACUACCACUCUCUGAUCGUCAGUUUCCUCAUCCAUAAAGUAGCAAUAUCACUUAACUGCCUCAUAGAGUAAAGGCUCUAUCUAUGAAAAACAUUUAGAAUAGAGUCUGGCAUGUAGCAAAUGGCCAUAGAGGUUAUAAACACAUGCUCAGUGCCUGUGCCCAAUGCAUGACAGCCACACUAAAAAUUAGGCCUUGAGGGGCGCCUGGGUGGCUCAGUCGGUUAAGCGUCCGACUUCGGCUCAGGUCACGAUCUCACUGCCCGUGGGUUCGAGCCCCGCAUCGGGCUCUGUGCUGACUGCUCAGAGCCUGGAGCCUGUUUCAGAUUCUGUGUCUCCCUCUCUCUCUGACCCUCCCCCAUUCAUGCUCUGUCUCUCUCUGUCUCAAAAAUAAAUAAAUGUUAAAAAAAAAUUAGGCCUUGAGAGACUUCCAGUUUUCUACCACAUGCUGCAUUCAGACCAGUCUUUCCCAUCAGCCUCUGAGUCAUGGAUUUGUGCUUGGGUCACAUGUUCAAAUGAUAUUUUUCUUACAGCAGCUUUACUUCUGUAACACUUGCUUUGUUGGUUGACAUCAUUUGGGAACUAGCAGAGUCCUGGCCUUUGUCUUCUCAGGACACCCCUUGAUCUCAGCAGUUUUACCCAGUUUCUCACUGGGGUCAGUUGUGCUAGCAGGCCACCUUGGGAGGGGAAGGCUUUGUCUGCAGGGCCUGCUCUAUUCUUUCCCUGGGGGGAUCCAUUCACAGAAGACCCAAUCUAAGUUGAAGGUAUCCAUUUAAUGGAGAAAUAGCUGGCAUUUCCCUUGAUUAAAUACUAAUAAUGAUGAAGCUGCUGCUGCUGCUGCUGCUGCUGCUGCUGCUGCUGAGUUCUUCCUAUGGAGCAUUCUGUUACACAGAGUUCCUUACCCGGAGACAUAGUCUCUGUCUUCAGUUUAUUGUCUAGCUAGGAAGCUCAAAUAUAUUCAAAGCUCCUUACAAGAAUUUUACAGAUAAUGGCUGUAAAAAAAGCAGAAGAAAGAGUUAUUUUAGGUGAUUAGUGGUCAUGGCUUCAUGUAGAAGUGGUAUUUAAGCACUUUCUUGAACACAUCCAGUAAAAAGGAGGGGCUCAUUAUCAAGCAGAGUAGCCCAGCUUAAUGUUGCCUGGGAUUACAGGUGGAUAUUUCCUAUGCUCGUGAAUUAAAUUUCACAUUCCUCAUUCUACCUCCUGGGAUUAUACAGACAAGUCUUAAUGCAGAAUAAUAAUUCUGUGGUUAUAGUGGGUCAUUAGAAGAAUGGAACAAUGAUAGCAGUUGGGAGGGAUCAGGAUGUGGAUUUUUCUGAAUUUGAAAGAGAUAGUGUUCUUCUUGGAAGAAAGAUAGUCACAGGAAACAUUAAAAGAAAAAGAGGUCACACAUUGCAAAUCCUCUGCAGUUGGUGGGGGGUGCUUAGGGAUAUUUGCUUGUCAUUACUCUACUUUCGGUGACUUAAGUCACAGAAUCAUUGACUCCCUCAGGAUCCGCUCGAGCACAGUGAUCCUUCGUACAGCAUCCCUAAUUGGUGCUUGAUUAUUCCCACUGAAGGGGAGCCCUUUACUUAAUUGGAAUAUUUCAUAAGUGAUACUAUAGAAAAAUUAUUGGUCUAAGUAUCAGAUAGACCUGGGUUCAAAUUUACCUUACUAGUUAUAUUGUACUAGACAAGCCACCUCCUAUUGGGUCUCAGAUGUCUCAUCUGUAAAAUGGGGGAAAAAUGCCUACCUCCUGGUGCAGGUGUAGAUGUGAAAUUAGAUAACAUAAGGAAUAUCUCUGAACUGGUUUCUAAUAUAUAGUAGGUACUGAAUAAAUAGUAAUUAAUAAUAGGUCAUAAAUGUCAAUUUAUUCACCUCUCCCAAAGCUAAAUAUUGUUUGACUUCUAUGGUUAAAAACUCGACCACAUUACUGAUGGCAUAAAAAGCUGUUAAUAAGGCUAUAAGUAGGAAAGCACAAUUUUAUUCCUUUUCUAUUUUCUAAAUGUUAUACCUAAUGUUACAGCUCUGAAGUCCUGGACAUUUGUUUCAGCAGUGAAUGGGGCCUCUGUAACUGGCCCAAAGAACUUUCCCAUAAUUUAAAAAUAAAUAAAAUAUGAAUUGCCCUAGUAGACUGAAACACCCUUCACUUUUUGGCCAUCAGCAUAUCCUGAGCCUUUUUAAUAUCUCUUAAUAUUAGAGCUGGGAGGCAUCUUAGAGCUUAUUAUAUCUGGGCCAUUCAUUUUAGAGAUGAAGAAAACACAGGUAGACUGUGACUAGUACAAGGUCAUACAACUAGUUUGUGGGAAAGCUGGGACUUAAAUAUAUACGAAGCUAACUCCAAAUCUUACAGCCUUCCCAUUGUAUCACAUUGCCUCUCUCCAGAAUAAUGUUUCCAAAUGACACCCUCAUCUCCCUUCCCAAUAUCCAAGGCAGUAAUUGCACAACUGGAAUUUUUCUCCUUCUUUAGGUAUUACUUCUAACCCUGAAACUUGCCCAUAGAAAUUUGACAACUCAGUACUGUUUUGUGUUUCUCCCUGGGAAGGCUGGAAAGGGUCUGGAGGAGGGGGAAAUGUCAAUAUGGGUUUGGAAACUAGAAAUGAUUAUGAAAACAAUGAACACCUUUGAUUCUACGAAAGUGUUUAAUAAGGAUUUAAAAAGGGAUUGAAGGUCAGGCAAAAUGAGUACUAACAAGUUUGCAAAGAUACACUGACUCAGAUAUUUUUGAACAUGCUGGAAAGUGACGCUUCAAAUUCAGUGUCAUUUAAACAAGGCAACCUGAGACCUUGCUAGUUUCAUGUGCAGUGUAAUAAAAACGGUCUUGUUGAGGAAUGUUUAAAAGGUGCCUCCAUUUGCUUUCAUACCCAGGUAGGGGGUUGGGGUGGGGAUGGCGAUUUGAGAUGAUGAUGAAGAUGAUGUUGAAAUUUGUUUAUUCAGCACAUAUUUACCUCUUAUGUGUCAGGCAUUGGGGAAGGUAUCAGGAAUCACACUGUACUCAUUCAUUGAAACACUCAACAGUCAAGUUGUGUGCCUGUGAGAUGCUCGAAAUAAGAUCCUGUAGUUCCUAAUAAGUUUUGUAUGCUCUCUAUUUAUUCCAUAAAUCUUGCAGCAUCCACUGUGUACAAGGCAUGUACUGGGCAGUGCUCAUCAGGUAUUUCAGGCUUUCUGGAUAGGACUGUAGGAAGGAAGAAUCUAUCUACUAAACCCAUGUUUAAUCUGGUUGUAACUGCAUCACUGUCACCAAAUCCAGAAGAAGGUGCUGCUGGUCUGAAAUCCAACUAGGUAAGCAUAGCAUCCCAAAAUGGAAUUUGUGACUGGUUUACUCCAGUUCUCAGGACUUCCCUGCCUGGUCUCCAGACUGUCUUCAUCUUUCCCUGACUGUGUCUCCCUAAGUAGACUCUGAACUCUCUUAGAGUAAGGACCUGGUCUUACGCAUCUCUAAGACCCCUCUUAAGACCUAGCGCAAUAGAUUGCAUGAAGUUCUUCCCUCUGCUUUAUUUUUCUUACCUUCUUACCUUCCCUCAUUCUUUAACUUCUUCUGUAACUUGCCUCUUUCUGCUUUUUACUCCCUGCCUUCUCGUCUUGUCUGUUCUCUUUUUCUAUUCCUUCUCUUUUUUACUUCUUCUCCUCUCUUGUCUUCCUACCCUAAAAACACUCAGUGGGCCCCGUGCAUUGUGCUCAGAUUUGCAGAAUCCACAUUACCUGCCCUUGAAGUACUUCUAGGAUUAUACAUUUAUUUAUUUUUGAGAGACAGAGAGAGACUGAGUGGGAGUGGGGGAGGGGCAGAGAGAGAAGGAAACACGGAAUCUGAAGCAGGGUCCAGACUCUGAGCUGUCAGCACAGAGCCCGACACCGGGCUCGAACCCAUGAAUGUGAGAUCAUGACCUGAGCCGAGGUCGGAUGCUCAACGUAUUGAGCCACCCAGGUGCCCCAGAACUUCUAGGCUUAUAGAAGAGACAGCCAUGUACAUAAAAAAUUCCAGUACUGUCCAAUAAGUAGUUGAUAGAUGUUAACACUUGGUAUAAGAGCACGAAAAUGGACUCAUACCUGUGAUGAGGUGUGUGGCAAAGUUUCUCAUAGGAUGCAGGGCCAACAAUGAGUUGGCCUGACAAAGAUAGUUGGGGUGUGGUGAGGGAGGGAUGGGCCCGGGCAGAGGGCAGUACCAGCAAAACCCAUAGAGGAGAGCUCCUUGCAGGGAGCUAUUAAGGUGCGUUGUGGCUGGAGUCUGAAUACUCAGUGAACAUUUGUUAGGUAAAUCCCUGGUCCUAGAAAGUCCAGGUCAGCUGGUCCCCAGGCUUUUUCUUGUCUGCUGCGCUCUAAGGUCCUGGCUUCUGGUAAAACGUCCAUUCUGAGUCCCUGGCUCUAGUGGACAGUUUUUUUUUUUUUUUAAUACUAAAAACAUUGGUUAAAUGGGCAUUUUUGAAGGAUAAGAGAAGUGACCAGAGGUCUAUUACUUCGGGCUGGGGGUGGAGCUGGGGACUGUGGGAGGGGCAAGGGAGGUAAAGCUUGUUACCAGGCAACCAGGGUUUGAAAAGUCAGAGCUCUAAGGUCUGUGGCCAUUAGGACCGGCUAGAUCCAGGGAUUCUGGCCCCUGAUGAGUAGCUCCAGCUACCAAAGGGAAGCAAGAAAGAGAGAGAGAAGGAGGGAGGGGGGAUAGGAGGGGCAGAGGCAGGGGAGAAAAGAGAGACGGAGAGAGAGAAGAGAGAGGGAGGGAAUGGAGUGCUGACUUGGGUAAUAAAAGCACUUGGAAUGGAGGAAAAAGCACAGGCCCUGUGAGCAGAGUUUUAUCUGUGAAUUCCAGCUAAUCCCUCAAUAGCUGUCAUUUUCUGAGCCUUCUGAAAAAUGGCUUAGUGAGGCCUACCUAUGCAUUAUUAUGGAGACUAAAUAAGAUGAGUUAAAGUGCCAAGCAUAGUGCCUGACUAUUAGUUAGUUGUCCUGUAAAUGGGAGUCUUUUAAGUUCUAGCUGAACAGUUAGGUGUGCAGACAUUAGCUCCAAUACAUGGCUGGAGGAGUGAUGGGGGGGGCAGGGGAGCAGCUAACAAGAAUGAGAGACAGCCCCAAAUGUGGGGGACCUGGUGAAUUAAGCAAGUUAGGACAGUGCAUGCCAUCAGAGCACUGUCAAUGGCCCACAUGACAAUAAGCAGGAUGGGGUUUGAAGAAGAGAACAGGAGCAGCAGCAUGGUUAAGUGCUACUUCUGGAGCCUAAACACCAGGGCUCAAGUCCUGACUCUACAAAUCUGCCAGCUGUAGGGUGUUAAACUCUCGGCGCCCCAGUUUCUUUACCGGGGGAAGGUCACCCCACAGGGCGAUGAUAACUAAAUGUCACGUACCCAUGAAGCAGUUAGCUGAAAAUCUGGAACAGAGAAGACAGCAGCCCCAAGGGGGGCCAGGGCUCCAUGUGUGUUGGGCUGAGAUGUGUGAGCUAUUAAGAGCUCCUCCCGUACCCUCCUCUGCCAGCCCCACCGGGAGGGGCCGCCGAGGCCCACGAGCGCCCACGGCAGGGAAGAUGGCUGCCAGCCACUGAGCCCUGGCUCACGUCUGCUCCAUGCUCUCCCUUCUUCUCAGUCCUCAUUGCCUUCCGUCCCCAGACCACCCUGGCUGGUAGGCAGCCUAGUUCCUGUUGCUGAGGUGGAGGUGGAGGCAAGGGGAGAUUUGGUGACUGGUCUGAGGCCACAGCAGGAUUUAAAUGCAGGUCCGCGCAGUUCUAGGGCUCAGUUCCUCAGUCACCCCCCUUCAGAUGCUCCAUGUGGCGGGGAGAUGGCAGGGCUGAGACAGCCAGAGCCUGACUUUGGAAAGAGCCCCUUGCUGAGAACUCCUAUCCACCACCCUCCAGCACUGGAGUUUUCACCGUUUUCUGGGAGACAGUUCUGCCUGGGCACAGGUGGCAGUUCUGUCUGGCAAAGAACGGAGUGACUGAUUUCCAACAUGGGUGUUGGAACAGCCUGUGCUUAACUGCACAGCUCUUGUGCUGAUGAGACGCUCGUCAUGGGCUUUUUGCCAAAGUGAUAUCCAGGUGGCAUCUGGGGUACUCGUUGCUCAAGCAUUCCCAAAGUGGCAGUGUGACCCAGAAAGCCACGGUGGUGCAAGAAUGGACAAGCAGGGGAUGGGGUCAUGAGGGGGGCCUUGGCUUUCGUGGGGCAACAGAUUGGCUUCCUGUUCUGGUGCUGUCACCAUGGUGCCACUGUGACUAUGGCAAGUGAUUUAGUCCUCCUUAGUUACCUUAUCUAUGAAUAAGAGUUAAAAAGAUGCACACUCUCGUGUACCUUGGAGAACAGCUGUCUUGCUGCAAAGUGCCUAGUACAGAGACUGACACACCAGAGGUCUGAGGAAUGGCAGGUACCGGCCAUUAUUCAUCGUACAUUGAGAAUUUUUUCUUAAGCUCUGUGAGGGCAGGACUGGGUCUGCUUUGUACACUGUUACGUUCUCAGUUCUGGGCACUGUGCCUGGCAUGGAGUAAAUCGUUUGGGAUACAUGGAGAAUUAAGAAAUGUUUUACAGGUAGGGUUGAUGGAGCAUGGUGACUGGUUGACUCAUGAUAGCAGAGUCGAUAAAGAAGAGUUGGGGGCUUUAGUCUGAGUGGCUCACCGUGAUGGUGUCCCUUGCUAAGUGGAGAAGGAAGAGGAGAAGCAGACCUGAGACAAAUGUGGUGGAGAUGAGUUCAGUUUUGCAUAUGUGGAGUUGGACACGCCCACAGGGCAUCAAGGGGGAUUUGACUAACAGGUACAUGAAGUUGUGUAUAUAGGAGGAUGGAAGGGGUCAGUAAUGUAGCCUUAACUUCGGGAAAUCAGACUUGUAUCCCCAAGAGCUGCAAAUAACAAAGCACAGUGAUUCAGCAUGGCUUAAAAUAGGGAUCGCCAAACAAACUAUGGCCCACAGGCUAUAUCCAGCCCGCUGCCUGUUUUUGCGAACCGUGUUUUAUUAGAACACAGCCAUGCCAUUCAUUUAUGUAUUGUUAUGGCUGCUUUCACGUUACAAGGGCAGAAAAGCGGUUUCAGAGACUAUAGGAUGGGCAGAGCUAAAAUAUUUACUUUUUGGCCCUUUACAGAAAAAAACAUGUUGACCUCUGACUUAAACAAUAAAGAUAUGUAUUACCUCAUUAAAUGACAAGACUUGAGGUUGGGUUGGUUACUUGGCUCAAGAAUGGGGACCCAGGGUCUUUCUCCUCACUUGAUUCACAUCUAGUCUCCAUCUAACAUUCCGUAGUUGGUGUCCUGAUGUUGCCUCAGCCUCCCUUCAUCUGCUGCAAGGUGGCAGCAGCAAUUUCCUGCUUCACAUCUGAACAUGACACACCCUAAUGCUGGGCGGGGGAGGGGGUCUGCAUCUCUAUCUUGUGUCUUUCUUGCAGAAGCUCCCGUCUUCUCCCUGUGUCUCUUGCCCCAGGAUUUAGGCUCAGGCCCAUUCCCCUGCAAGGAAAAUGGAGCUAACAGAUUGAUUUAGACCAGUGGUUCUCAAUGGUGGCCAUGCAUUAGAAUGAACCCUGAGACUUUUAUCUUCCUUUUUAUGUUUAUUUAUUUAUUUUGAGAAAGAGAGUGCAUGUGCAUGUGCAUGUGCAUGCAGGAGAGGGAGGGGCAGAUAGAGGGAGAGAGAAUCCCAAGCAGAUUUCACGCUAUCAUUGCAUGGAGCCCAACGUGGGGCUUGAUCCCACAAACCAUGAGAUCAGGACCUGAACCGAAAUCAAAAGUCAGACGCCCAACUGACUGAGCCACCCAGGUGCCCCAGAUCAGUGAGACUUUUAGAAAGAGUUUGUAGCAGGCCCAGAUAUUGGAUUUUUAAGAAGCAUCAUGGGUGAUUUUAAGGUAAGGCCAGGACAGAGUAAACACUGAUUUAACAGAUCAUUCUGGGGAAGAAUAGAUGUUGGGAACCCAAAUAUUACAACCAACACAACCUCCAUGGAGAAAAUAAUAGAAGCCAGGGAGGCUGGGUCCCUACUUGAGACAUGUUUGUCAGGGGUAUUCACGAUAGCUGAGCCGGACUAGGCAAGAUGCUUUUCCAGUUAAGGCCAAAGGCAGCAUAAUCAGAAGUAUAAAUUGUGACCAAGAACCAAGAUCAGACUUCAGAGCCAAGAGACAUAAUUAAGUGUCAGGUGUGGGGGGCAGAAUGGAAAUAGGAAAUGAGCCAAGAGUAUGGAAAGGUAAGGAGGGAGGUGAAGGGGGUGGAGGGAGAGGUUCUGGAGGAUGUGAAUUACAGGGGUGCCCGAAGGCAGAUGUGAUGCAAGGUGGGUUCUGAAGAGGAAAGAUAGGUGCUCCGCAGAGUUAAAGGAAUUGUGCUAGACCAGACUGGUCAAGACACGUGUCUCUGUCUCAGGCCUGUGGGCCCUGUUUGGCAUUGGUCAGUCCAACAUAGCUGAAGCCAAGGCUACUGACGGGCAGCUACCUUCUUGCUCCCUCUUGUUGGACUCUGGUUCGCUUAUUGGAUUCACAAAAGGAGCCCGCCAUUUUGCUAAUUAAAAAGCCUCACAUUCACAGUAGGUUUGUGAAGGCUGGACUUAGCACAGACCCUUGGCAAAUGCCGUAAAGAAACCAAACUUGCUGUCCACUGACCACUAUUUCCCUGUUUCAUGUCCUGUCCUUUCUUCUCCUUUUUUUUUUUUUUUUGUCCCCUCCUUUCUUGGGACCCAGGCCUAACCCUGCCAGCCUCUGUGUUCCAUCCCUCCCUCUGUCAGUCAUGUAAACCCAUUCCCUCCACUCACUGGCAUCAUUCACUUAUUCAUUAAACAACCAUUUAUACAACAUCUACCAGUUGCCUGUCCUACUCCUGAGGCAUGCCCUACUCCUGAGGCACUGAGAUGGAAAACCUCUAAAUUUGCUGUCAGGAGACUCUCACCUUGGGAUGGACAGAGGUAGAUUUACCAACAAGCAAUCAUAAUUUAUGGGGACAAGAUACUAUCACAGUAUGAUCUUUCAAGUACUAAAACUAAGCACUGGUCUGGAAGACCCAGGGCCCAGGAGCCACAUCUGCACCCGCCAUCUUUGUUUGGCACAGGGCAAACCACCCAACUUCAUGAAUUCAGCCUCCCUACCUGCCAAAACAUCAUGGUGAUGACUGCUUAGAAUCACCCACAGUGACUCCUAGCAGAGUAACAUUCACAGCAUGUGAGUGCUUUUACAAAGGCGUGUAACAUUACAAAGACAGAGGUAUUUUGGGGUGCCUGGGUGGCUUAGUUGGCUAAGCAUUUAAUGCAGGUCAUGAUCUGAACCCAGCCACGUGGCCUCCACUUCUAAGGGAAGUUGGGGAUGUGUGUUCCCAUAUACUUAGGAAAAGGAGCAGUAAGCAUCUAGUCAUUACAUUCCAGAGGCUCAGAGGUAAGACUGGCUGGGUGGUCAGUGGCAUGUAGGAUGUAUACCUCUUCCAGGCUUGGCUCUAAGCCUUACUUCACAAUCUACCACACCCUCUCUCUUCCUAACCAUUGGUGGGCCAGAUUGGGGUGGGGGAGAGACCCCGCAGAGGACUCCGAACAGAGUGGCAGAGAUACAAAAGGUAAGAGUCUGAGUCUCUGGGUCAUCUGGUGGAGUAGAGCCUCCCAGCACACUUCAGACUGUGACAUGAGAUAGAAACUUUUGUUGCACUGAGCCACUGAGAUUUGAGGGUUGUUUGUUUUAGCAGCUAUAUUAAUUACCCUGGUUACUUCAGAGUGAGUCCGAACUCAGAUGUGGUGCUUCCCAAUCCCCUGUAUCUCUGUUGUCAGAACCACAUUGUAUUUUAACUGGACUGGUCAGUCGACCUCACACCAGAAUGUAAGCUCCCUGGGGUCAGAAAGUGUCUGUGAAUCGUCUCUGUACCCUACAGUCCCUGUACCGGGCUCAGAGAACAUUUGUUAAAUGUAAACGUGCAGCCAUAUAUUUGUUAAUAAAACAUUUGCUCAACAAAACAUUUUUAGGUGGAGGAAGAGAAAAAGGAGAUGAAAUAAGAAAUAAAUUAUUGCCUGCUCGAUUACCUUAAAUAUUUGUGUUCUAAAGGCAGAAGAGAGAGGAAAUCAGAAAAAAACAAUUCAUUAAAUAUUCAGGCUUAUAAGGGUAGAAAGAUCUGAGUUUGUAUCUUGGAUGUCACUAGACAAGCUCUGUGACUUUCAGCAAAUUACGUAACCAGCCUGUGCCUCAGCUUCCUCACAAAGUGAGGAUGAUAAUGGCUAUCUCAAAGACUAAUGAGGUAAAGAUUAAAUGAGAUGAAGUUGGGCCUUGAUUUAAAUAGAUUCCUUCCACGUCUGACAGUUUCAUUUAUAAAGUGGAGAAUAAACGUUGCUCCGCAGGCUAACGUGAGAACACUUCUUUACCACCCAGGAUUGGUCUCACCCUACUCCCUUUUGCACUCUGGCUCAGAGGCCAGGAAAGCAGGCCCCUGCUGGGCCAAGCCAACAGAUGAUCCGAAAGUGGAGUUUUACCCUGAAUGGGAGAGGGCGGGGAGGCUUCUCAUGGGUGCAGUGUCUAGCCUGUAGGUGGGACACUUCACCUCUGUGAGCCACAAUUACCUUUUCUGUAAACAUGGAGCUACCACUACCUUGUGAGAAUAAAAUGGGAAGGGAAUUUGCAAGAAAGUGUCCAAACGCUUGGAGGGCAGGUAGUUUUUCAUUCAUUAUCCCACGUCUGCAUCCAUCAGUUGGGAGCUGCCGCCUGGUCGAUUAGAGAUGUCUGUGAAAGGCACGGAGGGUGGUGGGAGGGCAGGCGCUGUCUUUCUGAGGGCUUUGCAGAGCUAGGACAUGACAGCACAUCCAUAAAUGUUAGUUGAGUUGAGUGGAAUUUGAACACAGUCGUUGUGACUCUCUCAAUUUUUAAGCAAAUAAUUGAAGUGGAAUAUAAAGAAGCUGAAAUGGGAUAUGGGGAAAUUAACAUGGAAAUCACAUUGCAGGCACUUGACAAAACUAAUUAAACUGGGAAAUGCAGCUAGAUUUUUUUGGUGCAUAAACAUUCUUCUUCUCUUGCAACAAGGGGGUAAAACCGACAAGUGUUCGUAUUACGCUUUUAUGUGUGUGCUCUUCCAAGCAUGCGUGGUGCUUUGAAGAAGGUUCUGUUGUGUUUGUAGCAAGAGACUCUGUAAUUGCUCUGAGAAUUCCUGGGAUUUUUUGGAUAUGUGUAUUUUUUCCUGAGUGAAGACAAAGCAUGAUGCUUCUUGCUGGAAUAAAAGACUGUUGUGGCUUUCUCAUCAAGUGUGUGGCCUUGAACCUUGGUGUUUUCAUCUCUAAGGUGGGAAUAAUCCUGCUUACGUUAUGGGAUUGUUAUGAGGAACAGAUGGGGGGAUGGAUGUGGGUGCUUAUGAACAAUUUAGCACUGUUUGCACAUUCUGAAUAAGCGUUAUUAACAGAGUACCGCCAUGGGGACAUGUGCCAGACUGCAGUCACAACCUGGAAUCACAGGACUACCACCAACUAGCUGUGGGGACUUGAGCAGUCUACUUCACCUCUCUCUGUCUGUCAUCUUAUCUGGAAAAUGAAAGGUUGCUAUAGAAAUCACAGGGAUUCGUGAAUAGCAAACAUUUAACACAAUGCCUGGCACAAAGUAAGUGCUCAACAAAUUCUAGCAAUCAUCAUCAUCAUCAUAAUAUGAGGAAUUAUAAUUUAAUUCACUAAAUUUUGGGGUUUCUUAGAAAUAUGUGCUAUACUGGGUGCUGUGAUUGUGUCAAAGACGAGUGGAGCACACUUUUAACUCCAAGGGAGUUCAUAUCACAGUAGUGCGAAGCACAGAACAAGUGUACAAAAAACUAUCGUAAAGAAAGUUUUCUAACUUUCCCUCUAAAACAGGAACAGUAUUUUAUAUUAUUGAAAGAUCUUCGCAUGCGCUGUCUCAUUUUAUCCUCCUAACCACACUGCAUCCUAUGAACAAUUGUCUAUCCUAUAAAAUGGGUAGGGUGGAUCCCAAUGAUACACGAUUCCCAGCAAGCUGUACCCUGUACAAUGCCCGUAUUUUAGCGUUCCUCUGAUAGUAUGCAGUAUAUAACAUCAAUGAAGUUAGAACAUUGCUCACUGUAUCGUUGGACACUUCUGAAAUGUUCAGCAGCAUACAGGUUGAGAGCCAUCACCAAUUUAAAUGACAAGUGUGAGGGAAUAGCAAUAUGUUGGAAAGAGCACUAGAUUUAGAAUAGCUGUGUCAUUUUCUAGGAGUAUGAUCUUGGAUUUGGCUGGACAAGUUCUUGGGAUCUCAGUUUCCUCAACUGUAAAGUAGGAUAAAGCUGUCUUGCUUUCAGAGUUGUUCUGGGGUUGAAAUGAGAACAUUUUUUGCGUGUAUUUCUGGGCUUAGCUCACGUUAGUAAGUGUGUGUGCAUAAUUACUGGAAUACUUGUGGAUAAAUAAAUACAUGAUGGGUAGGUGUUGCCUGUUUCCAUUAAUUGUCCUGCUGUGUCAUUUACACAUGACGCAGAGCCACACCAACCCUUAUGGUUGUGGUCUUCAGAACAAUGUAAAAUUCUGCAGCACAGCCGCUCAGGGUUGUUGAGUUGGGGAGCUCAAGAACUGGGACUUGAACUCAGGCCUUCUGAUCCCAGAAGCCAUGCUGAGGAUGUGAAUAUAUUCAGCAGAGGUUUGUUUGUAGCUGCAUCGAUUAAUCUCAGAUUGGUAUAAAGCUAAGCAUUCUCUAAGUUUACUACAAGUGGAAGAUGGAACCAAUUUUUCCCCACUUUUUUAAUGCAGAAUGCCUUUGUAUGUUACCUGAAGUUCUGCAGUCUGAUCCUACACUUUAUUUCUAAAUUCAUUUUUAUGUGCCUUUAUUCACACUCUGAACUACUUCGAUUUCUCUGAACGUGGUCCAUGCUUUCCAGCCUCUAGGUUUUUGCUGUCGCCUGUCCUAUAAAUGUCCUUUUUAAAUGUUAAUCGCUAUAUGUCUAACCCCUUUAAGACAUAGGUCAACUGCUUCCUCCUCUAGAGCUCCUUCCUCAGUACCAUCCCACCACCCCCACACCGAUCACAUUUUCUUUUUCCUCUAAGUCUCCGUAAUGCUUUAUCCACAUGCUUUUUAAAGUGUUGUUCACCUUCACCUUGCAUUGCAAUCAUGUUAUCUGCAAUCCUAAGCAUUUGUAAUUUGGGCUUAGAAAGAACGCUGAAUUAGGAGUAUGGUGUUCUCGGAUUUGCACCCCAGCUCCACUAUUCCUAGCGAUGCAAGUUAGUCAAACUUGCACCUUUAGAUUUCUCACCUGCAAAUGGAGAUAAUAUCUAUCGUUCAGGGUGUAAGGAAUACUGGGAGUUCUCUGCACAGUGUCUGAUAACAUGGUAGGCACUCGAUACAUAGCAAUUCUUUUUCUCUUCUUCCCUUUCCUAAAGAAUAGGAUAUUUGUAUGUUACUUGCCUAUGUCUCAUACCCAGUGCUUGACACACACUAGGUGCUCAACACCUACUAUGUAGGCAGUAUAUUUAAAAGUGAUAUAGUUUAUUCAAUUAUUCAUGAAAAAACCAUGGAUGGACAGAUACAUAAAAGAAUGAAGUAGAAUAAUGGCCCCUAAACGUAAAAAUAAAUCUGAACUUGAAAUGUCUAGUUUCCAUGUAAUUGGUAUUUUAUCGUGCUAGCUAGUUCAUUGUUUUUCUUUUGGAUCCAUCAUGAGGAAGGAGCAUCUUCCGGAUCCUUAGGCAGGACAGGGUGUUUUGUACCAUCACUGCUUUGAUUCUUCCUCCAGCUGUCUCUUUUUCUUUGAGCAGCUCUCCAAAGACACCACACUGUUCUGCCUGGAGUAUACUGCCUGGGAUAUGCUAAAGACAGGUUAUCUCCCGGAAGGAUAAUGCCACACAUGAUUGACAUGACUUCCAUCUCUGAGCCCCACCAACGGCGCCCGCCCUUGUGCGGCAAACACGAAUGAUGCAGCUGACAACGCUGAACUUAAACAAGUUCUGUUGCUUACACACUGAAUUAAGCCUACAUCUGUGGCUGCUAAAGUGGGGAAAAAAGAUUAAUAAAGUACAUGCUGAAGCUUGAAAGAAUAAUUAGUGGGACGUUUUAUGUUUUGGCUGCAAAGUCGGCUCCACAUUUAGCAUAAAGCAGAACCUUCUAAUCCUUCUGAGGAUGAAGGAUUGGCUCAGACUAAAUUGGUUUUCUUUGUGCAUCUUGAGAUUUUUUUUAAAUGUUAUCAUUUUUAAAAAUUAUUAUUUUCCAAAUUUCAAGUAAGCUUUUAAUCAGCCUCUUUGUGGGAUCUGCGUUGUUUCUGGAUUUGCCAUCGCUCUGUCACACGAUUAGCUGCCGCUUGGGCCCUGAUAAAAGAAAGCUUGAAUUGUGGGCUGCAGAGAGCUUAAAUCACACAUCUUUCACAGGGGCGCAUUCCGUGGCUAUCAGGGCUGAGAUGCUGGCUGCUAACGGCCCACCUCGCUGAGAGGUAGAGUGAGUUAUUGGUGUACAUAAUAAACUAACAUCUGCACGGUGCAUCUCAGAAUGGGUGUCAGGAAAGCUGGAAGACAAAGCAGGAUGGCAUCAUUAGGGCCAGAUUUAAGACUCCAAUUUGUGUAUCAUUUGCAUAACAAUGUACAAGAGCAACCAUUCACUGUUCCCUUUCAGAAUUCACAGGCUGCACCUUCACAGGAACAUUCCUGAGGGAGGGGAGGCAGAGAGGAGGUCCUUGCCGGAGAGGUUCAGUCUGGGAGAGCAUCUUUUCUGGAUGGAGAUUCUGAAUUCAUGGGUCCAUGGUGCCUCCCAGACAGUCUCUCCUGCGGCCGUCACAGCACUCUGGGAUCUGGUUUGUGCCAGGCUCUGAGUCAGUGGCCAGACACGUUUCUCAGUCUGAAAAUACUUUCUGAGCAUUGUAAGGUCAAGAAAAAGCCUUGGUCUGCCUUGGAGUCCAGACACAGGAACCUGUGUCCUGCCUCAGCCAUAUUCUACCUUUGGCCCUUUGCUAAGAAGAUUGUCCUUUUGAGCCAAAAUCUCCUUAUCUCUCCAAUAGGGAUAUUAAGAAUACUUGUAAGAGUUAGUAUCUUUGAGGGGCACCUGGAUGGCUCAGUUGGUUAAACGUCUGACUUUGGCUCAGGUCAUGAUCUCAUGGUUUGUGAGUUCAAGCCCCGCAUCAGGCUCUCUGUUGUCAGCUCAGAGCCCUCUUGGGAUCAUCUGUCCCCUUUCUCUCUGCCCCUCCCCUGCUCACUUGCUCUCUCUUUCUCUCAAAAGUCAAUAAACUUUAAAAUAAAACAAAUAAAUACAAAAGCAUCUUUGAGCGCUUCGUGCAGCAAAAUGCUGGCCAUAUUUACUCCUCACAAAAACUCUCUGAAGUUGAUGAUUUCCUUCCCUUUUUAUUUUGUUUUGUUUUGUUUCCAUAUGAGGAAACUGAGGCACAAAGAAGUACCUUGCCAGUCACUCAACUUCUGAGUAACAAAGCCAGGGUGUUUCAGUGUCGUUUUACCUCACAUGCUAGAGGCCCAACAAUGUGGAAUUGACGAAUAAUUAUUGACACCUCUGGGUGCCAGGCAGGGUUCCAGGUGCUGGGGAUUCAGAAGCGAACAGAAGCAGAUGUGGCGCCUACCUUCACGGGACUCCCAUCUAGGUUAAGUGAGACGGUAGAUGGGGACCCACUCCAAAACGGCUCACGUGCCGGUCCCGUGCUCCCUUGUUGCUGUUUUGGCACCACGGUAUUACCUGGGGAGAACACAGGCUUUGGAACCAAAUAGCCUUGGUUUUAAAUUCUGAUUCUGUCACCUACUUACUGUGUGUACUUGGGCAAGUCUCUAAACCUCUCUGAGCCUUAGUUUUUUUUUCAUGGAAAACAAAUAGGAAGGAAAAGUAUUCCUGCGUCAAAGAGCUGUCAGGAAAACUGAAUGGUAUCAUCGUGAAUGGGACAUAGAUUUCUUAGCAUAAUGCCUUGCCGCAAAUCCAUUUCUCAAUAACGGUCGCUAUUAUUAUUAUUAAUCAACCAACCAUUAUCGCUGGCAUGCAGCUGAGCACCUGUGACCUGAAGGAGCGAAAGGGAUCUCGCUUGUUAGGUCUUGUUCAUUAUUAUCAUCUGGCCAUGGAUCUUGAGGCAUUGAUUUUUCAUUUCUCACCAAGGCCGAGUGUUCAGAGUCCCUCCCUCCUGGCCACAGCCAGCUGUGUGGGCAUCUGGACCAAAGAGCCCCAUGAGGGUGAAACACAUUUGCUGAUUCUUCUUCACAGCAGAGUCCCUCUCCAAGUUGCAGCUUUAGCAGAGUCCCAGUGUCCUCAGGCCAUACUCUCUAAGGCCCUCAGCACUGACAGGGGGUGGGCCUCCUGUGUUCUCAAUGUCAGUGAUCCAUCCCACCCUAUCCCCAGACACUGGCCCUGGGCCCUGAUUCUUUAUCUGGCCCGGGGAUCUGGGCAGACUCAAGUAUUACUGCCCUGCUUGUAACACAUCCCCUGUCCCCAACCCUCCCAACUCGCCUAUCAUCUUUGGUAGGUCAGAAGGGCAAGGGGAGAUCUUACUGGGGUGAUGAAAAUGUUCGCAAACUGAUUUAUGGUGGAGGUUACACAACUGUGCAAACUCACUAAAAAUCAUUGAAUUGUGCAAUUGAAAUGGGUGAAUUCUAUCAUGUAUAAAAUCCGCUGCAAUGAAGUUAGAAACGAAAAUGGCAACUUGCAUUUGGGGACGCUGAGGCUCGCUAGUCUGACAAAAAUCUCGGUUUCCUCAUCUGGAAAACAGGAAUUUCUUGUAGCAAAUGGCUUCCUUGUUGCAAAUAAAUUUUAUUGUCAGUAACUAUGUGAGAAGAGCAAAAACCUGGGGGAUCGGGGUGGUGGCAGGGGGAAGGGUCCAUGUGAAUGUGUUUAUUUUCCACUUCUCAGAAUGCUGGUUUUAGGUCUGCAAUGCAUGUAGCAUUUUUUAAAGAGACUUUUUUUGAGCACCUCUCUGGUAGGCUUUGGCUGCCUUCUCUCCCUCACAAACGCCCUGUGAAAUGAUAAUGCAAACGUGAUAAGUGUGAGUAUGUUUCAGGCUGUUCCCUGUGCUCCAGGCAUUAUGUAAACAUGGUUUACAUCAUUCAACCUCCAGGAAGCUCUGCCAGAGACCGUCUACUCUCUCACAGAUGGAGAAACUGAGGCUCAGAGCUUGAGUGGUGACACCUGGCUAGGAAUAGGCAGAGACAGGCAUCCCAGACCUUUCUCCCCAGAUUGAGGGGGUGGGGUGGGGUGGGAGCCUCACCAGGGCACCUGUAACAAAUGCAGAUUCUCAGGUCCCACCCAGACCUACUGGAUCAGAAACUCUGGGAGUGGGGCCCAGAAAUCUCAUGUUCACUCCAGUUUGGGAACCACUGCCUCAGCUGUGCUGUUUCCCAAGGACUCCAUUUACCCACUAAAGAGAAGUCCCCAGUGAGGGCUGGCUUUGGAUCGUGGCCCUCAUGGGGAAUCGGUGCCUCUUCCACAGAGCAUUCCUGAUGCUUCCAUGCCUGUGCCCCAAGAGCAGGUCCUGCACAGGCUGUGAGGUGGCAGCUCUGCCUUAAAAGCCAGACCAGACCGCAUUGAAACCAUUUUUACAAAUCAGCGUGGCCGGGCGAAGAUUUGACCUCACGGCAGGGAGUGGCCUAGGGCGGGUGAGAGAAAUGAUAGUAACCAACAUCUGUCAACUGCUUGUUGAGGGGGGGCAGGCAGUGUUCUAAGAACUUUAUAUGUAUUAACUGGUUUCAUCGUCCUAACAACUCCAUGAGGACAGUGCUUUCAUUGUCCCCAUUAUCCAGAUGAAGGCAUCGAGGUGAAGAGAGGUUAAUUAGCUUGCAUUGCUGGUUAGUGGCAGAACCAAGAGGUGAUUCUCAGCAGUCUGACUCGCUUUCCUCCACUGGCUCUCCCCUGACGGUUGUCCUAGCCGGUGGAAGCUGCCUGCACUCCCUUUAAUUGCAUGCCAGGUGUUUUCCUAUUUGCACUUUCCCCACACAUCCUCAACCCUUAGUGAUAAGGGAUCUUACCUUAGUGAUAAGAUACCCCCCACACCCGUAGUAAAACUACUCACUACUCACCAUGAUAUGUUCCAGGGAGCCCCACCUGUAUUCUUCUGCCGGCCUAUGGAUUGGAUUUUUCAGGUAAACCAGUGUUUCCAAUGUCAAGUGGCAAAAAAUCUCCAGGGCACUUAGCCUCAGUUUUUCUGACUGAAAUCUAUAUAUUUAUAUAAUAUGCAUGCAUAUACAUAUGUAUAAUAUUUGAAAAACAAUGCAUAUUAUUACUGGUCUCUCUGGGUUGGGCUGUGAAGAAUAAAUGUAAGAGUGUGAGUGACCUCAGAAAAGCACAACGCACGCUGCAACAUGAAGUUUUACUGCUGAUCCCCUCUGCCUGUUUCUACUAGCCCCUUGGUUCUGAUUCCUUUUGUGGCUCCCGUGCCCUAGCGUGAGCCAGUUAGCUCAGUCUCAGAAGCAGAGUUCCCUGCAGUCUAGCUCUAGGUCUGGAAUGAAUUGUAUAUGCCAGUUUAUUUCCUUAGUCUUCUGCCCCCCCCCACCCCCCCCAUCGCUCAUCCUUCCACCUCGAGCCAGGAGUGGGUGGCUAAGGAAGACAGAAGCUGGCAUAAAAGAGAGAGAUGGAGUCUGGGCUUAGAACCAGGCAGAGAAAAACUGGACAGGGACUUCAAGAAGGGGCCAUGUCAGUUGCUGCUUUCUGUUUGUAAAUUUCAAGGCCAACAGGUGCUCAGAGCAGUCAUCUGACAGUGAUGACCAGCAACAUUUCCCACGGGGCUUCCCUGCCUGGGAAGCAUCCAUAGAUGCCAGUCAGAAAGCAAUGACCCAGUGGACUUUCAAUCUAAGUUGAAGGCACUGACAUGGACCCAGGGUGCAGGAGAGGCAGAUUGAAUGCUAAAGCUGACACACAAAGAACAGAGCAGUCCUGACCCAGACAGGUGUAUUUUCUAUAAUAAAAGGGGCCCUUACACGUUGGGUUAACGAAAAUUUCCUCAUUUGAAUCAUAUUUUAAAAGAAGGUAGGGAAUUGCACAGUUAAAGAAAUCAUUGAGUACUUUGGCUAGAUGAAGAAUUGUCUGGUAAAAUGAAGUGUCUCCCUUCUACAGUGCACAUUUUAAAUAAUAUCAGUUGGAUUUCCAUAAAAUUGAGGUCCAGCUACCUAAAACAUGUCAGUGAAGGGAAACCAUCAAAAUCAGGUUUCUUCUUCGAGGUUUCUUUCAUCAGUGAAGCGGAGGGAGGCGUAAUGUACGCAACAGUCUGAAGAAGAAAGGAGCUGUUGUGAUGUCCACCAUGCUGUGUGGUAAUGAUGUCAGCCACUGUCACAGAGGGGACGUCAUCAAAUCCCUACAAUAGCCCAGUGAGGGGUGCGGUUGUCCUUGUUUCAUAGUUGGGGCACUCGGGGCUCCAAGAAUUUGAGUUAUUUUCCUAGGAAGAUACAGAUGAUAAAAUGAACAAAUAUGUUUAUUGAUAACAUUCAUAAGAGUAGCAUAUACUCUGCGCCAGGCACUUCCGUGCAUCUUAAUUAAUCCUUACAACAAUAACCUGAUGCACUACAUGGUAUUGUCCCCAUUUUAUAGAUAAGGAAGGGGGCUCAAGGGGAUAAAUGACUAGCCCAAAUUUAGAGGACUGUUAAGUGGUUGAGCAAGGAGCCAAACCCAGGUUUGUCUGAGCCCAAGCUUUUUGUUUGUUUGUUUGUUUGUUUGUUUGUUUAUUGUUAGAUAUAUGCUCUUCAGUGUUCCCCGUAUGCUCUGUCAUUUCGUAUCAAGGCAUCCAUUUAUUUAAGACGUCACGGGUCCCCUCACAUAAUGUGCGUUGCAUUCUAUCUGCUGAUUUUUUCGCCUCAGUGGUUUAAAGGGAAAUGGUUAACUCUGGUUUAUAAGCAGUCACUCAGAGGUUCAGAGACGUGUAGUAACUAUGCAAACCUCACAGGUGCUGAGCCAUAAACUGGGUCUGUGGUACUCAGAGCCUCUGUCUUUGUUUUCUACAUCCUAGUAGGCCAGGGAAGAAAAGAAUGUGGAUUUCAGGCUGAUGGAUUUAUAUCAAGUGGCAGAAAAUGGGUAGGUUGAGAAAUUUACUGUAUUAAAGAGCUAUAAAAUUCACUCAUAACCUAUAAAUACCAAAAUAUGCAAAGUGCCCACAAGUUUAAAUGAAAAGAAUCAACAAAAACACCCGAGUCUUCUAAGAUUACAACAUAGGGCUCUGUGAAUUCAUCAGCUGAGGAGGGAGUCAUAGGUUAAUAAUAAUAAUAAUAAUAAUAAUAAUAAUAAUACAAAAACUCAGACCUUAAUGUUUGAAUGGCUUAAGACUCAAGGUCAACAUUGUUAGUUUCUUACGGCAGCUGUAAAAAUUAACCACAAACUGGGUGGCUUAAAACAGCAGUUUAUUCUCUCACUGUUCCUGGAAGCCAGAAGUCCGCAAUCAGGGUCCCAUUGUCGAAGUUAAGGCGUCCAUAGGGCCAAACUCCUGGAGACUCUGGAGGAGAAUCUUUUCCUUGCCUCUUCCUGCUUCUGGCGGCUGCCUGCAUUCCUGGGAUAGCAGCCACAUCUCUUCAGUCUCUGCUCCUGUCUUCACCCCACCUUCUCCUUGUCUCCUUGUCUCCCUCUUAUAAAGAUACUUGUGAUUUCAUUUAGGGCUCACUGGGAUCAUCUCCCUACCUCAAAGUCCAGAAUGCAGAGACCCCCUUUUCCUGAUAAGGUAACAUUGAUGAGUUCCAGAGACCAGGACUUGGUGUCCUUACGGGUCCUUACCUCACCUACCAUAGUCAGAAAAGGGGUUGUAGUGCUCUUAGGCAGCACGGGGGUGAUCUGCAGUCUUUCUGUCCUUUAUGGAUGAGAGUGUCCCUGCUCUCCCAAAGUGACAAUACUCCCUUUCCACAAGCAUGCAUCUUCACACCUGCUGAGAACCCAGGAAAGGUAUGGUUCCAGAAAACAACCCCUUUAAUAGAAGACGGCAUGCUGGCCAAGACUUUACAGAGACAGAAAAAAGUAAGGAGGGGAGAGCACAGGGAAGGUGAGAGGAAGGACUGGAAAACUGAGGGAGCAGAGUGAAAAGGCAGAGAAUUAGGGCAACAAAGAGAAAAAGGGGAAGAGGGGCAGAGACUAAGGGAAGAAAAAAGAAUGACCUAGAGAACAGUGAAGAAAAAUAAAACAGAAGGAUUGAGAAACAUGGGGGAGAGGAGAGCAUAGGGAAGGAGGACAAGAGAAGAUAAGAAACAAAAGAGCCAGAGAAAAGCUAGGAGGGAACCAGAGCGACAGGAGACAGGGAGCAAAAAGACAAUGGCAAGGAGGGAAGAUUGAAAGGCAAUAGACAGGGGAGGAGUGAGUGUUGAGGGAGGAGAGAGGUGCAAGAUCAAGCAGCAGAAAGAGAGAGAGAGGAAGAAGGAGAGCUGGAACUUGCAUGGGGAAAGAAAGUAUUAAAGGCAUUUGGUAAGGUGACAAAUGUCUAUAUGUUAAUAUGCUGAAAUAAAUACAGCAGCUGCAAGUUACAAAUCACAUUCAUUGGCUGUUACAGUCUGGUAAUUGUCCAUAUAGAUAUUUUCUUUCUGGUUCCAAACCCUGGCUUAUCAGAGGACAACAUGCUUUUGAAAUGCCACAUUAUUUUGUAAGUACAUUUCACGUCCAAAAGUUCCACUAAGUAUGAUAUACUGAAGACUUAUGUGGUUUCCAUUCUGCAGAGCUCCCAGGCUCAGCACAAUGAUUUUAAACUGGGCAUUUUGAUCAUCAGUUUCCUAACAUCCAAGGGCAGGACAGGCCUUCCCACUGUUCUCCAAAUCAGUUGUUUGCCUGCCUCCCUGCCUCUCUCCCUUCCUCUCUGCUCCCACUUUCCUUCUUUCCUUCUUUCCUUCUUUCCUCCUUCCUUCCUUCCUUCCUUCCUUCCUUCCUUCCUUCCUUCCUUCCUUCCUUCCUUCUUCUCUCGAGUUCCUUUUAUGCUUUCUUUCCUUCAAUAAUUCUUGCCUUGCCUUUCAUUUCCUUUCCUUUCUUUCCUUUCCUUGCCCUUUCCUUCCUUCCUUUCUUUCUUCCUUCCUUUCUUUCUUUCUUUCUUUCUUUCUUUCUUUCUUUCUUUCUUUCUUUCCUUCCUCCCCACUUUCCCUCUCUUCCUUUCUCUUUUCUCUCCCUCACUUUUUACCCCUUUUAAGUAUCUCUUCAUGGACAACAUAAAAUUGUAGACUAGGGUUUUUCAACCCAGGCAGUACUGACAUUUGGGACUGGUUACUUAUUGUGGGAGCUGUCCUGCAUGCUGUAGGAUUUUAGCAUCCCUAGUCUCUACCCGCUAGAUGCUAGUAGAGCUUCCAUCCCUGAGUUAUGACAACCAAAACUGUUUUGAGACAGCUCCAAGUAUCUGCUGAGGGGGAACAUUGCCCCUAGUUGAGAAAGGCUCUGUUCUAUAGUCAGAUAAGUCGGACCUCCAUUCUCACCCCACACUUCCUGGUUGUGUGAUCAUAGGCAAACCUAGCCUUUCAGAUGCAUCAGAUCCACCCUUACGGCUUGUUAAAACACACAGAGCUGGAUCCCACCACUGGAGAUUUUGGUGCAGUAGAUCUGGGCUGGGACCCGAGGAUGUGCAUUUCUAACUCAUCUCCAGGUACCACUGCUGCUGCUGGUCGAGGAGUGCACUUUGAGAAGCACAGCCCUGCCUCUAAUCUAGCUGUUCUUCAGAAUAGUCAUCAAAAAUGUAAAGUUGAUGGUAAGACUUUCCUCUCUGGCUUGUUGUACCUAUUAAGAGAAAUAAUUUGUCUAAGUUACCAAACACAGGCUCUUGGUCCGUGCCAGGUGAUAAAUAAAUGGUAGCUCAUAAAGAAAAUUUUCUUAAAGAAGGGCUCAUCUUUGACAGGAACUGUGUGGAUUAAAAAUGUAUAUGAAUGUGUUCACAGCAGCACACAAAUGCUACCAUUAAAAAAAAGGAGGUUCAAUGGCUUUUUAGCAACAGAGUACAUGUGCUUAUUAAUAAAUCUCUCUCAGUGGGAUCACUCCCCUGCAGGAAGGGAAGAUAAACGAUGGAAGCCAGCACUGCACCUUAGAUCCUGGAAAGCUAAAAUUGAUACACCCACACACAUACUUGUUAAUAAGCCAGAGUGUUAACUCUGUUACUGUAUCCCAGAAGAAGUGUCUGUGCAUACUAUGGCCUAAAAACCCUCUAAUAUCUUCUCCCCAGCUGAAAGGGAAUUAACAUUUACUGUGUAUCCACUGUGUGCCAGGCAAUAUGCUAGAUGAUGCACGUAUUGUGUGUUUAUUCCUCAAACUACCCUAAAAAGUCCCAUCCCUGUUUGUCACAUUAAGAAACUAGGGCUCCUAUUUUCCAAAACAGAUGAACAGAAGGGAAGGGAAGGAAAAAUAAAAUAAGAUAAAACAGAGAGGGAGGCAAACCAUAAGAGAUUCUUAACAUACAGAGAACAAACUGAAGGUUGAUGGGGGAGGGGCACAGGAGAGGCGAAAAUGGGGGACUGGCACUGAGGGGGACACCUGUUGGGAUGAGCACUGGGUGGUGUAUGUAAGCAAUGAAUCAUGGGAGUCUACCCCCAAAACCAAGAGCACACUGUAUACACUGUAUAUUAGCUAACUUGACAAUAAGUUACAUUAAAUUUUUUUUUAAAAAUAAUAAGGAAGGAAGGAAGGAAGGAAGGAAGGAAGGAAGGAAGGAAGGAAGGAAGGAAGGAAGACACCAGGGCUCCAAGAGAGCUUAAGUAAUUUGCCCAGUGCCAUCCAGCCAGCAUAAGCAGUGUUAGGACUGCAACCCUGCAACCCUGUGACUCCAGCUCCUGUAUUCUGCCAGCUGCUGCAAGGUGCUGGCCUGCAUAGGUCAGCACAGAUAAGCACCUUGCUGUUUAGAAUGUUAUGAGCCAGGCGUGUUGAAACUCUGUUCACGUGCCUGUUCUCUAGUUAGACGUUCAGUUCCCUUUUUAAGGGCAAAGGAUUUCUUCCCUUGUCGGUGGUCCUCAAGCCUAGCCUCGCAUAGUUACUUGCAUAUGAUUGGCAGUCAGUGCUGGUAGGGUAAAUGAAUGAACAAAAGACUGUCUCAGUCAAUCAGUUGAGAAGUGUCUCUGAAAAAAUACAGGAUUUCAUGUCAGGACUUCCAGGUUCUGGUCUCAAAAGUCCACAGGUUCAUCAUGUAACCUUAGUGAAGAAGUCACUUUCCUUUCCUGCUGUGGACCUUAUUGUGUCUCCUCACUCAAUUCAUGUUAAAGCCCUAACCCCCAAUGUGACUGUAAUUGGAGGUGGGGUCUUUAGCUCAUUAUGGUUAAAGAAGUCAUGAGGAUGGGGCCCUAAUCCAGCAGAACGAGUGGCCUUAUAAGAAGAGAAAGAGAGAGAUGGAGAAAGAGGAGAGAUAUUUUUCUCUCUCUCCAUGUGCACACAGGAAAAAAAGCCAUGUGAGGACACAGCAGGAGGACAGCCAUUUACAACACAGGAGCUCUCACCAGAAACUGAAUCUGUCGGCACCUUGAUCUGGGACUCUAGCCUUUAAAACUGUGAGAAAGCAAAUAUCUGUGGUAUUUUGUUAGGCAGUAGGAACAGACGAAUACAUUCCCCCAACCAUAUUUUCUUCAUCUGUGAAACAAAGAAUCUACAGAGGAUGAACCAUUUCAAGAAUGUUAUAGAGAAUGCCAGUUUUCUACAAAACAUUAGUAGAUAUGCCAUCAGAAUGAAUUCUGUGGUUAAAGAGUUGGGAAAACUCUAAAUGUUCUACUCCUUUCCUGGAACUUCAUGAGCAUAUACAAGGUUAUAGUAAGUUCUACAGAAGGAACAAAAACAAAAACAAGCCAAAACAAAAACUCUCUUAACUCUAUUUAACCCAAUACUCUUCAACCUUACUGUAUAGAUAACAUAUAAUUCCCUUGAACUCACCUCCUUCUUUUUUGUUGUUAUUUGUUUGUUUUUAACAGACUAGAAACUUGAGAUUAGAACAGAAUGAAAAGGUUCCACCAGGCACAUAACCAACAGGUGGCAGAGAAAAGUUCAAACUCCUGUCUGCAUGUCUCAGAAAGCCAAGCUCUUUUCAAUAUAUCAUUUAGCAUUUUAUUUAGAACAUCCAAUCCAAAUGGAGAAUCAGAAGUGGCAGAUUUGGAGGCACUAGGUAUUAAGCAAGUUGUUCAAGGACACACAAGGCUAGGAAAUGGCAGAAUCAAGAUCUGGGUCCAGCCCAUCCUGGCUCUGGGUACUAUACCAUCUUUCACCUUUAUGUCUUUAUACUAUACAGCUUCUAGCAGAGCACAGCAUUUUUAGAAGUACCAGGGAAAAGUUACAAAGAGGCAGCUGACAAUAGGCAAGAAAUUUCUCAGGGAGUUUAGGAAAGGCUUUCAUUCCCUUCCUACCCUGACCCUUUAGAGGACAAACAGAAUACAGUGUUUUCUAAAGAUAUUAUUUUGUUUUGCUUCUAUCACUGAUUGUAUUUAAUACAGUGAUUUACCCAUUUGCAAGGAUCUGGAAGAGAGAAAUGAUGUACUCAGCUCUGUAUUCCCCUCCAUAGCAUGGUGCCUGGUACACAGAAUACACGUGGAGUCAUGAAAUUGAAUUGGAGACUGACGAAGUUCACCUCAUGGCAGCAAUGGGGUUGUUAUCUUGGAACAAAAUGAGAUCUGCAUAGCUGCAAUUCUGCACUCAGUGCUCUCAGAGUCAGUUUCUUCUGGUGGUUGGGGAUUCCAACUUCCCUCUGCCCUUACCCACCGCCCCCCACCCCGCCCCAAAACCUGCUCUCCUCAGCCCUCAUUCUCAGCUCAGCAAUAUUUCUCUAAGUUGCGCUGCAUUAAGAUAGUCACUGGGUGUAUCCUUCCUCAACUCAGGGUCACUGACAGCACUUUCUUUCCCAGGAAGGGCCUACCUUUAAAACGCAUCUUUAGGGAAGAGAAAAUUCUAAGAACCCACUAUUUAAAGAAGAGUCAUAAAAUACUUACAUUCUAAAUACUGAGAGACACAUAGAAAUUACUUGUCUCAACAUGUGAUUUAGACCAAAGGCCAGUGAGGUAAAAGACUGAGGUUUAUGCAGAGCUAGAAAGUGAAUGCAGUUUUCUUGAUUCUUGGAUGUACACUUUUCUACUCCACUAUGUUAUUUCUGUUACAAUCAGAAAUAACAUGCUAUCAAAGUGAUUUGACAUUUGUGAAAACAACUUAUCUCAACCAGAAAGGACCAUUGUGAGGGCAUCUGACUGAUAGUCAUAAUUUUGAGAAAAGUUGAGGUGUAUGGAUUUCAACUACCCAAGUAAGGUUAAGUUACUGAAGUUUGGGAUCCUCCGGAGACAGGGUUUAUGAUUCCCUUCACUACACUAAUGGAAAAUAUUUUGUUACUUGUGGGACUGUUGGGGAGGAAAAAAAAUUCUCCUCUGCCCUUCAAGUUUCUUUUAACUUGUUGAAGAAUUAAAUUGGCACGAGACAGAUUAUUAAGAGAAAGUCAAACAGAAGUUUAGUAACAUGUAUACCUCUUGUAUGCAUGGGAGAGACCCAGGAAAACUGAGUAACUCCAUUGAUCAGAGUUUCUAGAUAUUUAGACUCAUCUCCCUCUUCUUAUUAUAGCAAGGGAGUUAUCAUUGCAAACGGAGAUUUCCCUUGUAAAUAUCUCUUACAAAAGGAUGACUUCUACUUGGUUUUCAGAGUUUCUUUCGUGUCUCUGUCUCUUAAAAAUAACCAGCUUAGAAUAAUCAGUAUGCCAAAGAGGGCUAUCUUCGAGUGGCAAAGUUUGCUCCCCUACAGGAUUAGGCCUGAACUAUCACUCACCAAACACCUACUAUGUGCCAGGAAUAGCACAAGGUUUCUUAAAAAUUACAUAAUCUAAUUUAAUCCUCACUACAACUCUGAAGGGGAGAUAUUAUUAUCCUACUUCUUCAAAUGAAGGAAUUAGGGCAUGUAGAAACUCAGUGACUGCCAAGGUCACACAAUUUAGUUACAGUCAAAUCCUAGAUUCCAUACCAGAGCCUCUAUGUACUUGGUCUGUGGGGCUUCUGUACCUUUCUUCGUGAGAAAUCUGAGAUUCUUAAUAACAGCACCUGCUGGCCUCAUUUUCAAAUCUUUAAACUUUCAAAGUUUUCAAGGUUACAGUAUAACUCCCUAGUCUCUUUCCCUAGAGGGUCUUGAUCUUGAUAACUGCAAGUUAAGGUUUGUUUGAAUAAUCCAUUAACGUAGAGAAAAUUACCUUCUCAUUAUGAAGUAUUCUGUGUCACUUUAAUACUAAUUACUCUAACAGUAUUUAUUGAGGAUUAAUGACUGAGCAAUAUUUUAUUAAUAACCAACAGGCAUUUAUUAUUGCAUAAAUAAUAAAUAGACAGAGUGCCUCAUUAAAUAUAAAUACAUUUUUUAUUUAGGCACCAUUGAAAGUGUUGCCAAAAUUUUUUGCAUUGAUUAAAAUUCUCAUUAAAAUGGUUGGCUAAUCUUGCCUUUGUGCCCCACCCCCACCCUCCAAAAGAGUCUCUGACAAUUCCUGCACAAUGGGUAGACUUUGGGAUUAUUCAUCAGCUUGUCAGGAGAAGCCCCUUUAACAAUGCACAGCUGCUAUGAAUUCUGGUUGCCAUGAGAACCUUAACUUUUUGCUCUCCUCUCACUUUGUUAUAUUUACAUUUGUAACCCUCAUCUGGUGUUGGGAGGUUCCUGCAUUUAAAAGCUUGAGUACUCUGUGAGUAACCCAUCUGAAAUCAUGGACUCAGAGGACUAGAAAAGCACUUUUGAAAUGAUGUUGCCUCUCAUUUAUAGCUAAAGAGGUAGAGAGAAAGGCAGUUGCUUGCUGCAUAUCACGCACAGUUACCAGCAAAGCAAGGACCAGUACCAGUCCCCUAAUCUGCAGUGUUCUUUCGCCUGUACCACCCUGCUCUGCUUCAGUACUAUUUCCAGGAAUUUGUGCCAGGGGUCUCAUCCAUCUGUCCCUCUCUUCUGAGUUCUUUCUUUUUCCCUCUUCUUCAUUUUUUAAUCAAAGAACAACCCAAAUGUCCCAAAGCUGCCUCACCUUGUUAACAGUUACAUUCAGAGUUUUCAGGCUGGAGCCCCUCCCUGGAAGAAUUGCAUCAACUUGGGGCUCCUGGGUGGCUCAAUUGGUUAAGCGUCUGGCUCUUAGUUUUGGCUCAAGUCAUGAUCUCACUGUUUGUGAGUUUGAGCCCCACAUUGGACUCUGCACUGACAGUGCGGAGCCUGCUUGGGAUUCUCUCUCUUUCCCUCUCUCUUUGCCCCUCCCCGACUCACGUCUUUGCUUCUUUCUCUCUCAAAAUAAAUAAAUAAACUUAAAGUUAAAAGAAUUUGCAUUACCUUUCAGAGUUAUCCUCACCCUAAGAAUCUCCAGGUGUGCCUAAACAGUGCUCACCUAUUCUUAUAAAACCAGACUGUCUGCUACACUCAUCAUAUCUGUCCCUCCUUCCUCUCCAGUUCUGACCCCUUUGUUGGAUGCCCUCCAGUCUUGAAAUCCUAUGAAGGAGCCUCUCUGAUGCUACCACAAAUAUGCCCAUCAUGCAAAGGGCAUGUCCAAGUAAAGUUGCUUACUCCCCAAGCUCCAGAGGUGCUGGUUCUAGAGAUGUGCAUAGGCCAGGUGUCUGUGAAGGAGCCAGGUCCUGCACUGCAAACCCUGCAGGGCUCUGUGCAUCUGGGCUUCACAACAGCUUAGCCUGUGUUCCAGCUCUUGUAGUCUCUCACUGGCACAACUGUUUCAGCUUCUGACCUCCCUGCUCUGCCCAGAAAUGAGCUCUAACCCAACUGAAAAUUCAGUAAGGGAGAGAUGCCAUCCUCAGCCUUUGUUGUCCUCCUCUUCACCCCAUAGUCUCUGGUCACAGAUUCCUUCCCCUUUCAAGGAAAAAAUAAGUCCUCAUGUGGUUAUCCAGAUAAGUGAAUGCCCAGAAGAGUCUUUAGCCCCUCACUUCUACAUACAGACUAUAUCAAUUUUAUCUCAGCUAGGACAUUGUGUUGUAUGUACACUUCAGUCCCUUUAUCCUGUACCUUUUGCGGCCAGAGUCCCCACAGCCUUAGCUGUUACUACUCUUAGUUCACACCUGGAAUUAGAGCAUGCCUCCUACUAGAGCAGGCUUACCUGUGUUCCCCAAGAGCUUUUGAUUUGUUUUAAGGGCAGAGGAUGCUUUGUUAUUUUGUUUUUAUUAGUGAAGUUCUGUAACUUUAGCACUUAGCACAGGGCCUGGUACAUAGUAGGAUAUCUGGUAACACUGGUUAAAUAGUAUUGAAUGAAUGACUAAAUGCCUAUUUCUACUGAGGUUAGGAUUGCAGGAACCAGUCCAGCCAAGCUUUCUUUGAUUUAGGAAUGGGCUAAGCCUUUGAAUAAAGGUCUAGUCCAAUUUCCAGCUUGAACCAGUACGAUGAGCUCUAAAACGUGACAUUUGCAUCUAUUUCACUAAGACUCUUUGCAUUACCUCUAACCGCCCCCACCCCCAAAUCCUGUAACAAUAGAAGCCCUCGUUCCACUAAAACUGUGUCAUUUCUUUAGCGUUUUGAGGGUUAGAAACUAGGACAAGACUAUCAGCCAAAUGCAGCGGGUACCAGUGUACUGGCUGUAUAUCUUAUCAGAUAUUCAAGAAUGCAGCAAGAAAUGUCACGGGGAGCUUUCGACAAAAAUAUUUAAUUAAUAGCAACAGCUACAGAAAUGAAUAAUAGCAUCCAAGCAAUUACAGUGUUCAAUAAAGCAGCUCUCUGAGGAUAGGGUGGCAGCAGAUUACUGACUGAUGGACUGCAUUUAAAUAUGUUAUCUGCUCAUUGGAAAGACCCCAUUGGGUCUCUCUCCUCCAGGACAUGGCCAACAGCAGUAGUAUUAUUGUAUCUUUUUUUCUUUCUUUUAAUAGAGUAACAAAUUGAAUUAUCUGGGAGAGUGGUCGGAGAUUUCUGACCCUCUCCGAAAUUUCCAUCAAUUCUUUCACCCUACCAACGACUAUUGGGAACAACUGGAAGGAUAGCUGAAAAGUACCCUAAAUACUGUGUUUCAGGGUAAGAGUACUCAUCAAGUGUUAACUGAGAAUCAGUGGGGAAACUUUUAAGGCUCCAGUCCUGGCUCUAUGACCUUGGAUAAGUUACCUCACUUCUGUAAACUUCAGGGUUUUUUGUUACUUGUGAAAAGGUGUCCUGAGGCUGACCUAGUAGUGUAAUGUGUGAUGAUGAAGUCAUACUCCUGGCAUAUGGAAAUAGUUCAGUACACGCCAGUGCCUCCUUUCCCAGGUAACUUCAUCAGAGCUUGGGAGUUAGAAUUUGAUUUCCUGGCUACUGAGGUAGGAUUACAGACCCAGCCGGAUUAAAUGGGAGGAAGGGCAGUCUAACAAAAAAACAAAGCAUCUAGAAAUCCAAUAAAACACCACCCCAGGGAUCUAAGUGGAGUCUAAAAAUCCCAUGUCAGAUUCAGAGUUGCAUUGUUGUAUGGUUAACACAAUGAUCAGGAUAUAUGUCCUACAAAGGAUGAAGCCAACACCAAUCAUUUUUUUUUCAAAUUUGCAUCCCAUAGAGCAGGCGGUUGUAGAAUGUCACUGUGAACUCGUAAUUGGUGUGAGUCCUAGAAAGUAGCUGGCUCCAUAAGAUUAUAAGGUCCUGCCUGUUGAUAUGAUUCAAAGCAGGACGUCAACACUUGAGAUGUGAAUUUCUCAAGGCAAGGACAUAAGCCCAGAGUGUCCAGAAACAGUCUUUGCACUAUAGCAUAUAUAUUUUUGUCUGUAGCAUCUGCUCAGCUGUGAGUUCUUUUCUAUUCAUUCAAUAAAUAUUGAAUGGGAAAAUUAUUGUAUGCCAAGCAAAAUACUAGGCACUAGGGAUACAGUGAUGAGUAAGUAAUGACCUAGCAGGAACAAGAGACCUUAAGCCAAAAGUUGCACAAAUAAUUAAUCGUGUCGUAAGAGCCAAGGAGGAAAAGUAAAGUACACUGGAGAGCAUAUAACAAGAUAAGGGCUGAGCCUUUAUCCAGAUCAGUCUCUUCCAUCUAAAAUAGUGACUUGUGUACAGUAAGUGCUUAGUGAGUUCUCACUGACAUGAAUUAAAUGGAACUAAACAAUGGCGCUCCCCCAUUGUCUAUAAGAAAGUAAGUAGUUCUCUCCCAUGGUAUUCUCUUAUACAUACAAUUCUGAAAGUUACUUGAGUGAUGACCUGAAUCAGAUUCUAAAUAAGGUAUUACAAAGAAGCAUGGAAGGGCUAGUAGAAAUGUAUACUCCAGUAGCAGGAAGAAGCAUCCAUCUGCUAUCAAUUUGACAGUAAAGGAAGCGACAGACUACAACAAGCAGACAUAGGACCUAUGAGCAUAGUAAGGUUGGGCCACUUGGUAUAUGUCAAACAUGCCUGCAUAGCCUGGUGAUGUCCCAGUGCUUCUCCCGGAAUACAGCAAUUCACAUUCAUGAUGAAAACCUACCAUGUUUAAACUAUCUCAAAGCACAUGGGAAUAAACACAGUAAGUUUGGUUCUGCUCCAGGCAUCAUUGCUUACCCUUCAUGUGUCUUGGUGUAAGACACUCAACCCCCCUGAACCUCAGUUUCUUCAUCUGUGGGAACAGACUUCCCAGUCAUAGCCAAGGGGUGGAGAGAUAAACGGAGUGGCAAAUGUGAAAGUGCUUGUACACAAGAAAACUUAAAUUACAUCUCUCCAUUCUAGAGCAUUCCUCUGAUCUUCGCAUUUGGACUUCCAUCUGCCUUAUGCCCAUUUCCACGUGGAUGUCUCCCAAGUAUCGCAUAUUAGCAUGUUAAAACUGAUUUCUGAGUUCUUGCCCACAUUGAGUUGUUACUCAGCCUUCCCACUCUAAUCUGCUUAAUUGCUUAAUGAUUUUUCCCUCUCCCUCUCCCCUACCCAAUCCACCAGCUAGUCCAAACCAUAUUCUUGAAUCUAUGGUAUUCCUCCCAUCUCCUUUGCCUCCACUUUGAUCCCAGUCACCUCGACUGCUCUCCUGGACCAUGGCAAUUGCACCCCAGGUGGUCCCUCUGUUUCACCUCUGGUAUUCCCCACACACUGUCUUCACAACAGCCAAGAUGAUCUUUCUAAAACAUCAGUCCAUUUACAUUAGUUCUCUGCUCAAAAACCUCCAAGAACUUCUCACUGUAUUUACAAGAAAAUCUAACUCCUUCCUAGAGUCUCUGAGGCCCUGUUCUGUGUUCACCUGGCCUUCUUUCUGCCUAAUCUCUGCUCCCUCCCUGUAUUCACCUGGCUCCAGCUGGGGGCCUCCCUACUGCUCCUGCAACCUGUGCACACUUACCUAUGCAGGGAUUCUGUACCAUCCCUGUGCUUUCUUCUGGGAUAGAUUAAGACAAGGAGUAGGAUGUUGUAUGGAAACCAAUUUGACAAUAAAUUUCAUAUAUAAAAAAAAAAAAAGACAAGCAGUAGGAGAAUCCAUUCAAAGAAACCUGUCCUAUCUUUGAAAAUUAUGAUUCUCCUCCUUAAGAAGGAAACUCUUCAGGGCAAGUCAUUAAACUCAUGCUGAGGGGCGCCUGGGUGGCGCAGUCGGUUAAGCGUCCGACUUCAGCCAGGUCACGAUCUCGCGGUCCGUGAGUUCGAGCCCCGCGUCGGGCUCUGUGCUGACUGCUCAGAGCCUGGAGCCUGUUUCCGAUUCUGUGUCUCCCUCUCUCUCUGCCCCUCCCCCGUUCAUGCUCUGUCUCUCUCUGUCCCAAAAAUAAAUAAACGUUGAAAAAAAAAAAAAUUUAAACUCAUGCUGAUUCUCACCACCUUCCUCUGGGCCAGAGUGAGAAGCACAGGGAGCAAAAUUUUCUCUUUGUUGUUCCUGGGAAGUUAAAUUAUACAUCUUACUUCAUCUUUAUCUUCACUGUCUAAAUUGGUUUUCAUUAUUUUUGUAUUCAUUUUUUAAUGAGUAUUUAUUUGGAAGUAUUACACAAAUAUCCAGAAAAGUGCACACAUCAUAUUUAUGGAAAUGGAUGAAUUGUCUCAAACGGACAUAUCAUUGUAGCCAGCACCCAGACUAAGAAGUAGAUCAUUCCCACUACUCCUGAAGCACUGUCCUGCCCUUGCCACUCAACUCUCCACCAAGCUAACCACAAUGCUAUCUAUCUUCUAACAGCAUGGAUUAAGUUUGCCUGUCUUUGAACUUUAUAUAUAUAUAUAAAUAUAUAUAUAUAUAAAUAUAUAAUUAUAUGGUAUAUACUCUUUCAUGUCUAGCAUUUUUCACUCAACAUUAUUGUAUUACUUUUAUAUUAAUAAAAUAAUAAUAAUAAUAAUAAUACAAAUUCUUUUCACUCUGUAAAAGGGACAGUGAUAAAGUUCAGGGAGCUUUGGCUGACUGCUCUAUAGAUACCCAUUCUACAUUGUGUAUCUUUGCUUCUCUACUCACAGGUCUCUCUGCCUGGCAUGCCCUUCUCAACUUUACCUUUUCAACUCUUGGGCCAUUACCUCCCCUAGUGAGCAUUCUCUGGCUUGUGGAGCCUGGUUCUGUGCCUCUAUUCUAUGGCCUCCCUCCCACAGCCCCUUGUACUUGUAUCCACUAUCAGAGCAUUGCUCACACUAUGGUAUCCUGACUGUUACAAGUCCAACUUGCCCACAAGGGGUGACUCAAGGGAAGGAUCCAUAUUUUAUUCUGUAUUCCCAGCACAAUGGCCAGGAAGGGUAUAUAUGGGUCAAUGGUUGUUGAACUUAACUCAUUGAAUUGCAAGAUAGCAAUGAUAUCUAUAAGACCAACUCAGGGGCCCCGGGUGGCUCAGUCGGUUAAGCGUCUGACUUCGGCUCAAGUCAUGAUCUCACAGUUCGUGGGUUCGAGCUCUGCGUCGGUCUCUGUGCUGACAGCUCAGAGCCUGGAGCCUGCUUCAGGGCCUGUGUCUCCCUCUCUGCUCCUCCCUGCCCACAGUCUCUCUCUGCCUCUCUCUGUCUCUCAAAAAUAAAUAAACAUUAAAAAAAUAUUAUAAGACCAACUCAAAUAUUGAAGUUGACUCAAAUCUUAGGUUCUUAGGAAAGUUACUAAUUGUCAAAACUUUAGAGCAUUAUUCAACACUUAUUGGAAGUAAGGCAAUGAUUCAGUAAUAGCUUCUGUUUUUAUUAAUUCCUCCCUGGCCAGCAGAACUGAAGAUGAAUGAAUUAGUAGUUCCAUGCAUUGCUAUUAUAUGUGUGUAUAUGCCAAAUACUGUGUUAGACAUAAGGAAGUUAGGGUAGAGUGAAGGAAAGGUAACAAAAUCUGCUUUACAGAGUUUUAAUAAAAAUUGAAUACAGGGGGCGCCUGAGUGGCUCAGUCGAUUAAGUGUCCAGCUUCAGCUCAGGUCAUGAUCUCACAGUUUGUGAGUUUGAGCCCCACGUCGGGCUCUGUGCUGACAGCUCGGAGCCUGGAGCCUGCUUCAGAUUCUGUCUCCUUCUCUCUCUGCCCCUCCCCUACUUGUGCUCUGUCUCUCUCUCUCAAAAAUAAAUAAAUGUAAAGAAAAAUAAUUAAAAAAAAAAAGAAUUGAAUACAGUGCCAUAUACAACACAGGGCUUGACCCCAGUAGACACUCUGCUGAUGCUACUUCUCUUCUUCUUCAACCCCUAGCAGCAGGUGUAUCCUGAAAAAGUGCUGUGAUCCUCAUGUCCAAAGAGGCUGUGGUGAGCCUUGGGCACAUAUCAAAGUACCCUCAACCCUAAUAGGUGGGUUGCACCUAAUGGGGUGCAAUUGCCAUGGUCCAUUCACCUAAGAAGGUGAAUAAUUGGCCUUCUCAUUCAUCUCUUGGAAAUUCCUUCCCCUUGGCUCCACUCUGUUUCUGUGCCCUUCCUCUAGGGCCCAAUCACUUCGGGUCCCACACUGCUGCCCUUUAUUUUUCAUACUGUCCACUGCCUUACCUCCUGCUGUCUGUCCUGACAUCAGCAUGGAUCUCUGGGGAAAGGCCUCAGGUCUUACGGACAGAACAUCAUUUCCUGCUCAGAAAGACCUGUGUUGGGACCAUUCCUCUGUUUUGUAAAGGCUGAGCGCCCUUCUAUGAAUGGAUUAACUUCUCUGAGUUCAUUUUUAAUGAACCUCAGGACAUCAUCCUCACAGGACUUUUGUCAGAAUGGAAACAUUGUCUGUGUCUAAGGCACUCAGAGAUGAACUGGGAAAGGACCUAACAAAUGGACAUUGUUAUGAUUCAGCAAAACUAAACAAAGGAGGACUUGGGUAGUGGUAAAAAGGAUGUUUUUUAUGAGGAAACAUGUGGGGUUGAAUUCUAUUUCCAUCAUCUACCAGUUACGCCAUCUUGGGCAAGUAACUUAUCCUCUCUAGGUCCAUCUUGUCGCGUUGUAAAAAUAAAUGAGAUGACAUAUUGUGUAGUAAGAGUUUAAAAAGCAUUGUUAUCAUAUCAGUGCCAUCAUUAUUUUAGACUCACAUGAAGUCCCAGUUUACCAUCACUCUUAGACGCCAGCUGCUGGGAGCUGAUGAGACCCCUCUGCUGUCUGACUAGCUCCUCAUUUCUAGUGUGGUCUCCUUCCUUCUGCAUCUUCUCACUGAUGAGUUCCCAUGGUGUAUUGCAGCUUGGAUUGGCUGAAUUAUGACAAUCAGGGUUGCAAAUGACAAAUACAGGUCCUGUCACAUCCCGGAGAAACGAUGCAUCGUUUGUCUAGUUCUUUCCAAUACUUUGAAUUUUCAGGGCAACGAAAGUAGAGGAGGAGGGUAUAAAUGAUAAUGCAAAGUUACAGAAAUUAAUGAGGUAAUGGGUGAGCACAUUUCCAUUCAAAUGAGCUGGGGUCAUGUUCCUGAGAAGGAACAACAAAGAGGAAUAGCCAAUUGAACAAGCUCAAAGUAGAAAUCAAGCAAACAGGCUGAAUAAAUCAAUGUCCGGUUGAGUCUUAUUUGUGGCAAUUACUUCCCUGAGCCUCUAGUCCCCGGUGCCCCAUGUGUGGGCUACAGAUGCUCAUUUAGCAGCCCCAAGGUUGACAUCUUAAUGUUUUCCUUCCCACGUUAAAAAUGGAUAUCUGCUUCGGAAUUCAUAUAUGUCAUUAGUGGUUCCAUCAAAUCCUUUCCAUUCAAAGACACAGACAAGGAAGAAAGACGGAGAUGAGGGUGUCCUGGUGUGGCAGAAGGGCAACUUCCCUGGGAGUUUUGACAUUUGGUAUGUAAUCCUGCCUUCACCCUUUGCUAGCUAGGUGACUAAGGUCAGGAUACUCUACUUGCCUGAGUUAAAAGAAAAAUAAGUUUGAGCAUCCCUUGUUCAUUUGUUCUUUCUGUCUUUUGUAUGUCCUAUGGUUAUUAAAGUACUUCCUGUUAAUCAUUUAGUGAGUAAGUCAUGUUGGGGCACCUGAGUGGCUCAGUCAGUUAAGCACCCAACUCUCAAUAUCAGCUCGGGUUGUGAUCUCAUGGUCAAGAGACUGAGCCCUGCAUCGGGCUCUGUGCUGAGCACAGAGCCUGCUUGGGAUUCUUCCUCCCUCUCUCUGACCUACCCCUGCUUGCAUUCUCUCUCUCUCUCUCUCUCUCUCUCUCUCUCAAUAAACAAACAAACAUUAAAAUAACAAAAUAAAACUCAACUCAUGUUGGGAGGUACCACCAGGGUUCAGGGGAUGUAGUGAGAGGAGGGCUAACAGAGCAGCUACAUGUGAAGCACUGCUACUUACGUUUUCCCACUUAACUUUCGUGUCUACUCUAUGAGGUAUUAGCAUCAUUAUCCCAUGUCUCUAUUAGUGGAAACUGGGGCACAGAGAAUUGAAGUAACUUGCCUAAGGUCCCAUAGCUAGUAAGUGGCAGAGUUCAAGUUGGAUGACUCUAGAGCCUGUGUUCUCCUCACAGAGGGGCAGCCUGGAGGUUUCAGAUGACUUCUAAGAUGUUUCUUUUAGCUGAGAAAAUGGGUCUCUUGAGAGGUGUGGUGAAAGAAAGGCCCAGUCCUGAGGCUGUCAAGGUGUCUGCUUCUCAGCUGCUCUCAGCAGAAGCCAAUGUUGGGAAUAGCUGGGGAUUCUAGAAUGAUAUUCGUAUUGAUUGAGCUUGGUGAAGAGGCUCCGGGGUACUUUGGCUGUUAAGCAAUUGGGAGUCUCAGAACACUGGCUACCUUAGGCCCCCAACUCCAUCUCAGUCUUCCCAUACCCUCCUAAUGUUUCCACUAGGAAACUUGUGGACUCUAACAACCAAACAGGCACUGUGCUGUGCUUGUAUUACAAUCACAGGGGCCAAUAGACCCAGGGAUUCCACCUCAGUAGAGCCCAGCAUGACUCCUGGGGAAAAUGAGUCUCAGUGACAGGAACUGUCCUAGCUCAGUGUGAGGGAUCAUCUCUCAAAGGGAAGGAACUCAAGUUUUUUUUAAUAUCUAUUAUGUGUCUUGAAUAUCUACUAUGUGCCAGGAAUUUUACACACAUGGUUGGUCAUCUGAAGCCCUCAAAUCCUCUACCGGAGAUGCAUUUCAUUUUCCCCUGAGAUGCAUUUUAACUUAUUUUUCCCUACCUUAAGUAUCUUUUUUCUUAAGGUACUUAUCACACUCUUGCCUGUAUAGUUCAUUCUUUCAUUCAUUCACUCAAAUGAGGAAAUGAAGUCCAGAGUGGUUAACUGACUUGUCCAGGAUGACACAACCAUUGAGCAAGUAAAGAUUCAGAAAAGGAACCCAGGUCCCUGAUAUUGUAAAUGCUCUCUUCUCCACUUUGGCACCUCAUCUCUCAUAAAGUAACCUCGGGGCCCUUCUUCCUUGGAGAGCUCUGCAUGGAUGGGAAAAGCCUUUAGUUUUCUCACCACCCUGCCUGCAAAGCUGCAAUGGACCAAUCACCUCGUGCUUGUGUUCUUGAUCCUUUCCAGGGCAUCUUCCUUUUUAAUGCAGUGAGUCUCUCCUGGGUGAGGCUGGACUUGUAAGUACUCACCUGGACCCAAGCUCUGUGGGACAACCCAACUGUCAGUAUUCUCUCAUAUUAGCUACUUAAUUGCAACCUCAGGAAGGAAAGGAUGAGCGAAUGCUACCUGCCAGAUGCUCCAGGCGUGCGUUUGCCUCCCAAGUAUACUCCUCAUCUUUGCUGCCUUUUUUUUUCUUCCCUAUUAGUAACCUCAGUGUUUUUCCUCACAGAAAUCACUCUGCUUUGGAGGGGACACUUCACAGCACUCCCCACUCCCUCCCCUAGCUCCUUCACUAGCAAAUUAAAACUUCUCUCAGCACCAGCAGAGGCAGGCAGGCAUCUUAUAUAAAUGGUAAUUAGUGCAGCCUCACUGAAGACCUGCUGGGAAAGAUGAAGGCAUCUUUUUUCCUGAGCUGAACACCCUUUGCAUUUUUUUGGACCUCUCUUAAGGUACUUAUCACACUCUUCCUUGGAUGGUUCAUUUGUUCGUUCGUUCAUUCAUUCAUUCAUUCGGAAAGUUUCCGUAGUGAUGUGGGAGGAGCAUCUGCCCUGACGUCAGACAUACCUCACUUUAAAUCUUGGGGUUUUCAGCUCUGCUGUUGGACAGAUCAUUUCCUCUAGACAAUAGACUUUAUCUUUAUGAGCCCUGGCUUCCUCAUUUCUAGGACCAGGAAACCCUCAUAGCAUUGUGGUGGGGUUGAAUGAGAUGUCAGUGAACUGCAGUACAUAAAAGGUAAAACAAAAUAACAAAAAAAACUCGCAUAACUGUGAAUUAUCAUUAUAGAAAAGAGAAUCUGUGUGGCUGGGCAGAACUGUCUCCUGGAGGGAGUGAUGCUGGGCAGAGAGCUGAAUUUCCCAUUACCCGAAGAGCACCCUAUAAAGGGAGCUGACUUGCUCUGUGUAGUUCCAGAGGGAGAACCAUAGCCAACUGAUGAAAGUUCCAGAAAGACCAGUAUUAGUUAUAUUUACCACAAAAAAGUUAUGACAACUAGAGCUACCCCAAAAAGGCAAUAUUGGACACUUAGCAUGUGGGAUCUAGAUGGAGUUAGAAAACCUAACGUGGAAUCUCUGCCUACUCCUUAUAAGCUGAAUAGGCUUGAACAAUUUAUUUAAACUCUCUGGUUCUCGGUGUCCUUAUUUAUGAGUUAGAGAUAAUAAUAACUAUCUCAUGGCUUUGGGGGGACAUAGAAAUCCCAGUGGCUAGCGCGUAGUAAAUAUUCAAUAAAAUGGCUGUUAAUUACAAUGUGAAUAAUAAUAAGAGCUGCUAAAGGCCUUCUGAGGUGGUAAGCUCCCCGUGGAGAGCCAUGAAGGUGACAGGACAUGGAGUUGGAGUCAGAUUCAGGAGAGGUCUUUGGGAGACAGUGCUCUGAUGAAAUUAAAAAGCAGGAAGCCUCCUGGUCUGUGUCACAAAUAGGAACCUUCAGAACUUGGGUGUCUCACCUCUGUGGGGCCCAUUCCAUACUAGAGGAGAAGGUGAAGCAGCAGAGAAAUUGUGGUGCUUUGUCAGGGAGACUGGAGAGAAGAUAGGGUGUCAUCAAGGCUGGGCUGUUCCUUCCCUUCCCAGCUCUUGCGGCCCCCAGGCUGCAGGGAGACUGAGCAACAAUCAUAGUGCAGCUCAGAAAUUCUGUACUAUCUCUUUUAUUUAUUUAUUUAUUUAUUUAUUUAUUUAUUUAUUUAUUUAUUCAUUCAUUCAUUCAUUCAUUUUUUAUUUAUUAAAAUUUGUUUAAUGUUUAUUUAUUUUUGAGAGAGAGAGAGAGAGAGAGAAUAAGCGGGAGAUGGCAGAGGGGGAAGGAGACACAGAAUCUGAAGCAGGGCUCUAUGCUCUGAGCUGUCAGCACAGAGCCCGAUGUGGGGCUUGAACUCAUGAACUAUGAGAUCAUGCCCUGAGCCAGAGUCAGAGGCUCAACAGACUGAGCCACCCAGGCGCCCCUGUACUGUCUCUCUUUCAAGUGGGAAGGGCACUUCCUGGGAAUAUGUAUGACCAACUGUGUGUCAGUACCAACAAGUUGGGUAAUCUCUGAGCCUCAGUGUCUUCAUAUAUAAAAAGAAGGGAUAAUAAUACCUACUGUAUAGAUUUAUUAUGAUAAAGCAUGAUGAUGGAUGGGGAGCCCCUUGUGCAGUCUCUGAUACAUGGCUUGAUCGAUUAUGUUAUUCCCACCCUUUCUGAGUACACUUAGAACUCCUGGGUCACGGACAACAUUUGUCUCUGUGCUUGUGCAGUGCACUAAGAGCCCUGGCCACACAUCUUUCCAAUCCCUCCCACCCCGCACAUUUGGUCAGCGGAUAACUCUGUCUAGGAAACUUGGGUUCCUUCCUCCUCCAAAGCCUAACAAGUCCCAAUGUGGCUAAUACAGCCAAUAUUUCCCUUGUUUUCUUUUUUGAGGGUCUACUAUGGGUAAGGAAACAUGCUAGAAACCAUAUUUUUUUUUCUCAUUGAAUCCUCACCUCAGCCAUUCAUUUACGCAUGCUUUUGAUUUUAUCAGUUUCUGUUUAGUACACUUAUUAAGCAUGUAUUUUGUUCCAGGCACAGUGGUACGUAGUAGAAUACAGAAGGAAUGCCAUUAGUAAAAGAAUUCAACUAGUAAAACUAAUACAAAAAUUGUAAUGUGGAUGUCAUUAUUUCUAUGUUACAGAUGCAGAAACAAAGGUUUAGAGAGUUAUGAAGAUACUAAAGCAGGUUUUCAGUCCAAUUUCUGCUAUACCUCCUUUAACCCUGCCCUGAAAGCUGUAGUUCCAAAGCCCCUUUGCUGAACUGUAUGCUUUCCAAGUGGGACAAUUGUAUUUGGGAAGAAAAGGAAGGGAAGGGCGGAGAUAGCAGAGAAAUGCAAUUGAACUGACUUACAGACCCUUUUAAGCAACUGACCUUCAUGUUUUUUAUGAAACCUGUUGAACUAAUAGUAUUUUGGGGUGCCCAAAUUAUUAACAUGUAGUUGGGAAAUGUGUUUCUCAAAUGCAAAAUAAAAGCAGCUUGCCUCCAAACUCUUAAGAUCUCAUUAAAUGAGCUAAUUCACCUACUGCUUAAUUUGCUGGAAGCCCUAUGAGUAAUUAGGCUGCUGACAUCUUCCAAAAUUAUAUUCUUAAUUGUUGCAUUCUUUUGCAUCACAAUGAAGCUGCCCAGCCUUCCUCCUAGAGUGCCUUCCUCUUCUGCCCACCACAGCUCCUUGGUGAAAAAAAGAGUGAGUUUUGAAGUUAGCACACUUAUCAUCAUGAACAUAAUUAGGAGGAAAUAUUAAUUAGAAAGACCACCCUGGAGAUCCAACAGAAUAUUUGAAGCAAUGGGUUUGGUCGUUUCUUCCUUCCUUUCCUUUCCUUUCCUUUCCUUUCCUUUCCUUUCCUUUCCUUUCUUUCUUUCCUUUCAUCUUUCCUUUCUUUUUUUCCUAAGGCUAGUCCUGAGCCCUGAAAUCCUGCAGCUGUUAUUUGCCAAGGCAAGCUUCUAUUUCUUGAUAUUGUUUGCAACAAUUUAUAAGUGCUUACAGGAGAGAUGCUGCCUUGCUUUGGCUUGUAACCCACAACACAAUAUUUCACUCUUGAGAUGUUGCAUCCAUUUGUCAUAGUAAAUGCGUGUGUGUGUGUGUGUGUGUGUGCGCGUGCGCGCGCACGUCUGUGUGUGUUUUACACUCUAGGAAAGAGCAGCAUCUUCCUUACAUAAAUAACACUGUUCUGGGGAAAACGUAUGCUGAGCCAUUUCCCAGAGAGCCACUGCAGAAACAUUUUGGGCUCACUGUAGAUAGACUCUCUAAUUGCUUUGAAUUUACUUUAGUACUUGACUGGGGAUUGCUUUGAGGUGAUUAUGAAAGAAUAAGGAUGCUUCUGCAAGGAGAAUUUAGAAAGAAAGCGCUUAAGAGACUUUCUGUUUUCAAGUUUCUGGGUGAGUGAGCUGGAGCCUCCAGUUGCUCCCAUAUGACAGUGCCGGCCCUUUCACCAGAACAGUGGGGCUGGGGUCCUCCUCAGUGACUCUUAUUUUGGUAUGACAAGUCCAACUAUGCCCUCACUGCCUUGCUCUUUCAUUGCCUGGGAACCUCUGAUGCUCUUGCUUCCUGGCAGCUGGAGAGCUGUUUAGCAUUCCUGUUUGUACUGUGCCCAGGCUAUGUUCCCUUCUGCUGUGCCCAAUGAGCUCAUUGGCUGCCUGGAAUUCCCAUCAUUCAAUGCCUAGAAUGUGCUGGCCAGAUUCCGCCCCCACCAGUCUUUCAGUGUGGCUUUGACUAAGGAGAAUGCUCCUAUGUUUGAGAAGAGACUCUUUCUGGUUCUCACUUCGCAUCAUGCUUUCUGUGUGGGCUUGAACAAGUCAUUUAAGCCCUCGGGGUUUCUGUUUUUAUUUAAUAUGUUAAAGGUCAAGGCUUCUCUCAGCUACAAAUUGUAGGGAAUGUGUGUGUGUUGGGUGUCAGAAAUCCAACUCAAGAGAGAUUGAACAUUUAUCUCUCUCCGUAUUUUGCCUUCCUAAGGAAGAAAAACCAAUGACCUAAUUGAGUAAUGAGAAUGGGCGAGAGCCUUCAGCGUGCACUAUAGGAUCAGGGAUUUGGAUUCAAACAGGCCUGACUGCAAGCCAGCUCUACAACUUAAGAGUUCUGUGACCUUGGAUCCCCUCCCCUAUCAGAACCACUUCCUUUUUGCAGGGCAGGACCAUACCUACCUCAGGCCCAUCUGUGGAAAUGAAAUCAGAAAAUGUUGGUAAAAGUUAGGAACACAGUGCCUGGCAUAUACAAGGAUCUCAAGAAAGGUUAAUUCCUAUCCCGUACUCUAUCCCAUCCUCCUUGAGAAAGGAUGUGUCAGAAUUGAAGUCCCGAAACGGAAACUAAAAUCAGUAACCAGUAGCAUAAGGCGAUGGGUAUAAAGAGAAAAUGGGAAGCCAUCUGCUUUACUGAUGGCAGAGGAUUUUGCUUCUCAAAGGCAGCUUUGUGAAGACGAGGUACAUACCUUCUUUUCUUAUCUGCAGCAGGAUUUCUUGAAGAUACUAAACCCAUGGGGCACCUGGCUGGCUCAGUCAGAAGUGCAUGCAGCUCUUGAUCCUGGGGUUGUAAGUUUGAGCCUCAUCUUGGGUGUAGAGACUACUUAAAAGCAAAUCUUUUAGGGGUGCCUUUUAGGGUGACUCAGUCGAUUAAGCAUCUGACUUUGGCUCAAGUCAUGAUCUUGUAGUCCCUGAGUUCAAGUCCCAUGUCAGGCUCUGUGCUGACAGCUCAGAGCUUAGAGCCUGCUUUAGUCUCCCUCUCUCUCUGCCCCUCCCCAACUUGCUCUCUCUCUCUCUCUCUCAAAAAUAAACAUGAAAAAAUUAAAGUAAAGAAAAUCUUUUAAAAAAACAAAACAAAAAAGAUACUGAAACCACAACAAAAAUACUAAUACUAACUACUGCUUACUGAGUCAGUGAUACAUAUGGACUAACUCCAAUCCUGACACCAGCUUGGGGUUGCAUUUAUAAUGAACCAGAUACAAAGUCAGAUAUCUAAGAGGCAACAGAGUUUGGACUUGAAUAGUUUGAUUCUAAAUCUACUACUCCUGUUCAACUUGUGUCAAAUAGAGUCUAGCAGAAUACAGUGGUUAUUUAAAGUAAACCCCAUAGUUGGUCCUUGUGAUUUUAAUAAGAGUGCUUUAUCUAAAACAGGUUCUGGUCUAUAUGGCAAUUCACCUUUGUAUCCCCCGUCGUAUGGUGCAUGGUAACUGCCCACUUAAGUGCUGAAUAAGUAAAUGAACAAAGGGUUAACUCAGGUCGCCUGGAUGACUCAGUUAUUUAAGACUGACUCUUGAUUUUGGUUCAGGUCAUGAUUCUUGAGAUCAAGCUCUGCAUUUGACAGGCCUGCCAUCAGCUCAGAGCCUGCUUGGGAUUCUCUUUCUCCCUCUCUCUUUGCCCCUCCCCUUUUUGUCUCUCUCUUGCCCUCAAAAUAAAUUAAUAAACUUUUUUUUCUUUUUAAAGAAAAGGUUAGCUCUAACUUAAAUUGGCCAUCUGGUUAAACCCACACCUUACCUUAGGAAAGAGCCAAACUGUAUGUCCCGAAAUGAACUUUCUUAUUACCUGGAAGCACUCCUGGCAGGUGGAACACAGUGCUAUCAUCCAGGGCUCAGGGACAAGAAAUGAAUGCUGAUUUCCUGUCGCAGAAGGAAGAGCAUUUUCCAUAAACCACAAUUAAUUUUGGGGAUUGGAUUUUGACUUGAAUGCCAGUGUUAGCUCUCACAGAGGAGCACGAGAGAACUUUCAAAGGACAGAUGGUAGAACUUGAACCUCACCUUCUUCUGUGCUCAGAUCUCAUGCACCCAUGGUAACCAACAUGAAGUUAACAGUGUCCUUUCUCUGUGGACCAGUAUUCCUAUCACCAAAAGCCUGUUGAUAGUUGAUGCAAAUGUGCUGUGUGGUUAGCUUGUCCACAGCCUAGUGACAGAAUGGGCUCUCAGAGCUACUUACUUUUCUUGCCAACCAGUUUGAACAUUUUAUUUAUUUAUUUUUUAAAUUUUUUUAAUGUUUAUUUAUUUUUGAGAGAGAAGGAGACAGAGUGUGAGCAGGUGAGAGUCAGAGAGAGAGGGAGACACAGAAUCGAAGCAGGCUCCAGGCUCUGAGCUGUCAGCAUAGAGCCCGACACAGGGCUUGAACUCACAAACUGUGAGAUCAUGACCUGAGCCGAAGUUGGACACUUAACCAACUGAGCCACCCAGAUGCCCCUUGAACAUUUUAAAAUAAAGAAGGAAAUUAAGUGAUGCAAGAGAGAGGAAACUAAUAUUUAUUGAACAGUAUUCUGUUUUAGGCAGCAUUCUGGGCAUCUUUUGUAAAAUAAAUAUGUAAUAUUUACCAAAAAUCCAUGACAAAUACUAUCCCCAUUUUACAGAUGAGGACAAUACUGCCUACUCAAUCAACAAGCUCAUUUGCUCAGUGUUGAAUUUAUGUUAGGAGACAAAAGAGAUGAAAGGAAAUUAUAAUGUGAUUUUGUCAUGUUUCUCAGGGUAUCUAUAAUACUGUUUGGACAAGGAUAGGCACCCACGGGCAAAAAAUAUAUAUAAAGCCAAGAUAUUGAAGAAUUAUAACCUCUUACAUGUAUGUACAUAGUCUUUUCACUGAACUAUGAUAUUACUCAUGUUAAGUACAUAUUCUUCCAGCAGUUUUCUAAGAUUAAAAAUAUGUUAUUGGAUUAUUAUUAUACCCAGAAUUUAGAAUCCUGCUUUUUCACUGGUCAUUAAUUCAUUUUCCAUAUUAUUAAUUCAAACUCUGUAAACAUAGUGCUUAAUAACGGCAUAAUAUUCUAAGCAGUGGCUGUCUCUUCUAAUUAUUUCCUCCUCCCUUUCCCCCUCUUCUUUCUUCUCAUCCUCCUUCACCACUACCCCUCCUUCUCCUUCACCACUACCCCCUCUUCCUUUACCACUACCCCCUCCCCCUUCACCACUACCCCUCCUCCUCCUUCACCACUACCCCUCCUCCUCCUUCACCACUAUCCCUCCUCCUCCUUCACCACUAACCCCUCCUCCUCCUUCACCACUACCCCUCCUCCUCCUUCUCCAAUGACAACUUCGACUAUACUACUACUCGUACUGCUUCUUCUCUGUAACUCAUCUUUAUUAAGAACUUGAAAUGUGUCAGACUCUGAGUUAAAUUCUUUUCUUAAAAUCUUAUUCAAUCCUCAGAGUAACUCUAUGAAGUCAGUUCCGCUAAUAUCCCUUUGUAGAAAAGAGUACAGAGAUGAGGCAACUAAUGCACAGAAAGGUUAGAUAACUGACUUAAGUAACACAACUAUUCAGAGAUAGAGCUAGUAUUUCGUGGGGCUUUCUUUCUUUCUUUCUUUCUUUCUUUCUUUCUUUCUUUCUGAUUCUGGAACUCCAGUUCAUAAUCACUACCAUUUACUUGUGUGCUAUGUGUAGUUACUUUUGAUAAAUUUCUUUAAAAAGAUUUGCAGAAAAGGCCUGAGCAAGUAAAAGCACAUGAAUAUUUUCAGACUCUUAAUACAUACUGCCAAAUUGCUUUCCAAAAGUUCUAUCCAGUUACAUUGCUGAAAGCAAUGUGUGAGAGUGUCCAUUUUAUCACUCAUUUGUCAGAAAUGAAAAGGGAAACAAAAGAAGUGAAUGACCCUUUAUGACUAACAAUUUCAGGCAUGCACAGUAUCUGAGAGUUCUGGGACUCCUCGUUAUUAUGGGUCCAAAAGUGUCUUGAGGAAGGUAGACAGAAGUAGCAUCAGAUGGAGGCCAAGGAAGUGUGUUAGAAUAUUUGGAAUUGAGACCAAUCUCUACCAUUUACUAACUGUUGGCUCUACGAUUUUAGUCUUCUGAUUGCUAAUUUAUUUCAUUUUUUGCAAUUGUGGAGGGGGGUCAUGGGUAGAGUGGAGAUAGGCUUUAGAAAAGCAAGUGUUGUUCAGCUGAGUUAGGGGUAGGAUUUGAGUUGUGAAGAGGUAACAGAAGGGCAUUUGGGGUAAAAAGUGACUCCUGAACCUUGGCUUGGUGUCCAGAGCUUAUUCUGGGAACAAUGCAAACAAUGAAUACUCACAGCAUGGAGCAGUGGCUAGAGUUGGGGUUGACACAGCCAGCUUGGGCAGAACCUUGAGAGCCUUAAUUAUCAUCCCAAAGAGUUCAUCUAUAAAGAGAUUCAAUCAAACUUGGCUCCUGCUCUUGCUUUGAUGGGAGUGGCUUGAUCAGAUUUGUAGUUUUAGGAGACAGCUCUGAGUAAACUGGAAUCGACACUGGGCAGAGAUGCACUAGUCAGAUAAGGCUGAAAUAGUAUAAGCAAGAUAUGAAUACAUCUUAAGUUUUAGUUCCAAAAAUAGAGUGACUGUAGCUGUAAUAGAAGUAUAUACAUUUUGGGGGGAUCCCAGCAAAGUGAUUAACCAAUUUCUACCCACAAUAGGGGUUAAGGGAAAAGGUUUGGAGAAUUAAACGUAUCCAGAAAUGAAUGUAUACAACCACUCUAUAAGGAGAGAAAUCUUAUCUCCAUUUCACAGAUGAGUAAAAUGAGAGUUAAGUCAGUCAAUCAACCUACUCAACAUUAUGAAGAUAGAAAGUGAAAAUGUUGCAAUUAAAGCCAAGUGUGUCAGACCCAAAUCCCAUGCCACUCUGCUACCUGUCAAGACAUCCUAGAGGAGAUGGCCUUUCAGCUGAGCCUUGAGGAAGACACAGCCUUUCUCCAAGUGGACAAUGAUGGAUGAAAAGAAUUCCAAGCAGAGAAAAUAGCCUGAGCCAAGGCAUUGUGUAAUCAGUUGGUGGUCCCUUUAAAAAUGUGCAAAUCUGCUUUCAGAGAUAAGUAUACACUGGAUUAAUACUCAGUUGCUAAGUUGAGUGCUUACUAUGUACCUCAUCCUAUUCUUAGUACCCAAUACUUAAUGAAUCUUUUAGUCUUGCCUGUAGCUUACAUGUAGGUACUGUUUAUCAUGCCCACUUUAUAAAGAUGAUCAAACUGAAGGCACAAAGGCGUUAAGUGAAUUGCCCAAAUCCACACAGCUAGUAAGUGGCAAAGCCAGCCUGUCAUCUAAGAUGUUCUGGUUCCAAGGCUCUUAAGCACUUAGCAUGUAGUCUUUUAUGUAUAGCAGAGAGGCUAGGAGCCAUUCUUCCUGCACCAAAGUGGAAGGAAACGUAGUCAAUCUACUUUUUUUUUCUUUCCCUGAAGAGGACAUGAAUGUCUUUGAUGAGGGCAGAGAUCAACCACGGUGGCCUAGAUAGCACGAUCUUUUUUUAAUGAAUGAGAUGAUGAUGAUGACAGUUACCAUUUCCAGAACUUUGCUGUUGAUCAGGCACUGUGUGGGAUGCCCUAUAGCUCUCUCCUGUGCAGACCCCACUGGGUAGGAGAGGGUUGCUGCACCAGGAGAAUAAUGACUGGCUGGGGCAUAAGACAUCGGUGUGGAAAUGGAGGAGAGUGAAGCAUUGUAAACCUUACUGAAGGAUGAAAGCAUGCUUUAUCUUUAGGGCAGGAAGGGUUUUGAAGCCAGUGACUGAUGAAAUUGUGUUGACAGUUACAAACUCCGCGUCUGGUGAUCGUUUGGGUGGGGAAAUGUAAACCGAUUUAGGGAGUAGUAGGAAACUACAGGCAGCUGAGUGGGGUAAUCCUGAUGACCUGGUAUGGACGUAGACCAGCGCAGAGGCAGCAGGAAUGGAGAGAAGGGGAUGAACUCAAGAAUAAAUAGGGGCGCCUGGGUGGCGCAGUUGGUUGAGUGUCCAACUUCAGCCAGGUCGCGAUCUCGCGGUCCGUGAGUUCGAGCCCCGCGUCAGGCUCUGGGCUGAUGGCUCGGAGCCUGGAGCCUGUUUCCGAUUCUGUGUCUCCCCUUCUCUCUGCCCCUCCCCGUUCAUGCUCUGUCUCUCUCUGUCCCAAAAAUAAAUAAACGUUGAAAAAAAAAAAAAAAAAACAAAAAAACAAAAAAAACGUUGAAAAAAAGAAUAAAUAGGUACAAUAGGACUUAGUGUCAAACUGCAUGUGAAGAGUGAAGGAAAGAGAUGCUUGAGAUUGCACCCACUUUCCAGCUAUCUUAUUUUCCUGGAAUUCACAGAUUACUUAUUUCCUUGCUUCAUUGGAUAACUAUAUUUCUUUUUUUUUUUUUUUAAUUUUUUUUUUCAACGUUUAUUUAUUUUUGGGACAGAGAGAGACAGAGCAUGAACGGGGGAGGGGCAGAGAGAGAGGGAGACACAGAAUCGGAAACAGGCUCCAGGCUCUGAGCCAUCAGCCCAGAGCCCGACGCGGGGCUCGAACUCACGGACCGCGAGAUCGUGACCUGGCUGAAGUCGGACGCUUAACCGACUGCGCCACCCAGGCGCCCCUGGAUAACUAUAUUUCUAUAGAGAAAGUGUAUCUAGUGUUGGGGCCAGAAGCAAUACACUUGUUUUCUUUUCCUGUGCAGAGAAAACUAAAAGUGUCACUUAGUGAUAUGCACGAGUAAUAAAAAUCCAGAUUCCCCUCUCCCCUCCCUGCUUAAGGAGAAAAAUUAUUUUGCUCAUAACUUUGAUGAGCUUGAUGAAUGUUCGGAUAUCAUCCCAAGCUUGCAAACCACCCAGGCGCUGGGGAAAUUAUUAAUAUUUUACUGGUGGACUUGGUUGAGCAAACACAAUAAAAGGACUCGGUGUCAUUGCAUGCUGGAAAAGCAGAUGGCAGUCGGAAGCAAAGCUGCAUCCGGCAGUUUGAAAUUUCAAAUUACAUCAAUUUGAAGCUUUGCUUGUGCCUCAGGCAAGAUUUCCCCUCAAAUGAAGGAGACAGGAGAGGCGAACCCUUUAUUCCUGGGUUGUUUGGCAGUGGCUGCUGAGGGACGCCCUGCUUUCUGUGAUGCUGGGUGGCCAGAGAACCGGAAGGGAAAUGGCCUACUUCUGUCCCAACUUCUAGAGUGUGAUGGGGGAAGUCUCUGGUUCUCUAGUAUCUCAUCACCCCAGUACACAUGGACUGAAGCUGCUAGUCUCUGGGUGACAAGGGCCUCCAUCUGGAGAGCUUCAUGCUCUCAGACUUGGCCUUGCCAACAAGUGACACCAAGUUGUUCGUAUCAGGCAUUCAAUGGGUAGUGACCCAACUGGAGCAAAAGUCCACAAUGUUGGCAGCACUGUAGUUCUCAGAGCUAUUAUUGGCUAUUAUUAGUAGAUAAGAAUAAAACAGCAGGUGUCUUUGGAGUCCUUAAGCUCAUCAAAAGUACAUUAUAGUGCCAGAUUGCUUGACUUUUACUCCUUUGGUCCCUUAAUUUCCCUCCCUGCUCCGGAAGCCAGCAAUGUCAAUUCAUCUAGACCAGUGGUUCUCAACCCUGGAAGUACAUCAUAGUCAUCUGUGGGGCUUUACAAUAAUACUUUUUAGGGAGCCUGCAUAGUUCAGUCAGUUAGGCAUCUGACUCUUGAUUCCCGCUCAGGCCAUCAUCUCAUGGUUCAUGGGAUUGAGCCCUGCAUCAGGCUCUGAGCUGAGAGUGUGGAACCUGCUUGGGAUUCUCUCUCUCUCUCUCUCUCUCCUCUCUGCCCUCCCCCACUCACACACUCUCUCUCAAAAUAAAUAAAUUUAAAAAGAUAAUACUUUUCAUCAGGCCUCACCCCUCAGUGUUAUGAGUCUGGGGUGAUAUUCUGUUAUAUUCUUAGGGACCAAUGCAGUGCCUGACACAUGAUAAGCAUCUAAGUUUACCUGUUGAAUGAACAAAUAAACUGAGCAACCUGUAGUUCUCUAUUCAAACCAUAUACUCUAGUUCUAUAUUCUUGCACAUUCUAUUCCUUUGGCCUCAAACACACUUCCCCUUUUCAUCGCCUCCUUCCAACCUAAUUAACUUCAGUUCUUUAGGACACACAUCAUACAUUGUUUGCUUCAACUUAAAUAUGACUUGGUCAACCUGGCAAAAUCUCCUGCCCUCCUGUCUGUAUUCCCACAGCCCACUGUGCUGCCUUCUUUUAUAAUGCUUACCAUCUUGGGUUGCAGGAACUACUUUGGUAAUUGGGGGCUGUUAGAUCUUGAGAGCUGGACUGGGACCUCCUAUCCCCAGCACGUCAAUUAUGGCAUCUAGAACAGAGUAUUAAGUGUUAAUAAUUGCAGGGUAACAAUCAGUGUAUACGGUAUGGUGUAUGCAGUGUAUGUAACAUAUAAGAAGGGUGGGUACAUAAAUAUGUGCAUUAUGUCUGCUAUAGGAUAUGCGUAAAGAGGAUUUAGGUGUGGGGUAUGAGUAUGCACAGGGGGUUUGCACGUUGCUUAUGUGUUUAGGUCAGCUAAAGUCAAGACACAUGCGAAUCUUUUUCAGAAUGUAAAUUCUGGGGCCCUAUGACUUAUAAAUUUCAAUCGAUCAUUUCUAAGGAGGUGCCCAGGAAUUGGUACUUUUAAAGAUGAUCAGGCAUAACUCAGAUUGUCAAUCAGGAUUGAGAGCCAUGUAUGAAAUCGGUAAGUAUUUGUUGAGUGCCCACUGUAUGCUAGCACUGUUGGAGACUCUGAAGACCCACUGGUGAUCUAGAAAUGGUCACUGCCUUUGUGGUACCUGUAUUUGAGGGGGAGUAAUAGAGGCAAAUAAAUCACUGGAUACCCCAAAGAUGGUACUAAGUGAUGUUAACAAAAUAAAGUAGGGUAAUUAAAUAGGUAGUGACUAAAGUGGUCAGGAAGGUUCCCUUUGAGGAUGUGAUAUUUGAGCUGAAAUCUAAACGAUGUAAAGGAUGCAAUCAAAUAAACACCUGGGGAUGAGACUAUGAAGUAGUGGGAACUGCAAACAUAACGGGGUUCUGAGAGAAAUGAGCAUGGCACAUUCCACGAGCAGAGGGAAGGCUGGUGUACCCGGGCCAUGAAGCAUGAAGCAAGGUGGAGUAAAUUAGGUCAGAAGAAGAAGGAGGGAAGGCAGAUCAAGCAGAGUGCUGUAGGAAAUGGUAAGAAGAUUGAUUUGGGAAAAUUGAGAAACCAUUUUGUAAGGGUUUGAAUGUAAGAGAAUGAAUGUUCCCGUUAGGAUUUUAAAAGACCACUUUGGGUGUUGUCUGGAGAAGGUAUUGUGAGGAGGCAAGAAUGGUAACAGAGAGACUGGAGGCUAUAUACAGUAAUCUGUGAAGGAAGUGGUAAUGACUUGGAUAAAGAUGGUAGCAAGGGAGGUGAAAAGAAGUGAACGGAUUGGGCAUAUUUUGGAGGUAGAUGUGGUAGGAUUUGUUACUGGACUAUGAAGGAUUUGAGGGAAAAAAAAGAAACUGAAGAUAACAUCCAGGUUUUUAAGCAACUAGGUGGACAGUGAUACAAUUUCUUAGGAUUUCCUAGGAGGUUUUCAGGGAAAUGUGUUUAUUGUGUACUAGGGCUUUGUGCACUUCGUGUUCAUUUGAUAUUCCUAUAUAAUGUAUGUGUGUAAAAUAUAUAUUUAAGAGAGAUAUAUUGUAUUAGUGUUCUGUGGCUGCUGCAACAAAUUGUGGCAAACUUGUGGCUUAAAUCAACAGAAAUUAAUUCUCUCAACAGUUUUUGAAGGCAAGUGGGAAAUCAGUUUCACUGACUAGAAAUCAAUGUCAGCAGACUCAUAGUCUCUCUGGAGGCUCUGGGGAGAGUCUGUGCCUUGCCUCCUCCCGCUUCAAGUGGCCGCUGGCAUUCCUUGGCUUGUGGCUGUAUUACUCCAAUAUUCAAGGCCAGUGUUUUCAAUCUCUCUCUGCACUGUCUUCAUAUCACCUUCUCCUCUGGUGUGCGUGUGUGUUGAAUCUCUCUCUUCCUCCCUCUUACUAGGAUUUCUGUGGUUGUGUGUAGGGCCCAUGUAGAUUACCAGAGUAAUCUCCCCAUAUCAAGAUCCUUAACUUAAUUACAUCUGCAAAGAUAUAAUAAAGGCAAAGAAAGACAAUAUUUACAGAUUGCAAGGAUUAAUACCUAUGUACGUUGGGGUUCACAGCAUUGGAGUUCACAGAGAAGUAUGCAUAUUAUAGUUCAAUGCUGUGUGUGUGUGCACGUGUGUGUUGUGUGUAUGCACUCAAGUCAAAUGUAUGCAUGGCUUUCUAGAGCUAUAUGUGAAUGUGUGGGCCUCUUUGUAUGCUGUGCAUCUCUCUUAUGUCCCUACAUCAAAAGACUCUACCAGUUACUUGUUUACUAUUGUGAACGUGUUCAUAAAUAACAUAGGCCUUUCUUGUUUUCCUUGCAAAUCCAAGUUAGCAUUAGAUCCUGAAGACUCCUCUUUUGGAAAGGUAAGAAAAAAUGCUGUGCCCUCUUCCUACUACCAUGAGAAUGACUCUAUGUAUUUAAUGUCCUUGAUUGAAAACUACACACUAACAACAAGUUAGUAUGAGUUUGUUUAUGCUUUUGGGUAAACGUAUACUUUAUUGAUUAAUCCCAAUGGCACCUACCUACAGUUAGAAAUACUACUAUCUAGAUAUACCUAAUGUUGUUUUUCAGGUAAUAACUAAUGUUGGGUAUGUGUGUAGGUAUUCAUGACCCUUUGAAAUAACUAAAAGCCCUUAGGGGAUUGAUUGUCCAUAAUUUAGGAGAUAUUAUAAUAGAAAUGGGAUUUACAAAUUGGUGUCUUACACACCUAAUUUGACUAGCAGGUGUAUCUGGAUUGACUAGCAGAUUAUUAUUGCUGCAUAAUUAAAAUAUAAUGCCUGGUGGAAUCUGUACUCUCCUAUAGUUUUGGGUCUCACCACACACAAUUCUACUAAACCUGCCUGUUCCAUUCCUUUAUAACCUACUUGGCCCGUGAAACCAUUUGGUUUGUGAUCCCUGGUAUAAAAUGAUUAUAUACCUUUGAACGAAUGGAACUAUCUACAAUAGGCGAAGUACUUUGAUAUCUCUGACCUUAUUUCAGCUUCAUAGCCACCACCACUACCCUGUGAUGGAAAUUAGAUCAUAUCACUCUUGUCUUAAAGAUACAUUAAUUAAGAUUCAGUAGUUAUAACUGCUUUUCCAAUAUCAUUAAGCUGGUGAAAUUGCUGGGGCUGGGAUCUAGGCCUCUUGACUCCUAGAAAGAUGUUCUUUUCCUCAUAUUACACUGUCUUCCUUGUAAUUUGCUUGAUCUCGAGACAUACUAGUUGUUUGUCAAUGAAAAGCUAUCAAAAUCAGAUCUGAGGAAAUAGGAGUAAACAACUGACCUUCAGCAAAAGCAAAGGAGAAAAUCUGACCAUUUCAACCUAUCUCAUAAGUAGGAAUAGGUAAUGUACAGGAAGGCAAAAAAGAGAGUUUGUAAACAAUAGAAAAAUUCUAUCCAACCCAACGGAAAAUCAGAGAUUGUUGUAGGCAGAGAGCAAAGAAUAGAAAAAAAAAAAAAAUACAAGCGAGGAAGACAGGAGAUCCAAGCCUAGCUUUGCACGUACCUUGACAAAGUCACCUCUCACAAUAUCUGUUCUGUUUUGUUUUGGUUUUCAUCUGUAAAUAGGGGUGAUCAUAUAAUACCCACUUCCUUGGGUUGCUGUCAUGGGAAUCAUACAAAAUCACAGAGGCAAAAAUGUUCUGAAAAUAAUAAAUAGCAACUGUAUGAUCUGAAACCCAGAAGGCUCUCAUAUAACUUUGUUUUCUCCACGGGGAACCAAUUUUUAAUCUAUGUAGUCACUGAAGUUUUCCUUGUCUCUCAUAAUAAAUUGUGAGUUUCUGGGAAGGCUUUGGACCUCUGUGACAGACCUCAGACCUCAAGGACACAGAUAACUUGAAAGUUGCAUAGUAAGUUUCCAUAAAGACCACUGGGCCAGACAUAUAAUACAUCGAAGUUCCUGUUGAUAAUGAGUUGCAAAUGUUUACUUCAGUCAGUUAGAUUCUAGGAGGUUGGAUUUGAAAGUGAGUGACUGUAGUAGUCUAUUUGGGCUGCUGUAACAAACCACCAUCUAGUGCGUAGUUUAAACAACAGUUAUUUCUAACACUUCUGAAGGCUGGGAAGUUCAAGAUCAAGGCAUUGGCAGAUUUAGUAUGUGGUGAGGACCCACUCUUGGUUCACAGAAGGGUUUUUUUGUUUUUUUUUUUUUUUUUGGCUGUGUUCUCAUGUAUGCAAAGGGAUGAGGAAGUCUCUGUGAUGUCUUUUAUAUGGGUACUAAUCCUAUUCAUGAGGGCUUGCCCUUAUGAACUAAUCCCCUUCCAAAGGCUCCACCUCCAAAUGCCAUCACAUUGGAGAUGAGGCUUUGACAUAUAAAUAUGGGGGGGCACAAACAUUCGGUCUGUGGCAGUGACUAUGGUCUUUGGACUUAAAAGGAUUGCAUUUCUUCCUCCUGUUGAGUACCAGCUUUCCCCAGUAUCUUUUUUUCCCCCAAUAUAUGAAGUUUAUUGUCAAAUUGGUUUCCAUACAACACCCAGUGACCCCAGUAUCGUUUAGGUAGUCUAUUGACUACCAAAGGUGACAAGUUACCAGCAAUGACAGUUUUCUUCAAGCGCUAUAGAUACCCUUUUCUCAUACUCUUGUUUCUAAAUUUGACUGUGGCUUUAGAACAUAUCAGCAAAGAGCCCUGGGAAAAGCAGAGGGUGUGAUGGAAUUUUCUGCAUGUUGCAUGGUUAAUGAGUAAUCCCACUGCCUAAACUAAACCACUGAGGGAGAGGAAGGAACAUGAGUGACUGUGGUACUCUCUGCCCAUGCUUUUUUGACUGCUUCUGAAACAGAGCCUUCUCACACCUCUAGUUGGGAUCUAUUUUUCUUUGCACUUUUAGGGUUUACUAUGACCCCCAAAGCAGAAAACUUACCUAAAAAUGGAAAGUCAGUAAAUCUCCAUUUAUACAGAAUCCAACCAGGCAGAAAGGGAACUAGAAAGAGUCUUGCUCUCAGAGGUGCUCUAUGAUGAUUGCUGAUUUGAUUGCAAAUAUCUUUUAAGUACCUUGUAAUCUUAUAUGUAAAGAAGCAGCUUCUAACCUAUCUUAAGCUGAGGCCUCUUUUUUAACAUUGAGAAGUUUUGUGAUGCAUGGUAAUAGCUAUACUUUGGUGUCUAUUGAAUGAGAAAGCAUAUAAUGACUACAGGCUACAAUGAAUAGCACAGUGCUAUUUUUAAAUGAACUUGUCUGUUAAGUAGAUACAAAUAUUACAUGAAGAAACACGCACACAUUAACGUCUAUGGAGCAAUACACAUAUAUUUUUAAAAUAUUAAUUUAUAGGGCACCUGAGGGGUUCAGUCAGUUAAGUGUCCAACUCGAUGUUGGCUCAGGUCAUGAUCUCACAACCAUGAGAUAAAGCCCCAUUUGGGGGUCUGCACUGAGUGUGAAACCUGCUUGGGAUUCUCUCUCUCCCUCUGUCCCACCUGCUCACACUUGUUCUCUCUCUUUCUCUCAAAAUAAAUAAACAUUUAAAAAGUUAUUAAUUUAUAUAUUGCCCGGACAUUAUAUUUCAAUUUACAAACAGUAUUUGGUGGAUAUACAGAUUCUUUGAACUCCUUGUAAAAAUUUCAUAACUCUUCUGGGGUAUGUGCCCACUGGUUGAGAAAUACUACAUUCUGAAACAAGUUUUGCUUUUUGUGAACAUCGAUACAUAAUAUGUGUGAUGAUUAGGUAACCAGAUAAUUAGGUUUAUUCCUCAACUAUUUCAUAUAAAUAAGAAUGACGAAGGUUUAAGAACUUCUGUCUAUCAUUUCUUAUUGAUCAGCCAACUCUACAAUAUACAAAUGACACAACACUUAUGGACCUGGAAGGGGUUUUAAAGAUGAGAGGUCUUAUGAUUGUGGAAAAAUUCAGAAAGACCUAGACACAUGGCUGCUCGUGUUCCAUUAUUUUCAAGCUGUGUGUCUUUGAGGAAGUUAAGCUUUCUAAGUCUCAGUUUCCUGAUUGGAAAUUUGGGUGUGAAGAUGCCUACUUCAUAGCAUUGUUGCGAGGCCUUACAUAUGAUAGGCAUUUGAUGAAUAGUAGAUGUACUCUAAUCCAACCCACAUUUUACAGACAAGAAAAUUAAGAGUCAAAAAGACUACAUUUAAAGGACACAAAACAAACUAGUUUGUGACCGUGCAAAGCAAAGACCUCCUGACUCAUGCAUCUGUGUCCUACCACAAUUCUAAAAUUUAUACUUUCUGCUUCCUGUCCUCUAAAUGUGCAUGACAGUUUUCUAGGCUGGAAUUGGCAAUGGCUGACAUACAAGGUUGGCUUUUAAAAGAGAUGGGGGAAAACUCACAACAUCUUUUUUCCAGAUUCUCAGAAUGGUUUCCAGUUAAGUGCUACUUUGACCCAGGAACUCAAAUGGUAGGUUUCUGCUUCUCCUGCCUCCUCUGAUUCUGUUCACACUUGGAAAGCCCUGUGGUUCACAGCUAAUUAAAGAGGGGUGGAAGAAAAUUAUACCUCUGUUGAUGCUAUUGUUUUAAUCUAUCUCAGAAGCUUCUUAACAAGCAAGGCAACAAGCAGUGGACUGAGAGGGAAUUCUCUCUGACAGAGAGGGCACAAGAGACUCUAGAAUGAUUUCUGUGAACCCACUAUCAUUUCAUUAAGUGACUUUUAUAUUUUCUGUUGUUACAGAGUCUCUCUCUCUUUCCCUCUUUCUCAGAUAAUAUUCCAGAAUCUGCUGAGUCUUAGGAAAGAAGAGAGACCCAGAAGAGAAUAAAAUAUCAUUUAUAUAUUGUAUUUGUUAUAUGUCUUGCACCAUAUUUUCUUUUCCGUUUUCUCAUUUAACCACCACAACAAGCAUGUGUCCCCAAAGAUUUGAGAAGUUAAAGUCACACAGCUAGUAAGUGUGAGAGCUGGAUAACCUUAUCAUUAUCAUCAUCAUUAUAAUCAGUCCUUAUAAUUAUCAUUCACUAUCUUUAUUAAAAUGGCUAACAUUUAUUGAGCACUUACUAUGCAUUGAGGCUUUUUUAAGUACUUUGAAUACAUUAAUUUGUUUAUAUACUUUAUAUGUAUUUAACCAGUUUAUUCCUCAAAAAAAAUUCUACAUAAUAGGUAUUGUUAUUAUAUCCAAAUUUCUCCAAGAUAAUUCAGCAAAUAACCUUUUAGUUUAGUUCUAGAUGCUGUGUUCUUGAUCACACUGCUCUGUCUGAAUUCAAAUCAGAUAUUUUCCAACUCUACACUUUGCUUCAUUAGGGCUUUUAGGACUGAGAGGCCUUUUGGGAACCUCAUGGAACAAGAGGAGCACAUCUGCUUGAGCAUAUGAUCCCAAUCAAGUAUACCUAAGUUUAAAUGCUCCCAGAUAUUAUGACAGUACUAGUCACUACUUAAUAGUGGACAAUAUAGUGGAUAAUACUACAUACAAUACUACAGGUACAGGAUCAAACAGCUGAGCAUUAGUAGGUCAUCUGGGUCCCUUGUAGCUUAACAAAACACUGCAUAUUUUAACAUGAUUUAGUAGUGUGACCAAGUAAUUACCUGUAAGGGAAGGGUUAUGGUGGUCCACACCUACAAAAGUGCUAAUUAACAGGGAAUGGGCAAGACAAUGCAGUCAGCACUCAGGACAGCUCCAGGGGGCACAGGGCUCCCAAACAAUGCUUUCUUACAAUGCACUGCUCUUUGCUGUGCAAUAGGCCCCUCCCUAAAGCUGAAACUUUAAAAGUUCUUGAUGUUCUUGCUCUAGACAUACAACAGUGGUUCUUACCCUUCCUGGUGUAAAUACUCUUUUAAAAAGUGAAUUGAAGGGAUAUACAGGAUUUCCAGAAAAACUAGAGAUGUGUACAUGCACAAAAAGUUUAACCUAAAUGUUAACGAUUAAAAGACCUCCUUGGCAUUCUAGUGAAAGCUUCUGUUGAGUCAAAUAUUGCUGAGUAACAAAUGAUCCCAAAAUAUACAGGAGUACCUAAAUAAUGACAAUGUAUUAUUUCUCAUGGUUUUAUGGGUUGGCUAAGCAGUUCCUCUGUUGGUUUCCCUAGGCUCAUUCAGGCAGCUGCAUUCAGCUGGAGGGUUCACUGAGUUGAAAGGUUCAUGAUGGUUUUGCUCACAAGUCUAGAAGUUGGUGCCAGAUGUUGGCUCAAGUACCUCAUUUCUCUUCCAUGUGGUUUCUCAUUGUCCAGUACGCCAUACCAGCUUCCUUACAUGGUGAUGACAAGACAACAUUCCUCCUUUUGGGACCUAGUCUCCAGAACUCAGAAAAAGUCAGUUCUCCCACAUUCUAAUGAGCAAAAUAAGUUUAAGGUUCACCCAGAUUCAAGGUCAGUAUACUGACACUGCCUUGAUGAAACAGCUGCAAAACACUUGCAGUCAUAUUUAAUUUUUUGCUGCCUCCUUAAAAUAAGUAGUUAAAAUAGGGGCACCUGGGUGGCUCAGUCAGUUAAGCACCCAACUCUUAAUAUCAGCUCAGGUCAUGAUCUUACAGUUUGUGGGUUUGGGCCCCACGUUGGGUUGUGCACUGACAGUGUGGAGCCUGCUUGGGAUUCUCUCCUUUCUCUCUCUGCCCCUCUACCACCCAUGCUCUCUCUCCAAAUAAAUAAAUAAACUUUAAAAAAACAACGGGUCGAAACAGAUCAUAGUGAGAAAACUUCAAGCUGCCUGAGGACAAGACUGUUUCUUUCUCCUUUGUUCAUUACCAGUUCAUAGACUACUACUGGAGAUGGUUCGUAGGUUCUCAGUAAAUGUUGCUGAAUGGAGAGAUGAGUGGACUUCCAAGUGAGAUGCUGUGUUCUUUUUUCUAUGAUAUCUCCAGUUUGUAUUACUUGAGCAUAUGUGACUGAAAAUAAUAUUACCAGAAAUAAUAAUUAACCACAUUGUUAGCAAAAGCUAAUUGCAUGCCAGAAACUAAGAAUAUUUGCAUAUUGAUUUCAUGUAUCCUCACCACCUAUGAGGUGAGCUCCAUCAUCUUGUUUUUACAUAUGAGGAGCCAAGGGAUUAGAGAACAGAAUUAGAUCAUCCGAAGUGGACAAUACCUAUUAGGACACAGAGCAAAAUUUGAACUCAGGACUGCCUGACUCCUAAGGCCAUGUUCUUGAUGACUGAGUUAUUCAAUUCACCAACCCCUUUGCUUUUGUGCAUUCUUUUCUGAAAGAAAAGUUUACAAGUUCAUGUGAAAGGAAAAUUACAUGAGAUAAACUUCUCCAUCCCGUAGUGAAUAAAAUAAAAAGAAACCCAAGAUUCUUUAUGAUUUGACUCCAGACUACCUUUCUCGCCUUGUUCUCUACUCUGCACAACUAUAGAUUCAAUAAUACUACCACAUUCUCACUCUUCCUAUGACAUGGCCUCCACUAUCAUGUAUGUGUGUGUGUGUGUGUGUGUGUAUGUGUGUGUAUGUAUGUGUGUAUAUAUAUAUAUUAUAUAUAUAUAUACAUACACAUAAUAUAUGUAUAAUAUAUAUAUAAUAUAUAUAUUAUAUAUAUAUACAUAAUGCUUCAUUCUUCACACACGGAUAUCUUUUUAAUCUUUGUGACUAGCUAAAGUGAUUUUUUUUCAGUAACACAAUUAUUUUAUUCCUUUAGUUGCCAUUAGCCACCUAUUUUGCAAUGUUUCUCCAGCAAAUAAUGUGUACCUUUAUUUAUCCUGAUUCUCUCUUAGUUCACUUGUUAAGUGCCUGUCUUAUACCAGACACUGAACUUCUUCCUGCCUCCAUAUCUCCUCCUCUUUUCUUUCCAAUAGAUUUCACAUUUCUGUUCUGUCCCAGGCAUUCUGCUAUAGCCCAGAACUCUAAAAGUAACUAUGACAUCGACCCUAUUCUCAGGAAACUCACAAUGUUCAGCACAGAGAAGCCACUGAGUAUGCAUUAAGAGAACAAAUAAUGGAGCUUGUCUGGAGUGGGGGGAAGUCAGGGCAUUAAUGAUUAUAGUAUUACUUCUAUCCUAGAAAUAUGGGCAGUGCUUCACACCAUAAACACUCGGCAAAUAUUCUUUCAUUUAUUUGCUCUCUAUAAUGAGAUAGGCCUAGGUUGAAAUCCUAAACUUAUUUUCUUGGUAGCUUUGAGCAAAUCACUUUAACUUUCUAAGACUAAGUUAUUUAAAUCUGUGAAACAGUCAAUAAUAAUGACCUCAUAGGGUUUCUGCGAUAAUUAAAUAUGUAGCAAAUGCCUACUGUAAGAGCUCAAUAUAUUUUAGCAUUAUAAAUUUCUCUAUAACUUAAUUCCAGAAGGAAUAUGUAGCGAUUCAAAAUGCAUUGCUCGGGGCGCCUGGGUGGCGCAGUCGGUUAAGCGUCCUUCAGCCAGGUCACGAUCUCGCGGUCCGGGAGUUCGAGCCCCGCGUCAGGCUCUGGGCUGAUGGCUCAGAGCCUGGAGCCUGUUUCCGAUUCUGUGUCUCCCUCUCUCUCUGCCCCUCCCCCGUUCAUGCUCUGUCUCUCUCUGUCCCAAAAAUAAAUAAAACGUUGAAAAAAAAAAUCAAAAUGCAUUGCUGAAUGGAUGGCUGGUUGGCUAGAUGGAUGGAUAAGUGAAUGGAUGAGGCAUGACUUGAGUGGAAUACAACUUCAGGGCAUGAUGACACAAGACUCCACAGGGCAAGAGAGCAUCAGCUCCCUUCUUAAGGGCUCUGAGCCCUCAAAGCCCUAGAAACAACCCCUCUGCUACCCCUAGCCCCUCCCCAAAGGCCAUGCCACUGCUCCUUUCCUUCACAGGGGGCCCAAACAGCUUGUUUUUCUCUUCUUUGUGUGUUGGGGAUAUGUGAUUUUACUGUCAGCAUGGUGUUUCUAAUGAAAGGCAAAGGGUGUCCAAUGUGACUUGGGAAAAAAACGUACAAACAACAACAAAAUUAUAUGUUCUUUUUUCCUGUAGUGUUCGUAGGGAGACUAUGUGACUUGUUUGCUGUCAAUACAGCUUAUAAUGACAUGGUGCACAGAGGCACUGCCAACUGUGUGCGGCAUUCAUUAUACACAUGUAUUAAGUGUAAUGCGAUAUGAAUUUGGCGGUGGAGCAGACGAGAGCUGCCUUGGGGCUAAUUUGGAGUUACAGCACCUCUUCCCCUGGGAUGAUUAAGGGGGAAAGGGGAAGUGGGCAGCAGCAUGGGCGUGUAGCAGAGUGUUUAGAAUUUUCGGGACUAAUUUGGGGCUGGGUUGAGAGAACAUGUUAGAACUCAAAGAGUCUUUAAAGAUACGUCUUUUUUCAGCAACAACUGAAACAAAAUAUCAUUUAAUAAUCAAUUCUUGACCCCUAAUAAGUGCCAGGCUUAUAACAGGUCCUAGGAAUAAGAUCCUUCACCAGCCUUCAAGAAGUUCACAGGUUAGUAGGAUAGAGGAAAAAGUAGAGAGAGAAUGAUGAUACGCCGUGGUAAAUGCAAUAAUAUCUACAGGCUAAAGUUGAUCUCAAACUACAGACGAAGAUUCCUAAACCAGCCUGAUGUCACUUCUGAGAUGCUUUCCCUGACCCCCUUGUAAAUGACUAGGUCACCCUGUUACAUAUUCUCAUGGCACUCGGGCUUUUCCUUCAUGGCUUAAAGUCACUUGGAUGUAUGAUAAAUCCAUCCAUGUCUGGCUUCUAGCUCCUAAGCCCUAUGAAGGUGGGAACCUCUUUUGUUUUACUUACCUUAUAUCUCCAGCACAUAGCACAAUACCUGGCACAUAGUUCAUGCUCCAGUAAUAUUUGUGGUUGAAUGAAUAGAUACUGUCAUUUAUGAGCUUAAUCUUGAAGGACAUGGAAGAAUAAAGCCAAGUAAAGAGAAUGAGGGGAAAGGCGAGCCCAAAGAUGGGGCAUGCAGCAUAUGUAAAGGUAUAUAAACUUACAGAAGGGAGAAAGUGAAGUGUAAAAUAGGGGAGAAAUCAAUACAAGUGGACUGCUGCUGAGAUUUUUAAUGGUAUCAUUUAUAUUUUCUCUAUUGAGGCAAAAACUCAUGUGGAAGGCCAAACCUCAUUGGUCGUGUUUGCGAGGAAAUACAUAAUACACACUGGACUCUUGGUGGAAAUGUACCUGGGAGGCAGAUAGAUGUGAGACUGAACAAACAUUUUGGUGAUGAGUAAGGCAAUAAAGGCACUAAUAUGGCUAUUGAAUUAAACUAUGUCAAAGGAGAGUUUAGCUAAAGAAUGUUUAAGAAUUUCUUCUUUAAAUGGUGAGAUGAUAGGGGCGCCUGGGUGGCGCAGUCGGUUAAGCGUCCGACUUCAGCCAGGUCACGAUCUCGCGGUCCGUGAGUUCGAGCCCCGCGUCAGGCUCUGGGCUGAUGGCUCGGAGCCUGGAGCCUGUUUCCGAUUCUGUGUCUCCCUCUCUCUGUGGCCCUCCCCCGUUCAUGCUCUGUCUCUCUCUGUCCCAAAAAUAAAUAAACGUUGAAAAAAAAAAUUAAAAAAAAAAAUAAAUGGUGAGAUGAUAACAGGUAGGGGCAUAUCUGAUGCCUCGCUCCUAAAGCUUGUUGAAAGAAAUGGCCCCAAUGGAGCAAAAUCAUUCUUAAUGAAAAUGUCUCAUUAAACAUACAUUCAGACCCAUGGAAAAAUAAAAGUAAUAAUAUUAACAAUGACUGAUGCUUUUUGAGAAAUCAUUACAUACUGGGAAGUUACAGAGAUGAUCACCAUCCAUGUGGUAUCACAUUCAAUAUUCAUGACAAAACUGUAAGGCAAAUACUAUAAAGAUCACACUUAGAGUUAUGUGUAGAAGACCUGAUGAAAUGAAGUUACUUGCUCAAGACCAUCCAGCUAAAUAGAGUGAGAGUCAGGAUUCAAAUUGAGGUCAUUUAACUCCUGAAUCCACUCUUUUAACUACCAUGUUGCUGAACCAGAGUUCUGGACAGCCAUGACAGACUGAGUCCCUCACUGUCUAAAUUUCAGUUUAACCCAAUUGCCUCCUUUAUCCUAUAAACUCAGCAUUAAAUAAAGACCAUGUCUUUCCCAUCUGUUGGCCUUUUGAGAAAAAAAUUGGGGCUCUAGUGACACUUCUUUAUGGACUCCUGACAUGCUUGCUGUCGUGUCAACCUUCAUGAAUUUGCAGAUUUGAAAAAGUUUUAGGAAGUGACUCUUGAAAAUAUUCAGCAUGACAGGAGGGCGGGGCAAUCAGUUGGCCAGAGAUAAUGCUGGGAGUGGAUGAGUCAAUCAUAGGAAGUCUGAAUGUGCCACAGGAAGGAAGCUAACCCAAUUGAUACUUAGAAAAAAAGGAAGAAAACUUCAAAGGUUAAGGGAUUUUGACAGUACUCUAUUAAAGUAAAAAAUAAAAGUAUAUAUGUGUGUGUACACACAUACACACAAGUGCACAUAUGUAACUAUUAUACACACAUGUAUAAUAUUUACAUGCACACAUCAUAUAUAUACACAUAUACUAUAUAUACAUAUAUACAUGUACAUAUUAUCAUAAUUUUAAAAUAUAAAUAUAUGUCUGUACAUAUUUGCCUUGAAUUACACCAGUGAACACUUACUGAGCUCUUACAUACCUUCUAUGCUACCCCUUUACAAGCAUUAUGUCAUUUAAUCUUCAUGGCAACCUGAGGAAGUAAUUGUUAUUAUGUUCAUUUUUUCCAGGGAGGGAAACAAGGCUCAGAGAUAUUAAGCCACUUGUCAAGGCCAUAGCAUUUGUAUAGCCAGUAUUUCCCCAGUCUAUCCAGCUUCUCCAGGAUUGUUCCAUGAAUAGCCAUGUGAUUCUGUCUCUGUUACUUGCCACUAUGGUUUGCAGAAAGCUUGGCAAACAGGUUCCUCUGUGAGCCAACGCCCCUGUGAGAUCUGGUAGGUUAAGCCUAGGGUCCAUUCAUCUGUGUCUUCAUGGCUUGGCCCUAGCCCACUUCAGUACCUGUGAAUGUUUGUGGAAUUGAUGAAGGAAUGAUUUGCCUCAGUUUACCUGAUAUUAAGUGAAGGGGCUGGACUAGAACCAGAGCAUAGAGGGUCCCUGUUUAGCUUCCAGAAAUCUCUCCCUCCUCUGAAAUUUAGCACUUAUAGCCAUUUCCUCUUUCUGAGUAAGUCACCAGAUACUAACCUGUGCCAUCCUUUACACUAUUGUAUUUCUUAAUGUCUAACACUUGUAAGGAUUUCCACUUCUGUGAGUGUGCUUCUCCCUCUUCCUGGACCACAAGUUCCUCAGGAGUUAAAGGGAGAUAAAGGCAAUUCACGUUCGUGGAGCUUGUAUAACAUGGUAAGCACUGUAUCAAGGCCAUCACCUACAUGAGUUUAUUUGAUCAUCAUGACAAUUCUUAGAAACAGUUAUUAUCUGCCUUUUACAGGAGAGCCAAGCUGGGCUCAGAGAGUAACGUAAUUUGAGCGAUCACACACAGCAAGAAUGCAGCAGAGGUGGGAUCCAAACCUAGGUCUUUCUGACUCCAAAGCCUGAGGCAUGGGCUCUGACUUUACCACCUUAGCCUUAAUUGCCACAUGGGCCAGGCUUCCUCUGCCAGAGACAUCACCCCUCCCUCUUCUCCCACAUGCUCCCCCUGUAGCAGGACCCGAUGGCAGCAAGCCCGGCAGGCAGCGUGGAGGGCUGCAGCAAAGACGCGCUUUGGCAUCUUAGAAUGCGGCACAAGGUAUGCCAGCGAGAGGAAGAACAGUUGGUGAACAGUUGGCGAAUGGAUAUUUUUAUGCAAGGGUUGCCUAGAGCGAGGGGCGGGGGGAAGAGUGGAAAAAAAAAAAAACCUGUUUAUAAAGAAGCCACAAUUAAUAAGGUCUUUGUUAGCUCUUUGGAUUUCGAUUUUCAAGUCCAUUGCUUUGGUUUUGAAAAGGAACAGAAAGGUCCCCGAGGAGCCAAACUCCCCAGCUUCCAAAGCGUGAAGGCAUUUAGGAAUCCAAUCCAAGCCUGAGUGUGUUGGGGAACUUAAUUAUUCAGCAAGGAGCGCAAAGAUGCUCUGAAUUCCUUUGGACAGCUUCUUGUCUGGACGGUUUACAUUGUGGCAUGCUCAGUGUGUGGGCUUAAGAGCUAUAGGAUGACAAAGGGCGGGACAGCGGGGGGGGGGGGGGGGGAGUAAAAGAGAGCACCCCACCUAGGAUUUCUGAGAGAACUGUAGCUGCCCUAAUCCCUUGCCUAUCAUUUUACAUCCCUUUUUGGGCUUCAAUGUUUUCAUCUAUAAAAUGGGCAUAAUAGUAUCCAUCCAAGUGGGUUAUUGUGAGGUUGUGAAAAAUGCCCUGUAAAGAGCUUAAAACCACUUAGAAAAAAAAAAAAAAAACAUUGAGUAUUUUAGAGUACUAAUUUUUAAAUAAAGGUCUCUAUUUCCCUUUUCUCUUUCUACACAUAAAUUUAGUCUGCAAGCAUUUAUAAUACUUAUGGUAACAAUAGCUGCCAUUUAUUGCAUGCUUAGCACAUACCAGAUCCAUAUUUUGCUAUAUUUGACCUUUGCAAUGCCCUUAGGAGGUAGGUCCCAGUUUUCAGUGCAGUGGGAACUCAGAGAGGUUAAGUAACAUAGCAAAAGUCAGCAAGAAGCAGGCUCAGCACUCAAAGACUGCCCUAAUGUGGACAGUUUGGCCUGGAGGGUGAACCACUCUGCUGUGUGCCAGGAGCCCCAUAGCCAUCCAAAGAGCUGGCAAGGGGGUAGGUAUCUCCAAAUAAUGAUAAGUUGACGUCCUAAGCCUCAGUAAUUCAGAAUAUGACUUUAUGUAGAGAUGGUGUCUUUAUGGGGUAAUCAAAUUAAAAAAGAGGUCUUUAAGGUGGGUCCUAAUUCAACAUGACCCAUGUCCUUAUAAAAGGGAAUAUUCAUAUAUACAGAGACAGAUACACAUAGAGGGGAGAGACACAGGGAGAAAAUAAUUAUCUGCCAGGCAAGGAGAGAGGCCUGGAACAGACUCUUCCCUCAGAGCCCUUAGAAGGAACUAACCUUACAGACACUUUGAUUUCAGACUUCUAGUUUCAAGAAAGGCAAGACAAUAAAUUUCUGUUAUUUAAGCCAUCCACUUGGCAAUGCUCUGUUACGAUAUUCCUAGCAAACUAAUGCAUAUUCUGAACCCCCUUCUCUGGACGAGGCACCAGAAGAGGAAGAGACUAAGGUGAUUUGCUGAAGCUGGUAAGUGGGAUUGCUGAGAUGUGCACUCCCUUCACUCUUCUUCGCCUUCUCAUGGAUUUCUGGAGAAGGAAGGCUCUUUGGAUCUGGAAUUGAUCAUUGCUUUGUUCACUGCUGCAGCCCCUGCAUUGACAUCAGUGUCUGACAUAUCAUAAAACAUUACUGUUGAAUGAAUGAAUGAAUGAAUGAAUGAAUUUUCUUUCUACCAAUUUAUCCAAAGCUUCACAACUAAGUUAGCAUGAUUUAAAAAAUCACAUCACAUUGGAACAAGAAUUUCAACUUAAAGUAAUUGUUACAACAAAGUGUUUCUUACUGUGUAUCCGAAUACACUUUGCACAGCCAGACAUAACUACGAACACUGAACACGUUUUCAAACGUUUAUAUUGACUAUGAUAUAGACUGUGAAGUAUCAAACUCCAAAUUUCUAAUUCUUACUUCUAUUUGGAAACAUUGACUCACCUACCUUCCUUCCUCUCUAGUUUCUGCUCCAUCAGCCACGCCUUGGUUUUCCUGUACCUGUUCUUCCUCGUUUUUUCAAACUCGAAACUCUGGCUUGCUCCAGGAUUCUGCUUUCCCGUCUACAUUCAUUCCUUCAGUAGCCCCAUCCUGUCUUGUGGCUUUAAAUAUGAUCUAUGACAGUACUCAAAUUUAUAUCACUUGCCUAAACUUCAACACUGAGCUCCAGACUUGUAUACCCAACAACCUACUUAACAUUCCCACUUAGAUGUCUAUGUAUGCCUCAAGGUCAGUGUGUUCAAAAUCAAACUCCAGAUUUCUACCCUCAUCUCACGUAAAAUACUGUUCUACUUACAGUCUGUUCUGUCUUAAUAAGUGUCAACUUUAUACUUCCCAUUGCUUAGGCUGAAACCCUUGUCUUGCUUGAUCCCUCUUCUCUCCUACCUAAUAUCUAGGGAUUCAGCUAAUCUCAUUGGUAAUACUUACCCAAAGUAUUUAAAAUCUGGCCAUGGCCACUUAUUAUCACCAUCUUCUUUGCCUGGAUUAUUGCAACAGCUUCUUAACUGGUAUAACUGUGUCCACCUAUGUCCCCAUACAGUCUCUUCUCCACACGAUUUCCUGAGAGAUCCUAUUAAAAUGCACCUCAAGUCACAUAGUCCUCUGUCCAAAAUCUUUCAACGGUACUCUAGGAUUUAGCUCCCCACCAACUCUCGGACUUCAUUUCUUCCUCCACUGGAUCACAUUUAGUUUUAUUUAUAUUGACUAUGAUCAAUGUUUGCAAAGAGGUGUCUGGUGGACCCACACUUUUCUGACAGAUUCAUCUGAAUUUAAUCCUUUGAAGUAAGCAAACUCUUGUCCACAUUCACUGUGCUGAUACUUCCCAAACUCUUCCCAGGCCGACUGCAAGAUAGGGUUAAGUAGACCACACGUUCUGCUUCUUGUUAAAACAGUGAUUCCAUUUGCAUAUGAUUUUCUCAUAUUUCUGUUAUGAUAUUGUUUGCAGAAAGAGUAGCCAACGUAAAAUGGUACAAGUGCCUCUUAUCUAUUUUGGUCAAAAUCCAUCUAAAUGAGGCGUACCUCAUUCUUACAGUUGCAAGAAGGUAAAGAAACUGCAAUCUCCUUAUCCUGUCUGUUUUUCUGAACUUCUUGAUGUGCUGGAUAUAUUCUCUCAAGCAAGUCCCCUCUUGACCCUUCUCCACUCUCCUCCCCUGCCUUAGGACACUGACCUAUGCGAAGUAUGUCAGUGGGGCUCUGGAGACCUCAGGCUUCUGGAUGAAGUGGGAAAGGAGGAGAGUGAGGUCAAGGUGGGUUGUUUUUUGUUUGUCUGUUUUCUGUUUUUUAUUCUGUCCCUGAGAAGUCACCUUGAACUGCAUCCCAGAUGUCACUUAAUCCUUUCAAGGAGGCUAUACUACAGAACUCCUUGUCUAAAUUUAGAGUUCUGAUAAUGACUCUCUCCUAUCUCUUCCUUUCUUGCUGGGGGUGUUAGCUUCCAGUAUUAUGAGUUCUGGGUAACCACCCCAACUUUUAAGGUUCCCUUCCCUUCCCCGUGCCUUUGUGAUUAGUCCCUCCUUGAGCUAAUCUCAUGUGAGUGUGUCACCAGUUCCUUCCUGAUACCCUAACAGAUAUACCUGGUGAUGUAUAAACAUUCCCGUCUUACCACUUUUAUCUGUAGUAAUUAGACUUCAUAUAUUACCUUCCUUUGACACAAAAGAUUGUUUUUCUGAUCAAUACUACUUAAACUGAGUAGUAGAAAGUCUAUCUUGCUGGUGGAGGGUGCGGUUCUGAGGCCAGACUGACCUGUCUUAUAAUCUUGAAUUAGACAAUGGCCAAGUGCCUUACCUUCUGGCAUUUCAUUCUCCACCAGAUGUUGUCCGUUUUUGAAUGGGGUUUAUAUGACUGAUACAGAUCCAUGCGUAGUAGGCACAUUGCAAAUCCUAAUUCAUAUUCCUUCUCCUUCACUUUGGUGCAUUUGUUUUCUUAGCUUUUUUUUUUUUUCUUCAUUUUUCGUUUUGAUUAAUGCAAUACCUUAAACUUCAGCGGAGCUUGUGGAGUAGCACAGUAUGUAAUUUGCAGUCAGAUAAUUUCCUCAUCAGUGGGAGUUGCUCUGGUGCUAAUUUGGGCUGUAUCCUCUAUUUCAGUCCUUUGUCUCAUUUAUAAAGAGCAUACUGUAUUGUUCCAACUUCCACACUUUUCUUUAAGAGAUUGUACAUCAUGACUGAAACUGAGACUAGAAAAGCCAUCUGACACUCAGAAUCAUCAGUGGCAGGCAUGUGUACAAAAGGACACUCUUAUUAGGAAAAAUCUAAAUGUACCACUUUCUGAAUAGAGGAGACUGUCUUUGCUUUUAGGUGUAGCCUUGAUUUGCACUCAGUGGAGACACCAUGGAAAGAACUGGACUAAGUCAGGUUCACUGAGGUCCUUAAUUCACCUCAGCUACCUGACCUCCUGGGGCUAGAGUCCAGUUCAUGGCAAACAAUGACCAAUGGGCCUGUUUAGAGAGAGAGAGCUGAGGUAAUGUAAGAGAGCUCAGAUCAGGUGGGAGAACACCUGCUCCAAGCCUCAGGAUACAUAGCACAUCAUAGAGGCUAAAAGCUGGAACACUGAGUGCCAGAGUUCAAUAUGGAGGUGGAAAUAAAGCAGGUCCUGUAUCCUAAGGUAGAGCGUGUAAAGAAUUAUCUUCAAACAUAGAGAAGACAGUGGCAAAAUGAAGUGUAGACAUACACUGAAGACAUACAAUGAAGCUGACGUCUAUAUAGGAACAAAUUAUAUGAACACAGUCACUGUGCCUCUCAAGGGAAAGCUUCACAUGGUCCCAUCAAGUGAAAGACCAAAGCUGAAAGUGGGACCUUUGUCUCUCUGAACCCUACGACUCAUUUCAGUUAAUAGAGGAUAACCCUCCCUGCCUCGUUUGUCACCAGGACUGUUGUAAGGGUAAAGUGAGAUAAUAGGUAAGAAAGCAUUUUAUAAACCUCAAAGCACUGCACAAAAGCAAAACACAGACAUUCCAUCAUGUACAGCUGAUCUCUUCUCUAAGAGGUCACUUACCUGGUCAGUUGGAGUCAGACCAAUCCUGAGCUCCAUCUCUAGGAGGGCUGCAUUAAUCCAGAAAGAACCUACAUACUCAAAGGAAUUUAAGCCACAAAACAGUCAAUGAAAGCAAACUGCAGGAAGGUUGGUGUGUGUUUGGGCUUUCCGGAUGCGGGAAACCUGGUCUUCAAACAUAAGCUGUCCUUGCUCCACAUGGACUCUCCUUCUUCCUAUGGUUCAGCCUCACUGGGUUUCUAUCACAGCCCAACAUUCUGCUUGAGGCUGAAACAUGGUCAUUGCAAUUCCUAGACAUGUCACUUCCUAGCAUCGUCACCCUCUUCCCUUAGUUCCAUUUCAAAAAAUCCUGAGAGAAUUUGUCUUGACUUGGGUCACAUGCCCAUCUAUGACCCAGGCAAAGGGCAAUAUGAUUGGUAUUCCUGCAUGCUAUGGAUCAAGAAAGAAGCCAUUCUUCAACUGUUCCUGGAUGUUGUCAGCACCAGGGUGGGGGGGUGGGGGGAGAGGGUGCCAAAAGGACAGAGAAAUAGAUGCUCACUAUGAGCAUCUGGUUGACACUACAUCCUGUACACUAGGUUUUGAAGACUAAGAUAUCUGGGCUUUUCAGAAUGGACUUCCCUCCCUACUGGAAGUACAUCAGAAAGAGUACUAAUAGGGAAGUAGUCAGGGUCCUGGCAGGGAACAUAGUAUAUUCAGAAGGGGGAUUUGAGGAGGUUUCAGAGAAGGCAGCUUUUACGGGUGUGGUGAGAGUUAAGAAAAACAAAAUAGGGUGGGUGAAAUAUCCAAACCAGAGAGAAGGCAUUUCUGUUCCUUAGACUGAAAGGGAAAGAGUCAAGGGUUGGCUAUCUGAAUGCCCUGAAACAAGUAGCUAUAGGGGAGGACCCAGAGCCAGGGGCUGUGGCCUUCAGUACAGGGACCUAGCUAACCUCUGCAACUGGCAGACCAUUGUGGAAGGAACUGGUAUGUAAUCACUUCUCUCUCCUUCCAUCUGCCUGUUUCAUGCUGUGCCUCUCAUUGACCAGUCCCAAAUAAAUGCCGGACGUCAUGCUGCCCAGCUAGGAGGUUCCCAGGGCACAGAGCAAAGUGGAAAGUUAUGGAUCACCUGGAGGAGCAAAGAGGAUAUCCAACCCAAGGGUACGUCUGUUCCCUUUGGCUCAAAGGAGAGACCUAGUUAGAGUCCACUCUAUAAAAUCAGUUGGUUCAAAAGCAUGACAAGAUUUUAGAGCUAGUGGAGUCCUCAGGCUCACUCAGACCAAAAAUCACAACCUUGUCUAUAUCUAGCCUUUGGAUGUGAUUUGCAUGGCUGCCACAACUUUAAAGCCAAAAACCAAAACCAAACAAACAAUAGGCAAAAAACCUCAAUCCCUGACAUUAACAUCUUUUAAAAAUAUUUUUAAUUUUUUAUUUAUUUAUUUUUGAGAGAGAGAGAGAGAGAGAGAGAGAAUAUUAGCAGGGGAAAGGCAGAGAGACAGGGAGACAGAAUCCGAAGCAGGCUUCAGGACUCCACAGAUUCCAAUGUGGGCUUGAACCCACAAGCUAUGAAAUCAUUACCUGAGCAGAAAUCAGACAUUCAACUGACUGAGCCACCAGGAACACCAAGAUUAACUUCUUGUAGUUCUAGUUCCCCACGGUCAUCAUCAUUCCAUGUCAUCUAAUACCUGCCACUGUAUACAUGAAUGUAUAUAGGGCAUACAUACACAUAUAUACAUACAUGCAUACAUACAUAUAUUUAAUUAGAGGACUUGUGAUUGGAAAAACCAAAAUUCUUCAUUUUUUCAGGUAGAGAAACUGGGCCUAGACAGGGAAACUUAUUUGCCCACGCUUGCAUAGCCUUGAUGGGAAUUCUGUGUGUCUGCACACACAAGAUUAAAAAUGUAUAAAUAAGAGGAAAGGAUUAAAAAAGUUGUUAGUCUGUGUAAGACCUUCAUACCUGGGUGUAGCUCUCCUUUGAAGUAAGGAUGAUGCAAGGAUUCUACUGUGGCUCCUGUGGCCCCAGCAGGUGAAAUUAGAACAAUGAGGAAAAGUGAUUAUGGUCAGUGCAGUCAGAGCUUGCAGAGGGCUCUUCAAAAAUGGACUGGGCUGCCUCUCUGCAUCCAGGGUUCCCAUGUGUGCAGAUGUGGUCCAUUAACAGAAAGUGAGUCAGCCCUUAGUGGGGCUGUGUUGGACUCUGUCCUUUGAGCCCUCUUACCCUGUUAGUUGAGCUAAUGCUGAAUUGAGUUGAAAUGAGAGGAAUGUCUCAUUAGUCUGCUUGGUUCUUUUUCCUAAAUUAUCUUUAAUUUUAUUCUAGUCCUUUUGGUGGCAUGUGGGUGGGGAAGCUUUAUUUCACCCUCUGUUUGGAAUCCCUAAGUCUUCCUCCCAUCAAGAAUCUAGAUGUGAGGCUCCUCUCUUUGCCUUUCCCCAUUCCUCUUGACUCACCCUCUUCCCCACUCAGAGCAGUCUCCUCUCUGUCACCAUGCAUGUCAGGCUCAUUUAUACCUCCACAUAUAUCCUCACGGUGUGUUUAGUUAGGAUAUUGGUUUGGUUGUAAUAACAGAGAUCAAACAGCAGUGACUUAAUGAGGAGAAAGAUGUAUUGGUCUCUCAUAAAAUUUGAGCUGCUGGGCUGUCCAGAUGGGCAGGGUGGCUGUGUUCCACAAGGCCAUCAAGAACCCAGUUCCUCUGUUCUGUUGCUUCCACACCCGCACUGUCUGCAUGAACAAAGAUAACUCUUCUCCGCCACCCUCCUGUCCCAGUUCUUACAAAGGAGGAAGAUGACACACAGAACAAGCAAAUUCAUCUCAGGAAGUGAGCCACAACGACACAUCUUGUCACAUCCCAUUAUUCAUGACUUACUCAUGUGGUCAUGCCAAGUGGCAAAGAAGACUGAAAAUAGAGUUUCUAGCUGGGCACCUACAUUUAAAUAGAGAAGGAGUUGUUUUGGUAAAAGGAAGAAGGGAUAAAUGGAUCAUGGUAGCAUGUUUAGGAUGUCUUUUCUAACCAGAAUGGCCUCUUUUGCCCUCUAUGAAGCCAAAACUGAUCAUCUUUCAAAUGCCAGUUUAAAUAUAUCCCUUCUUAAAGUUUUCCCAAAAGUACAAUCCUUCAAGACUAUCUAUUGCACAUCUAGAAGACCUGGCUGAUGGUCAUGCCUAUGCCUACAGAAUACAUGAAGAGUUGGUUCAAAUACUGUCUCUCCCUUUGCUAUUAUCACCAGUUUAGGAAAAGGAAGGAGUAAUUUUACAAGCUAACAUUUACUGGUCACCUAAACUAGGUGCUGUGCUAACUGCAUUAUGAGCAUUACCUCAUUCGAACAUUCCAGUUGACCUAUGAAUUAGGCACUGUUGUUCAGUUGCCAGAUGAGGAAACUAGUACUCUCUGAAGUCACUUUCCCAAAGCUUUUCGGCUAGGAAGUGCCAAAUUGAUCAUUUCAACAUAAAACCUCUGGCUCCAAGCUUUAUUAUUUCUUUCAUCACAUUGCAACUUUUCUAUAAAGAGCUUUGCAAAGACAAACUUCACAGACCUGAAACAAGGGGGUAAUUCAGUGUUGAUUAGUAAUUUGAAAAAGAUACUCAAGGUAAAAAAAAAAAAUCUAACAAACUUAUCUGCACUAAUUUAAUUUUCUGUGUAAUUGUAUAUUCCUUGUGAAUCAGGGUCCUCCUUCUCCAUGAUAUGUUUUAAAUAAGUAAUACUGAGGACUUAUUUCUCCCUUGUUUUCAUCUUUCCUUGAUUCUUUCCAUGAUUUUCUCUUGGGGAAAAAGAGCAGAUUGAAAACUGUGGUUAUAUAUGUAACCAUUAAAAUAUAUGCUCUCCCUAUAAAAAUGAACUUGUGCCAGGGUCUAAUAAAUUACGUGCUAAUAUGCCAGCUCUCCAGUCUGCAGGGGAAUUGCAAUCAUUCUCCUGAUCAGAGUAGCAUAAUUCCAAGCCUCUCUAUCUGUUAGUUCCUUAACCUAGCAAAUCUGAGGACCUCAACUGCAAUUAAUUCAACAUCCUCAAGUACCACGAGGUGCCUGGUUAUGAACUAGGAAUUGCAUGUCAGAAAUGGAGAAAACACAGCCCUUGCCCUCAGGGGGCUAAGAGUCUACUGGAGAAGGAAAAAACAAGGGAAACAAAUAACUGUAGUGUUAAGAGAUUUGCCCAAUAGGUGACAUGUGUUUAAAAGAGAGAGAGGCUUGGGUCUGGGUUGAAAUGAGGAGGGGAGGUAAUAUCUGAGCUCAGUUUUGAAACAUAAGAGCAAGUCAGAUGCAGGAGAUAACCUUCCAGGGAAAGGGAACUGAAUAUGCAAGAUAAUGGGCCAUGAUCUACAUCAUGGGUUUUGAAAACCAUCAGUGCAUUACUAAUUUUGCAGUAUGAAUUGAUCGUGUCAAUUUAAGAACUUUUUGUGGUGGGUGAUGGGUUGGAGUAAGGACUUUGAAGCAGAAAAGUGAAAUGAUCCCAUUUAUGUUUUAGGAAUAUCCCAGGGUGGGGGCCCUUGGAAAAAUCAGGGACACCUGCUAGAAAACAUUUGCAAUGAUCAAAUAUUAGACGUGAUGAAAUACAAGUUGUAUGGCAACAGGCAAGAGAGGCUAGAGAGUGCAUAUGGGAAAAUAGCUGACAUUUAUUCAGGAUUUACUAUGUGCCAGGCCCUGUGUUAUGUUGUUUGGCAUAGUAACUUCUUCCAUCUUCACAACUGUCCAAGGAGCUAGGUACUGUUGUUGUACUCAUUUCACAGAUGAGGACACUUAGGUAUUGGGCCCAACUAAGAAAUGGCAGAACUAGGACUUGAACCUCCUCUAGCCCCACAGUCUUCCACUUUAAGCACUGAAGGGGUGCUUUUAAUUUUAUUUUCUUAUUAAAAUGUUGGGCAUCCUCAAUUUCUCUUUGAAGGGCAUGAGAUAAACUGUCUGGCAGUGGAUUAGGAAGAGGAUGAACAGAACGUCCCUGCACUUGACCAUCUUGAUAACCUUGAAAGCAUGAUAAUCUGUAUCCUUAUCUGUGAAAUGGAGAUAAUUAUACCCAUUUCAUAGUAUUUUUCUGUGGAUGUAAAGGGCAGUGUAUAUACAAUGACUCUCAUAGUUCCUAAAACAUGGAAAGCACUUCUCAAAUACUAGUUUAUUUUUCCUUCCUUCCCCUUGGAGAAUGCUGGCACUUUUGCAAUUCCUAUUAAAGUUCUUUAUAAAAAGAGAUGAAAAUUCUUAGAGUGCUGAGGAAAAAUGAGCCAAAGCUACCUGUAACAACACAGAUGAAUCUUGAAGACUAAUGUGGGUGAAAAAGCAAUUCUCAGAAGACCAUGUACAGUGUGAUUCCAUUUUUAUAAAGCACAAAAAAACCCCACAUCUAAAGAAUGUAUUGUUUAGGGAUAUGUGCAUAUGUGGUAAGUUAUUUCUUAUAAAUAAAAGGAUUGUCUAAUACAGCUUUAAGGAUGAUAAUAGCAACUGGAGGGGAAGGCAAGGAGACAGGAUAAGGAGGGGCGUGUCAUUGGUGCAAUGGUGGACACAACAGUAUGUUGGUAGUGAGCACAUGGAUGUUUAUUUUAAUAGUAAUAGUAAUAAUCCUCUGUAGGUAUUAAAUAUUGUAUAUAAAAAUUAUAUAUUUUAUAUUAAUUAUAUUAUAUUAUAUUAUAUUAUAUUAUAUUAUAUUAUAUUUAAAUAGAUAAGGGGAAAGAGUAUCCAGGGAAGCUUUAGGACCCAAACAAGAACCCAAGUUUUUAUCUCUUGGCUCUGCUUCCUCUAGAUUAACAGCUUCCUUAAUCUGGACAGGGUGGCUCUCCUGGCAACUUCAGACUCACUUCAUUCUAGCACAUUGUCCAGCAAAAAAGAGAAAGUGUCUAUUUCCCCAACAACUCAAAUUAAAGAUUUAGCACUGAAUCUCAUCCUUCCUGAUUGGCCUGCUGGGUCAUGCUCAGGGCUGGAAUCAGUCUCUUAGGCUAAGGUUUGCAUUAAUUGAUUUAGUCCCAGUUACAUGCUGGACACGUGUGGCCUGGGCUGGAGUCAAGCUGACUCAAGGCACAUUGGUUAAGAAUGAGAGAAACGUGGGCUCUCCAAAGCCAAAUCAGGAUGUUAAUGUUACACCAAGGAGUGCAUGUCAACAGUAAAAACAGCCAAUGCUCACAGGAGCUAUUUAAAAUACCUUGUACUGUCAUGAUUACAUAGCAAUGCAGUUUAAUAUUGGCAUUUUUUUUUAAUUUUAGAAAAUCAUAAAGGCGAAAAUGAAAGUUACCGGCAAUCUUAGAACUCUAAGAAAACCGAUGUUGACGUUGGGACCUACUUCCUUCCAGUCAUUUCUGUAUUUGUUUUGUUGCAUUGGCGAUUCUAUAACUCUAUAACCUAUCUGGACUUAACAAAUACAUCAUUAGUAUUUUCACAGGCUUUUAAACCUUUUUGUGAUUAUUUCAUUUAGUUUUUCUUCCCUUCUAAGUUCCAGGUACUUUGUUUAACGUUUGAAAUACUGAAAUGAUUGUCACGGUUCUUGUCCUCAAGCUAAAUUCAUAGUCUAUUACUGAGUAGUCAUGGGAAAAAAUAUGGUUAUAUAAACAUUAUCCUAAGAGUGUAGCACAUAGAGCAGGACCUCCUACCCAAACAAGGGUUUACAGAGUCAUGCCUGAGCUCAGCCUCUAAGGAAAUGUAGGAUUUCAGCAAGGUUAGGAGGCAGGGGAGAGGGAGAGACUAUAGGGUAGAGGAGGGUCAGGCAAAGAGGAAAGGACAAUCAAGGACAUAGAGGUCAAAGUGCCAUGCUAUGUCUUGAGCCCAAAGUUCAAGACCCAACAAAAAAGGUGAAGCCCGAGAUGAGGGGUUUGGAAGGCCUUGCAUUCCCUGCAAGAGAAGCUAGACUUUUCAAAGGGAGGCCAUAGCUUAUCUAGAUUGGGAAUAUGAUCUGUGCUCCUGCUCAGGACAUACCACUACAUGAAUUGCCUUUUUUGUGGGCCCUCUGUGUGCCUAUCAGAGUCUUACACAUUCUUUGUGGCAGAAAGUGAGCUGCCUAUUCCAUAAAGCCUUCUUCAACCAGCCAAGGGGAAUCUGAUUCCCUCUACUUCAAUAAGCAUUCAGCUCUCCCUCUUCCGCCCUCUCAGGCACUUUGAAGGUGGUUGUGUUGGACUUAUAGGUGGGAAGUUUUUGGGUGCAUACCUCUAGACAGAAGGAAUGCUGAGAGUCUUACCUGAAACAUCUUUGUGUUGUCUGCUAUAUCUGACACACAGAGUAUGAGUGGGUUAAAUGCUAUGGAAUUGAACUAUAUACCAGUGAUUUUCAACCAAGACAGAUUUUUCCCACAUGAGACAUUGGUAGGAUUGGUAACAUUUUUGGUUAUCAUAACUGGUGAGGGAGGUGCUACUUGGCAUUUAGUAGGUGGACCAGAGAUGCUGUCCUACAAUGCACAAAAUAGCCCCCAUAACAAAAAAUUAUUUAGCCUGAAAUAUCAGUAGUUCUGAGACUGAGAAACCCUAAAAUAUACUGAGUGAAGUAUAGGGUCAUUUUCCAGAGUGCUCAUUUCUGGUCUUGGCUCUGCACUAUUUCCAUAGGUGGCUUUGAGCUAGUGUGCUCCCUCUGGGUCUCAAGGUCAUCAUCUGCAGGAUAACUAGUAUGAAGAUCCCAUGCUUUGGAAUCAGGUAAAGCUGGGCUCAAAUUUUCACUCAGCUGUCUACCUCCCAUGAGGUUCUGGGCAAGUUAUUCUUUAUGUCUCUGUUUCCUCUUUUGUAAACAGAGACAAUGGUGUAUACUUUGGAAAAGUAUAAGGCGUUGAGAUAAUUUAUAUAAAGCAGGACCCCGGGGCGCCUGGGUGGCGCAGUCGGUUAAGCGUCCGACUUCAGCCAGGUCACGAUCUCGCGGUCCGUGAGUUCGAGCCCCGCGUCGGGCUCUGGGCUGAUGGCUCGGAGCCUGGAGCCUGUUUCCGAUUUUGUGUCUCCCUCUCUCUCUGCCCCUCCCCUGUUCAUGCUCUGUCUCUCUCUGUCCCAAAAAUAAAUAAACGUUGAAAAAAAAAAUUAAAAUAAAUAAAUAAAUAAAUAAAGCAGGACCCAUAGCACGUGACACACAUAAGAUGCUCAAUAAUCAGUAUUGCUAUGACACUACUACCAUUACUGUUAAUAUCAUAAAGGGCUUGGGAAUGGACUCUAAGGUCUUAUCCAGCUCCAAUAACCUAGGACUCCUUGCUUUGUUUUCUCUUCAUGAAAAUAUUCGGCGUUGUCACUCACCUGGAUUAAAGGAGGUGGCCAGGCAUCAGGUGGGGUCCCAGCAAGUAACAUGAGGCAUACUCAGACUGAGAAAGUUUAUUAAAGGGAUUAUUAUAAAGGCACGAGUAGUUUUAAGGCAACCAACAAGAGGUAACACAGGACCCUGGGCUAUACCCUCUAGGUCUGAAAGGCUAAGGAAAAGGAGAAUUACUAGAAUCUAAAGAAGGUAACUCUGGGGAGAGAACCCUCCUCCAGGAGGGCAGUGAACCUUUGCAGAUCGCCAGGGAAUAAAUAUCAGACUUCAUCUUCUUCCUCUUUCUCCAUGUCUUGCUGGUUCUUCCCCCUGAAUUCUACAGGAAGUCAGAGGUCAAAAAGCCUGUUGAUGUAGGCUUUAUGUCAAUUUCCCAGGACACAGAUCCUGGUAAGAAGGUAAAGAGAGUGGAUCUGAAGAAGCAAAGAAAAAAAUCAAUUAUGGCAUUGUCUUAGACUUUGUGGAAUAGCAGCCAUCUGGGGUUUAGGCACAUAGCCUGCUAUCAGACUCAUCAUGUUAGUACUGUAGCUCUUCACAAGGGAGAAAUAGCACCACACGUGGUUAUCCAUGCCACCCACAGUGUAUCUCCUCCCCCAGACUCAGGAGGAAACACAGCUCCAUUCUGAUAAAGGCUUCUGUGUCUCCUUUGAGUAAUAUGCACCUCAAGGAAGAGAAAGGUGCAGGGAAGCUCCAUGCUGGGAGCUGGAAAACAAUGGAGGCUGCUUUGGGAAGCUGUAUGAGUUGGUGGGAUCCUGGCAACCUGGGUCCCAGUUCUGGCUCUAUCCCUUGCUGGCUUUGUGAUCUCUGGGACUCACUUUAAUUACCUAUAGUGGGGGUAGAAGUCUCUAGCUUACCAACCUGUUUUGUGGAUUAGAAGUACUUGAAAGAAUGCAUUCCAGUCCUUGGCACCUUGUGAAGCUCAGCAACAUCAGAAUUCAUUUACUUAACGUUUAUCUAGUGAGCAGUUGCCGUGUGCUAGUGUUGUGGCAGGCCCUGGAGUAAAAUCAUGAUGGUUAAGUGAGGCCCGAACUUUAAGGAAUCACAGUCCGGAAUAAGACUUUCUAUUUUCGGAUUGAUAGGUAGGCUUUGGCAAUUGCAUAAAUCCCUCGAAAUUGAAUUGAAGUUUGUAUACAGGUAAGUAUGUGUGUGCGUGUUUCUGGAAAGAUUUCAUUAAAUUCUCCAAGUUAAGAAUCACUGAGGGAGAACUUUCAGAGGAGGAUUCCUAAGAGAGUAGAUUUAGUAGAAUAGCAAUAAAAACAAACAAACAAACAAAAAACAGGCAGUAUUUAGUGUACAGAAAAUACAAUUAGAGGUUAACUCCAUACUUAUCUCUCUGUGGCCCUGCCUGGAAGUUUGGAGUGGAGAGUAAAAGCCACAGGCAGGAGAGAUCAGCUACAUUCAAUUAAUAACUUUGCAAUAAUCAGAGAUAUCAGGAAGAUGUUUGGGAGAGAUGGACACAUUCAAGAAGAUGCUGAAAGAUUGCUUAUAGGGCUUUCUAUUACAGGAGUAAGUAGCCUACAGAGUUUUUUCCAACUCUGAUGUUUCAACAAUUCAGCAGGAUGGGGUGUGAAGAUGGUGAUGCCUACAGUAGAGAGACCGGUGGUAUGUGUUUGUAUCUGUCUGUGCUUCCUCUGCCUUUUCUGUGAAGUGGCAUGAUCACAUGAUUAAGUGAGAUGUUGUAACAAGCUAGGGAGUGAACCAAUGGAUCAUUGACCAGGUACAGGAAGAUAGAUGAGAUAGCACUUUUUGGAGUCUCUUGCCAAGAUCCUAAGAGUGACCAUGUGGAAAGCUGUUUCUACUAAGCAGUUCUACUAAGUAUCUAUGUUAUUAGAUACUCCAUGCCAACUUGAUAACCUUGACUCUCACCAAGGCUAGGAAGCAUGGAACCUGCAGAGGUCCCCUAGUUCCAAAGCCUGGGCCAGUGAUAAGUAGUAUGUUUAAAACGUCUUUACAGAAUGUGAGACAGGAAACCAUCAAAACCCUAGAGGAGAAAGCAGGAAAAGACCUCUCUGACCUCAGCUGUAGCAAUCUCUUACUCGACACAUCCCCAAAGGCAAGGGAAUUAAAAGCAAAAAUGAAUUACUGGGACCUUAUGAAGAUUAAAAGCUUCUGCACAGCAAAGGAAACAACGAACAAAACUAAAAGGCAACCAACGGAAUGGGAAAAGAUAUUUGCAAAUGUCAUAUCGGACAAAGGGCUAGUAUCCAAAAUCUAUAAAGAGCUCACCAAACUCCACACCCAAAAAACAAAUAACCCACUGAAGAAAUGGGCAGAAAACAUGAAUAGACACUUCUCUAAAGAAGACAUCCGGAUGGCCAACAGGCACAUGAAAAGAUGCUCAACGUCGCUCCUUAUCAGGGAAAUACAAAUCAAAACCACACUCAGGUAUCACCUCAUGCCAGUCAGAGUGGCCAAAAUGAACAAAUCAGGAGACUAUAGAUGCUGGAGAGGAUGUGGAGAAACGGGAACCCUCUUGCACUGUUGGUGGGAAUGCAAAUUGGUGCAGCCGCUCUGGAAAGCAGUGUGGAGGUUCCUCAGAAAAUUAAAAAUAGACCUACCCUAUGACCCAGCAAUAGCACUGCUAGGAAUUUACCCAAGGGAUACAGGAGUACUGAUGCAUAGGGGCACUUGUACCCCAAUGUUUAUAGCAGCACUCUCAACAAUAGCCAAAUUAUGGAAAGAGCCUAAAUGUCCAUCAACUGAUGAAUGGAUAAAGAAAUUGUGGUUUAUAUACACAAUGGAGUACUACAUGGCAAUGAGAAAGAACGAAAUAUGGCCCUUUGUAGCAACGUGGAUGGAACUGGAGAGUGUGAUGCUAAGUGAAAUAAGCCAUACAGAGAAAGACAGAUACCAUAUGGUUUCACUCUUAUGUGGAUCCUGAGAAACUUAACAGAAACCCAUGGGGGAGGAGAAGGAAAAAAAAAAAGAGGUUAGAGUGAGAGAGAGCCAAAGCAUAAGAGACUGUUAAAAACUGGGAACAAACUGAGGGUUGAUGGGGGGUGGGAGGGAGGGGAGGGUGGGUGAUGGGUAUUGAGGAGGGCACCUUUUGGGAUGAGCACUGGGUGUUGUAUGGAAACCAAUUUGACAAUAAAUUUCAUAUAUUGAAAAAAAAAUAAACUUUUAAAAAAUGUAAAAAAAAAUAAAACAUUUUUGCUGGUAAAAAAAAUAAAUAAAAUAAAUAAAACGUCUUUACAGAAGAAAUCCCAAACUACAGGUGACAUUAUUGGUUUAUUCAUAUAUCUGAUAUUUAUUGAGCACAUAUCAUGUGGCAGAAACUGUACUGAGCAUUAGAGAUAUAGGCAUAGAAAAGGGGAAGGAAUCAAGGUAAUGUUUGUUAAUGAAAGGCACUUAAUACUCAUUAUCAGAUUUAAUGAGUAUGCCAAUUUUGCAAGAUGUAUUUCAUCUUCAUCUUAUAUUUAUAGGAAACAGGUUCAGCAACUUGUCCAAGGUUUUGAACCUGUUGAGUAUUUGGACUUCAGAUUUGAAUUUAAGAGAGGUGUGUUUUCUUCCUAACAUCAAAGUCUCUGCCAUUAUGGUACCUAUAGCAUCAGCUGGGGCACACAUACACAAAAGAAACAUCUGCAGGCCCAUGUGUAGUGUGAUAUGAUGGGGGAGUAGGGGAUGGGCUGAGUGAGUUCUGAAGAGCCAUCCAGUUCUAAGAGACUUGUUUAGGGGCUGGGAUGUGAGCUGAACUCCAAAGCAUGCAUAGAUACAGAAAGGCUGGAUACCAACGGGUGGAGUAGGAAAUUCCAGGCCCGGGUAGCAGGGUACCAGACAAAACAUAUGAAAAGGAAUCUUGGUUUGAGGAAAGAUAAAGUCUGUGUGGUGCACAUGGGAAGUGGCUGUGGGAUCUGAGCCAGUAGAGUCCGUUGGGAAGAGAUUAGGAAGAGCUUUGAGUGUCCUGGCUUACAGUAUGGGCUUUAAUCUGAGUCUGUAGAAAGUCUGUGAAGGUGACCAGCAUGUGUUGGACAUGGCCAACUUACGUGGUAGAGAGAAAUGCUUCCUGUGUCUCCAAGUAGAAUGGUGGGCACUAGAGCCCAGAGUCACUCCCAUCUCUCUCCAUCUUCUCCUCAGGCGGCAGGCCGGGUCCCUAACGGCCUAUUCUUCCUGCAGCAGGGCUCUCACUGGCCCUUUCUCCCAAUCUGCAUGUCUCCCUAUAAAUCAGGAGAAAAAUGCCAGGAGCCCAUGCAUGACUCUCUUGUUACCAUAAAUCUUGGAUGUGAGUGUGGUGGAUGGUGGGUUUAGGUAAUUACAUAAUAUAAAACCGUUCUUGCCUUUCUCAAGUCUGAAGAAUUGUUAUCUGUGUAUCUCCUUCUGUAAUUUAUGGCCUUUCUGGAUGAGGGGGAGCAUUCUCACAGCCACUGCCUAUAAAUUAUGUGCUUUUCCCAUAAUUCCCACUGGUGAAUAUUCCUGAUGGUAAAUGACUAUUAUUUCUAUUUCUAUAGGCUGUACUCAUAUAUACAUAAUAAAUAUAGGCAUGUUGGAUGAUGAGGACCAAUUUAUCAUGACUCCUUAUUUAGAGGGCAGGGCCAAUAUGGGGGAGGGGGCAGAGAUAGUGUUUGUGCUUCUCUGAAUAGGUUCUUCCAAUGGAAUAGGGGCCUCUUCCAAUGGAGCCUCAGGAACCCUUUGCUUUUCAAAACACACUAGCAUUCUGCAAGGUGGUUCAGCUGUAACAACUCAAAUAAUAAUAGCCUGUGUUGAUUUUUAUUGUGCAAUUGGGUUUGUUCUUGUGUUAUAUAUUCUCAUUGUUUCUCGAUUCUUAAACACAGAAUUAUUUCUUAAAAUGAAGACGAUGUCUCAAUAUCUCCAGCUCUUGCUCGGUGUUAUGUAGAUAUAGUGGAAGGAGUAGAACUUUGUUUUAGAUAGGCAGAAGAUUUUCUUCUUUUUUUACUCUUAUUUAUGUUUAAGUUAGUUAGCAUACAGUGUAGUCUUGGCUUCAGGAGUAAAACCCUGUGAUUCAUCUCUUACAUAUGACACCCAGGGCUCAUCCCAAAAGGUACCCUCCUUAAUGCCCAUCACCCAUCCCCCCCUCACCCGCCCACUCCCUUCUCCAGCAGCCCUCAGUUUGUUCUCUGUUUUUAAGAGUCUCUUAUGGUUUGCCUCAUGGAUAUUUUCAUUUUUGGUCCCUGAUCAGCCCUGUUUUAGCUCUGUGACCUGCAGAAAAUUACUGUGUAGCUCUGAAUGACCAUCCCCUUAUCUUUAUAAUGAGGAUAACAGUAAUCAAUCUUCAGCUUCAUAUUGUUAUAAGGAUUAACUGUGAUAAUAUAUGUCAGAGUGCCUUGCAUAGUGCCUCAUACUUUAUAGAUGCCUAGUAAAUGUUUAUGAAUGAACACAUGAAUGAAUGGGCCGUGAUUGCAAGCUAUCUAUAGCUUAAUACAUAACAUUAUUUUCAAGCACAGCUAAGCCCAAAGUACAAUACCAGUAAGAUAGAAAUUUCUCAUCUAACAAGAGUGAGCAUUCAUUGCUCUGUUCUAUGUCAUCCAGGGUCAUUAUUCCUUCUAUCUUGUAGCUCAGCCAUUUCUCUGGGCAAUAUUAUGUUCUUUUUUUUUUAAUGUUUAUUUAUUUUUGAGACAGAGAGAGACAGAGCAUGAGUGGGGGAGGGGACAAAGGGAGAGGGAGACAGAAUCUGAAGCAGGCUGCAGCCAUCAGCAUAGAGCCCUACGUGGGGCUCGAACUCACGAACUGUGAGAUCAUGACCUGAGCUGAAGUCGGAUGCCCAACUGACUGAGCCACCCAGGCGCCCCAGGGCAAUAUUAUAUUCUGCAUGGUCAAAGCUGUUUUAUCAGUACUGUGUCCAGUUUCCAGCCCAAAGGAAAAAGGAAAGAGGAAGUGGAAGGCACAAGCAGCUCUCCCCCCUUUCUUUUUUAAAGAAUGAGAUCUGGGGGUACUCCUGGGUGGCUCAGUUGGUUAAGUGCCUGACUUCGGUCCAGGUCACGAUCUCACGGUUUAUGAGUUCGAACCCCCUGUUAGGCUUUGUACUGACAGCUCAGAGCCUGGAGCCUGCUUCGGAUUCUGUGUCUUCCUCUCUCUCUGCCCCUCUCUCAAAAACAAAUAAACAUUUAAUAAAAAAAGAAUGACGUCGGGGCGCCUGGGUGGCGCAGUCGGUUAAGCGUCUGACUUCAGCCAGGUCACGAUCUCGCGGUCCGUGAGUUCGAGCCCCGCAUCGGGCUCUGGGCUGAUGGCUCAGAGCCUGGAGCCUGCGUCCGAUUCUGUGUCUCCCUCUCUGUCUGCCCCUCCCCCGUUCAUGCUCUGUCUCUCUCUGUCCCAAAAAUAAAUAAACGUUGAAAAAAAAAUUAAAAAAAAAAAAAGAAUGACGUCUGGAAGAUGCACCCACCUUUUCCACUUCUGGAACUUCGUCUCAUGACCAUAAUGAGCUGCAACAUAGCUGGACCGUGUUGUCUUCUGUUGGGUCAACAUCUGUCUAUGCCCAGAUGAAACUUGGGAGAUCAUAUUAGUAAACACAAGAAGAGAAAAAGGGAUAUGAUGAUGAUUAACUUCCUCUGUCUCGUAUACCUAUCACCAUUUCCAUUUGGAGGUCAGCUUUAAUUCAACCUGAAGACAGUGUGCUACCUUAUAUAGUUAGUUGUAGUUCCAAAUGCAUCUGUCUUAUUUCCUCAUUAGAUUAAAAGUAUCUUGGGGGGGGGUGGCUCUUACUCCUUUUUGGGUAUCCUCCGGAGCUUAGCACCAGAUCUGACCCAUUGCAGCUCCUCAGUGUUCAUUGACUGACCAAUUAAUUGAGUACAAUGUGCUCUGAGUUGGAUGCUGAAUUAGCUCACAGCCUGGCUUGUGAGGAAUGAUGCAAAAUGUGCAUUGACAGGAACAUGGGUCACCCUGCCCUUGGAGCAAAACUGGUCCAGAGGAUUCUGGCAGAUAACCAGCUUCUCCAUUAAUGGUUAUAAACUGAGUGUCUGGGUAACAUGAGUCCACUUGAUUGCUUCAUCUGCUCAGAAAAGAAAAAUAAAUAAAUACAACCUGUCCCAUUUUACAGAUGAGAAAACUGAGGUCAUAACUUGUCAAGCGACUUGCCCAUAGUCACCUAAGGAGUUAUUGCAUCACUAAGGUCACUAUUCCAUUCUCCAAACUCAUCAGUACCCUUUCCACUACCCCAUUAGAUUUCCUAUACCAGAUUAAAAUGAUGCCAACAAUAGCAAGUGUUUUGUUCCUUAUCAAUUCUACCAUGUUUCACAUUCAUGAUUUCAUUUAAUCCUUAUAAUAGCUGUUGGAGAUAGCAUUAUUAUUAAUAUGCCUCUUUAACAGAUGAGGAGACAGAGACCCAAAGAGGUGAUAAAAUAUUUCCUGCCAGUAAGUGAGGUGCUAGACCCUAGAAUCAAUUGUUCAUAUCCCAGUCUUGCUUGGCCCCCUCUCUGCAGAUAAAAUAAUAAAUACCAAAGUGCUUUGUAAAUUGUAGAGCAUCUCCAGCGUCAGGCACUGUUAUUGAUAUGUUAUUUCCGGGAGUUCUGAAUCUGCACUUGAAUUCACAACAUGGAAGCCCGCAGUAUAUUUUAAUUAUAGCCACUUGAUAAUCCUGGGGUUGUGGAGUGGGAGGCUGUCCUAUAGUAUGCCUAAGAGCCCUAAAGAGAUCACUCCAGGUCCAUGAAUAUUCAUUGCUAUGCUAACUCAUGAGCUGCAUUUUCCUCCAGUCACAGUAAUCAGAUGCUUCCUGCAUCGCUGGAACGUUACAGUCACUUUACAGCAGAUGGAUCAUAAGCAGGUAUUGAGUAUCUCUGCUAGGGUUUUCUCUUCCCAUCACCUAGUGAUGCUACUAGGUGAACCUAGUGCUGGAGACACGAGAAGCUACCAUGUCCUUCCAGGAAGAUUGGCAGGCAAUUGUUUACAGAGAGUUUCACACUCUUAAAUUGGGCAUUACAGGGACUCAGUUCUUUUAUUCUUUGUUUACAUUUUUUUUUAAUUAGAGGGAGGAGGGGAAGAAUAUAACUAGGAUAGGACCUUGCUACUCAAAAGUGGUCUCUGGAACAAUGGCAGUGGUGCUAUCUGGGAGCACCGUGGCAAAGUGUUACCUUGUUACAAAGGCAGAAUCUUCGGUUCUUCCCAGGCCCUCAGAAACAGAAUCUGCCCAUUACCAAGAUCUCAGGUCAUUCCUUUGCUCAUUAAAUUCAGGAAGCACUGGGCUAGGAGGCUGGAGUUCUCAUCCUCUACUUUGCCCUCACUGGCUGUGCAACCUUGGGGAAGUCACUUAACCACUUUGGGCCCCUGUGGCCACCUUUUUUCUAAGGUGAGAAAGUAAGGUGAAGAUAUUAGUGAUUCUUGGUUUGGUGUAUAGGAGGUGGUUUCCUCAUUAGCCCAGUGCAGCAACUAUCAACAAAAACUCUAUCUUCCUUGAAAUUUCUAAGACCUCUUCUUUUCGGAACGGUUGCUCAUCCAACAAAUUAUCUACUGAUAAUGCAGCAGGCACUGUGCCCUCAGUCCCCUGAAAUUUGCUUCCCUGGACUUGGAAGGACCUUCCUCCCUCACUGAAACCAAGCCCAGAGUCUCUGAAGUUUGUUCAGGGGAACCCCAGGUGUGGAUUCAGUGAGGAAAAUAUUGAGAUUUCUUAGGACUCUUAAUUCCUUCUGUGAUCAUUUAAGUAUUUGUUUGCAUCAUUAUUACUGUAGGAUUCACCCUCUGUAUAAAUAAUAGAAUAUUCCAACCUUUCAUGGUACAUGUUAGAUUUGCACAAGGUGGACAUGGUUUCUUAAAGUUUGUUGUGAGGCUUGUUCAUCCAACACCUGUUCAUCCAACACUUAUUGAGGCUUUAAUGUGCUCUCUAGACACAGGGCCAAAUGCAUUGGACCGAGAAGUAGGAAGACACAAGCCUGGCCCCAAACCAGACUUCCUUGGGAAAGCUGGCCUGCCAUUUACCAAGUAUGUGGAGGCAUGCUCCUUGGCCUCAUGUGGCCUUGCUUUCAGCAUCUGUAAAAGGGAAUCAUAAAUGCUUUGUGAAGAAUAGCACAAAUUUUAACUUUUGGCCUACUAGGGAGACAAGUCCAGAUUUGGGACAAGGCCGUGGACGCUGCUUCCUUGACCUGCAUUGUUCAGGUUUCCUAGAAGAAAUGACUUCUAGACUGAGACUCAACAACAAGGAACAGUUAGGUAGGUAAAGGCAAGAGUGGAGAACAGGUGGGAUAGAUGGGAGACUUUUCCUGGAAGGGUGAACAGCACUUUAAAAUUUUGAAGAUGAGACAGGACAGGAUGAGUUAAGCGGAGCAAACCUAACUGUAAAUCUGCUUGGUAGAUAAUUGUUCUGGGGCCUUUACUGUUAUGGACUGAAUGUGUGGGUAUGUAUGUUGAAGCCUAAAUCCCCAGUGCCCAGGAAUUUGAAGGUGGGGCUUUUGGUAGGUAAUUAGGCCAUGAGGGUGGAGCCCUAGUGAAGGGGAUUAGUGCUUUGAAAGGUGCUCUAGAGACCAGAGCGCUUCAGCAAGUGAGGAUACAAGAAGAGAGAGCCAUCUAUAAACCAGGAAGAGGGCCUUCCUCAAGAACCCGACCUGCUGGCACCCUGAUCUUCGACUUCCUGCCUCCAGAAGUGUGAGAGUUCAAUGUCUAUUGUUUAAGCCACCCAGUCUGUGACAUUCUCUUAUAGCAGCCCAUACUAAGACAGUCACUUUAUUACAAAUUUGUUUGAAUAACACUGAAAAGUAAGGAGUAAUGAGGGGACACUGAAAAUAUUUAGUAACAGCUAGUUUGGCACAGCACUGAGUAAACAAAGAGAAGCAGAUAGUGCAAGGAUGGGGGGGUGGGCACCACACCCAGGCAGGCAUUAACCCUUUAGUUGUUGUUAGGUGUGGAAUAGUACUGGGAGAAGGAUAAUGGCUGCCCAUGGCCGGUGGGGAUCAGCAGAGGAGUUUUGGAUCAAUGGUGAUGGAACAGGAUGUAAAUAUUUCAGUGCUAUAAGAACCAGUGUGAUCCUACAGAUGUAUAUUGCCUGGAAUCAGUCCUGAUUGUAACUAUAUUUCUUAUGCAUUUAAGACCCUGCACUGAGCAUUCAUCAAAUGCCUCCCACCAUCCUAAGAAAUUGCCCCUGCCCUUAAGAUGUUCUUAAGGCAAGAGAGAAGACAGAUUUGAGAUUUUGGAUUUAAUUAUAAAAGCAAAUGGAAACCACUAAUGGGUUCUAAGCAGGUAGGUGACAUGAUCUAUUUUAUAUGUUUAAAAGUAGAAAGGGUUAUAGUGGGAUGAAGAGGCACAGGAGAAGCAGGAAGACUGUUUGGGGCCAUAAUCAGGAACCUGGGCAGGAACUGAUGGCAGCUUGGAUGGAGAAGGCAGAGGGAUGAAUCAAUUCAGAAGGUGGUCUGAGUUAAAUGUAACUGAGGUCCAGGCUCCAGCCAGUGAUCACAGAUGGAAAACCAAUUAGCAAGCAUGGGCUGUGGUUGUGUGAGCCUUCCAUUCUCAAGGCUGAUGAUUUGUUUAAGGGCCUCUGCCUUCUUUGUAAUAACCUGCCUAUAGGGCUUUAUAUUUCACUAUGUAGUUGGCUUUGUGAUCCUCCAAAAAUGUGCCCAUUUUCUAGAGAAGAAAACCAAGAUUCAGAAUAACCAGGUAACUAUCCCAAGGUCACACUUCAGGAAAGAUACGAAGCCUGAGAUUAAAAGCAGGUCUUUGAACAAUGGAGCCUAUCCUUUUCUUUUUAUACCCUUCUUUUCUAUGCACUGCAAAAACUGAGCUCUGUGUCAAGUUUCCUGUUUCACCUGCCGAGUCAAGCAGUUAGUGCCCAGCGUUCCCAGCAUCUGUGGGCAGCCUGACACAGUAUCUACAUAGGAGAGUUUUUUUUAUGCAAUCCUUUCUGUUUUGCUGUUAAUGGUGGUGCUGUGACCCUUUUCUGUCCUUGGUAAUGUUACUUAACCACUGUGUGACUUGUUUUCCUCCUCUGUAACAUGGGAAUACUAACUCCCCUCCCAGCAUCAUUAAAAAUAUGAAUGUAGGUAAUCCAGCAUUUAGUUGGUGUUGAAUAAGUGUGCAUUCUCUUCUUCUCCUUCUCCUACCAUUGACCUAUUAAUAUUCACUACCCUGGCAGUAACACUCAUUCACUUGAUCUCAAAUGAAGACAGACACCACUGAAGAAUCACCAUAAUGAUACUUGACAUUUCUUGAGCACUAGUUCAUGAACUAUGGUGAAUAUUUUUAUUUAUUUAUUUAUUUAUUUAUUUAUUUAUUUAUAAGAAGCUUAUUUAUUUAUUUUGAGAGAGAAAGUGCGAGCAGGGUAGAGGCAGAGAGUUGAGGGGGGGGCGGGGGGAAGAGAAUCUCAAGCAGGUUCUGUGCUGCCAGGGCAGAGCUCGAUGCAGGGCUUGAACUCAGGAACCGCAAGAUCAUGACAGGAGCCGAAAUCAAGUUGGGCGCCUACCCAACUGAGCCACCCAGGUGCUCCAAACUAUGGUGAAUAUUUUAGUCAUUAUCUCGAUUAAUCCUCGCAAGCUCCAUGAUGCAUAUAUUGAGUUCAUUAUGCCCAUUUCACAGAUGCGGAAAGUGAGUCUCAGCAAGAUAAUACAAUUUACCCAGAUGCAACACAGCUAGAAUGUGAUUGAGUCAGAAGUCAAAUGCAGGUCUCUCUGACUCCGGAACAGAUGCUCCUACCCACUCACCCCCUGCCUCCCAAGCAAGACUAGCUGUGCUGUGACAGGUGCCGGGUUGCCUCACUAAUUAGCCUCUGUGGCAGAUGUGAGUCAGCAUAGGGCCCGAAGCUGGCAGCAGGAGAUGUGUUAUCUCAAUUAGGCCUCGAUUUUAACUUCCAGAGAGUGAAAGGAGGUUGAGUCUCAGAAGUUGCUAAGUGAAUGAAAUCGAAACAGCCAGAAAUGACUUGCCUUAGGGGAAACAAACUCCUAGCUUCCUGGGUCACAGAAAUUUUGUUUCCUCUCUCUGGCAGAAUGCUGAGCCAGCAAAAGUCAUAGCCCUGUCUUACAGUUUGCUCGGGUGGAAACUUGAAAGAGGCUCGGUACUUUGAGUCAAAUGCAGGGCGAAGGAUCCACGACCCAACGUCUUCUGUCUCAGGGUGACCAAGAGGCAGUGAGGGCAGGGUGGUGCCAUACCCUGAGCGUGGGUCACGGAGUUAGGCCAACAGGGGUUCAGAUCCUGGUGCCGUCACGCUCUGGUCUUGAGCAAGUCAGACUCUUCAUCUAUAGCAAAUGGCCUUUGAUGCUGACUCAGCAGAGUUGUGGAGAAGAUCAAAUUAGAUCAGUAAAGUGCUAGGCGUUGAGCACAUAGUAACCACUCAGUACAGGGUAGUUACUGGGGUUUUAUGCAUGUAGAGAGCUCGGAAGCCUCCCUGGAACAUAAGCAUAUUAUAUCAGCUACACUUAUUAUUAUCUCAGUGUUUUGACAAUGAUAGCACACAGCUUCUCUUGCUCUUAACCCUCUAGUUCACUACACAUCCAAAUAUAACACAACUAGAAUUAUAACUCCCUGAAAUAUUUUGUGGCUCAUAGAUGUUUCACUUAAAUUAUUUUCAUAUAACUUUAAGUCUCUUAAAAAUCCACUUUCACACAACGAGAUAACACAGCACACACACAAAAAAACUGGCUAAAAUUAAAAAGACGGAUAACCCCAAAUGUUGGCAUACUACUGCUCUCAUACAUCAUUUGUGGGAUGGUAAGAUGGUGUAUCCACACUGGAAAAGGGUUUGUUGGUUUCUUAUAAAAUUGAACACACACCUGACCUAUGGCCCAGAAGACCGGCAACUUGUCACCUACCGAAGAGAAGGAAAACCCUUAUCUGUGAAAGACUUAUGAGAAUAUUCAUAGCAGACAUCUUCAUUCCAGCCCCAAAUUAGAAGUAGCCAGGUGUUCAUUAGCAAGAAGUAGACAAUCAAAUUGUGGUAUAUUGUACAAAAGAGUACAAAGGAACAACUUACUGAUACACAUAACAUCAGAGGUGAAUCUCAAAAAUAUGCUGAGUAAAAGAAUCCUUACACACACAAAAAAAUACAUACUAUUUGAUCCCACUUAUAUGAAGUUCUAGAACAGGGAAAAGCUAUCAUGAAUUAAAAAUUAAAGGAAUAGUGGUUGUCUCUGGAGCCUGAAUGAGAAUGGACGCCUUGGGGGGGAGAAUGGCAAUAUUUCAUUUCUCGAUAAGGGCUUUGCUUACAUAAGUAUAUGCAUUGUCAGAACUUAGCGUGAAAGUUCACGUAAGAUUUGUACCUUUCACUGUAUCUAACCUUUCCCUCCAAAGAAAAAGAAUAGCAAAUUCUGAACAAAACCCACAUAUGUUGAACUCUAGUUAAUGAGAUUCAUGCUGAAGUAUUUAGAGAGAAAAUGCACAGAUGUCUUCAGUUUAAUUUAAAAUGCAUCAAAAAUUAAGAUGAAUUGAUGAAUGGCGAUAGAGAUGGAUAGAUAGAUAUGUGAAAAAAAUAAGUAUAGUAAAAUGUUGAGUAAUGGUUAUAUGGGAGUUCAUUAUAGAAUUAUUCUGUACGUUUGAAAGUUUGCAUAAUGUUGGGGGAAAAGCGAAAAAAUAAUUCUUUAAUAGUUACUAGCUUCCGGAUAAAGAGAUAAUUCUAAUGAUCAUAUUGGAAGCCUAAUGCAAAUAUAUCAUAUUAAGGAAUGUACCUUCAAGUUUGUUGUUAUGUUUUAAGUGGGUAAGCGUGGACUUACAGGCCACUGAGGGUCAGAAUGAAAUGUGAUUUAGUAAAGGAAUUAAAUUGAUGGUUUACCGUCUACAUUCAUUACCACUAGAGAAUUUUUUUAAAGACCUAAUUUUUUUAGAGCAUUUUUAGGUUCAGAGAAAAACUGAACAGAAAGUACAGAGAUUUCUAUAGAGAUUUCCCAUAUAUCCCCUGUCCCCACACGGGCAUAGCCUCCUCCAUGAUCAACAUCCCCCACCGGAGUGGUGCACUCAUUACACUGAUAAACCUACAUUGACUCAUCAUUAUUACCCCUAAUCUGUAAUGUACAUUAGGGUUCACUCUCAGUCAUGUACAUUCUGUGGCUUUAGGCAAAUGUAUAAUGAGCUACAGCCACCAUUAUGGUAUCAUAUCAUACAGAGUAGUUUCGCUGCAGUAGAGAAUUUUUUCCGUUGGUUUGCUCCUGUUGAAUAAGGAGGUGGCUCUGGUAGCCAGGUAUGGUACCAUUGAUGAUUAUGAUUCACUUACCCAUAUGUAGAGCCAGGGAGGGAGACCAGGGCCAGUGCUCUCACCCCAUGGAGUAGCUGUCCUUAGCCCUACACUUCAGACUCCUCAGGAGAGAUUAUGGUGGAGCUGUGGAGAGGUGCCUUCUUUAUGCAAAUGAAGACAGCACAUUCUUCAUGUAUAGGAAAGGAGCUGUUCUGGGCACACUAUUUACUCUGAGCUUCAUUUAACAGUUCCAAGGUGGUCAUCAUCAACCACAUUUCACAGAUGAGGAGACUGGAGAUCGGAGAGGUCCAUUCAUUGGUCUGUAGUCCCAUAACUAGGGAGUAGCAGAGGUAAGACUUGAACUCAACCUAACUGGUUCCCAAAGUUGUGACCUCCUACCACUUAAAAUUCUGGAAAGGGAGAUAUCUUCCGGGGUACUUAGGAUCCAGAAUGCAUUUUCCCAGAGAUACUAAAUUAUCAAAGGUGAUUGGGCACAAUAGAAAUUAUAGCUUUUAUACCUGUAUUUUUUUUUUUUUUCAGUUUUGAGCUAAGCAGGAUUCUCUCAGCUUGCCUGGGAACCUAAUUCCUAUGCAUAGCAUUAUUUUGAAGAGAGUUUAUGUCCCAAGAUUUCAAUCUGUGACCUGAAAACUUUUGAGACAAGCUUUCCAUGAGCUAGGAGCCAUCUGUAUUAGUUAUAUUCUGUUGCUUAUAUAUGACUUUGCUAUUUACAAAGUGCCUUCAUGUCUGUAUUCUUCUGUGGGCCCCAGGGCCAUUCUGCAACAUGGAGAAAAUGAGGAUAGGAUCAUUAUCUCCAUCUGACAAGUGCCAGGGAAGUCAGGAGAGAGGUCCAGAAGUUUGCCACACAGCUAGACAAGGGACAGAGCCAAUUUGAGAAUCCAAGCCCCAGGACACCUAGUUGAGUACAGCUCACCCCUCACCCACUUUUUAUUCCGUUUUGGCUGCAGGCCUGUAGGCCCAGUCUAAUUUACAUGUGAAAUCUUACCAGUUCUUGGUCGGUGACCAAUAUAUAAUGUGCAGCUAAUGAGAUAAAGUACAAUUUCACUUUUGUUAGCAAGGAAGGGGAACUCUCGAGGGGAUCAUAAUAAUCGGGCCUUUCUCAGCGGAACUCAGAGAGUUUUAUGGGCAUGGAGAAACAAUCCAUCCUCACAAUGGACCAGUGUGCCUGGGCACUCCCAUUGUCCUCGCCAUUCUGUGGAGGAGGAGAGAACAUUAAGAGAUUUGGCCCAGGGUCACCAGCACCCAGGCUGUCAAUCAUACAGUCUUGGUGACAGAGCAGGGAGUGGAACUGUGACUCCCAUGUAACCAUCCAUGAGAAUAUGCUCCAGCUAUCACAUCGUGUAAUGUAUUUUUGAAUACCCCAAAGAGCUUUUGCCAAGGAGCAGAAAUGGAUGUUCCGUACGGCAGCCUUGAGACUCAUCAGCAAGGCCAUGUCCAAGGUCAAAAGGAAAUCGGGGUAGGCCCUAGAGAAACCCCAGACCUCUUUAUUUCAUCAGCCUAUGAGCAUUUGUAUUUUUUAUCUGUGAAGGAUCAUGCCUUUGCUUAAGACAUCUAAUCAAGCCUGCCAGUAACUUCCUUUGUGUCCUUGGGUGAGUCACUUUACAUCUUUGGGCCUCAGUUUACUCCUCUGGAAAAUGACAGUUGGAGCAGAUGACCUCUCAUUCUUUAGAACCAUGAAAAAAGGAGAUCCUUACCUGGAGAACCUGAGAGCAUUUUUCUAGUCUGAAUGUCUCCGAGAGCAAGGACCGUGUUCUUUUCUCUGUGGCCCCAGUGUCUAGCCCAGUUGCUGACACAUAAACGUGGCUUGAUGAAUGUUGAGUGAGUGAAUAAAAAUGGCACAGCCCCUUUGCUUAGGAUGAGCAAUGUUAUCAUAAAUUCUGUACAUCGCUUGCGUGUAUUUCAAGUGUGACCCAUUUCAUGCUGGAAAUGCUGGUUGUUAAUCAUCCUAGAGGCCUGUCAGAAUAUAAUCACUGGCUCCAAGAGGUUCUCAUGACACAGAAGGCCAAGUCUUUCUGUUACUGCAGAGGUCUGAAUGAUAGCUGAUGGGCAAAGCUAGAGAGUGAGAGAGGGACUCAACUCAACCAUACGAGAAUUCUAAUUGUGACAGGGGCUUGAGGGUUAAUUUUUACAGUUGGAGUAAAGAAUCUUGAUGAGAGGCCAAAUGGCCACUAGACCCUAGAAGAAAAACUAGAGCCUCCUUCCAUACCCAUGAUUUUGUGUUCAUCAGCCCACUUUUCAUAGGGGAUGUACGCAGAUAUUUGUCUUAGAGGAUAUGGCUUUGAAUUCCAUUCUGAAACUUAUUAAUCAUGUGAACUUAGGUAAAUCUAAUACUAGUACUAUUAAUAAUAACAUUAAUAAAACUUGUGAUGAUAAGAAUAUGAAACUGGCACUUACUAAUAGGCAAUAUAUGUCAAGUGCUUCGUGGAUUUUUUUUUUUCUUUACACUAACUGAUUUAAUCCGCUUGAAGAAGGACCAGUUAUUGCUAUCCAUCAGAUGAGUAAACUGAGGCACAGAGAAUUUAGGUAACUCACCCCAGGUCUUCCAGUGAGAAGGUGGCAGAUCCAGUGAUUGAGUCUCUUGACUCCAAAGCUGGAGUUCUCUAUCAGUAAAACUCUGUCCUUCCAUUUAUUAGGACUGUAAAAUUGGGAUUGUAAUAUCCGGUCAUUCUUACAGGGUAGUUAGGAAAAUCAGGUAAGUUUCAAAUUGUUUUCUCUUCCAUCAGACAGUCAGCUCUUGAGAUGCAUGGUUCAUCUGGGUAUCCUUCCGAGUGGUAGAUUCACAAACAGUGGUCAGUAACUCUUUGCUGAAUAAAUAUACAGAUUAAUGAACAAAAUAAUAAGAAACGGCCUUAUGAAGAGCAAGGUGGUAUACAAAAGUUGUUGGUUUUUUUUUUUUUUGAUGUUUCAAAUUUGUACUCAGCCUUGUUUAACAUAUUUUGAACUUGCAAAGUAACCUUGCAACAAAGUAACAUAUUUUGAACUUGCAAAGAAAGCUGCUUGUUAGUGCAGUGACUUUAAUGCCCAAAUCUUUAUCUAUUUUGAGUGUUUCUUUCUAAUUCCUCUCACCAUCCUUGGUUGUAUUUAAUUUACAUUUGUAUGAAAUUUGGAAGUGAAAAUUAUGGCCAGUGUUUGUACUUUAUCCAUUUCUCCUAAAAUUAUUUAAUUAAAAAAAUUUUUUUAACAUUUAUUUAUUUUUGAGAGACAAAGACAGAGAAUGAGCAGGGGAGGAACAGAGAGACCUGAGGGAGACACAGAAUCUGAAGCAGGCUCCAGGCUCUGAGCCAUCACCACAGACCCUGAUGCAGGGCUUGAACUCACGAACCACAAGAUCAUGACCUGAGCCAAAGUCGGACGCUUAACUGACUGAGGCACCCAGGCCCCCCAAUUUCUACUAAAAUUAUUAAUGCUGUUUCUGGUAGGAGAAACCAAGUGUUUGAUACAACCAACAAGAACCUCGUAAUAACCCUGAGAGGUUCAUGGUUUAGCCCAUUAUACAUGUGAUGACCCUGAGACUCAGAUUUAUUUGCUAUUGCUGUUGCUCAUUCAUUCAUUCAUUCAUUCAGCAUACAGGAACUGCACUGGAGUCUAGCAUAUGAUGUCACUUCAGACUUGGUCUCUGUCCUAAAGGAAUUGUGUGGAGGACAGCUAAGAGUUCAGUGGGAGAGCACUGUUUGGCUAGCCUAAUGGAUUCUAAACUUCCGGUUGUAGAUCCAGGACUACAACCGUGACUGUGGCCCGAUACUUGUCACUGUUGAUACCCGGAGGUCAUGGACACUAAAAUGGAAAGGUGUGGUUUGCUAACCUAAAGCCAUCAAUUUGGUUGUCCUUCCCUUCUCACGAGCUAGCUUCUGGGUGAAUGAUCACACAUGGACAACCUCCAUUUAGACUGUGCAUAUCACACUCAACACUGAGAGACACAUCUUAAUUUUCAUGCAAAAUCAUUUCCUGCUUCUAUUUGAUAUCAGCAGAACAUGUGUGUUUCAGCCCCUGUAUGCAAACCUGACAGGAACCUGUGGAACUCUCUUCUUGUUGGGAGAGUUAUAGAAUUGUUACUGGGCGUAGCAUUAUUCUAGAGCUCCUAUGCUCUCUGUCCCUGUUCUGUAAGUUGUCUUCUCCUUUUUCAUUCAAACAAGAAAGAAAGCAGGUGGGCAGGCAGUAAGGAAGGCAGGAUGGUUGGAAGGAAAGCAAGCAGGAGGCAGAAAGGCAGGGAAGAAGGCAGGAGGGAAACAAGGUAGGCAGGCAGGAAGAAGGCAGGAUGGAUGGAGGGAAGGAAGGCAAGCAGGAGACAGGAAAGCAGGAAGGAAAGAGAGUAGGCAGGAAGAAGGCAGGAGGAAGUCAGGAAGACCGGAAGGCAGGAAGUCGAAAGGAAGGAAGGAAGGAAGGAAGGAAGGAAAGAAGAAAGAAAGAAAAGAAAAAAGAAAUGCGCUACAGUCAAAGAAAGUUUGAGAAUACAAAUACAAAGAGAGUCCUUAAUUAUGAAACUUCUUGGAUGUUUUAUUAUGCUAUGGACAUCAUAUAUUUGCACAACGGUGUUAUCAUGAUGUACAUUUUUCAACUUACUUGUCCAUGGACACUUCUUUCAUGGAACAAAUAUGAACAUUUCAUGGGAUGGUGGUUCCUUGGGACAAAGCUGCUUCAGACAUCAGGCCCUCAGGCUGUGCACUCUAUUCAGCUUCUGUUUUCUCUAUUUUAGUUCCUUUUGCUCUCUCAUACAGUGAUUUCCAAAUGUCCACCUUCCUUUCUUCCUAACCCUCCUUCCUUCUGUCUUUUUUUCUGUCCUUCCCCAUCUACUUAACUGCAGACCUAUACUAUGUGCUGAAAAGACUAGUGAUUGGCACUGAGCCCACAACUUUGUGGAGCUCAGCAUCAAUGGGAAAGACAGACAUGUAAGUCUUAUGUGACGCUAUUGUUUUGGGUGUUAUGAGGGAGGAAACUGUGGGAUAUGGUGAAGAUGUAAAGGAGUGGAUAAGAAGGAGUCAAGAGGAGGUCUUUUUUUUUCCUUUUUGAAUUUUUUUUUUUUGAGAGAGUGAGAGAGUGCAAGUUGGGGAGGGGCAGAGAGAGAGAGAGGAGAGAGAGAGAGAAUCCCAAGCAGGCUCUGUGCCGUCAGCGUGAAGCCUGACGUGAGGCGCCAUCUCACGAUUGGUGAGACCAUGACCUGAGCCGAAAUCAAGAGUCAGGCACUUAACCAACUGAGCCACCCAGGCGCCCCUUGAAGAUUUUAUUUUAAAGUAAUCUCUACACCCACAUGGGGCUGCAGCCCUGAACCCUGAGAUCAAGAGUUGUACAUGCCACUGACUGAGCCAGCCAGGUGCCCCAAGAAGAGGUCAUUUAAAAAAAAAAUUGUAAUGUUUAUUUUUGAGAGAUAGAGAGAGUGAAUAGGAGAGGGGCAGAGAAAGAGAAAGAGAGAGAGAGACACAUACACAGAAUAUGAAACAGACUCCAGGCUCUGAGUUGUCGGCAUAAAGCCUGAUGCGGGGGCUCGAACUUAAAAGCCAUGAGAUCAUGACCCGAGCCGAAGUCAGAUGCUUCACCGACUGAGCCACCCAGGCACCCCAAGAAGAGGCCACUUUUAAGCUAAGUCUAGAGAAAUGAAUAGAGAUCAGUGACAGAAAAUGAGGGGAAGUUAAUUUCCAUCAAUGAAAACCAAAAGUGGAAAGCCAGAGAUCACAGUAUAGCCUGGAAUAUCUGGAAAGCUGCACGUUUGACUGGAGUCUAACCUUUAGGAUAUAAAUGGAAUAGUGGAUGGGUGAUGAUGUAAGAAGCAGGACAUGAGCCUCACGUUUGCAUGUUUGAAGCCAUGAUUAAGUUCUUUCUCCAAAUAUCAUAAGUCAAAAACUUUUCUAACUGCCUUUGGUCAAAGUAAGGAAAUCAGUAUUACUGACCUUGUUGUGAAUGUGAAUCCGACUAGUCGAGCCUUUUUCCCAACAUGUAUUCUGCUGAAUUCUCAUAUUGUGAGGUGGUCUGCGUACAUGUACCCACACAUGCCUGCAAACACACAAAUUUUAAGGCCCAUUGGCACAUUAAAAACUAAACUUCGUGUGUUUUUUUUUUAACCUUGGAGCUCUUUCUUUGUUGAGGAACGUAUAUUUACAUGCCAUAGAACAUGCUUUAGGAAAAUCUUUCUGACACUUUGAAAUACUGAAAAUGGCACUGCUAUCACAACUUUAGAAAUUACCAGGUGCCUGGAGAUACUGGGCUGGAAGUCAUUGCUACCAUGUGAGCCUUAGAGAAGUGACGAGAACUGCUUUAAUGUCACAGGGCGUAACUGAUGGAGAACCAGAGUUCAGGUCUCCUUGUUCCAGUCCAGGUCUCAUUUUAUUACACUAAUAAAUGGUCCAGUGAAAGUCAACAGGCAUUUAUUAGGGACUCCGUGUGCCUGUGACUGUCCUGUGUGCUGAGGAUGAUGUUGAAGUUUGCUCUCUAAUAGGAGAGAUAAGGCUCCACCAAUAGAUGAACAAAUAGUGUCAGGCAGGGAAUAUUGUCAUGUAGAAGAACAAGGCAAUAUGAGGCAAUAAAGAGCAAUGAGCCGGGGAAGUGAAGUUAGGACCUGGGGUUCUAGGGGUGAUUGGGGCCACAGCCAUGUGAGUGCUUAGGGGCCAUGGUAGGGACAUUUGUACUAUUUGUGGGUUUUGAGUGGAGAAUUGACCCGAUUUUAUUUGUGUUUUAAAAAAGCUCAGAGCCGGGCACCUGGAUGGCUCAGUCAGUUGAGCAUCUGACUCUUGAUUUUGGCUUAGGUCAUGAUCUCAUGGUUCGUGAGUUCAAGCUCCCCCAUCUGCGCUGACAACAUGGAGCUACUUGGGAUUCUCUAUUGCUCUCUGUUUCUGCCCCUCCCUGACUCGAGCACACGUGCUCUCUCUCUCUCUCUCAAAAAUAAAUAAACGUUAGAACAAAUAAAAAAAGCUCAAUAGUGCUUCUUUCUCUGUGGGGAGGAGACCAAAAGACCAGUAGGGAGGGUAGUACCAGGGUCUGAGUGAGAGAGGACAGUGGUUAAGUCCAGGGAGGGUGCAGCAGAGUGGCAAGAAGUACUCUUAUUCUGGAUCCAUGCGAAAAGUACAGUGGAUAGGAGUUGUUGACAAUCAGAUAAAAGAGAGAAGAGAUGGGCAGCUCUGAGGCUUGGCCUGGUGACAUGGGGCGGCUGUCUUUUGAAAUGAGAAAAGUGAUGUGCUUCUGACCCUUUGGAGCUUAAUGUCUAGUUAGAGAGUCAGCAUUUUUAUGGUCCUUUUGUUUCUGUUACUAUAAAAGGAACACAUAUCCCGGUGAAAAUGAUAGAAUAGUACAAAAUGCAUACAGUAAGAUGUCGGUUCCCUGAUUUCCUUUCCAAGAGGCAGUGUGUCCAGAUAUGGCCUAAGAGUACAUGUUGUGUGUGUAUGUGUGGGUAUAUUAUAUUCACUUUUCUUUUUUAGUAUGGUGGUUCAGUCCAUAUACUUUGCACUGCACCUUACUUUUUCCACUAAGUAAUAUAUCUCAGAGAUUAGUCCAUAUCAACAUAGGUAGAAAGACUUCAGGGGCGCCUGGGUGGCUCAGUUGGUUGAGCGUCUGACUUUGGCUCAGGUCAUGAUCUCACAGUUUGUGGGUUUGAGCCCCGCAUCGGGCUCUGUGCUGACAGCUCAGAGCCUGGAGCCUGCUUCGGAUUCUGUGUCUCACUCUCUCUCUGCCCCUCCCCUGCUCGCGCUCUGUCUCAAAAAUAAAUAAAAUUUAAAAAGACUUCAUUCUUUUAACAACAGUGUGUUCCAUUGCAUUGCUGUAUUAUUAUAUAUUUAAUUAAUUCCCUACUGAAGGACAUUAAGACUGUUUCAGUGUUUUUUUUUGUUUUGUUUUGUUUUUUGUUUUUUGUUUUUUGUUUUUUUCCAACGUUUAUUUAUUUUGGGGACAGAGAGAGACAGAGCAUGAACGGGGGAGGGGCAGAGAGAGAGGGAGACACAGAAUCAGAAACAGGCUCCAGGCUCUGAGCCAUCAGCCCAGAGCCUGACACGGGGCUUGAACUCAUGGACCGCGAGAUCGUGACCUGGCUGAAGUUGGACGCUUAACCGACUGCGCCACCCAGGCGCCCCUGUUUCAGUGUUUUUAAUUUACUAAUGACACAGUGUUGAAUAAUAUCUUUGAACAUGUGAACGGUCUCAGAUGUGGACUGAGAUCUGUAGAGUGAAUUCCUAGAAGUAGGUUUUGUGUUGUGUUUCAAAAGGAAUAUGUACAUUUAAAUGUUGGUCCAUCAAAAGGGUUGUGCCAAUUCAUUGUCCAGCAACUAUGAAUGAUGACACUUGUCAGGUGGGUGAAAACCUUUAUUAUAACAGUGAAACCAAUGACAACUUAUGUGUAUGUGUGUUGCAUUAUAAUUGCCAGAGAGUCUUGCCAACUAUUAUUUAUUUAGUCACCAAACAACUCUAGAAAGUAGAUAUUUGCUUUCUAAUUUUGUGAGGGUGGGGAGACUUGGAGAGAUUGAUCAUUUGCCUAGCUAGUGAAUGGUAAAGUCAGGAUUUGAACCCAGAUCUCUCAGAUACCAAAGCCCAGAUGGACUCUAGUUCAGCCUUUGCAGAAAAAGGCUUCCCAAGGCCACACUCAGAGUUCUGUCUCUUAGAGACUGAACAACCUGUCCCUAAAAAUAACAUGACAUUAUCUUGAUAAGACCUUGGCAGAAAUGCUGUUUAGAGCGUUGUAGCCACAGAAUGAGGGUCAGACUAACUGACCUUCAGGGUCCUUUCCACAGUUUAAGCUUGCUCACAUCUCAGCCUUAAUAACUGCAUUGACAAAAUGAGAAUAAUAUUGCCUCCUUCUAACUACAUUAGAAUGUCAUGAAGGUAAAGGAGAUAGUAUCCCUGAAGCACUUAACAAAAAGAAACUCUAUAAACCCACAUUAGGCUGGUGGGGGGCUGGGGUUGCUGCCAUGGUAUGGAGCUGUCCAGUCUGCUUGGCCUCCCCAGGUAUUUAUCAGGACUAAGCUCCCUCAAAUGGAUCUGUAUUAGAUACAGAUACAAGUAUAAACAUGUGCUCAUGUACACACGCUGAACUACUUCUAACUGACCGGCACAUUGUGUAGGGAUUCACAGAAUUUUAAAAUUUUUAUUGACAUCUAGCUCAGCUCACUGUAAGUUUCUCAGUCACACUCUUGUAAAUGUCACAACAAUCCCCACAAGUUAAGCAUUAGUUACUUCCUUUUUCUGAGAGGGUGGACACCAAAGCUCAGAGAGGUGAAUUUUCUCUGUCAGGGUCAUACAGCAAAUAGGGAGCAGAGCAGGGAUUAGAACCCGGGUUGUCUGAUGUGGGCUUUGUGUGCUUUCCUUUCCCAAAGCUUAGCUCAAGCUUUACCCCUUCUGGGGUACAUUUCUAUAUGCUCCGGUAUAUAGAACUCCGGUGUGGAGUUCUUUCAAGGCAGUAAUGGUGGCUUCUUCAUUUCUACACCCCCAGCCCUUAACACUGGGCUUCAGCCACGGUGCUGGAGUAGGAAAGGAACUGCCAAUUUUCAAGUGUCUGUGUGUGUCAGGAAGCAUAGCACUCAGUGAAUGGAAGGACCUGGGAUUCAAAAUGAGGUCUGUCUUAUUCCAAAGCCUGGGCUCUUACCAAGAUAUCAUCACCCCCUCAUCGACCCUGUGUGUUUAGCAUGAAGUCGGAAAUCUAUUUUUUUGUAAAUAAAGUUUUAUUGGAAUACAGCCACCACCAUUUGUUUACACAUUGUUUGUGAAGCUGCUUAAAAAAAAAAAAACAAAAAAAAACAAAACUUCACUGAAAUAUAAUUCACAUACCAUUUCAAGUGUACACCCAGUUUAGAAAAUCAUAUCCCAUUCUUACAGGACAAGAGAAUGGUAGAAGACUGUUUCCUUGUUGGUGUCUUGAAAGUGAAGCAGUGUCCAUGUGCGAACAAGGAGAGAAGACGUCGGAAGGGGAACCACUGGGCAUAUUAGCGGUGACCCCUGAUUUAGAGUUUAACCUAAAGACUUUAAGCAGAUGAGUUCACAGAAGCACGUGGGUAACUGAUUUCAGAGCACCCAAGGCCUCCCCUCUUUAAAAGAAAACAUACACAAACAGCCCACCUCUCAAGGUACCUGCCUCUUUAACACACAGCUAAAGCCAGGGUAACGGUGGGGAGGAAAUGGGAAUGCUAAUGGGCAUAGUAAAGGUGAAAAGAAAUAUUAGCAAAACAUGCUCUGGGAGUUCAAAGGUAGAUGCGAUCACAGAAGUUUCCAAAGCCUUUUGUGUCCUUCUCUCAUUUAACCUUUAUUCCGACUGUGCGGGGCAGGAUUAUUCUCCCUAAUUUACAGGUGAGGAGCCUGGAUGAACUUUUCUAUUUCAAGAUUCAGUAGAUUUCAAGCCCAAGUUUCUGAAGUAUUCAGUCAAAACCCAGGGCUCUCGGGGCUCCCUUGGGGACAGCUCCAUCCAUGACUGUCCUCCGCUGCUGAGAAGCAUGGAUAGCCUGGAAAUUCAGAUCUGGCCUUGGGCCUGGGGACUCUUAUACUGUCCUUACUCCAUCGGGAGGAGGGGAACGUGGGGAAAAUCAGCGGGAGUAGGAAAGAUACAUUUAGAGAAGAGUGUUUGGACUGGCCCAGCUGGUGGGGAUCACCCCUUCCUUGGAUGACUGGGGAACACGGGUACCCAUGUGGGCUCUGGAGUCAUUCUGCUGGCUCCCUUAGGCAGGGAGCCUUGACCUGUGCCUCCGUUUCCUAUCUUCAUUAUUGUUCUUUUCCUAGGGUUAUUUUGAGAAUGAAGUGAACUACUUUUUUCCCAGACCCCUAAGGAUAUUGCCUAGUGUGUGUAGUGAGCACUUAGGACACGUUGGCUAUUAUGAUUUCGCGUUCAGGAAUAUUAGCUGGAGCUGGAAUAUAAAGGGACUUGGAUGCCAGGCUGUAAAGCCCGUCUUUGGUUCUCUAGCUUUUCGUUUUUUGAACCUGAUGACAUCUGGGCUUUGGGAAGGUUUACCUAUGUUAGAAUGGAUUUAAAUAGCAGAAAAACUGGAGCCAAGAGAUGGCGAAGGGGCUGCUGCCAAGGGCUUGAUGGUAAUUUCGGUGUCUGGGAGAGGAGGGCCGGCCCUGCAGACUGCACAGUGUCAGUGCCUGUCAAACUGCCCGCUCUGAGGUGCUGGUUUGGCUGUUAUGGCCCAGAUUCUGCCGUCGGGGAGCACUUUUGCCUAUUCCUUUAGAGGAAAUAGGCGUCAUUUUCUUUCACCUGCCUGGGAGAGUGACUGUCUUUAUGGAGCACCAAGGAAGAAGGCCUGGGGUCUCUGCAGAGAGUUGCCAGCUCAGGAGCUGGCAUCAGGGUGGAAGCAUCGGCCCCAACCAGCAGCCCAGCUGAGCUGGGCUCUAUUUUAAGUACAGCAAAGGGCUCACCUAAAAGUCUCCUCCUAGGGUACAGCCUAACAGCAUGCCAUUAUGCUCUUUCUGGGUAAUGGUAGGCUCCAGGCUUGGCUACGCAGAGAGUCUCCCCCAAGAUUAACCCCUGCCACACGUGCCAUCUUCCCACUUCCUCCCAUGACAAUAGUUGUGCAGUCUGUUGGGAGUCAGACUCUAGGGGCUCUGAGCUCGUUGGCUGCUUGGCUCCCUUUCUGCUCCGCAUCAUGCACAUACCCAAGCCUUUAAUAUACUGCAUGUGGGCUUUCUCCGACUCUGCCUCUCCAUCCCGAGCGAGGCUUUGGCUAAAUGUGGUGCCCAAUAACUUCAAGGGAUCAAGUGCUUUCAAGAAAUUUUUCUCCUAAGAAGAUGAGCUGGGGGGAAUUGACAGCCAGGCUGCCAGCUUUGAUGUCUUAAGUAUGAAAUUUCAAUGGCUUACCAGCCGCCAAGCUCUGGUUUUAGUGCAAACGGGGUAAGAUUUAAGGAAAUGAUCACAUCUCCUGCCCUAUGGGAGACAAGUAAUGAUGGUGGAGCCGCCCAAGGAACCCAGAGGGAGAAAGGGGGAGAUUCUGACCUGGCAUUUUCAGCUGGCCUAGGGGACCUGCUGAAUCUCUUUCUUUUUAGAGAUAAUUUGGUUUGGUAUUUUUCCACAGUAAAAUACAUACUUAUUUAUCAGAAAUUCAGGGAAAAUAUUGAAAGUCAGAAAGAGGAAGACAAAGCAGUGUUUUUGCAAUUCCCCAAAGAAAACUAUUUUGGUGUGUUUCCUUCUAGUUAUUUUUCUAAGAUUAAAAAAAAAAAGAAGUUGUUAUAUUUGUUCUUUGUUUAUCUAUUUACAUUCCUACAUGUCUAUUUGUUUAUCUAAUUUAAUUGUAUGCCUCAGUUUUUAAAAAAUUUAUUUGGUUGGUUUUAUUUUUGCUUCGUCCAAUCAACAUGAUAAAACAUUUUUUUAAAUGUUUAUUUUUGAGAGAGAGAAAGAGAGAGAGCAGGCAAGCAGGGAAGGAGCAGAGAGAGAGGGGGAGAAAGAAUCCCAAGCAGACUCCAUGCUGUCAAUGCAGAGCCAGAUGCAGGGUUCGAUCUUGUGAACUGUGAGAUCAUGACCUGAGCUGAAAUCAAGAGUCAGACACUUAACCAACUGAGCCACCCAGGCUCCCCUAAAAUACGUUUUUAAGUUAGUGCAAACUCUCUGCAAUCUGCAUAAAUACUUGUUGGAACAGGGAUUGCCAAGAGUUAGGGUACAUGAAAAUCACCUACAGAGUUUAUGGAAAUGUGGAAGGAGUGCCUGGAAAUCCAAAUUUUAAUAAUAAUUCCAGAUGACUUGUAGGCAUGUGGCUCAUGGGCCACACUUCGAAAAACAUUUACUACAUUUUUUAAAGGUAUUAUUUUUAAGUAAUCUCUACGCGCAGUGUGGGGCUCAAACUCACAACGCUGACAUCAAGAGUCUCAGGCUCUACCAACUGAGCCAGCCAGGUGCCCCCACAAAACAUUCACAUCAAGCUAAAUAUUAUGGUUCUGUUGGCCUAUUGAGUGGAUUUUUCAUGGACUUAUCCAUUUUUAUCAUAAUGAAUUUCUAGGUUGUUUAUAGUUUAAUAUAAACAAUGCCGUAAUGACUAUCUCUGGUCAUUCACUUAUUCAUACUUUCAAUAGGCAUUUUUUGAGUACCGUACAAGGUAAGCCUUUUUCCAUGUGCUGGAAAGACCAGUGACCAAACAGAUCCAUUUCCUGCCUUGAGCUUUUAUCUAAUGGAGAGAAAGACAAACAGAAUCACAAAAUUAGAUUAGUAUAAAUUGUGAUGAUGCUAUAAAGGAAAGAUUCAGGCUGCUGUGGGCAGGCAAAUCAUUUAUUCAGGAGGCCAGAAAAACCUCUUUGAGAAGGUGUCGUGUCAGUGCAGCUUGAGGGAAGAAGAGUAGUUAGCUGACAUCAUUUUUAAGAUUUGCAGUACAACUAUUGGAUUAAAGGGUACUGACUUUUUUUUUAAAAAAAUUUUUUUUUUCAACGUUUAUUUAUUUUUGGGACAGAGAGAGACAGAGCAUGAACGGGGGAGGGGCAGAGAGAGAGGGAGACACAGAAUCGGAAACAGGCUCCAGGCUCUGAGCCAUCAGCUCAGAGCCCGACGCGGGGCUCGAACUCACGGACCGCGAGAUCGUGACCUGGCUGAAGUCGGACGUUUAACCGACUGCGCCACCCAGGCGCCCCUAAAGGGUACUGACUUUUAACACAACCUUCUUAAUCCCCCUCAGGUUUCAAUGUCCACAUUCACAUGUGCAGGAUAUAUAUCUGGGAGGGUCCCCUCAGGAAACGAAAAACCAUAUUUAGUAGUUCCCACAGAGGGGGGUUGAUAUAGGGGAUUCGUUAUAAAAUAGUUGGAAAGGUUGAAAGAAGAAAAGAAAAAGGUGAGUGGGUCAGAGAUUAGUAAAUACAGGAAGUAGCUACCUCACCUAGGCUUGAGUGGAUGUAAAGAAAGGUGUGGUGUUUCCAAUGCCUGACAAUCCCCUCCUACUAAGCUACUCUGUGAUGGGCCAGGGGGACCAGCCCAUGCUGGAAUCAGUGAGAAGGGAUUGUCAAGGCUGGAGUUGGAACCAGAGAGAAGGCAUCACAUGGCUUGUGCUGGGACAUCCAGAUACUGGGCUGUAGUGCUGAACCUCUGGGGAAGGUCACUGGUUGUUGAUGAAAGUGCUGAGCUAACACUGCAUGACUGACGGGGAAGUUUCAGGGGCUACCACUUGGCUGGAGCCAAGUGGACUUGUGGAGUUGCUGCUGGGCUCCAGUCCUGGGAUCCAGGAAGAUGCUUUGUACUGUAGAGGAGGAAACUUCCAAAGAUGCCAGAGAUCCUGGGUGUCCCCUGCUACCGGAAGAUUGCUGGCAGAAACUGGAAGUAGGAAGCGAGUUCCUUCUCCCUUCUUCCUGACUUGCAACAGCCUACCAGGUCUUCCUAUGGACAAAACCUAAGCAAAAGCCACCAGGUAAAAGAACAUAAGAAAUGCAGGUUUGGGUGUUAGGCAGAAGGGCAGAAAUGGGACCUGAGACUAAAUGGGCAUAUGGUCAGCACACAGAGAAAGGAGACAUCCUCUUACUGGUACCCUUCCUCCUCUGACCUUGUGCAUUGCCCCUGCAGGAAAUUAGACCAGCUCAGUAGUCAUCCAUUCCAUGGCCCCUCUAUACCCCCUCCCCAAUCCUUUCUUUUCUAAAUGUAUUUGCACAUAUAUCUGACUCUGAAUUAUCAAAGUCAGUACUCUGUUGAUUGGAUAGAUAGAUGACAAUUGAAUGAAUUAUAGCUGCUCCUAGGCAUUGCUAAGAAUCUGGACCUGUGCAUAGUGUCUACAUUUGUUCUUCCCCUAAAGCCUUACAUCUGCCCCUUCGGGUAGGUAUUAUCACUCCCAUUUAGCAGUGAGACGGAAGCUCCAAGAAGUGAAGUGACUUGCUUACUGUCACACAUUUCCUGAGUAGUAAUGAGACCCAAACCUGGGUCUGCAGGCCUCUAUACCUGCUACUCCUUUAGAAAUUUCCAUAGUAUAGGCCAACAUUUAAAGGCCAUUCUGAGAUAAUUCUUAGAGGCAGGUGGAGAGCGGCUUGUUGAACAUACUGAGUUUCUGGGAGGAUAUAUUCGUAGUUACCUGGAAGCUAACUGACCCUGGAAGUCCAGUGGAAAUGACAACCUUGCCAUUCGAGGCCAUGAUAUGGCUCCGGGCUUCUGUCUGAAACCCUCCGCUGACCUUUUCCUAACACUUGGCAUUUUAGUGUUCCGUUGAUUACAGAACACUUACAUGCAGCACGCAGUUGACUGUUUGUUAAAAUGGAAAGUGGGAAAAAAAAUAGAAGAGAAAAUACACGCUUGCCAGAGCAGUGCUGUGGAGCGGCUGUUCCCUAGGUAUUCAUCUCAGUACGUCUAAACACCUAUAAUUAAACUAGCUUUGGAGCAGUGCCUCUUGGAGAGGGUAGAAGAAUCAAUUCUGCAGCAUUUGGAUCUUGUUUUUUGUACACACUGCUCAGCAGUGAAGAUGUUCAAAAAAGACCAGAUGCUGUGGCUCAAGAAUGCAAUUACCCACCUAUCAGGGUGAAUGGAUGAUGGUCUGGUCUUGGGGACAUCCAAGCUCAGGGCAGCAGAGGGAAAGAGACAAGUGAUGAAUAUGGUGUCCUCCAAUUCUGUCUGUACCCCAGUCUCAUUUCCUUGCCGGGAAUUGUAUUUUUAUAUCCUGGAUGCAGUGAUCACUGGGUAGCUUUGUGUUAAACAGCUAAUUAAUGGGAACUGAAGUCAGCUGUCCUAUUCGUGAGACUCUAGACCAGGCAGAGACGCUUCACUCAUCUGGAAAAAUAAGUUGGGAUCAAGCUGUAUCUUCUAUAGAAAUAUGUGAGGAGGCAUUGCUGUCAGAUGCCAGUACCAGCCAGCACUGUCUGGCUUCUCAUGAAUCAUUGAAAUGACCUGAGCCUUCGGUCUGAGUUGAUGGUAGCUAAUGUGCGCCAUAUAAUCUCAUAUGCUCGGAAUGUCUUGUGAACCAAGCAUGCUAUCAAGAUACAGUUUUAAUUAACAUUUGCUUUUUAGAUAAUAUACGCAAUUUAUUUUGGCAAGAGUUCAUUGAAUGUAAAAUCUACAUAAUUAAGAUACUAAACCUGCAAUAUUUUUUUUUCUUUGCAGUAAUUUUUGCUGAAUGACACAGAUUCUGCAACAUUUAUUAUCCAGCAGAUAGCUGCGAUGGGCAAUCGCGAUUUCAUACUUUCUUUUUCUCUUCUUCUUUUCUUCUUUGCUUCUCUAAGCAAUGGAUACAAAGUCACAUAAUCAAUUUUAUUCACUUUUUAGAUUUGAGGGUAUCCGAUCUUUUUCUGAAUUCAAUUUGAUGUUAAAAAGAAUGCAAAGAAAACAUGCUCGUGAUUCUCCUGCACAGAAAUCUGCUGUAAAAAUAGGGCUUAUUUUAUAUUUUAAUAUGAUUUUGUGAGUUUAUUUCACUAAGUUUUUCACCAUCAUGACGGGAUUCUGGGGUAUGAUCAACCAAGAGCACACCGGAAGAGACCUUAAUGAUCAUUAAGAUAACUCCUCAUUUUACCAAGACAGCCUUGGCCACUGAGUCUCCGAGUGGAAAUGUGACUUGCUCAAGGUCAUUCUUACAACACGGUGGAGCCGGGACCAAGACUAGACCCUUGACUAGUGUACCUACUUUUCUACUAUUCCUGCAGCUUCCCUUUAAGAACCAUCUGCCCUCUACCUGCAAAGAGCCUCUUCCACCAUCAUCAACUACGUCUUGUAAACUUUAAAUGCCUUCAUAUAAUGUAAAAUAGGCCAGCUUGGGGGAGUGGGAGCAAAAUAGACCUGGUUCCCAAAACCUUUGCCUGUAGGGAAGAACAGCACAAUGGCCGAAUCCCAAUUGCUUUGUUCUUUGUGAUAAUCCAUAUAAUUGGGUCAGAGGGCUAAUGACUUGGCUUCAUGAAUCUGAGCCAUAUGCCUCCAUGAUUUGCAGCCAGCCACAUGCCUGCAAUGAGAGCGUUCAUGAUGGAAGCCCAGGGCCUCAGCUGGGGGAAAUAGCAGCCAGACCAAAGCUGGGAAUGGGAAACAGAAUGGCCCCUGGUUAUGAGGCCAUUUUCUAGAGGCUCCCUCCACCCCUUCCAAUCUGCUUGGUCUCUGAGCUGCCAAGUUCCUCCCAAACAGGCCCUUGACAAGGGCCUUUCCCGAAGACUCUGACUGCACUCAGAGUGCGGUAGGCAGGGAUUGCGCCAGUGUCAGCCUCUUCUCUCAGAUCUGUAGUAAGCUGCUAAUUAGUGUCAGUAAUUGCUGGAGGAGAGGAUAGCUGGCUGCCCAUCAGCCUUGGGAAGGAGGGGGUGCUCGUUCCCUCCCUCCCUCCCUCCCGGCUCCCUCCUCUCUAGUGUUAAGCCAUAAAUCUAUAUCGGUUAAAUCGGCUGUUGGGCCGCUUGUUGAAAAGGACGUCAGUGGAGUCGCGUCAGGUUAAUGGGUUUAGCUAAUGUAUGGGCAUAAGGAUAAAUAACCGAUCAUGCAUUGUAGCCAGAGGCAGAAGGAUGGAGGUCUUUGAGAGUCAUCAAAGCAGGGGACUCACAAGUACCCUUCUGAGGACUUGGGCCCUGCUCUUCUGGGGAGGAGUCCCACAGAAUCCCUUUCUUGGGCAACUCUGUUAAAGGAACAAGAAAACAGUACUUUCUAUCGGUGAAUCAUAGGCCAAUAGAUGGUGUGGAGGAACAGAAGGCUUAGAUUUGGUGCAGAUCUGCAGGUUGAGGUCCUGUUACUGGUGCUGUCACAGAUGGCUGUAACCUGGGGCAAAGGAUGAACUUCUCUAAGCCUCCGCUUUCCCAUCACUGCAAUGGGGCUGGAAAGAGCAUCUAUCUUACAGUAUCAUUGAAAUGAGCUGAUACACAUACAAUGUCCAGUACAAUACUGGGUAUAUAAUCACUAGUCAUAAAGUGAGCACUUAAUAAAUACUACGAAUUAGAUAAAAAUAUUAACACACCGGGCACAUGGGUGCUUGUGAGCUAGUAAAUUUCAGUGGAAUUUCACACAGAUCCUGGUGUCCCUUUUCCAUCAACUCAGAAGACCUAUUUGUUUCUGACUGCCCCACGGUCAUUUGUCUCUUUACCACCCCUCUCCCACCUUUUUGGCAUUGGUAUAUGAGGAAGAGGUGGAGGAAUUAUGGCCACCAGAUAUCUGUGCUGUGCAUAGCCUUCUGUAUCAUAUGUGCCCCGUGCAUUAAUGCCCAGUGUGGCAGUACUGAAAGCCCUGCUUAUGUCCCAAUAAAGCGUUCCUUCUAAGACAUACUGCAAAGCUUCAGUAGUUUAGAUACAGACUAUCCAAUGAUAUGGAGCAGCUGUGGUUUAGUUUUAUUUGCAUGUGGUAUAAUUAUAAAAUAAUGCUAUUGGUAUGUGUGUGUAGGUAUAUGUUUUUACCUUCCAUUUCCCAAAGAUCUAGCUAUUUUCUUUGCCUACAAUAUUCAUUUGCUCAGCAAAUAUGUAAUAUAUAUUAUGUUCUUAUUUUUAUAUGUAUAUUUGCUAAGAAAAUGUGUCUUGCCCAUGUGCAUACACAUCUCUUCAUUUAUUCAUUCCACAAAUAUUUAUUGAGCACCAAGUGAAUCACAGAAUUUUAGAGCUAGAAAGGAAGGACAUGCAAUCAUCCUAUUCAGGGAUCUCAGUUUAGAGAAGAAGAAGAUGGGAUCUUAACAUGACAAGCCCCCCACCUUCCCCCUAGGUACCCUUCUCCCCCAUCUUCACUUAGAGAUUAUGGUCCAUCAAUAUAAUUACCUUAUAACAAUCUCCAGUAGCCCUCAUCUCCCUCUCUGUCCUGCUGAGCUGUCCAGACCACAGUUCUGGAAAGCCUAGCUGUCUUCCUCUCCUGGCACCAGAGCAGCUGCAGGUAGCUGGAUAAAAUUGCAGCUUGAUUGCACUUCAUGACCUCACACCUCCAUUUCAGGGAGUAUGGCAAAAUGGUUAGGAGCUAAGGCAUAUUGCCUGGGUUCAUUCAUAUACUAGUUCUGCCAUGUUCUAGCUUUGGAAUCCUGGGCAAGUUACUUAACCUCUCUGUGCCUUAUUUUUCUCAUGUAGAAUAAGGAUAACAUCCUUUAUCUCACAAGAUUGUUUUGAAGGUUAAAGAAGUAAAAAUACAUGAAGCAUUUAGAGCAGUACCUGAUACUAUAGAGGUAUAUAUUCAUUAUCAUUAUUGGAUACUCUACAUUGUUGUCUCUUCUACAUACACAAAGGCUGCUGGGUCUCCAGCCAUCCAAACCACAUUCCAGGACAGCAGGAAGGGAAAGGGGCUUUUGCCUUUUGAGUCAGCUCCUUUAAGAAUCCUUUCCAGAAGGUUCUCACAGCUUCUAUUUACAGCAUCUGGCUUCAUGGACAUGCCUGGCUGGAAGAGAGACUUCGAAAUGAGAUCUUUAUUCUAAAUAGUAUUGCACCCCAAAGGGGAUACUGUUACUAAGGAAAAAGGGAACACAGAACCUCUUCAGGCAAAUGGCAGACCUUACCACAUCCACAAGGCCAAAUUUAAUGGACUCUUCUCUGACUUCCUCUCCCUUAGCUGCCCAGGAACACCCAUUCCACUCCUCUGUAUACACUUGUCUGUCUUGGCUUCUCUGAGUCCACACCCGAUUGGUUUUCCUCCCACUUCUCUGGCUACUGCCUUUCCAUCUGUUUUGCUGGCUUCUCCUCUUCUUCCCAAUCUCUGUAUGUUAGUGGGCCCCAGGUUACUACUGAACUCCCUUCUCCAGCUCAGCUCAUUCCUGUGGUGGGUGAUGCCCCACUCGUGCUGGCAGUUUCCACAUUUAGAUGUCUAACUCAGCCUUUACUCUAAACCCCAUACCCGCACCUAUUUGCCAUCUUCUCUCCGUUUGUAUAUUGAAGAACCAUCUCAAACUUACAUUUUAAAGCAUAAUUCUUGAUUUCUCAUCAAAUGGGUUUCUUUCCCAGGCUGCCCCAUCUCAGCACAUGGAUACAGCCCCAAUCUGCUGGAAGUUCAACACUUUAGAAACUACCCUUGAUGGUUCCUCGCUCUUUAAGCCCCCGCUCCCUUUUGCAACACCCAAAUAAUUCUCAACUCUGUCUACCUCUUCCCACAUUGGUAAGCGCUGCUGUGGUCCAAGCCAGCAAUAGUCUUCACCUUGACUGCUUUGAGUCCAUCUCAAUGACUCUCCCUACCUGAAUGUUUUCUCCUACAGCAGAGCACAGUGGCUGAGUGCCAGAACUCCGGACCCAGAUGCCUGGGUUCAAAUCUUAGCUCCAACAUGUGCUAGCCAUGUGACCUGGACAAGUUUCUUAACUUUUUUUUUUUUUUUUGGUCUCGAUUUGUUCAUCUAUAAAAUGAGAAUAAUAAUAGUACCUAUUUUAUAGGGUUAUUAUGAGCACUAAAUGAGUUAAUAUAUGAAAGCACUCAGAGCAAUGCCUGGCAUAAAAUAAGCAUGAUCAAUAAAUGUUAGCUAUUAUCGUCAGCUAUUACUACCAUACAUUUUUCGUGGAGUAGCCACAGUGAUCUUUUAAAAACAUAAAUUAGGGGCGCCUGGGUGGCGCAGCCGGUUAAGCGUCCGACUUCAGCCAGGUCACGAUCUCGCGGUCCGUGAGUUCGAGCCCCGCGUCGGGCUCUGGGCUGAUGGCUCAGAGCCUGGAGCCUGUUUCCGAUUCUGUGUCUCCCUCUCUCUCUGCCCCUCCCCCGUUCAUGCUCUGUCUCUCUCUGUCCCAAAAAUAAAUAAACGUUGAAAAAAAAAAUUUAAAAACAUAAAUUAAAUCCUUUCACUCCCUGUGCUUAAAACUUGCCAGUGAUUUCCCAUUUCAGUCGCAAUAAAAUUCUAACACAUUACGAGGGCCAAAGGUCCCACAUUACCUAGCCCUUGGCUCCUCCAAUCUCUGCUCAUAGCUCUGUCCCCGUCAUACAGGAUCCUCAAGCUACACCUGCUUCAUUUUCAGUCCUUUAACAUUGCAAGCUCUUUGCUUUCUCUGGUGCGUUGUCCUGUUCUUCCGUCUGUCUGCAAUGCUCUUCCCUCUCUCCAGCUGUUCAUAGGACUGACUCCUCUAUUUUCAGAUCUCAGUUACAUGACCUCCUCCUCUGUAAAACCCUCCCUGACCAUAUGCCAAAAGGGGUAUCCCUGCUCUGGUCAUUCUCCCUCUUCCUUUUCCAUGGUACUUAACACAAUUUUUCAGUUAUAUUAUUGGCUUGUUUGCUUAUUUUAUAGUCUCCUUCUCUUUCCCUCUACUACUUGUGGGGUUUCUGAGAGCAGAAACCUUUCCUAUCUUGAACAGUCAUGGAUCCUAGGACCUAAACCGGUGAUGGCACCUAGUAGGUGCUCACAAAGGAGGUGGCAAAUGAAAGAUGACUCUUGAGCAAGAUUUUAAAGAAUAAAUAGGAAUUCUCCAGAUGCACAAAGAGAACAAGGAUUUGAGGCAAAGGGAACAGCAUUUGCAAAUGCAUUCAGAUGUGAAGCAGAGUAAUGCCUUGCUCUCAAAAAAGUGGGGUGUGGUCCUCAGACCAGCAGCAUUGGCCUCACCUGAGAGCUUGUUAGAAAUGCAGAACCUCAGGUCCCUAGCCUAGACACACUGAAUGUGCAUUUUAAGAAGACUCCCAGGUGAUUCCUUUGGGAAACACUGGAGUAGUAUGUACAAGGGGCCAGAAAUAGCCAUUGCGAUUAGAGCAUAAAGUAUUUGCAUCUCAUGUAAACGUCCAAGCUCUGUGACUACUUUUGCUAAGUUUAUCAGAGGUCUGCACCAUUCUAAGCAGUCUGGCAAGGUGAAUUUUCUUUCCCUGUCCUCUGAUAAAGAUUGUCUGAGAUCUUGAGCUGUCACUUUGUGCUUUAGUUGAAGCACUCAUUCCUGGGUUGCAUUGCACAAUAACCCUUGAGCACCUGUUACCUUCCAGGCAGUGUGCUGGAGACACAGCAGUGAGGGGAUGUAAGCCCAUCCCUCAAGGAGCUCAGCAUGAAAAUGGGUUUUAUAAUACAGUUCCAGAUCCCUCUGUGUGACUUUCCAGGUUUCCCUGUCAGGAAUAAAGGUCAGCGGGGUGAAUGGGAUGGUGGGGGAGGGGGGAGGGAAUGAAACCUCAGAGGACUGAGGGUGGGGAGAAACAGGAUAAGAGGGAGCUAGAAGGCCUACAGUUUUCUCCUUCAAGAGAUCAUUUGGAGAACAGAAAGAAUAGUGGCAGCAGUAGAUUCCAACACGCUAAUACAAAAAGGAAUCCAUGACUCUAGAGUGAUACUAAAAAUUAUAGAGGGAGAAAGGAAGCUCUUUGUACAGAAGACGCCAACCACUGUAUGAGGAAUGGUAGAAUUAGAAAACUACUAUCUUGCAACUGCUAGAAUAAUAAUUGCUUUAUUGUACGUUAACUAACUAGAAUUGAGACAAAAAUAAACAAAACAAAACAAAGCAAAAAAGAAAUUAAUGGAAAAAUACAAAAACGUAAGACUAUUAAGGAUUUGAAUAUCACACUUACUAGUUUAAUCAAAGCAAUUGAGAUGACUUAACAUAAUUUAAAUACAUUACUGAGUUUAGAUGUACCCCUCCCUCUUUCUGUAUAAUAUCGAGUCCUCAAUAUAACCUAUAAUCGUUAUAUAUUAUUAUAUGUUCUUCACUCCCUCUCUGUACUCCAGCUACCCCACACACAUAUAACGAUCUCAAGAUCUAAUCAUAAUUGGGCCAUGGAGGAAACCUUAACAUUUUUCAAAAGGCAGAAAUUAAGGUGGCCACACUCACUGGCCACAACCAGGCCAACUUAGAAAUUACUGAGACAAUGCAUAAAAUCUACACACAUACAAAUUAAACAUAAAAAAGUAAUUAUGAUUGCCUUAGACAAGUAUUAUCAAUGGAUGCUGAAAGCACCAUAUUAUAAGUUAUUUGGGAAAAGGAUAUGCAUACACUCUCAAAUAGCAUCCCACAGGGCACUGAUUAAUUAUAUAGGGGAAGGGGUAACUUUUUACCUUUGCAAUGAAGAAAUCUGGUAGACACCAUAUUUACCAUGUGAUAAUUUUAUUUAUUCUUUGUACUUUUAUGUUUUUUAUGUUUAUUUAUUUUUUAAAAACUUUUAAUGUUUUUAUUUAUUUUUGAGAUAGACAGAGCAUGAAUGGAGGAGGGGCAGAGAGAAAGGGAGACACAGAAUCCAAGCAGGCUCCAGUCUCUGAGCUGUCGGCAUAGAGCCCUAUGUGGGGCUUGAACCCACGAACCAUGACCUGAGCCUAAGUCAGACAUUUAACUGACUGAGCUACCCAGGUGCCCCACCAUAUGAUAAUUGUAAAGUCAUCAAUGAUGGGACCAACUGGAAUCAUGUGAUUGAAACUGAGGAUUAUUCUGAAGAACACCUGGCUAUGUUAUUCAAAAAUGUCCAUAUCAUGGGGAUAAAAGGGCUGAGGACCAGUUUCAGGUUAUAGGCUAACAAAAAAUCACAAUCAAAUGCAACUUGAUUAGAUCCUUGAUUAGAUCCUACAUGGCAAACAAUUGUUCAGAGGACAUUAUUGGGACAAUUGGGGACAUCUGAAUAUGGACUAUAUAUUAGGUAACGGUUCUCUAAUGUACUGAGCAAGAUCAUAGUAUUGUGGCUAGGCAGGAAAAUAUUCUUGUUCCUAGAAGAUACAUGCUCAGGAAUUCAGGGGUGAAAGGUCAUGAUGUUUCCAACUUACUCUCAAGUGGUUUAAAGGAAAAAAAAUAAAGUAUAUAGGGAAAGAGAUAAGAUAAAUGUGACAAAAUAUUAAGCGUUGGUGUAUCUAGGUAAAGGAUAUUGAGGUAUUCAUUGUGUUAUAAUUGCAACUUUAAAGUAGGUUUAAAUUUUGUUUUAAAUAAAAAGAGUGUUUUACUAUCCCUGGGGGGCUGAUCCUAUACAGACCGAGUUCAGUGUAUACAGUGGAUUCUCAAAACUCACAUCAUUUGGGAUUUGAGUUAGCCUGACUACUGGCCCCUCAGCUUGCACCCCAGGAAGUGAGGUUGGCUCUGAGCAGAAGGGACAGGGGAGCCGGGCUUCUGUGGGCUCAGAUUUAGCCUCUGUCUGAAGCUUACAUCAUCCGCUUCUCUUCGGAGUGUCUGCACUAACGAGCCAUGAAUAUACAGUUCCCGACAGACUGGGGAACACUGAGGAUAAAAGCCCGCUUUCCUUUUCAGCAAAAACUGGGCCCCAAAGCCUCCCACCACAUCUAGGCCCCUUUCCUGCUGGCUGGGGAGGGUCUGGGAAAAGAGGGGCAGACUGUCAGGGUGGGAGCAGGUUCUGGCGUUUUCUUUGCAGGGGUAGGGGUCUUAUUGGGGUGAGCAGGGAAGCUAAAGAUGAGAUGAAAUUCUGAUUGUGAGUCAGGGCGAGUGAAUUUAAAGAACAUUUUUAGUCACAGAUGGUUGAAGAGAAAUACAGAGAACAGGCCCCAGCACCUCGUCUUCCUAGCUGAUUGCAGGGAGGGGGAGCUUGCUAAUGAACACAUUGAUUUCCCAGCUCCUCAGAACAAUAGCAAAUGCUUUUUGCAGUUAUUAAUUGGGAUCCCACAGCAGGUGUGGGGGAUGGAAGGCGCUAGUGAUUCUAAGUUUAUCUUUGGGGGUUAGGAGAAGAGAAAGAAUUUAAAGAGGAAGGAGGGAGUUCACGGAAUAUCGUGGCAAGAGAGCUGGAUUGGACGAUCCCAGGUUGACUUCAACUCUCACCUUGCUGUGAGCAGCAGAACCUCUUUAACACUUUGCUUUCCUCAUUGGUACAAGUUUGGAUAAUCAUUUUCCUUCGUUUAUUUAUUUUUGAGAGAAAGAGAGAGAGAGAGAUCGAUCCUUCAUGUGGAUAACAUGAAUACCAAGUGUAUUAGUUAAUACCUCUACAAAGUGCUUUGUAAGCUUUCCAGGUUAUGCACUGUUUGUUUUUCUUGUCAGUCAUUUAUUUCUAAAGUCUUUAUUAAGCACCUACGGUGUACCAGGUGCUGUGCUACAUUCAGGAAAUGUGGCAACGAAUCAGAAAAUAGUCCCUGCCCCAUGGAACCUGUAGUCUAGGGAGGAAUAAAGCCAUUGGUCAAGUGACUACAAAUGCACUGAGAUAAGCCAGUGCUAUUCCAACAGGAAGCAUAAAACAGGUUAACCCAGGAAGUCAAGAAGGGCCCUUAUGGGAAGCAAUGGCAUUAAGGAGACCCAUCAUAAACAAUAACACUACCAGCCUUCCCCAUGGAGCAGGGUCAGAGACUUAAAUACCUAGGUUGGUCAGAUAGACAAAGGCUUGAAACCUUGAGAAAGAUGGAUUGAUUCAUAUCUCCCCACUGAGGUGAGACAAGCCAAUACGUCCUCAGAGCGACCCCUGCAGUCCUGCUAAGGUUGCCUAGCCUUGUCCACGAGGCAGUCCUAGAGCAGGGUAUUCCUUAUUCUCAUGAAGCUGACACACUGAUAACAAAGCUAGAGCUUUCCCAAAGAGGUUAGGCAACUCUCCCGCUCUCCCAAAUCAAGAGGCAGCAGGGAACUGAGGUCUCCUCAGAUUCCCCUAGCAUCCCACAAUGCACCUUCCAAGUGUACCUCUCGGGGGGAGGGGUCUAGUUAAUGACUGCCAUGAGCCUGUGCCCAGUGGUACUCAUAGUAUAUAUCCCCAGUCCUAGCUGAGCACCACCUUUUAUAAAACCACCCUGGAAAGACAGGACCUCUGGAUGCAGGCAGGAUAUUCUAGGAUAGAAAGCAUAUGCCGGGAAGGGAGGUUUGCAUUCACUUCCAUUGAGACUGAAGUUCCUGAGCAGCCAGAGAGAGAAACUGGGUGCUGAGCACAGAGUGCUCUACUUCUAGUAGACUUGGGGGCUGGACCGCAAAACAAAUGUUGUGUAUGGAGCAACAGUUAAGACAAAGGGUGGAUGAAAAUACCAUGGGCGGGUCUGAAGAAUCUUUUUUGCUUGCCCUUCAGCCGUGGAAGGCUUUGUAUAAAUCAGCAAAGCACUGCUGUUUUGUGGACUUUGGUUUCCUCCUCAAGUGGUGAUGGUGGGGGUGGGGGGUGGUAAUGGUGGAGGUGUGGUCUGUGUAUGUGAGUGUUUGAGAGUAGGGGAGCGAGAGGAGGGUUGGAGCAGUGGGAGGAGUAACUUACAGAGUAAGCCCUAAGACACCUUCAGCUGCUUCUGUUGAGUUUCUGCUGUAAUCAUUUACCAGUCUGUAAAAUGGAUAUAAACACUGCUUGUGUUCUUUAGAGAGAGAUUUCUUGAAUAGGACAAAAAGAGACAAUUUUGUAAGGCCUUCCACAUCGAACAAUGGGAUCAGAUCAUACACUUUCCACUUUGCCUUCAGGAUCCAGAUGAAAUUAGGAAAUAGCUUCUAUUUCAUGAGGAAACUUUUUUUUUUUCUACCAUGUACCAUACUCUCUAUUCAAGACUUCACAAAAGAAAAACAAGGAAUAAAAUUCACACGUUUGCGAGAAACUGCUGAUGUCUUUGAAUAGCUUCCCACAAGUAGGAAAAUCUGGUAUUUUAAAAAGUUGAUUUCCCACAUAUGAAAGAACACACUUAUUGAUGAUAUGGAUGAACAAACCAUUAAGUAAGUGUUGUUUAGGUUAAAACAAAAAAGCAGUACCCUUAUUCCCAGUGUCUGGAACAAACCAAUCCCAACCCCCACAAGGGGCAAGGAAUAGGUGAUAGAAAAUUUCAUGUGGUUCUUUAGUACACACACACACACACACACACACACACACAAAUGUAGAUAUAUUCUGGGAAUAUCGAAGAUCAGUUAAUUAUAUGUUCUAAGUGUUGUCUGUGCCUUAACCCAUUUAAUCCCACAACAAUUUUGUAAGUGAGUUGACUAUGAUCAGCCUCUUUUUCACAAAUGUGGAACAGAGAGGCCACAGGGGAGAGCUGAGAAGUGGUAGCACUGGGAGUUGAACCCAGGCCACAGAGCUUUAAUGUCUGCACCCUUGAAACAAAAAUAGAACACUUGCAAAUAAAAGACAUGUAAAGUCUAAUAAAUAUAGACUACACAUUUGCUGGCUGAUAUUUUCUUUUUCUUUCUUUCUUUUUUUAAAGUUUAUUUUUAUUUAUUUUGAGAGUGAGAGAGAGAGAGAGUGAGAGCAGGGGAGGGGCAGGGGGAGAGAGAGAAUCCCAAGCAGGCUCUGUGCUGUCAGUGCAGAGCCAGAUGCAGGGCUCGAUCUCACGACCCAUUAAAUCAUGACCUGGGCUGACACCAAGAGUCUGAUGCCCAACUGACUUAGCCACCCAGGCACCCCGACAUUUUCAUUUUAUGAAGUCCCACUUGGUCCAAAGUCUUACAUAUUUGCUAUACAACCUUCAUCAAAAUGUUGACUGUCAUGUACAUGGGCCUCACUGUUAUUUCUUACAACUUCAUGUGAAUCUACAAUUUUUUCAAUAAAAAUUUAAGAAAAGUUGGCUAGCAUUAUACAUGUCGAUAAACACUUUCUAACGUACCAGUGAAUUAAAAUUUAAGUUAUAAAACUACCUCGUUUAGAGUUAAAAAUCACUCUGUAAAUGUAAAUAAAUAUUUUACGGAAAUAUCCCAGCCACUGGUAGUGGGAGGCUUGCAAAUGAGUGGGUUAUGGAUGGCUCUGUUGUUUCAGCAUCUGCCUCUUGAUUUCAGCUCAGGUCAUGAUUCCCAGGUCAUGGGAUUGAGCCCCACAUCAGGCCUCCCUGCUGAGCAUGGAGCCUACUUAGAAUUCUCUCUCUCUCUCUCUCUCUCUCUCUCUCUCUCUCUCUCUCUCAAAUUAAAAAAAAAGCAAAAUUAAGAAAAUAAGAUGGGUCAAAGUCCCAGUCAAACUCUAUCUUAGAAAAGAUCCUUAACCUGUCUGAGCCUGUUUCCUAAAUAUGUAAAUGGGGAUAGGGAGGCCUACAUCAUUGCAUUGUUGGAAAAUGGCAGCCUUGAAACCAGGCUUGUCUGAUUCCAAAGCUGCUUGCUCUUAGCGGCUGCAUGCCACCCUGAGUGGAAAGAGAGUAGGUGCCAGGUGCAGAGAAGGGAGGCUAAUGGGGCUUAUCUGUAGACCCUGCCGCUUACCCCUCCAGCCCCUCUCUUCGGCCACUUUCCCGGGAACCCGUUCCUUACUGCGGGGGCUAUUCUCAGAUUGUCAUGUCAGCUCCGCUGGGAUUGAAACCCGUGCUCUUCCCAGUUCAACUUACUUCUCCUUUGUUCCCAAACAAGCUGAAUUUGGAGCCAGAAGAUCCCAGGUUAAGACUUGCUUUUGCUGUGUAGAUUCUGGCCAGCCAUUUCCCCAGCUGGGUCUCUGAUUUCCUGUCCUUCCAUAGCAUGAAGACCCCACAGAAGGGUGCACUGUCAUCUCCAAGGUGCUUGGAGCCUCAGCAUCUCUCGUGUUCCCCUCCCCCCCACCCACUCCCCAACCUCAAGGAGUGAGAAAUGCCUCCUGGCACCUCACACCUCUUUGUGCAAUCCCAUAGCUGCAUUCUCCUACCAUCCCCUGUCCCUUCAAAAACACUGGCCCAGGGGAGGUAAGGGGUGCAGUUGUGAGACCGUAUUAUAUGUGAAAGGACAUUAGCUAGGCAGCCCAAUCCUAAAAUGUAUCAGGUUUCCAUCAUGGAGGCAUGAGGCAGCCUCUAGCCUAGGGAAAUCGAGAAGAUGCUAUAAUUGGAGCAACUCAGUGUUGCUAAACUAAAAAUUUUGCAAAAUCAAUUGAGAGAAAAAUCAAUAUGGGAUUUUUUUUUCCACGAUGAAAAGACAAGAUUCCCACACAAUUAAGAACUGGGCUGCGGUUUCCACACUCUGCCUGUCAUGUUCUCUUGUUUCUGUGCCACAACUGUUCAUCAGAAAUAAUUAAACAUUUUCCCAUGGGCAACAAUUACUUGCUUAAAAUAUUAUGAGUAAGGAGAAUACAUUUAUAAUUACCUAACCUUUCUGAAGGUGAAAAUAUAUAUUAUCCUUUGAUAGAACAGAAAAAAGGAGUUCUUGGAUAUGCUGGCUCUCUGUGCUGUAUCUAUCCCGAUUACACUAAUUGCUUUAAGGAAUGGAACAAUACUGUUUUACACACCCAAACCUUCCCUUUCAUUUUCUGUAACUUUUAGGCAUCAAAUAAUGGUUCCUCCUUCUUGUUGUUUUUGUAAGUCAUUAAAUAGCCAGCCUGUGGCUAUUAGGACUGCCAGACAGCAUCUCUGAAUUGUCCCAAUGCUAUAAUAUAAUGAGAGACGCAAUGUCUGUCUUUUAUUUAUUUAUUUUUUUAAUUGAAGCAUAAUGGGCAUACAAUAUCUUGAUAGUUUCAGGUAUACAUCAUAGUUAUUCAAUAUUGUUGUACAUUACAAAAUGAUCGCAGUAAGUCUAGUUACCAUCUGUCAGCAUACAAAAUUAUUACAAUAUUGUUAACUAUAUUCCCCAUUGUAUACAUUCUCAGGACAUAUAUUCUAUAACUAGAAGUUUGUGUGCCUUAAUCCCUUUCACUUAUUUCACCUGCCCCCCCAGAACACCCCACCACUCUGGGGUGUUUGUUUUCUGUAUCUACCAGUCUGUUUCUAUUUUCCUUUUUGUUAUCAUUUUUAGAUUCCAUACUUUAGAAAUCGUAUGGUAUUUGUCUUCCUCUGUUUGACAUACUUCACUUAGCACAAUACCUUCUAGAUACAUCCAUGUUGUCACAAAUGGCAAGAUUUCAUUAUUGUUUAUGGGUAAUAUUCACACACACACACACACACACAUAUCUUCUUUAUCCGUUUGUCUAUCAAUGGACUUAGGUUGCUUCUCUAUUUUGAUUAAUAUAAAUAAUGCUGCAAUGAACACAGGGGUGUUUCCAUUUUCUUCAGAUAAUUACCUAGAAAUGGAAUUGCUGGAUUGUAUGGAAGUUCUAUUUUUUAAUUUUUUAGGAACUUCCAUAUUGUUUUCCACAGUGUUGGCAUCAAUUUACAUCCCCUACCUUUUCUCCACAUCCUCGCCGACACUUGUUAUCUUUUGUCUUUGUGAUGAUAGUCAACCUGACUAGUGUGAGGCGGUAUCUCAUUACGGCUUGAUUUGCAUUUCCCUGAUGAUGAGUGAUGUUGAGAAUCUUUCCAUGUGUCUGUUGGCCAUCUGGAUGUCUUCUCUGGAAAAACGCCUAUUUGGGGUCUCUGUCCAAUUUUAAAUCAGGUUGUUUUUUUGAUAUGAAAUCUUUGAUACCAAAUGUAUUUUGGAUGUCAGUUCCCCAUAAGAUGCAUGUUUUGCAAAUAUCUCCUCCCAUUGAGUAGGUUGCCUUUACAUUUCGCUGAUGGUUUUUUUCACUGUGCAGGAGAUUUUUAGUUCAAUAUAGUCUCAUGUUAAUUUUAGCUUUUAUUGUCCUUGGCCUGAAGAAAGUGGUCCCCCCCCCAAAAAAAAAAAAGAUUGAUAAGACUGAUGUCAAAGAGCUUACUGCCUAUGUUUUCUUCUAGAAUUUUGUAUGGUUUCAGAUCUUAUGUUUGUCUUGAAUCUAUUUUGAAUUUGCUUUUGCAUAUGGUAUAAGGUAGAGGGCCAAUUUCAUUCUUUUGUGUGUAGCUGUCCAGUUUUCCCAGAACCAUUUGUUAAAGAAACUAUCUUUUUCCCAUUGUGUAUUCUUACCUCCUUUGUCAUAAAUUAAUUGACCAUAUAUGUGUGACCACAUAAUAUAUAUUAUUUCUGCGCUCUCUAUUCUGUUCCAUUGAUCGAUGUGUCUGCUUUCAUGCCAGUACUAUAAUGUUUUGAUUAUGAUAGCUUUGUAAUGUAGUUUGAAAUAGUUUAAGUUGGUUACUUUGUUAGCCACAUGCAGACACAAACCACGAACCCAGCAUUCUGCAUAUUUUUUACAAGUUUUAUGAUUUUGCCUUAAACACACACACACACAGUGACAACAACAUAGUAAUCACAGUAGUUAACAUUCAUGUUGGGUGCUCACAUCCUGUUAAGCAUUUCUAAUGCUUUAUAUGUACUAUCUCAUCUAGUACUCAAACAUUUCCAUGAUGCCGGUUACUAUUAACAUUCUCAUUUUACAGAUGAGAGGACUGAGGUCCAGACGUGUUCAGUAACUCACCCAACUUCACACACACAGCCAAUAAGCAGUGAAGCUGAGUUUUGGUCCAGAGUCUGUCCCUUUAACCACUACACUGAACUAUCUCUCAAAUCUUUUAUUUAUUUAUUUAUUUAUUUUUUUACCAUUUAUUUUUAUUUUUGAGACAGAGAGAGACAGAGCAUGAACAGGGAAGGGGCAGAGAGAGAGGGAGACACAGAAUCGGAAGCAGGCUCCAGGCUCUGAGCCAUCAGCCCAGAGCCCGACGCGGGGCUCGAACUCACGGACCAUGAGAUCAUGACCCGAGCUGAAGUCGGAUGCUUAACCGACUGAGCCACCCAGGCGCCCCUCUCAAAUCUUUUUAUCAGGUUAUUUUGGUUCUAUAUUUUUUGUUGUUGUUGACUGGAAAAGAAUAUAUUUUCUGUAAAAUACUCAAAAGGCUGAUUGCAAUCAUGUUUUUGUGUUACAACCUUUUCUUUUUUCGAAUUUGUUUGGCCUUAGUGCUAGUUUUCAAGUCUACAAGCAAGUAAUUACAAUAGUAAUAGCAGUUACCACUUACUGAGUCUAUAUCCUGGGCUAAGCACUGAUCUAGGAUCCUCACUUCCUUCCUGCCCCUUUCCCCAUAUACGUGAUAAUGAUACAGGGUAGAUAAUAUCCUUAACUUUCACUUGGAUAAACUGAAGCCCUGAAAAGUUAAGUGAUACAACUAAGGUCACAUGGCUAGUAAGCUCUAAAACAGGGACUUCAAGUCAUCUGCCCAUUUCACUCAGCCAAUUUUAUCACAAGUAUUUUGUGCCAGGCACUCUCCUUGACUCUGGCAAUACCAGAGUCACCAGUACCCCCACCAGUGCUACCUUGAAUUAGGCCUUCUCCCUACUACUGCCAGGGGUUGGCUCAUACAACCACCAUGUUUUAGGGUGAGUAGUUAAUAUAGCUAUCUGCACACUUUGUUUGGAAACGUCCUCUCCCUUAUUUAAAAAAAAAAAACGAAUUUUAACAACUGUUCCACAGGAUCUAAAGUUAUAUAAAAUUUUAUUGAGGUUCUGCAGAGUCUUUUAAAAGCAGCAGUAGAGGGGCGCCUGGGUGGCUCAAUCAUUUGAACAUCCGACUUUGGCUCAGGUCGUGAUCUCACAGUUCGUGAAUUCAAGCACCGCCAGCCUGCUUUGGAUCCUCUGUCCCUCUCUCUUUCUCUGUCCCUCCCCCACUCAUGCUUGUUCUCUCUCUCAAAAAUAAAUAAACAUUAAAAAAAACCCCAGCAGUAUGUAUUUUUGUGUUUGCAUAUAUCAUUGGUAGGAGGGUAUUAUGUCAGAACUCAGUUUCUGUCUCUGAUUUUGUCUCUCUUCUUUACCGCCUAGCAGCAGACAGCAAAGCUCGGUAUCCAGUAUCAGCACAUUGUCAGAGAUGCACGACUCUGUCCCCAGGAAUUAUGUUGAUAAUACAACAAAAUUUAUAAUGUGGAGUCUCCCUCUCAAUGCCUACAGUUAUUUUUUCUUGUUUUGCUGAUUUUUUAGAAGCAAUGGUAUGAUGGGUAAGGCCACAACUCCAGAGCCAGACUGCCUGAUUUCAAGCCUCCUUUUCAACACUGAUCAGCCGUGUAACCUUGAGCAAAUUACUUACCCUUUCUGUGCCUCAAACUUCCUUAUCUAUCAAAGGAGGAUGGUGGAAUCGUAGUGCCUGCCUCAUGGGUAGGUUGAAGGUGUAAAUAUGUGUCAGUGUUUAGGACAACAGGGCUUGGUUCAUGGGCCAAGUAUUGGCCAUUGUUACUGACAGUCGUCUAUAGACUGGAAUUUUAAUUAUAAUUUGAAAAGGCCUUAUUUUUUAAGACAGAAAAACUCGUCCUUCAUGAUCUACUUUUUCGGCUCUCAGAGGGCUGCUGUGUUCUUUAAAUCUUCCCUUCUGGGAGAUUAUACACACUCAUUCCGGUAAGGAUGCUCUCAGUGCAAGUCUUCCAUGGACUUUUCCAGUGAGCGAGAGGGUCUGCAUUGCAGCAACUUGCUACAAUUAGCCCAGACUGGUUUGUGGAUGUUGUCUUUAAACAGUGUGAUGCAAGUGGAUUAUUUGAACAGGCUGUAAAGUUUUAAUUGGUACAGCUGAUAAACCUCUCCCGGCUUCCACCCCCCACAAGCUGUUAGGUGUUUCAUGUCCCACGUCGCAUAGUAAGAUUAACUCCUGACUGAACCCUUCUCUUUUGCUGUUGCCCCUUACAAACCCUUCUCCACAGGGCAGCCAGAGCGAUCUUUUUCAAAUGCAAAUCAGAUAUGACACUCUUCUGCUGAAACCCUUCUAGUUUCUUCCCACUGCACUGAGAAUACAAUACAGAUCUCCCCAGCGGUACAAGGCCCACCUCACACCUAUGCUUCAAGGGCACUGGCCUUCUUUAGGUGUCUAAAACCUGCCAAGCUCCGUCUGAGUGAGACCAGAGUGCUUACUGUUGUGAGUCCCUCUGUCUGGAAUAUUCUUUCCUGGCUAUUCACAGCCUGGCAUUUUUUUCAUUCUUGUGGGCGCCGUUGGAGAGGUCACUGUCUUCAAGAGGCCUACACAACUUCCCUGCCUUAAAUGAGCCCUGCUGCCCCCACCAUUGGACUGCCGAUUUUCCAACUAAAACAUUUCCCAGUGUGUAGUUUUUGCCUCUCUUUCUAUGUUUGCAUAUUUCUUGCCAGGCUUUCCUUCUAGACUAUGCACUUCCCAAGGCCUGUCUGGCGGUCACUGUAUCCUGAGUGCUUAGCACAGAGAAUCCAAGUGAAAUACACACAGUGCACCAGAGGUUGACUUAAAGUGCGUCUGGAGUACCUAGAACCACAUUCUGCACUGAAUUAUGGCUCCUGCUUUAAAUGUCAUUUGCUAAUUUGCUUGACUUGUUUUUUUUUUUUUUUUUUUUUAAUUUUUCAACGUUUAUUUAUUUUUGGGACAGAGAGAGACAGAGCAUGAACGGGGGAGGGGCAGAGAGAGAGGGAGACACAGAAUCGGAAACAGGCUCCAGGCUCUGAGCCAUCAGCCCAGAGCCCGACGCGGGGCUCGAACUCACGGACCGCGAGAUCGUGACCUGGCUAAAGUCGGACGCUUAACCAACUGCGCCACCCAGGCGCCCCGACUUGUUUUUUUUAAUAGAAAAUGAAACAAGUCUCUGAGUUAUUCGUAAACUAGUAGGAUAUUUAUUUUCUACUCCGUUUAUGCUCCUGAAUAGGAGAGGUGAGAAUUCCCUUGGGCCCCAGAGUUUUCCUUACCUCCCCCUGAAAUGCAACAUCUUGCAGACUGCCUUAGGAUCGUUUGUGAAAGACGGGACACCUGGCUGGCUCUGUCAGUGGAGUACGCGACUUUUGAUCUCAGGGUCAUGAGUUCAAGCACCAUUAUGAGCGUAGGGAUUGCUUAAAAAUGAAAUCCUUAAAAAAAUAAAAAGGACAGGAUCCUUUGUGAAAGACAACUGAGAACCCAUGAAGAGUAAAGCAAGCAGUAGUUCUCAAAGUGUGGUUCUCAGACCAGCAGCAUCAUGAACGCGUGGGAAUCUUUUAGAAUGCAGGUUUUCCCUAAACUCACUGAAGCCAGCUGUGGGGGUGGGCCACAGAAAUCAGUGUUUUAACAAGCCCUCCACGUGAUUCUGAUGCAUGCUCUAAGUUUCACAUCCACUAAAAUCAAAGGAACUUGUGUCAGAGAUGGAUGCAAAAGUUGGAAAUUCUAUGAAUGUUUAUGCAAUUCAGUAGUUGAGAAAUACGUCCUUAGCAUCUACUGUGGGACAGGAAUUGCCGGGGUGCCUGGGAUUUGGAGUUAAAGCAGAAUGGACCCCAGUCUCGAAGAAUUCACGGUCUGAUGUGCAAAGUAGCAAGUAUACAGUCUACCUCAAUAUAUUAUUGUGAGUGUUGGGACAGAGGAAAGCAGAAAGAGCUGAGGAAGCACAGGCAGGGCUCUGUUGGCUGGGAAUUUUCCAGAGUAGCAUAGAGUAAAGGUAAGAGAGUGUGGGCUCUGGAGACAACUGACCCGAGUUUAGGCCAGUCUCCCGCGUUUACCAGCUGUGUGGCCCUGGGUAAGUUACUCAGCCUCUGUGUGCUUGAGUUUCCUAGCUUAAAAAUGACCCUGAUAAUAGUUGCAGUCACCUACUUCAUACAGUUGUACUGAAAAAUUGAAUUCUUUUUUUUUUAACUUUAUUUAUUUUAAGUAAGAGAAAGAGAGGGGCACCUGGGUGGCUCAGUUGGUUAAGCAUCUGACUUCAGCUCAGGUCAUGAUCUCAGGGUCUGUGGGUUUGAGCCCCAUGUCGGGUUCUGUGCUGACAGCUCAGAGCCUGGAGCCUGCUUCAGGUUCUGUGUCUCCCUUUCUGUCUUCUCCUCCCUCGCUUGUGUUCUCUCUAUCAAAAAUAAAUAAACAUUUAAACAUUAAAAAGAGAGAGAGAGAGAGAGUGAACGUGGAAGAGACAAAGAGAGAGGGAGAGAGAAUCCCAAGCAGAGAAUCCACACUGUCAUUGUGGAGCCAGAUGCUCAUGAACCCUGAAAUCAUGACCUGAGCUGAAGUUGGACACUGAACUGACUGAGCCACCCAGGCAUCCUUGAAAAAUGGAGUUCCAAAGCAGAAGCACUUGGAAUACUGCUAGGUUCGUUGUGGGCACUCAGUCUUGACUGCAAUCAUCAUGAUCAUCACCAUCAUCAUCAUCUGAUUGUACCAGAGGCUUUCAGAUGGACCUAACUGUUGAGGGCAAGCAGGUGAGGGUGAGGGUAGGUUAUUUAGACAAGGUUUCUGCUCUAAAUGAUGGAAGAUCUUGUUCCUUACUCAAAACACGGUCCCUUUGCCAGCAGCAUGAGCAUUAUCUGGGGGCUUGUUGUUAGGAAUGAAGCCCCUCUGGCCUCACCCCAGAUCUACCAAUUCAGAACCUGCAUGUUAACAAGAGGCACAGGUAACAUUUGAAACACACACACACAAAUUUUAAAAAUUGAGAACCACCGAUGUAGAAUAGUGAUUCUGAGUGCCAGCUGCACAUACUUGGCAAAGGCACUGAGUCCCGAACCAGAAACCCCUGCAGGUGUGGAUUGUGGGAUUGUGGCAUUUGUAACACGAAGAGGUGGGAGAGGAGGUGUGUGCGAGCAAGGCCAUGGACGGAGGACGGAACCUCAGCCUCUGGCAGGUUUGCAGUAGAGAAGCCAGGUCUGUGGUCAUGUUCUGAGGGAGUUCAACAUGGCGGCCACGAGAGGGCUGGAGGGAGGGGGUGCUUUUCUGAAAGAAAAGCCUUGACUCAGAGGCAGUGAAGGUAGAGAAGAGGAAAUGAGUUUGAGGAUUAUUAGAAAAUGGCUCCGGUGGAGCAGGACUAAACAUCGGAAAUGAGGAAGGCAGAGGAGACAAGCAUGACUUAGGGAGUAAGUUUGAAAAGCUACUCUCUGGAAAUUUUUCUUCAUAACCUUUUUUAAAAGUUUCUGUCUGGUUAAGUUUCCCUUAGCUUUCUAUUUUUAUCCAUGUAGGGAUUUCUUGCACAACACACUGAAAAGACGUUUCGGAUUGUUCCCUGCUGAUGAGGGUUUGGAGACAAAAUGUCCUGUUGGUUUUCAAGUGGUGGUGGUCGUUUUCCAUCUUGGGCCAGUGUUUUCGGCUGUCUGUUCAAUUACAGCAAAACUUCAGUUCCCCAGAUCGCUUACAGAAUGAGUCACCCCAUGCAAAGUUUUCAGGUAGCUGAGGGCUAAUGUGUUAUGCAUGGAAACAUUUAAAAUAUGUUUUGGGGGAUACAUUUUUUUUUUUAAAUUUUUUUUUUCAAUGUUUUUAUUUAUUUUUGGGACAGAGACAGAGCAUGAACGGGGGAGGGGCAGAGAGAGAGGGAGACACAGAAUCGGAAACAGGCUCCAGGCUCCGAGCCAUCAGCCCAGAGCCUGACGCGGGGCUCGAACUCACAGACCGUGAGAUCGUGACCUGGCUGAAGUCGGACGCUUAACCGACUGCGCCACCCAGGCGCCUGGGGGAUACAUUUUAAUGCAUUAAUUUUCACACGUUUUGUUUUAUUUUGAGCAGUGGGAGCUUUUUUUCAAGUAGAAAAGGUGGAACCCCAAUAUAUAAAACAGAAUAAAGAGUUACUUCUAUUAAAAACAGAAAGGAGGGGGCGCCUGGGUGGCUCAGUCGGUUGAGCGUUCGACUUCGGCUCAGGUCAUGAUCUCACGGUCUGUGAGUUCGAGCCCUGCGUCGGGCUCUGUGCUGACAGCUCAGAGCCUGGAGCCUGUUUCAGAUUCUGUGUCUCCCUCUCUCUCUGCCCCUCCCCCGUUCAUGCUCUGUCUCUCUCUGUCUCAAAAAACUAAAUAAAUAUAAAAAAAUAAAUAAAUAAAAUAAAAAAAAAUAAAAACAGAAAGGAGUGGGCCAAGCCCCUGGCACUUGACUUUCUCAAUUUAUCCAUAAUUUGUUCCCUGAGAGUCCUCCACAGAUACCUUGCACCCCAUAGAACAGUUUGAAAACCUUGUUUUAUUUUUUAUUUUUUUUAAGUUUAUUUAUUUUUGAGAGAGUGAGCAUACGUGAGAGAGGGGCAAAGAGAGAGAGGGAGAUACAGAAUCCGAAGCAGGCCCCAGGCUCUCAGUUGUCAGCACAAAUCCUGACAUGGGCUUGAACCCAGGAACUAUAAGAUCAUUCCCUGAGCCAAAGUCAGACACUGAACCAACUGAGCCACCCAGGUGCCCUGAAAACCUUUAUUUUAAAAUGAAUUUAUUUUCUACUGAUUUCAUAAACAGAAGAAUCAAAUGUAAUUUUUUAUGACUGGGGGCUUUGUCAUUAGUGUCAUUAUUAUGAUAUGACUGAGUUGGUGCAAAUAACUUCCAUUGCAAGUGACAGAAAUCCAAUGUGAACACAAGAAAAAUUACGCAUUAAUUGGCCCAUGUAACUGGGAAGUCUGGAAGUAAUGGUCCUAUAUCAGGUGUGGUCAUAUCCAGGUGCUCUAUGACUUCGUCAGGGUCCAUCCUCUGUCUCCAUCUGUGGAUUCUACUUCUUUCUGUUUCUAAAUGUGUCGUAAUUUAGCAAUAUUUAUUCCUGCCAAAGGGCUCUCUAUUCUUAUGGCUAACAAGAUGAUUUUGGUGGUCUCAGGUGAAAUCUUCACAGGUCUUGGAACAGAGGCUCUUCCUUAGUCUCCAUAUAUCAGCUCUUGUGGAAGGACUCUUAAUCCUGCCUGGGUUUCCUGCUGACCCCUAAGGCCAGUGGGCAGAUGAGUCACUGUGAUUGACGGUUCCUCCAGAAUCCCACAGGAUGGGCCAGCUAUAACAAGGAUGUUGUGCAGACCAUAGCAAUAUGUGUCUACUAUGUGCUGCAGGCUCCUUUAAAAAAAUAAUUCAUACUGUGUGCCGGGCACUAUUGCAGAAACCAAAGAUGAAACACAGAAAACACCCAGAAUUGAGCAUGCAGGUGCAAGGGCAUAUUCAUCAACCACAGACCAACAUAAUGUGAUGCAUUGUGACUGAGGGGAAUACACAAAAGAUUCUGAGAAAAAUGCUCAUUGACUGAAUAGACAAGUGGUUAAUUGUGCCAGAGGAAAUCAGGAAAGACUUGACAUAGGAGGUGAUAAUUGAUGGCCUUUGCAUGGCAGAGAAGGAGAAAGGAGCAGUUUAGAUGGAAGGAACCGAACAUGGAAAUGGAUGGGGGUAUGAUUGAGGUUGGACAGUCAGAGGUGAAGAGCUAGGGCUGUGCACCUAGCAGCAGAAGUGACUGACUUUCCUCAAUUUAUCCACACACCUCCUCCACAUUCACGCCCUACUUCCUGAGCCUCCCUUCCUCCAGGAGGGGUAUUACCCUUGCAAAAGCUGGAGAGAUGGUGUGUUUCCAUGGAUGCUGUCUCCUAGACUGCAGACCUGCUAUGGCUUCCGUCUCUAAAAUCCUCAGGGCAGCACCACCCCUCUAGGUAAUUACCACCUACCCCUCUGCCCUCCAUCAAGGGACCGUCCCCCUCUUUCUUCUCUCCCUCUCUUCUUUCUUGUGUUCUGUUCUUUCUGUUUUUGCUUCUACACUUUUCAGCCUUCUUAGGAAAAGAAAGAUCGCCCCUCUUAAAGACCAUCAACCAAUCAGAGUAUUUCUUUAGUCCAGUCAUUUUUCAACCCAGGCAAGCUCGAAAACUUGUAAAAGUUUUCCAGUGUGCAGGCUCCACCCCCAGAGACUGUGAUUCGCUGGGGCAUGUUGUGCCUGAACUUCAGUAAGUAGUAAAAUUUCCCCAUGUGACUCUAAUAUGCAGUUUGAGAACCACUCCUUCAUUCUAUGUGCAGAGUGCAUCAUGUGAUCAGUGGGCUAGUCUCUUGAUGGCCACCAAGACUUUGCUAUGGUCAGAUUUAAUGAGAUAUUCCCAGGUUUGUUACACUGUUGUCCUGUUCAUAAAAAUCAUAUUUUAGUCCUAUAGACAUCAGAUUUUACAAAUCAGAAUCAAGUAUAGAAAAGAUUCUGUCACUUGAGAGGACCACAUUUAGCAAUUAUAACGGUUAAAGACCAACAUGGAAAUGAGCUUUCAGUCAUGGAAAUACAUUGACUAACACACAACAGAAAACAUGGUCUUAUGGUACACUGGCUAUUGAUGCAUAUAUACAUUAGUGCAUUGGAUAUACUGAUACUGAUAUCUCACGUGCUUAUAAUAAUAGCCCUCAUUUAUGGAGUGCCUACUUUAUGAUAGGCAGUAACUAUACUGCAAGUUAGUUUCCCUCAAAUCCUCAAGCUAAUGCUGCAGGUAGAAAACUCCAGGCUCAAAAAAGAAAGGGAAUGUACCCAGGAUAACACAGUUACAGGUGCUAGAGCUAGGAUCCCUUGCUAGACCCUCUGAGCAAAAACUCCCAUCUCUAUACCACAAACUCCUUUAUCAUCAGUGACAAUGUGCAGGGAGCAUGUUGUGUGUGAUGGGCGCCCAGGACCAUGGUUAUCCCCCUGUAGGAGAAUCUGUCCCCAGAACACUUGUACACACCGAAUAACACUUGCUGAUUUGACAAGUGAAAUAUGAUGGCGGCUUGUGUUAAUUUGUUGUUUUUUCAGAUGUUGGUUCCGAUCAAUUUCCUUAUUUUGAAUUAUCAGACUUGAGUGCAUUGUAUUGGGAGCAAUUCAAAAGACAAGGAUGGGUUGGUUUGUCUCUUUGAACUUGUAAGCUGGGGAUGGGGAAAAGAAUCAUAAGCUUUUGAGCUUUGCUUUUAGUAUUUAUGUACAUAUCAGUCAUUAAGGUAGGGAAGCACAAACUCCCAGUCAUCCUCACCAAAAGAUUACAAAGCAUGUUUUGUUUUUUUGUUUUUUGUUUUUUUGUUUUUUUCAGCUGGUCAAAAAUUGUGUCUGCUGUUUUGCAUCUGGGAGUAAAACUGAGCUCACUAGCAAAAUGUCUGUUUUGAUAAAUCGAGAACAAAAAGACCAAAACUAAUGGCUUCCACAAUGGAAGGUGCCCUGGGAAAUAUAAUACAGAAUAGUGGAAUCAGGGGCUUGUUUACUAUGAUUCUGUGUAUCCAUCUGAUGGGGAGUAUAAAUAGUUUUCUUUACACAAAGGGACCCAGGAAAUAGUGAAUCAGAGAAUAAUUGACUUGUCUUGGUAUGUUUGUGAAUGUGCAUUUUUAUCUGAUGGCAAAUAUGCUGUUGGCCUUUGAGUCAGUCACCCACCACAGAAUUUCCUCAGCCUCAUAUGCACCGAGAACGAGUGCCCAUUCCCCCCCUCCCCCCACCAAAGAAAACAUUUCAAAUUAGCAUUAAUCAGCCAAUGUUGUAUUUGGGGCCCUAUGUGAAAGCCACCUACUGCAGCUGAAUGCCAUUCAGCAGGCAAGAAGUGAUUUGCAAUAUAAUUUAAAUUAAGAGUUGGUUUCCUUUCCCAUUUAGAACACACCAGUAUGGAAAACUGAUUGUCAGUCAUUCUGGUGAUGUGCAUCAACUUGGCUAUUCACUCAGAAAAUGAAGUUUCCUGAGACACCAGCACAUUUAAUUUAUUUUUUUUUCCUCUGUGAAGUUAACUUCAGCUUUUUAAAUACAAUGACUAUCCAAACCACAGAAAAACGAACGCCAUUAAUUUUAAUGCUCAUAAUGCAAUGGAAGCAGAUUAUAUUCAGUUGGGAUUUUUUCCCCUUUAAUAGAAUGUUUACUUGCCCCUCUUCUUAUGAGUUAAUUAUUAUUUUCUUUCCAUAAUAUUCUGUUUAUACCUGAGCUGCCUAACAGCGUGUCUGUUAAUGUCUUGAGUUUAUGAAUUGCUGGUAAAUCUAUCAUUUUGCAAUGUCUAUCACUAAAAUAUCAAUAGCCUGGCAGCACGGGGAGUGAAUAUGUGACUGAUAGGAAUACAGUGAAUCCCUUACAGAACCCUCUCAUCUAUUUUUAUAAAACAUUUAGUUUUAAUAGGGUUUCUUUUCGAUGCUUUGAUUGGAAGAUUGAAUGACUUCUCAGUGAAUUAUACAGGAGUGAGUUAAGAGUUGUUAACUUUUCUUAUUCAGGUAUUUUUCAUUCAUCUUUUUGAUCACUCAAUGGACACUAAGAGAGCGCCCCAUUUAUGCAAAUAGUGUGCUAAGUAUGAGGGGUUAAAAAUAAUUAAGACCGAGUCCCCAUCUUUGUAGAGCUCUUAGUUCUAAGCAGGAAUCACCUCACUGGGAGAUGAGGGGUACAAGUGAAUUGGGCAUAAGGUAAUAGAGGGUGUGAAAGAGAGAACUUUCCCUGGGAAGGGAGCCACCAAGGAAGGCUUUGCGUAACAAGAGAUGCUAGUGCUAGUUCCUACAGAACUAGGCAUUGAGUUCUUCAAGUUGGCAGUGGAAUAAUGAGUGAGGAUGGGAAAAGGCAGUAUAGGCAGAGGGAAUAGCGAAUGCAAAGUGGAGAAGCAAGCCUUUUCUUGGAACCUACUAUAUGCUAUUUAAAAUAAUAAUAAUAAUAAUAAUAAUAAUAAUAAUAUAAGCUGGCAUAUACAUAUCCAUCAUUUUCCACAUAUUGUUUCAAAUUCUUAUAUCUGCAAACUCAAACCUUCUAGUAACUCUUUCCAGUUGGUAUUAUCAGCAUUUCCUUUUACAAAUUAAAAUUGGAGAGAAUUGGGAACCAUAUCACACAGCAGAUAGGAUCAGGAUCAGUAACCCAGGUGUUUUCACUCCAGAGCCUACAAGUUCAAAUACUACACUUGUGGCCUCUUUGCUCUUCAGUUGAGUUCAGUCCAGCUGUGCACACAAGACGUUCUAAUAAUGACUGACAUUCAGGACUAUGUCUAAGUGCAGAUGAUAAUGGUAACUAUCACAAGUGAAGAGAAUUAUGUGAGAUAUAAAAUAUUAUGAAAUGCUUAAAACAGUGCAUGGUGUAUGAUAAGGCAUUUGUUAAUUGUUAGUAUUAUGAUGAUUAUGUCUUAAAAGAAGUAGAGCCCAAUAAUAUUUAGGAAGUACUUAGGAAUUUAGUAGUACUUAGGAAUUCAAACCACUCAGGGGUAGUUUACUGCAGAAGGCAUCAUUCAAGAAACACUGUGGAGGGGCGCCUGGGUGGCUCAUUAAGUUAAGAGUCUGGCUUCUGAUUUUGGCUUAGGUCAUGAUCUCACAGUUUGCGAGUUCAAGCCCUGUAUCAGGCUCUGUUCUGAUCGUGCGAGCGUUCUUGGGGUUCUGUCUUCCUCUCUCUUUGUUCCUCCCCCACUUGCUCUCUAUCUCUCUCUCAAAUAAAAAUAAACUGAACAAAAAACAAAAAAAAACAAUUUGUGGACUUGGUGGCAUUUGAUGUAGAUCUGGCUGGCUUAAUGGUAGAAUUCCUAUAGAUAGGACUUGGGGACAAAAGAAAUAUUUCUGCAAGAGAGAAUGAAAGGCAGAAAUGCAAGAGAGAAUGAAAGGCAGAAAUGAAAGGCAGAAAUGGAAAGGAGAAUUCCAUCAUACUUGGAAAAGGUAAACUAAUUUGAUGAAAGCAGAAGGUCUGCAAAGAGAAGCAGGAAGAUUUCACAGAUAGAUAGGAAUUAUUUACAGCUGAUGAUAUUUUUUGAGUGUUUAGGCAUUGUUCUUUGCAUUACUUAGUUAUUGUAAAACAUUUCCUGGGGUCAUGUGCUCAGUUUUUGUUUUGUUUUGUUUUGUUUUGUUUUUUCCAUUUGAAGAAAAUGAGAUUAAGAAAAGUUACAUAACUUGAUUAAGGUCAUCCAGCUAACCAAAGGUAUAACUUGGACUUGAACCCAGGUUUGUGUUACUUAAAGUACCAUACUUAUUGGACAACACUACCCUUUAAAUUUUGUAGCUCUGACCUUUAUUUCUUUUUUAAUUUAAUUUAAUUUUUUAUUGUUGUUGUUGUUGUUGUUUAGAGAGUGAGAGAGAGUGAGUCCAGGAGAGAGGCAGAGGGAGAGAGAGAGAGAAUCUCAAGCAAGCUCACGUUCAGUGUGGAGCCCAAGAUGGGGCUUGAUCUCAUGACCUUGGGAUAAUGACCUGAGCUGAAAUCAAGAGUUGGAUACUUAACUGACUGAGCCACCCAGAUAUCCCAAUGUAGCUCUGACUUUUUUUUUCUUAAAUAUAUUUAUUAUUUUUUUAUUCUCAAAUUAGUUAUCAUACAGUGUAGUCUUGGCUUCAAGAGUAGAAUCCAGUGACUUAGCACUUAGUUAUAACACUCAGUGCUCAUCCCAACAAGUGCCCUCGUUAAUGCCCAUCACCCAUUUUCCCCACCCCACUCCCCCAUCCCCAUCAACCCUCAGUGUGUUCUCUGUAUUUAAGAGUCUCUUAUGGUUUACUUCCCUCUCUGUUUAUAUCUUAUUUUUCCUUCCCUUCCUGUAUGAUCAUCUGUUAAGUUUCUCAAAUUACACAUAUGAGUGAAAUCACGUGAUAUCUGUCUUUCUCUGACUGGCUUGUUUUGCUUAACAUAAUACCCUCCAGUUCCAUCCAUGUUGUUGCAAAUGGCAAGAUUUCAUUCCUUUUCAUUGCAGAGUAGCAUGUCAUUGUGUGUGUGUGUGUGUAUAUAUAUAUGUGUGUGUGUAUAUAUAUAUAUACACAUAUAUAUACACACAUCUUUUUAAUCCGUUCGUCAGUUGAGGGACAUCUGGGCUCUUUCCAUAAUUUGGCUAUUGUUGAUAGCGCUGCUAUAAACAACAGGAUGCAUGUGCCCCUUUGAAUCAGCAUUUUUGUAUCCUUUGGGUAAAUUCCUAGUAGUGCAAUGGCUGGGUUGUAGUGUAGUUCUAUUUUUAAUUUUUUGAGGACCCUCCACACUGUUUUCCAGAACGGCUGCCCCGGUUUGCAUUCCCACCAACAGUGCAAGAGGGUUCCCGUUUCUCCACAUCCUCACCAGCAUCUGUUGUCUCCUGAGUUGCUAAUUUUAGCCCUUCUGAUAAGUGUGAGGUGGUAUCUCAUUGUGGUUUUGAUUUGUAUUUCCCUGAUGAUGUAGCUUUGAUUAACACAUCAUGACUAUUUACAGGAUAAUGUCUUUCUAGUGAAAGGGGUAGAAGUUCUGCAUUUAGAGCACUAUAGCCCUACACUUUCCCAUUUAUAGCCUGUGUCUACUUUCAUUAAGAUGGAAAGAACUGGUGUCUCUGAUUCACCAUGCACGUACACACACCCCCUCAGAUUUCCUUUUUGUGUGUACCUGUUAUAACAUGUACCAUAGAUAACAUCCCACCUCUGGAAUAAGAGCUAGUGGUUAAGAGUUUGGGCUUUGAAGACCACUAGGUGCCAGGACUAGAACCACAGCUCUGCCCUGCAUAACUAUGGUCAUAAACAAGAUUCUGAAGUUCUCUGUGUUGUAGUUUCCUUCUGUGUCUAGUGACGAUAAUAAUACUACCUAUAUCAGUGGGUUGCUGCUAGGGAUAAAGGGAUUAAUACAUAUAAAGACUAAAAAAUGUACUUAAAAUGCUCUGAUCAUUAGUAUUAGCAUUAUUGCCAUUAUUAUGCCUUAUAUGUCAUGUGUCUUUAUUUUUUUAUCUUAUUUUUAUUUAUUUUUUUUAGAGAAAGAAUGUGAGAGCAUGAGCAGGCGAGAGGAAAGAAAGGAGAGAGAGAGAGAGAGAGAGAGAGACAGAGAGAGAGGGAGAAUCUCCAGCAGGCUACAUGCUUAGUGGAGCUCGAUCCUCACAGCCUGGGGAUCAUGACCUGAGCCCAAAUCAAGAGUCAGAUGCCCAACUGACGGAGCCACCCAGGCUUGCCUAACUCCUGUCUCUUUCUUCCUCUCUCUCUUCUUUCUUUCUCUCUUUCUUUCUUGCUUUCUUGCUUUCUUUCUCUCUCUCUUUCUUUCUCUUUCUUUCUUUCUUUCUUUCUUUCUCUUUCUUUCAAUGUUUAUUUAUUUAUUUUUGAGAGAAAGAGGCAGAGAGAAAGGGAGAUGGAGAAUCCCAAGCAGGCUCUGCACUGUCAGCACAGAGCCCAACGUGGGGCUCGAUCUCACAAACGGUGAGAUCAUGACCUGAGCUGAAAUCAAGAGUUGGACGCUUAACCAACUGAGCCACCCACGUGCCCCUCUCAUGUCUCUCUAAAUAAAGAACCAAGAUAGGCUCUAUUGGUGGGAGUGAGGGAGAGGUGGUUUUUGAUAUAUUGUUAACGAGACUGUAAAAUUGUACAGCCUUCAUGGAUGGUAAUUUGACAGUAUCUAUCAAAACUUAAAUUAUGUUUUCUUUACUUGAUAAUUCCAUUCUAGGUAUUUGUCCUAUAGAUAAAUUAAUACAGCUUGUCCUUUUUGAAUUUUAACCUCUGUGUGUACAACCUAGCCCAAAUUUUUAAAGCACAGAUUGAUGAAUGUUUUAUUCUUUGUACCCCCUAAAUAGUCUAGUACAGCACUCGCAACGGAGAUACUGAAAGUUCCUUUUGUCUGUGGCUCCAUUCCUCAGGUGUCUGUGCCCCAGGCCCACUUCCAUGUACUGGGUGGCUUCUUCCUGAGUCACUCACUCCCAACUCCACUGUGGUGACUAACUUUGUACUUUAUCCCCCUUUCUCCUUCAUUGGUUUGCUUUCAAAAUGACAGAGACUUCUUUCAUUGCAGCUACGUCCUUGGCUUUUCUCGAUGACGAUUCCUGACUUGUGGCCCCGGAAAUCUUGGCAAAACAUCAUCCAGUCUCUUCAGUCCAGACCUUGGGUCCUCCUUUUCCCCAGCGUCACCCCCACUCAGCUGACCAAACCACUUUCUAGGACACAUGUGAGUAAAAUGCUGGAUUCUUUAAUGGAAAUAGUUCACAUCAUCACCUCCUCAUGCCACAUCUUCUGCCUUUGAGCAUGUGUCUGUCUCUCUUAAAUGCUGUUCCAAUCCUCUCCCUUUUUGGAACUAACUGCCUGCCUAUAGUUAAUGCUGUUAUAUUCAUUUUUCGCUUAAUCAUGGACUUGUUCGAGGAGCUAGUUGCCGGUAGAAUCAGAACCGAAAGGCACAUGCCUUUGUUCUCCUCCUGUGUGGUUCCAUUCAGGGUUACUUGUCUCUAACUUAGACUGGAGACUAAAUGGAUUAGAAUAAAACCAAUUUAAGGGAAAAAAGAAAUGUUCACAGACACAGAAAUAGAGAUUCCUGCUAUCUUGGCUGCCUAAGAUCUGCAGACCUCACCAAGGAAUUUAAAAAGUAAUGUUUCUUAUCAUAAGUGACAGAAAUAUGCUGCUUUCUGCAUCAAUAGAUAUGAAGAUUAAAGGGUCUGACCGUAUUAAACAAUUUUGCACAGCACCAGGCACUCUGGGCUCUGUUCUCUCUGCCUUAUUACUCUUCAUCUUGUGGCUAUUUCAGGCCCAAUUUAAGAAUACAAUGCAGUCUGGCUUUGCAAAUUGACAUCCUUUAAUUUAAACUGUCUUGUGGGAGAAUUAAGAAAUUAUGGAACAAUUAUUCGCCCUAGUUGAAAGCUGGAUGGCAUCCUGAGAUCCUCGCACAUUAGCCAUUUGAAUUGAUUAAAUCACAUAAUUGAAUUACACUUUUGCCCCCAUAAUAUCUUGUGGCAAAUAUGUUGGUGUUUCAUGUUGGGAAAAUGCUUCCAUAAAACUAGAGUAGGGGUUGGGGUUGGACACUGACCUGGGUGUCAAAGCAAACCUCUGAGCAGAGUGGGCGGGCACUUCAAGAUUUGUGUGGGAGUCUGAUUAGCAGAGCAAGCUGUUCCUUAUGGAGUUUAAAUGGAAGGCCACAGAUCACAACUGUAUGCAUGAUAUGGGGGAAGUAUGCAUGCCUGGUCUCCCUUGGCAUUAUCCUUCAACGUUCAGCUUAAGAGUCUAUUACCAAUCAUUCUCAGUGCUUUUUUAAACAUUCCCCCAUGAACCGAAAUGCUGGGUUUAGUGUACCUUCCUUUGUCCUGCACGUUUUCCCAUAUAGGCUUCAAUCAUGGCAGGCCCCCCGCCCCCAGAAAUGAGACCUACUUUAACAAAGCGCCUUAAAAUGAUGACAGGUUUUCUUUGCCAGGCAAUGUGGCUGAGCCAACCUACCUAGCAUGGAAAUAGCACUCAAUAAGUGUUUGUGGAAUGAGGCGAUAUUUGGAAGUCUCAGUGGUUUUGUCCCUAAACUCAGUUUUCUUCUGUAGAACAAGAAUCAGAAGGAAAUGAAGUCUGCUAAUAAUUGUUAAAGCAGUGUCCUUAAGUAGGGCUUUUUACACCACUUAUGUCAUUAGACCAUUUCGCCAAGAAUUUGUUAAACACCAACUAGGCAUUUCUUAGAUGCCUAUUAUAUACAAAAGCUAGGGUGGGUGCUGAGGGGAAAGUACACACACACACACACACACACACACACACACACAUUUGCUGUUUUUUAGAGAAGCUCAGAAUCCAGUUGGGGAUUGGGGAGGUCAUUGCAAGAAAUGACCCCAGUGCCUGAAAGAGCAAGCGGGAGGCUGCUGAAUAGUGCAAGACUCAUGAAGAGGUGACGGUACAUUCCACUUGAUUGCUUUCUCAAGUUUGUGUUGCCCUUGGUCUGCUCUGCCCCUCACCCCCUCCCACAUCAUCCAGUGUGGAACCCAGCAGAGAAGAAAACUCUGAUACUAAUGUCCUGUGGUCAGGCUGGGUGUGUGCCUUUCAUUUGAAAACUUGUCUAAGGAGUGAGAUUUUAAAGCACUCUUCUCCGUGCCUGGCCCCCAGCCCCAGCUUUCAGCUUCCCCCCGACACUGUGCAGCCUUCUGGGUCUUCAUAUUCUUUGUCUCUCCUGCAUGGCAUGAGAAUCUCUUUCUCGUUUUAAAAGCUCUUUACCUUUUCUUUACCUUUAUCAAAGAACACUCUUGGAGCUUUAAAACCCAACUAUAGCUCUCCUCCUGAAUACUUCUGUGUGGAAGGGAUUAAUCAAGUCUGUCAAACAUUGAGCUGUAAAACCUUUAAUAUUUCUAAAAGGUUUAAAGCCGGCAUAUUUAUCACAUGCAUCAUUGAGAAUAAUCUUUCUUUUUAUUAAAAAAAAAUUAAACUCUCACUGUAAAAUAUUGUGGUGAUGAGCACAGUGGGCGAAAGGCUCACACAGGGGCCCAGUGGUAAUACUGGAAUGGAGAUUCUGGUAAGAUCUUCCUGUGACAUCACUCCCCUAGAGGACACACAUCAUCUCCCACACAUCCUAUUUGUAUGAAUGUGUUAUAUUGUAGAAUUCUAGAAUCUUGGUGUCCAAAGGGAAAGAAAAGUAGGAAAAAGGGAAUAAUUUUUCUUGAGUGGCUCCUCUGUGUCAGGUAUUGUAUCUGCAUGCUUUAAAAGGGUUGCCACAUUUUAAUUUUCACAGCUCAUUUUUAUAGUAGGGACUAUUGCAGCUGAUUUAUAGAUAGGGAAGCUCAAAUUCAAAAAGUGAAGCAAAUUUCUCAAGCUCACUUGAAAACUCACUUGCAAAUCUGGGACUUGACCGUAAGCCUGUCUAAUUCUUUCAUUUCAUUUCUGGGGUAAAUGCCUGGCAAGUGCUUAACACAGGGUAGGUAACCAACAAAGGGUUGCCCAAGUUGUCAUUAUCGUUAGUAUUAAGGUUCAGAGGGAUUUUUAAAGAAAGCCCUUUAUUUCCCUACAGUUAGAGAGGCAGUAAAGAUUGUUGGGCGUGGUUCGGAGAACCUGAGAUGUAAGUUUUAAGAUGUUUAAUCCAGCAGUGGUAACGCUUCCCUUAGGAUAGGGAGGCAUUCACUCAGCUUUUUAUUAAUGGAACUGUUACAAACAUUGUAUUUCAUUACUUACUUAUAAAAUGCUUUCACAGGCACAGCCUAAUUUAGUUUACUUUUCAGCCUUGUGAAGUAAUAUCAGCACUCCUGCCAUUUUACAGAUGUGGGAACUGAGGUCCAAAGACACUGCUAAAUCAUCCUUCCCAGGUCAUUCAGCUAGAAGCAAGUGAGUCAGGUUCAAACUCUUCUUCUGGUGCCAAAGCCACAAUCCUCCCACGAUACUAUAAUAUGUUUAGACCAUUUGGUUAUUCCUAAGAAUUUAGACAAAACUCGUUCUGAAGCUUGAAAAGACCGUGGAGGCUUUCCAGAUUUAACAACCGAGGCCCAGACCCAGAAAGUAGUGCCAUAGAAGCCCCAUGCUAUGUGUGUGGUAACGCAGAGGGAAGAGGGAUUCAGUCAUCUGGGGAAGGGGAAGUAAGACCCCAGGGAAGGCCGCCGUGAGGUGGCGGCUCUUGAUGAUGUCCUGAAAGGAGGAGAAGGAGGCUCACAGAAGAAAAUUCCACAAGGGAUGCCAACAGAGAGGAAGGGAAAGAUUGUGUAGGGAAAUGACAACAUGGUGGUCCCAUGGGCGGAAGCCCUUCAUGAAGCUCGAGUUUGUUGUUUCAAUAUAAUUAGUUGUGUAAUUGCAUCCUCAGACUGCCCCCAGAACACUGCACACACAUGUGAUUAAGCCCCGCCAGCCAGGCAAUGUCUUCUCCAUGCCUCCACUCCAUGCUCCAGCUUUGUCUCCGAGUAAGCAACCCAAAGGAAGGGCCCUGAGGUUGGGGAGAUUUGCAGUCGCUUCCCACCUCUCCUAUGAACAUACCUGUGUUUACCACACUCCCUUGUAUUGUGAGAGAAAAAAGUAUAAAAGAUUUAGAAGGAGGAACAGUUUUCUGCUCCCAAGUUACUAUGAAGGCAACAGGCUCAUUUCUGGAACUCUUUUGGGUGGGCGAGAUGUCUCCCUGGUUUACAUUUAGCAAACUGUAAUUAGCGUCAGCGGAGGAGAAACAACCAUGCCGGAAGCACCACUUUCCUCUGCACAACAGCCUCUGUUCUGAAGGGCGGUCCUCAGCGCUGGGCUUCUCUCAUGGGGAGACAGUGUGCAGCUGCCUUGUGUAGCUGAAAUGCCCUUGUUCUAGAGGUGAAGCCCUGACAUGCAGCACAGGGUAGAGGCCAGUGGUUGACCUACCUCAGAUGGCAAUGUGGACCUCACUUGAGGUUCAGCCAGUUGGAAUCACGGAGCUCUUGUCUAGUUUCAUCCACUCCAUAAACACGCAUGAAUCCACACCCAGGUAAGCCGCGCUCUGUGCCGAACGCUAGAUUGGAUGCCGGGGACUGCAGAGGACUUACGCCUUUGUGCAUAGUCAUGCUGGUCAAAAGCAGAUUGAUGGUGGGAUACACCAAGAACCAGCUGAGGCUUUGGUUUAGGAACCUUUGAGUAAAUCAGACACUCUGUAUUAGUUAGGGUAAGUAAUGCUAGCUGCCUUAACCAGCAACCCUUCCCAACCUAAGAUUCAAUACAGUGUGUAUUGUACUUAACACAGUCAUUCAGGGACACAAAUGAUUUUCUGUCUUGUCUAUGCCACGGUCAUCUUCAACAUGUGGCCUCUAAGGUCUUUGCAGGAGAGGACAAGAGAGAGGAAGAUCAUGCAUGGGAAAUUUUGAGGGGUUAUUUUUUGGAAGUGGCCUAUAUCCCUUCCACCCACGUUCUGCUGGCCAGAAUAUAUCAUAUGCUGCCCCAAUGUCAUACAUAGUAAAAGGAUUGAGGAAUGUCGCUUAGCUCUUAGCCCAGGAUGAAAAUGAAACCACUUAGAUCAGCACAUAGUCCUGUCUUGACAUGUUCCUCCUCAGUUCCUAUUCAAAUAAAUGCGAGAUCAUCUAAAAGAUUUCUCUUCACUAACACUUGAAAAGACUGCUCUUCUCUAGCACUUUGAGGGGAACUUUUCCAGGAAAGGUGAUCUUCCAGUGUGGGGUGCAACUCUGCUGGUGAGAAUUUAAUUACUUUAAAUGACCUGGAAGAGCCCGAAAUAAUUGCAUAACUUUUGAAACCCGGAAUGCCUCUUCUAGUACUCUAUCCUAAAAAUAGAGAUUACAAAGAUUUGUCAACAGAUACGUUUGCUUUCACGUUACUUGUGAUUUCGGAAAAGGGUAAAUCUAAAUUUCCAAAAAGGAAGAAAAUGUUUCCCUGAAGUUUUUCACAUUCAACGAAUGUGAUCAUUAAGUACAAUCUAUUUCUAGUCUAAAGAAUUUUAAUGUUUUUAAUGGCAUAUGGACAUGAAGGUAGGCUUCAGAAUUUUAGGUAAAAUAUGAUUCCAAUUUUGUUGCAAACGUGUCAUAAACACCUAAAAAAGGCAAAACUGAAUGCAUUAAAAUAGUGAAUUUCUCUGUAUAAUGGGAUGAGAGAUGUUAUUUCUCUCUUUAUAUUUUGUUCUUCUUAGAUAUUAUGAAUAUGCAUAACAUUCAUAAUAGCUUUUUGUAAAUAUAAAAAUUAUUUUUGUGGGGCUCCUGGUUGGCUCAGUCGGUUAAUAAUGCAUCCAACUCUUGGUUUCAGCUCCGGUCAUUAUCUCACAGUUUGUGAGUUCAAGCCCCACAUUGGGCUCCACACUGAUGUUGUCAGGCCUGCUUGGGAUUCUCUCUCCCGCUCUCUCUGCCCCUCUCCACCCCUGUCAAAAUGGAUGGAUGGAUGGAUGGAUAAAUAAAUAAGCAAGCAAACAAACAAAUUAUUUUUUUAAAGUGUACUACAAAGAAUAGCUUUCGACCAGGACUGGCUCAGGUUGGGUAGAAUUAUCCCAAGUAUUUCAGAAGGGAACAGUCAAAGAGUAUGUGCAAGCCAUGUCCUAGAAUCGUGUCAAGUACAGAGGGGAAACAGUGGGCUAGAGACCAGAGGAUAUCCCAAAGGAGGUUUACAUACACAAACUAAGGGGGCAACAACAUUUUCUUCAACUGGGCUAGAGCACACAAGUCUCAACUGUAACUGGCUUUCAAAACUGGAAAUUUUAACUGAUUUUAAAAGUUCAAUAAUAAGGCAAUGAGUUUAUGUCCUGGCCCUACUGCCUACUAGAUGUGUGGCUUUAGGCAUGUGUCUAUCACUCUGAAACUUGCUUUAAAAAUGGAAACAGUAGGGGGGCCUAGGUGGCUCAGUCAGUUAAGCAUCCAGCUUUGGCUCAGGUCAUGAUCUCAUAGUUUGUGGGUUCAAGCCCUGCAUCAGGCUCUGUGCUGACAGCUCAGAGCCUGCAGCCUGAUUCGGAUUCUGUGUCUUACUCUCUCUCUUUCUCUCUCUCUCUCUCUGCCACUACCCCACUUGUGCUCUCCCUCUCUCUGAAAAAUAAAUAGAUAAACAUUAAAAAAUGGCAGUAAUGCCAUGUUAUUUCUAGUGUUGCUAUGACAUUAAAUGUCAUAUUUUCAAAUAUUUGCCGUAUUUGAAAUAUUUGACCAGGGGUCAAAAUACAAAGGGCUUCCCUAGUUGUACACAUAAGAACACGUUCCUCUAAUAAACAGAAAAUAAGGUAAGGAUGGAAUUGUGGUGCCGUGUUAUUGACAGUAUUGACCAACACUUUUUACUAGCUGUGAUCUUGUAGCAUCCAAGGAGACAGUAGGGACCCAAUCCAGCCUGGUCCACGGACGCUUGGGCAGUUUAUCUGUAACACUGUGGAAGCUAAAUCCUGGUGCCUCACGCCAACUACACGGGAGUGCACUUUAUGUUAAAGCCCUUUCCUCACUUCAACUUUUCAUGAUCCUGCCUAGGCUUUGCUCCCAAACUCCAUCUCUGUCCCCAGGAAACCAUCACAAGGACCACCUCGCGUCUCAUGCUGUGGUACUCACCUGAGAUUUGGGGAUGUUUACCCUGGGAAGUGUCCCUUAUCUUCUUUGCAUGUUCACGUUGACAUCUAGGCAGUCAAAGUCUGUUCUGUGGCCAGCCUGCGUAUCAACUAGGAGAAAAAUGAAAAGUCCUAAAUGAAAUCCUCUAAGACAAGUAUACAAGAAGAAUAUUCAAAAGCAAAGGAAUUAUGGAUUCUUUUCAGAUGAUUCUGGGCAAGAGCCUCUUAGACGGUGACACUGUAUACACUAUAGUAUCGAGGGGAGGAAAGCCAGCCCCAGAAGCUAGGACUUCACAUCCGGUUUAGUUAGCUCGAGCUGCUAGGACAAAAAUACCAGAGCCUGGGAGGCUUAAACAACAUUUAUUCCUCAAAGUUCUAGAGACUGGAAGCCCAAAAUCAAAGGGCUGGCAGAUCCAGUGUCUGGCGAGAGCCUUUUUCCUGGUUUGUAAGUGGCCGUCUCCUUGUGUCCUCACAUGGCAGAGAAAGCAGAGAGAAGAUGCCAGCUAUCAUGGCUCCUCUCAGAAGUGCACUAAUCCCAUUCACAAGGGCUCCACCCUCAUGAAUGACCUAUUUACUGCCCAAAGACCCCAACUCCUAAUGCCAUCAUAUUGGGAAUUUCAUCAUUGGAAUUUUGGUUGGGGGGGGGGGGGGGGACACAAGCAUGCAAUCCGUAUCAACAUCCCUGUUGCUUAAACGAGAGGUUCUGAAACUUUUUCCCAAUUCCGUUCAAAGCUGGUCUCAAAAGAUCAUCACAACUGUCACCUCAAGCGAUGAAUAUCUUUUUGUGCCAGAUAUUGUGCUAUGCAUUAUCACGCCUGGUACAUCUGGCUCAUUCAUUCUGUCGUGUUUCUUCCAGCAAGAACACUUUUAUUCCUCUGCUGUUCUUGUCCCCUUCUGGGCACAUCUUUAUUAAGUGGCUGAUAAACCAAGCGAAGAUGGGAUAGAAGUUCUGAGGAUGUGCUAUAGGAUGUGUUAUUUUGGUUGUCCACCUUCUCUUUCCCUGCACAGCUGAAGUGGACAGAUUUGCUGAUGGUCCUGGAGUGUCCUUGAAAUUCAGCAUAAAGGUCUUCAGCUUAAUUUCAAUAGUGCUUAGUGACUUAUAAGGGAAAAGAGCAUGAAAGGAAAUUGCUAUGUUUGCAGCUUAGAGACUCCCCCAAAUUCUUCGCUGGUCUCUGAUUUAUGCUGCCAAGAAGCCUGUUGCUGAUUAUGCUGGAUGCCCCAUAAAUUAAUGAGGGCUGGGCUUGGAGGUGACAACGAUCGCUGAGUCUCUGGAGCAGAAAAUGCAACACUAAUACAUAUGUUUCAGAAAUGUCCCUUUGUCUAUAUGUUUGGAGGAGAAAGUGCUGAUGAGGAUCAAUUUCAUAUUGACUUUAAAUUUUUCAAUUGACCCAGAGCUCUUUUUAUUAAGUAAUGCGCACAAAAACAUUUCAUCCCAGGCCAGCUUGAUGGCUUGGAGAAGUCCCUUCAGAAUAUAGCAACCUGAAUAGAAUUAGAAACGAAAUUCACUCAUUUAUUCUUUUAUUCACCCUUUAAUGAAUAUCAAGCACCUGCUACAUGCUCAAUUCUAGACACUAUCCUAGACUGUAAGCAAGACAUAAUCUACCCUCAAGAAAUCUAAAAUCUAAUGAGCUCAACAAACACAUCAAUGAAUGCUUCUAACCUAGGGUAAUAUGUUUUGUUAGGUGAAAGUGUAGGGUAUAUGGAGGCACUGAAGAAGGACUCCCAGAAGGAUCUCACACUUCUGAGUGAAUAAAUGGGAUGGCCCUCAAACUGAGAUUUAGAAAGAGGUAGACACAGUAAGGGAGUGAGGAAGCACCAUGUGCAAAGAUAGGAAGGUGUGAUGUUUUGAAUAUAGCCCAGGUAUGAUGGGAGGCCGAAAGGAGAGCCCCAGGUAGUCAAGAACUAGACACAAGGACCCUGGAUGUUAAGGUACCACCUUUACAUAUAGACAUAGAAAGAGUAGACCCAAGGGGCCUUACGCCCCUUUAGAGGGCAGGUCUCAGAACACAAUGGAUGGCUCCUUGGGGUACAUAUUUCUGUGUGUAGAGUGGAUAUCAUACAGAUAGGAGGUAGUCAGCACAGGCUCACCUCCUUUGGACACGUUCCUGCAGAAGCAGCCCAGUAGAAGCAAAGCACCAGCUCUGAGGAAGUCCUGUUUUCAAAUCUUGGUUCUGUCACCCUCAACUGAGCCGAUUCCCCAGCUUGCUACAGAGCCAGGCUAUGUAUUCAGUUUUGACUGAAUGUUGGGCAACACAGUGUGAACUAUUCUCUUAUUUACUGCCUUUCCACACUUUUCUCAGCCAGUCUUUCCCCCAUUCUUAAUUACUGUCUUCAGGUUCGUUGGUGUCACAGUUUUGUUUUGUUUUCAUCUCGUUUGACUCCUCAAGCCAGUCUGAGGGAAAAGCGAGCAUCACUCUUGUGAGCAUGUACCUCUGGGACUGGGGCCCUGGGCUUUGACUCACAGGUUGAAAGUCCUGUCGUGCUCCCCUGAACUUGACUCAAUGGCCACGGUGGCCUGGCUGAUUUAUGGCUGUUUCUUCCCAUGUUUGAUCUUAGCAGAGAGCUGUGAUGUAGCAGCUUCAUUCUACUCACCUGCUGGUGUCUUCAUGUUUGGUCUAAUAGCUUGUUAACUGCUCUGAGGACGGACACUGCCCUUCAUGGCUACCAUUGAGAGUGGUCUCUAUGGUAACCUUAUCACAUUGAGGACCAUGCUCGUUCUUCAAGGCUUUCCUUUUCCAUUUUUCUUUGGUAGCUUCUGAGUAACCUGUAAUGGUCAGAGCCCUGCCUCACCCUGCCAAGAAGCCACUGCUGAUUUAAAGCUUCUCAAAGGAACCUAACAAGACACACACACUGCUUUUCUCUGGCCUUGUUGCUUAUUCUGAGUUGCAGUUGGUCCAGGUCUGCAGGGAGCUGUCAUUCCUCCUUUAUCAUCUCUUUUUUGGCAUUCCCCAGGUAUUGCUCUCACUCUCUCUCAGAAAGCUUUGACGUGGUUUCUCCAGAUCUCUCUGCUCAUUAAUAUCUUGCAACAAUCCCUUCUGAAUCCUGGCAUUCAAUAUGUUCUUUUUUCUUCAUUCCCCGUUGUUUAGACAUUCACUUAUCUCUUUGGAAGUGACUCUCAAGCUCUCUGGUCUUCAUCUGUACCAAAGAGAUAUGUGUCAUAGACUCCUACAGGCUGCUCAGAUAUAAUACAUGAAGAAAGAACCAAUUUAUGUGUGAUAAGACACUAGAACGUUGAGUCUGCUGAUUACAUUCAGGGUCCAAUACUAAUACGACUAAUAAAAGCAAACAUUUAUGUAGAGCUUAUUAGGUGCCAGACACUGUGGUAAGCCCCUUACAUCUUCACAAUAAUCCCAUAAAGUAAGCACUCUUAUUGUCCCUGUUUUAUAGACGAGGAAACUGAGACCUGGAGUUAAGGGUCAUGCUCUAUUUCCCGAAGCUGUUAAAUGGCAGAGCCAGGACUUGAACUCUGGCUCCAGAAUCCAUGCUCUCCACCAUUACGUACACUGUGCAGGGACAUUGUUUUCUGUACAUGUGUUCCCACCACCAGCAAUGGCUAAUUUCUGCAAAGCUAAGUUGUGCCCCUCUUCAAUGCCAAGAUUAAAUGUCACCUGCUUUAUGAAAACACCACCUUCCUCCUUAUUUAAGGUAUAAGUUCAUUUGACAGACAUCAAAGUAUAGAGGUUGUAGCCCAUUCAUUCAUCCUUUCAACAAGAUUGUAUAAAGUGCCUUCUGUGUUACUGCACUAGGUGCUGUGGCUGCAAUAGUGACCAAGAAACAAGCAGGUCCUGCUCUCACCCUACAUAUAAAUAAAAAUAAAAAAAAUAAGUAAUAAAAAUAAACCAGAAAAUAGUUAGAUAUAUAGAGAUAGCUUUAUGCGUAUACUUAUCUGUAAACUAUAUCAUAUAUAUCCAUAUUCCUAGAUCUACAUGUAUCUAUCAGUCAAUUGACCCAUCCAUAUUAGGUUUUUUUUUCCACUCAGGUUUUUCUGCCUAUUAAAAUGGUAAAGUUCAUCUCCUUAGCCUGAUAUGUAAGAUCUUCCACGAUCUGGCUUCAGAUAUCUUUCCAGGCUUAUCUCCUACCAGUUCUUGCCUCUUCUUCUUCAACCAUUCACUCUAGACCCCAUCUCUCAGAAAAUAUUUCCUUAGUGGAAGCCAUCCAAGCACAAUCACAGCAUUGUACAUUAGCUCAGCCUGUUUUUCUAUCUCAGAUUGCCUUUUCACAUUUCCCUUCCCACAUUUCUCCUUCCCAGGCCUUUUCCAAACACCAAGGCCUGCUUCAAACACCCCUUUCCUGCAGAACUUCCCAAAUCAUCUCUGUUUCCACAGCCCCACCAGCAGGGAAUCAGUCUGUACUUCCUCUGUGCUCCAACCCUGUGCAUGCUUCUCUGUCACAGUGCCUGCAAUUCCAAGUCUUAGCUGUCCCUUUAUGUGUUUGUCCCUUAACCAGGACUGCAGACUCCUUGAAGGUGAGGAACAGGGCAUAUCUUAGGCUGCAUUUGAAGAGCCUAGCACAGUGCCUGGUAUAUACUUCUAUAAUACUAAUAUGUCUGUUUUUAUCAAAAACAUUAUUACUAUUAUUGCAUUAAUACUAAUUAUUUAACUUUAACUUUUAAGUCAUCUGAUUGCCAUCUGUACCUGACAUUCUGCUAAACAUUUCACUUGUUUUACUAUAUUUUUCCAUCGUAAGAAUCUUAGAAUGUAGAUUAUGAUAUACUCUUAUUAACUCCAAUGACAGAUAAGAAACUAAGGCUUAGUGUGCAAUGCCAGCCCCAUGUCACACACACCCCUCAACAGCCGAGCUUGAGUAGGUCCCACAGGCACUUACCAUAAGGAUGUGAGAGUAGUGUCUGCUUGCUCUUUGUCCCCCAUGGUUGUCACACACCUAGUACAGCGACACUGAAGGUGCUUGAUAAAUCCUGUUGCCUGGAUGAAUGAAUGUUCUAUCCAACACUUUGAUGUUGGUGGAAGAAUAGAUGAAUUUAUGUCUUGGGAUCUAACAGUGCUUUCCAUAUACGGUCUUACACCACACACACACAAAUAUGGAUAUGGAAAAGGAAACCAGUAAAAGAUUGUAUGAAAUCCUGAUCAGGUGACCACUGACUAUAUAAUCUGUAUGUUUCUAUGUUUUUGUAGAAGUUGUCUUUGGGUUUAGGUGAAGUUCCUGACCAGUCCGUAAAACUCUACUAGAUGUUUGUAGACCAGAAGGGUCAGACUUGAGUCAAUAAAACCUGUUUGAAUCCCAGCCUUGCCAUGGCUUGUGUGUAACAUGGGCAAGAUAGGUAAGUUCAACAUAGUGAUUAGUGUGUGGAUUCUAGAGUCAGAUGACCUGUCUUCAAAUACUCCAGCUGUACGCUUAGUAGCUGUGUGAUUUGGGGAAGGCACUUAGCUUCUCUGUCCGUUAGUUUUCCCACCUGCAACAUGGGUAUAAUAAUAGCAUUUGCCUCAUAAAAUCGAUGUGAGAUUUAGAUCAAUUCAACUGAAACACUUAAAAUAGUAUCUGACACUCAGAAGACCACUAUUACCUCUUAGGUAAUUACUUCUACUUCAGAGGGAUGUGGUGAGGAAUACAUGAUGAAUGCAUUCACGAAGCCCCUUCUGGAAGUCCUAAGCACUUCCAAAGCUUAGGCCCAGAACGAACCCAAUAGCACAUCCACCAAAUGUUUUGGUUAGAGUCCCAGGGCCAGCCCAGAUUCAGGGGCCAUGGAGAAGGCCAUGUGCGGGUGUAAAUGCAGGAGGAGUGGAUCAUGGGGGCCACCAAGAAGCAGACUGCCACAGCACUGGCAGAAGAGGUAAUGUGAGCUGCAGACGUGGAUUGGUGUCAUGGGUGAUGAGCCCCAGAUAGAGGGAGAUACCACUAAUUUCACCCAUCUAUGCUCCCAUAUUGUGCUCUAGGCCCUCCGCUCAGAAGUCGCUCCUCAUUUCCUAGAGUCCUCCAACCACUGCUAGUAUAUGCUUCCUAGAGCCACAAGAAAUCAGAAGAAAACUUGAGAGAUGAACCAUAGUAGAGACAGGUCCCCUGGCAAUGAAAAGGAAAAUGACAAAAGACAAAACACAAAAAGUCCCAAGAUGGAAAACAUUCUAAAAUGAGGGCAUUUAAAGACCAUCAUACACACAAACGUGUAUUUCCCAUGUAUGCUGUGUCUGUCACCAGAAGCUAGACUGCACAUAUAGACCCUAAGGUUUCCAAUACCUCCAUCAGUAAUGAUAAUGAUGAUGAUGAUGAUGGCUGCUGCUCCUCCAAGGAUGCAGGCUGUGUUUCAUUCAUGAUGGAAUCCCCAAGAACGGCACUUAAUAGGUGCUUUAUAAGCAUCCUUCAUGGUAUUGUCAGUCAUUUAUUGAAUGGUUUACUAUUUGCAGGUGCUAUACUAGAUGCUUUCCAAAUAUCAUGAGAUUCCACUUUACAGUUUGUGAGUUCUUUUCACCAGUAUCACCUCUUUUACCUUAAUUAGGAUCACUCUUGUACAGAUGAGAAGAUUGAGACUGGGAAGGGGGGUGUUGCUUGAUCACAAAGAUGGGCUAUAAACUAAUAUGGUUCUGUCUCUGGAUCCAGUGUUCUUUUUCCUUUCCCCAGACAUCCCACAUUAUAGUGAGCUCCAUCCAUUUACUCACCUAGCACAUUUAUUGAGUACGUGGUAGGUGCCUAAUAGGUUGUGGACCAGCCUCUGCCUCAUAAUCCACAAUCUUGCUCUUACUAGAUGUUGUGUGUUUCAUGUGCAUGAUAUAAAUUCAUUUUCACAAGAGCUAUGUUAGGUAGGGAUUCUUGCCCAUAUUACAGAUGAGAGAACUGCACUCAGAGAUCCUAAGUGAAUUUCCUUGUGUCCUACAGUGGGAAAGUGCUGGAGCUGAGAUUCAAACACAAGUCUGUUAAUGCAUAAGCCCAUGACCUUCCCAUCACAUUACAGUUCUUCCUUCAUGUUCCUCCUACACGGUGACCCCGCAGCUAGGCUGCAGCCAUUCUCCACUACACUUGACUCAGAGAUCUCUUCAGCCCCAAGCACAGAGCCUAGAUUGAGGCUGAAUAUGUGUCAGCCCUCACAGGCAGGUCCAGAGUUUCUAUGGCAAGCACCUAGACAUAUUUACUGAGGAGGGUUACAUUUACUAAGCACCUCCUGUAUGCAGCUGGCAUUGGGCAUGCCAUUUACAUACAUAUUACAUUUCACCCUCAUAUCAAGCUUACAAGGUAGAUACUAUUGCCCCAUUAUAUAGAGAAGAAAAAAGAGGCUUGGGGAGGAAAAGUACCAUUCCCAAAGUCAUCCAGUCUUCCUGACUACAAAGCACUGUGAACUCCCUCAGAGAGGGUGUGAAUUGCACAGAACACUGUCUGAGAAGACUUUGUGAAAAGGAUGAAGCCUGAGCUGCACCUUGGAAAACUUAUCAUGCAACCAGGAUAAGUACGCCGAGAGCUAAUGAGCGUGUUAUUAUAGUUAUGAUUAGGUUUCCAUGUACUUCUCAAAUCAGAUGUGUAAAUAUAAUCAAAAACAUUUCUCUUUGCAGUGCAGACCUCCAGCAGUUUCCACCCGGCAUCCUGGUUCUGAGCAAAGAUAAUAAAUUAGCUCUAAUUAGCUUUCCCACACACUGAAGCAAGUCUGUCCUGUCACCACGUUGCACACGGGGGAGUGAGGGGGCUCUGCUGGACUUCUCCCAAGGACGGGGGUCUGUGGGAAGAGGGAGGUAGCAGGUGUGGCACAUGACCGUCAGCUCCAUAUUACCUUGUGCAUGUGGACAAGCUAUUUGUUACCCAUCCUGGCCUUCAGUUUUCAUCCCCUGUAAAGUGAAGAGCUCAGACUAGGUUCGUGCUUACACAGUAAGAGUCCAUGAUUCUAUCCUGGAGAAUUCCCCAGCUUGAAGCACCAAUUUUAUUUGUGUGAGCCCUGGAAUUGUUGUGUAUCUACUGUUGAUCAGGCAUUGAUCUAAAUACAGGAGCCAUGAGGAGUAGCAACUGGUCUCUGUCUGUAAGGAACUCUACUUUUAGUAGGGAGAAUAAUAAUGGCUACUUACUCUAUGUGCCAGGCUCCUGGCUGUGCUCAUCAAAUAAGUUCUCUCAUUUGGUUUCUGCAAGAGACCUCUGAGGUCGUAUUCUUGUCACCUGCAUUUUCAGAGAGGGUAAGUCACUUUUCCACAGUUUCACUGCUAUUGAGUGAUGGAACUAUAAUUUCAAUUCAGAACCUGAUCUCUUAACCAUUAGGUUAUAUCCUCACUCCCAGAAAUUGUUGGAUGUCGUAAAAGAAACAGAGAUAGUUGGUCAACGGGAGACCACGGGAUGGUGAAGAUUGUUCCAUGUGGGUGAGCAGUGAUGGCUUUGGUUAGGAUGGUGUAUGAACAGAAUCUUGAAUGAAAAACAGGCUUUUUAUAUAUACGUACAGGUGGAGAAGGGAAAAUAUUUUAGGUGGAAGAGUCAAGACAGAGGGAGGAAAGAAAAACACUGGUCAUGGGUGAGGACGAGUAUGUUGACUAAAGGGGGCCCAGUGGAUUAUAAGACGGGGUUCUAUGCUGCAUUCAUUCAAUGACAAAGCAUUUUUAAAGGCCUACUGUGUGUCAGGCACAUUAAAGCCUCUGGGAAUAGCCCGAUGAACAAUACAGGCUCCAACAUGUUAGGACAGUGGUUCUCAACCAGAGGCAAUUUUCUCCCCCAGGUGACGUUUGGCAAUAUCUGGAGAUACUUUUGGUUAUGACAACUGAGGUAGUGUUACUGGCCUGUAGUGAAUGGAAGCCAGUACUGCAAAAUAUCCUACAAUGCGUAGGACCAUCCUCCACAACGAUUACCUGGCGCUUUUACAAUGUCAGUUCCUCUAGUGGAAUAACAAACUGGGGCAGCUCAUGGAGAACCUUGAAGGUCACACCAAAGAAUCUGCCUAUGCCUCUCCUAGGCCAGGUGGCCUCAUAGAACCAAAACCUAAGGGCAGCAACGACAAAAGCAAACCCUUUCCACUGCAAAUGACCUCUCAGCACAAAAGAAAUCAGUCUGGUUGCCUCUGCUAUUUUAUUAUAGUCCUGGGAUGACCUGAAAAUGCAAUUCUACCACCUCUGGUUCAGAACCACUCAGGGCUUAUGAGAAUCUACUGCCCCCCAAAAGAGAAUGUCAGAUGGCUUCUUCCUUCUUAAUCCAAUUAAGUAAGUAGUGCCUCUUGCAGAAGCUCUGCACAGCUGAGAAAUUUAUUACAAAUUACCUAAUCUCAUGGUUCUCCCAUGAAAAGAAAAUAGACUAAACCAUGUCUAACCCUCUUCACCCUGAGCAGUUCAAAGUACCGGAGCUGGGCCAGACCCUAUUUAUUAAGUUAAGCAGUAUUUUCUGGAUCUAGCUGGGGAGUGUCAAUGUGGUGGAACUUAACUGCCUUUUAAAAUGAGAGUCUACUUUUCAUGAUUAUCUCAAGCACACCCGGCGCGAUUCUCCUUUUCUAACACUGGUCAAGAGGAAAACAGGAAUUCAUUUGUGGCUUCCAGGAACCUUCGGAUGCCAGCUCAACAAACAAGAUAGCUAUCAGGGCAUUACUGGGGCACACGUUUCAGAAAGAGCCCUGGCUUUGCAAUCUGCCAUGCCUGUGUGUGUGGACACCAGCUUUGCCUUUCACUGUGCAAACUUAGGCAACUCACUUACUUAACCUCUCUGCACCCCAGUCUCUUUACCAAGAAAAAUGGACAGCCAGAUGCCUGCUAGCACUGUUAUUAGGAUAACUGUAGUACGGAAAUGGGCGUAAAGUACCAUGCCUGUCCCGGAGCAAGCCCUCAGUAAAUUGUAGCUUGAUGGUGUCGGGUCAUUUUCCCACCCAGAUCUGCCUGCAGGGGUGUGGGGUAUGGCAAAAAAAAAAACGAGAACCUGCGACUGAUGUUUAGUUACUUUUCUUGUCAAGGACAGAAGAGAGGAGAAAUUUCUUAAGGAUUAGAGGCUUCUUAGCAAUUCAUACAGUUCAUGCAGUCUCUGGGUCCAGGCAGAGGCUGGCAGGUAAGCUCUUUGCCAGGUUGGAGAGAAUAAGAGGGAAAAUCAAUUAAAAGGGCCUUUGACGGAAUGAGGGGUGGCAAACGCCCAGGGUUAAUCCCGAUGGGAGACCUGUAUUUCCAUAACAGGCGAGGCCUUCCCUUUAACCCUUUGGCACCGUGAGUUGGAGUUUUCUGGGGUGAAGUCCAUUACUGGCAAUGGGUGUGCCGUGUGUGAUUAAUGACCCUGGUUACGGGCCGGUUAGCAACAGAGAGCUCCAUCCAUCUCACUUCAUGGAAGCAUCACACACCAUUUAUUGUCUGCAGCAGGGAUGUAUUCCUUUGCAAUUAGGUAAAUGCCUUCUUUUGGAGUAGAUGUAGUAAUUCCUGCAUUAGUGCCCCUGUGCCUCUACCCACACCCAGUGGAGAAGGGAAAGCAAAGCCUGGCUGGGACCAAAGGCGGACCGAGAUGGUGACUGGGUCAGGUGCUAUUUCCUGACCUCAAAUACUUUUGGCCCCAGAACCUUUGUCCAUUCUCAGCUACCUCCUUUCGAAGGGACAUUCAACACAGGGAGUCCAUAGGUAUCAUGGCUUUAAAAUCCGCCCCCUGCCCCCUCACCGCAAGGGAAAGAAGGGCACGGUGUGUUCAAUGCAUCCUGUGCUCAUUUUCUACUGGGAAAAGAAACCCUCACGACUAAUUGUUUUGAAUAACAGGUGUCAUGUGUAGGGGUGCUCCCUGCAUGUCAGGCACUGUGCUUCCCUCAGGAGAGCUCUGUCAGGCCCUCCCUAUUAUCUCCAUUUUACACUCAGGGAAACUGAGGUAUAGACAGAAGUAAAUUCAAACCAAGCUCAGACCCGCAGUAUCGCUGUAGGACUGUGUGCCUGGCCAUACUUCUAGUCUGCAGUUCUGUCUCAAUCAUUGAAGAACGGGGACCGGUGCAAAAAGAGUGACAAAGGACAGAUAGGUGUUUAAGAGAGCUCACCAUAUGCAAGGUAAAAGAGAACAUUAAUUUGCUCCACAGUUACUUAUCAGAUGCCCACACUGGCCAGGCAUUGUGGGAAGUUCUGAGAAUGUAACAGCAGAUGAGAACUGGUCAUGACGCUCACUCUCUACCUGUGAGCAGAAGUGGUAACAGUAACAGGAACUACUCAUUAUGGUUGAUUAUAUACUUGGUACCGUACUGAGUAUUUCGCAUACAGAAUCGCAUUCAGUCUUCACGUAAUGAAGAACAAAGGGUAACAAAGGGUAACAAAGGAUAAUUAUCCAGAUUUUGCGAACGAGGAAAUGAUGGAAAAGGAAGUUUAAACAACCUGCCAGUUGCUAAGGCCAGUUGGUGGCAGACCUAUUCUUUGACUUUGCAUGGGCUGACCAGGGCGUGUGCUUUUAGAAACUGAAAAAAGGAUUGCAAGUGUGGUGAGAUUUCUGGAGAGCAUGGCGGGGAGCAGAUGGACAUCAGGAAUCUGACGAGUGCUUAGAUCAGGAGGAAGUAGUGUAGUCUGGGUAAGAGGAGAGAGCCAGAAGGGAAAAGGGAUGCCAAGGAACCACGUAGGAUAGGGACUGAGGGGGAGAGGGGAGAGUAUAUUACUCCCAGAGAACCUUGGAGAGCAGGACACUUUUUAGGCACAUGGAGCUGGACCCUGUGGCUGGAAGCGCUGGCCCCAAGAGCUUCCCAGCAUCAGGGAUGGGAUGAUACGAGGCUGGGAAUGUGGGUUAGUAGCCUAUUUCCAUAGGGUCUGGUAGACUAUGUAAAAACUAUUAGAAGUAAUAAAUGAAUUCAGAUUUUUAAAAUGUCAUCACAUGGACCUUAUGCAAAGUAGGGAGUGUGUGUUAGAGUCAGCUAGUUAUUCAUUAAAAAUUGAUGGUCCUCCUUCCAUAAUGUGGGCUUAUCCAUAAUCCAUUCCAUGGAUUGCCUUUUCUGGCCCACCUCUUCAAUAUGUGGGCACAUGAUUAUCUCCUGCCAAGGAAUGUGAAUGGAAGUAAUGUAUGUCACCUCUAUGCUGGAGUCUUGAAGAGGCAGGUAUGUCUUGACUGGGCUAUUUUUAUGUUUCCAUUCCCUAGAAGGAGACAAUCCUGAGCCCCUGGGUGAUGGCAGAGCCACAUGGUAGCAGCGGCCUGGGUCCCUGAUUCACCACGUGGUACACAGCCCCAUGUGGAUGGGAUUUCUUUGAAAAUGAAGAAUAAACCUCUACGGAGUUAAGCCACUGAAGUGUUGAACUUUGUUGCAGUAGCUAGCAGUAGGAUAUCCAAUUAAAGAAACUUGAUUUGUAUUUUAAAAAGAUCUUUCUGACACAGUAUGAAGAAUAGAGAAGAGCAAAAGGUGAUCUGGGAAGACCCCCCGUGGUCCAGUAAAAAGGGACAGUUGCUUAGACCAUCCUUCAGACUCAAACAGCCGUGUGCUCCACUGAAAGACUAAAUCCCCUAUUCUGAUGGUACGUUAAACAGAGGGAAUGACUUAAAAAAAAAUGCCAAAAUCCAUUGCAAAGCAUUGUUUCAUUAGAAAUAAAUAAAGAAGGGGGACACCUGGGUGACUCAGUCAGUUGAGCAUCCGACUUAGGCUCAGGUCAUGAUCUCAUAGUUUGUGGGUUCAAGCCCUGUGCUGAACAGCUGGAGCCUGGAGCCUGCAUAAGAUUCUGUGUGUCACUAGCUUUCUGCCCUCCCCCACUUGUGUACAUUCUCGUACAUGCUCUCUCUUGCUUUCUCUCUCUCUCUCUCUCUCUCUCUCUCUCUCUCUCUUUCUCAGAAAUAAUAAAUGAAUAAGCUUUAAAAAAGAGAGAGAGAGAAGCAAAGAAGCAAUUAGAUACAGAGCAGAUAACUGUGAAGUCAGUAACUUCCCCUAGAUCCCGCUGCUGGAGCCUUCACAAACCUGUGCACCCUGAUUUGCCCACUGGGCACCUAUGAGCCCAGGAUGGAAGGUCAGACAACCUGGUGGAUCUGAAUCCACUGUAGUCUUGGGCAACUUUCAUAGUGUCACUUCCCUCUGCUAUAAAAUGAGAAUAACACCAGGACUUGUCUCAUGGGGCUGUUGUAAGAAUUAACUCUCUGAGUCAAGAUCAUGGUAUAUAGGGAAGAAGUUAUGUUAUUGUUAUAACUGUUCCAUUACAGAAGGACUUAUUUUAGGACCCCCAUUUGACAUCCCCCAACACCAUUUUUUGUUAAUAGCGCUUAUGCCUUCCUCUCCAGAGGGGAGUCUUCUUCCUCGGUCUCCAUACAGCUCAUUCUUGCUCACUCAGGUUUCUACUCAACCUGCUCCUCAGAGGUCCUUCAAGGGCUCUGGUCUCAGUGCCACCUCUCUCUGCCCUGCUUCACUUUUUCUUCUUAGCACACACUGCAUCCUGACCUCACAUAGUCAUCAUGUAUGUGCUGGUUCCACCUCAUUUCACUAGAAUGUGAGCUCUGUGAGAGACUUUAUCUCUUGUUCACAGCUGUAUCUCCAACCAGAAUAGUGUCUGCCAUAGAAUAGGAGCCCAACAUGCAUUUGGUGAUAUAUAGAAGAACAAAUGAUGAUGUGAUCACAUGUGUGCUGCUUUCCAAAUCCUAUCAUUCAUUCAGAUCUUACCAUUUCUUUUUUCCCCUUUGUUGUACCUUAGUGGAUCAUUUAUCAGUCCAGAGCCUAUGUACACAUUUUAUUCUUUUUCUCCUGACUAACCACUGCUCUAGGUCUGUUAUUUCCUAAUCUGCUUCCCUGAAGACUCCCUGCCUGAGACAAAGGAUGUGCAGGGGGGUGAUGGACCCUGUCUUCACUGACCAGCAGUUCCCUAUUACAUUCAUUGCCAGUACUGUAGAAUAUAUAGACUCCUACACUCUCCAAGUUAUUAAAGCCUGUAGCUUAGAAUCAUGGCUCAAAAAACUGGACUGGACCACAGGGCCAUCCUGGUGUAUGGUCACAUACUUCCACCAAGAUUUUUUUGUUAAUUUUUUUCACAUUUAUUUAUUUUCCAUAAAGAGAGAUAGAGCACAAGUGGGUGAGGGGCAGAGGGCGAAGGAGACACAGAAUCUGAAGCAGGCUUCAGGCUCCCAGCUGUCAGCACAGAGCCCGAUGCGGGGCUCGAACUCACAAACUGUGAAAGCAUCACCUGAGCCGAAGUCAGACGCUUAACCGACUGAGCCACCCAGGUGCCCCUUCCACCAAGACUUUUUAAAUGGUUUUAUUGAGGUGUAAUUGAUGUAUAAUAAAUAUACAUAUUUAAAUAUACAAAUAUACAUUUUCAAAUGACUUUUGGCAUAUGCAUAUAUUUGUGAAACCAUCACUAUAAUUAAGAUAAUAAACAUUUUCAUCAUACCCCAAACUUGUCUUAUGCAUCUUUAUAAUCUAGCCCUUUUUACUACAUCCUCCCUGGCUCACACACAACUCCCAUACAGAGGCAACCACAAGAUUUGCUUUCCGUCACUCUGGUUAUUUUGCAUUUUCUAGGAUUUUAUAUAAGUGAAGUCCUAAGGUAUAAAAUCUUUGGAUUCUUACUCUCACCAUAGUUAUUUUGAAAUUCAUCCAUGCUGUCAAAAGUGUCAAUAAUUUGUUUUCUUUUUAUUGAUUAGUAUUCCAUUACAUGGAUGUAUCCCAAUCAGUAUAUCUAUGCAUUUGUUGGACAAUUGGACAUUCUCUAGUCUUUGGCUACAACAAAGUUCCCUGAGCAUCCGUAGACAAGUCUUUGUGUUGAUAUGUUUUCAUUCCAUUCAUUAAACAUGAAAGAUAUGUUUCAUUUUACCGUCUAGGGUAAAAUACCUAGAGUUGCUGAGUUGUGUGAAAGGUGUAUGUUUAACGUUUAAAGAAAUUGCCCAAUUCUUUUCCAAAGUGGCUGAACCAUUUUAUAUCCCUACCAGCAGUCUGUGAGAGUCCCAGUUCUUGUUCCUCUGUUCUUACCAACAACUGGUUUGGCUAGCUGUUUACUUUUGGUCAGUCUAGUGGGUUAGAGUGGUGUCUCGCUGUGCUUUUAACUUGGAACUCCCUAAAAAUGAAUGACUUUCAGCAUUUUUUCACAUAUUUGUCAUCUUUAUCUUUUCUUUGAUGGAGUACCAAUGUUUAUGGGAUUAUCUUAUUUUUGAGUUAUAAGAAUUUUUUUAUUCCAGACACAAGUUCUUUUUCCAAUGGGCCUUUUGCAAAUAUUUUCUUUCGUUCUGUAACUUGCCUUUUCAGUUUCCUUUCCGAGUUCCCUGAGUGGAACGGUUUUGUUCAUUCCCCUCCAUAUUCCUAAAAACUAGACCCCAACAAUCUUAGAUAUUGAAAAUGUUCAGUAAAUUUCAAUUCAAUGAAUGAGACAAGAUCUAAUUCUAAAUAUUUCAAGCCAAGCACAUGAAAGGUGACUGAAUCUUCAGUUUUCCAAUCUGUAAAUUCAAGAUACUGUUACCUAAUUCAAGGGAUUACUGUCAGAAAUAAGUGAGUGACUAUGAAUUGAUUUUUUAGACUGAUGCUAGGCAUGUAGUAGCGUUCAAUUAGUAUUAGCAUUCUUUUAUUCUGUGAUCCAAGGGAGAAGUGGGGCUAACGGUUGAAGCCAUAGGGAAGCAGAUUGGUCAAUUUAGUGAAUUAUUUUCUAUUGCUGUUUAAUAAAUGGAACAAAAUGGACUGCCACACAAACUGAUGAGCUCCACAUCACUAGAAGCAUUUUAAUAGAAUAUCGUUUGAUCAGCUUCUAGAAGAGAUGUUUGUUACCUCGAGAAAAAUACCGAACUUCUUACAUCUCUUCUGUUCCUAAAAGAUGUGUCAUUUGUGGUAGGAGAUGAUAACAACAAUGGCAUGCUAUUAUAUACAGCUUAUAGUAUAUACAAUAUAAUGUAUAAUAUAUAAUACAUGGUAUACAUUCUAUAUAUUAUAUGCUAUAUUAUAUGCUAUAUGCUAUAUAUAUAUAUGCUAUAUUAUAUAUAUACAAUAAUGUCAUCGCUGAGGAUGUGCUAUUGUGCUAAGUACUAAAAAGUAUAUUAUUUAACCAACCAUCACAACCACCACCUGAGGUAAGAGUAGAUGUUAUCUCUGUUUGAUAGGUGAGAAAAAUGGGCUCAGAGGUGGUAGAUAACUUGUCCAACAACACAGAACCUGGAGUGGCAGGGACUUGAAUGCAGAUAUGUUUAAGUUAAGUCCAUACUUGCAAUCCAGGUACGCUAGCCAGUUUCCCUCUGCUUGGUCAUUGCCAAAGGACAAGCACUGCUGAAACAAGCCACUCCCCAACACCUUGUGUGCCCACAUUGCCCCACCCCCACCACAGGAUGUCUCUGAGCCAGUGAGAGUGAGUACUUAUGUCUUGGUCCACAGCUGCAUUUCUUUGGUUGGCUCAGCCGGUCACCCCACAGAGUGGCCAAAGACCAGGGCAGUCAUGCCUGAGGUCAGCCACCUGAUUUGCUCUCCAUCCAGCACUACCAGCUGCAUCUCAGCUUCCCGGGAAAUGGUAUUCACAUCUCCUGUUGGAACAGGCCUUUCCCAUGCUUUUCCUUCUGGCAUAUGGAGUAUUUAUUUGUUUUGGAAGUCCUCAGAAGUGCCAGCUUUCUCAUCAUACAACAGUAGGGAUUGUCCCCAUUUGGUGCCUGUCCAUCCAGCACAUAAUAUUUAUGCCAUCGUGGCAAAGCUGUUGGACCCUUGGAUUCUAAUUAUCUAAAGAUGCUUCUGUGGCUUUUAAAAACCAGGCCCAGUCUUCUGACAACAAGUGCCUGCCUCACCACCAUCCUGAUUACCCGUUCCUACUGGCGCAAUAACCAUGAUGAUAUUCACCAGAUUGUGCCAAACAGACGUUACCUAGCAACAAGUGGGGAGCACUUGGGAUGUGUCCUUGUGUUCUGAACACUGUGAGCAAUUCUUUAAACAUCUUGGAUACAACGAAGAAUGAAUGCACACCAUGAGGAAGCCUUGAGAGAAUGGUUUUGCACUCAGACACACUCUCAUGCAACCCUGGCUCUGUGUGACUCCAAUGACCUUGGGUAAGUUACAUAAAGUCUCUAAGCCUCGGUUUCCUAACCUAGAAAAUGGAUAAAAAUAACAGUACUUACUUAUGCUAAUAUUGUGAAUGUACUCUAUGAAUGUAAUGCAUGGAAAGAAAGUACAUUGGACAAUAUUCUGCAUUAAGUAGGUUUUCAAAUAUUAGUUUGCCUCAAUGUACAUAUUUUCUGUGCUACCUUUCAUUAAAACACAAAUACAGGCAUCUGAAGAACCCAGAUCUAGUUACCCCUAGCCUACAUUGAAAAGUAACUGUUUCCUUAAGGAAGUCUCUUAACCUCUUUUUGAUUUAUUUUCUUUAUCUGAUAGUAGUAAGUGGGAUAAUAAUAGUGACAAUGGGAGGACAGUAAUAAGUAUAGUUCUGAAAUUAGGAGUAUGGAAAAAAUCUGAAGACCAGAAUAUAAAUGCCAGAGGUGACCUAAAUAUAUUACUGGUAUUAUUUUUAGUUGAGGGGAAGCUAGCAGCACUAGGAGACUAACUAGAGACCUUUGUCUCAUAGUCAAUUUUAUCUUCACCCAUGUAUGACCCUGGUAUUCAUAUUGGUGAAACAGGUACUUGAAAUCACAUUGAAGCCCAUCUCCCUACCCACCCACCCACUUAUUUUUUCACUUUAAUCUCUAUGUUUGUUUCAGGAAAUGUAUUCCAUAUCUAAUACCAAGAGAGACCUUUGCCAGGGCAAAUAAAUGGUUUCCAGAGGAUGAGGUUACACUAGUUAGGUUAGAGAAACAAAGGGCAGAAUGAUCCAAAGGAUGGAUGUGAAAUAUAUAGCAUCUUGCAAAAUUCUCAGAUUUUUGGAGCAAAGUAGACAUGGCUUCAGGUCCUCCUGGUCUACCACUUUAUAGCUCUGAGGACUUGGAUAAAUCAUCUCGAUAAGCCUUAGUUUUCCCAUCUGUACAAUGGUUAUACUAUAAAUUAUCUUGUAGAGUUGUUGAAAAGAUGAGGACCAUGAAUUUAAAGUGCCUGUUAAGGAGACUGGCACAUGGAAUAUCCGCAAUAUAUGAUGUGUAUUAAAUACAAAAUUAAUACUAGCAAUAAGUGACCAUAAUUGAAAAGGAAAGAAGAGUCCAAGUAACGGAAUGGCUCAAAGUGUUUAGUCUGAGCAGCAAAUAUGAACCAUCAAUAGUAAGUAAAUGUGAACAGUCAAGAGGCAGGGAGAUGAGAAAUAAGCAAGCAGGUAGACUGAUAAAGACAAACAAUUUGGAGUCCAUGCCAGGAAAUAGGUCUGAGUUUUGGGGCCCCCAGGUAAAAUGUAUAGAACAGGACAGACAUCUCAGCUACUUAGGGAGGCUUUGUCCUCAUGCUUUUGCCUUUACAGGCCAUCAUUUUCUCCUUCAGGACUCAAAUGACAACCCCCUGCAGAAGUGCCUGGUGGAAAAUAGGUUGUUAACAAGAGGGGAGGCUGGAUGCUCCGGGCACAAGGUUCUGACCAAUGGCAAGUCUGCAUUCUGCACUUGGAAUCUCAGCUUUUGAAUGUCAGAGCAUGGGAUUUCCCUUAAGAGUUGCCCAUGUGACUAAGUACCCCUCAGGUUAGUGGAGUGAACAGUUUCCCUGACUUCAGUUUCUUCUUAAUCAGGUGUCUCAGCACAUCUAAGAUGCCUUUUGGCCAUUGUCUCCCUGACUUCUUACCUCAGGGAGCCUGAUUCGAAGGAGUUGCUGGAAGCAAAGAGAGAGAACUUGAAUUCCAUCCGUCAGUCAAUCCUACACUUCCCAGUUUCCUGGCUUGGCCAGAUACCACUGCCAGCCCAUGAGAAGCACCUGUCCUGGCAGAGAUUGGGUCCAACAUCUAGGAGAUAGAGAUGUGUGCGAAUGAAUAAUAUCAAAGAGUGUGGCUUUCUCAUGUUAAAUAUGAGUACUAAUUAUCAUCUAUCCACAUAGCACAGCUCAGGGGAAUCAUGGAGCAGCCUAAGACCAAUACUGCAUGUGGGUGCCUUGCUUUACAAUAGCUGGUCUAAGAAAAGUGGUGCAGAAUUCAUCUGUGCAGUUAUUUGUCUUUUCAAUGAUGCUAAGUCAAAUAGGGUAUUGAAUCCAUAUGGUAGUAGAAAUUUUCUAACCUACCAGAACCUAGAGCAUGAUAUUUAAACAUGUUAAGCCUUAAUUUCCCAAUAUUUUAAAUAGGAAUAUAAACAAAUAAUUCAUAGGACUCCUUAGAUUCUAAAAACAAAAACGGAAACUUCCAGGUGAAAUACUUGUCAGCCAGACUGGAAUGGGUGGGCCAGUGAUAGAUCUUGAUACUUCACCCAAACAUCCCUGGUUCAACUCCCUAGAAAUGCAGAUAGUUUCAUGUGUUCUGCUUGGUUUUGAACAGGAUCAUGAUUAAGAGUUAAUAGACAUAGAAUAUUGAUCUUGUUCUGUCAUUCAUUAGCUGUAUCUGUGGAUAAGGCACUCCCGCUUUCUGGACUCCAGUUUCCCCCUUGGUAAAGUAAGAAUCUUGAAACCGGUAACUUCUAAGGUCUUUUCCUACAUGAACCUCUGUGACUCUAUAUUGACCAAAUUGUAAUAAUUUUAAAUGCUUCUAUCUUGAUUAGGGAUCUUAACUUUAUCAGAUCUUACACAUUUCUUUAUAAAGCCCAAGUCCAAACUCUAGUAUGGGUUCUGGUACUAAGCACAGCUAGUACUUAGUAAAUGGGUAACACCCACCUGCAUCCCUCUCGUAGUUUCUACUUGCUUCAGUUUUCUAGCUGUAUGACCAUUGACAAAGUGCUUAACUUUUUUUUUUAUUAGAUUCAUCAUCUAUAAAGUGGAGAUGAUAAUAGUGCCUGUCUCAUAAGGAUUAAAUGAAUUAUAACAUGUAAAUUGCUUAUAACAGUGCCUGGCACAUAGAAAGUUCUGUUUAAGUGUUAGCUGCUAUCAUCAUUAUCAUCAUCACCACUACUUAUUCUUCAUGACUCAUAUAUCCCUAUUGUCUUCCAAACUCUUCUCCUGAUGCCAGUGUCAUUUAGUCAUCCACAUGUUACUUCCUUAGGACUCCUCAUGAUGAUAUGAUCCAUGUUUCACUUUUGAUGGGGAACACUCGUUGGCCAUAUUAAAAAUUAACACUGAUAUUUUUACCAGCACUUUUGGAAGUGAAUGUUUCCUUAUCUGAUAAUUAGCAUCUGUGGUUUUCUUCUUAAGUUAUUUCAAAGUACAGUGUCAUAUAAUUGCUUUACUUUAAGUUUCUCAUGUCUUCUAUGCUCUUACCAACUACUUUAUUUGGCUUGGACAAGGCCCUUCAUAACUUCCUCUAACUUCUGAGAGAGAAUGCUUGUGAUUCCAGUGAACACUUUUUAAGAUGCCUGGGUUUCUGUCAAGUGGAGCUACCAUCUGUAGAGGUCAGAAUCUCUGCAGCAGCCUUCAUUCAGUCAGUGAAGGGCAUUCACUUAGCAUCUUCUGUAUGAGAGAGACUAUUCUAGGUGCUGAGUAUUAGCUCCAUACCCUCAGUGUAUCAUCCACAGUCCCUCACAGGCCCAGGCAUCUAUUGAAUACAUCCCCAUUGAGACCCUUCUGUUAGAGGGUAAUCACUUUUUAUAGAUGUCCAUAAUAAACUUUUUAUACGCUCAGUAACUACUUUUAUUGGCAGGGCUAGAAGCUAGAAAUAAAAAAGCUGUGUAUGCCCUGCUUGUUGCCACUGAGUAGCUCUUCAUCUCAUGGGGUGGGAGCAGGUUUGUGAACAUGGCAGGUGUUCAAUGUGCUUCUGGAGAAACUAUUUUAGUGGCUGAAAAGAAGCAUCCUGCUUAGCUGAGAUCAUAUUCUUUAAUUGAUAAGGUGGGCACAGUAUCAUCCGCCUUCACACUUGUCUCUAGCUACACAUCCUGUCUAGGGGACCGCGUCCAGUCCCAUGGCCAAAUCCCAUGGCCAUGGAUACCAAGCUAUGGGGGUAAUUCCAAGACCAGCCUUACCCCAGGAUCAAGUCUCCAUAGUCACUCUCUAUGCUCCUCUAUCUUUCAUACCACAUGUGGAUCUGACAGUAAAUCUUGUUAACUGUCUUUUCAAAAUGUAUCCUGGUUCUUCCCACUUCACUGAAUUCCUUUCUCAUUCAUGCCUCAUGAGAUUAUUGCGUUAGCCCUUGGUUUGCACUCCAUCCUGCCCAUCCACAGUCAGUUCUUGACACAGCAUUCAGAGUGUCGUUUCAAGAUUUAAGUCAGAUCACAUCAAUCCCCUUCUCAAACUCCUGUGUGGUCUCCACAUUACACUUAGGGUAGAGCCCAAUGUGCUAUAAAAGUCCUACAAACCCCAUGUGAUCUGGCCUAUACCUACAGCCUUUUCCUUAUUCAUUCUGAGCUUGAUUUCCCUAAUCUUCCUCAAACAUACCUCCUCAGGUGUGAAGAUCUUUUCUCUUUCUCUUCACUUUUCCUCCAGGUAUUUGCAUGGCUCUUCUUCACUUCAUUUCAGUCUCUACACACAUGUCAUUUUCUCAGGGACAUCUUCCUUAAUUGCUACCCCCCAUCAGGUUCUGUAAACUCACCUACUUGAAUGCUCUUUAUAGCAUUUAUCUUUGUCAGACAUUGUAAUAGUUUAUUCAACUGCUUGUUUGUUACAUGACCCUCACCUAGAAUGUAAGCUCCAUGAGGACAGGGACAAUGUCAGCCUUGCUGAUUCCUAUGUCUCUAGGAGGAUAGGGCAUAUGGUGGGCACUUGGUAAGUACUGAAUGAAAAAAUGAAUGAAUGGGGACAUUUUGUGAAAUGUCAACCUUUGAGUUUCGAGUGACAACAUUAGUUGUAUCUUGAUACUACCUUACUUCACCCUUCCCCAUACCCUCUCAGCCCAUCUCGAGCCCUGCCAAGGGUGUGUGCAUCCACAGAUGCUCUUGAAGACAUCUUUCUGUUUGAUGAGAAAGCAGUCAAAAUCCAGCCUUCUGAAAAACCUCUUCUCAGGCUCAUUCACCUUGAAAUCCACUGCUCCUCUCUUUUAUCAAGGCCAGGAUAUUUAUUCCUCUGAGUUGGAGAAAAAUAAAAAUUAAAAGUACAAAAGAAUGUAGUGGCCAUUAUAUUCUAAAUUACUUGAUAAGUCAUUGGCUUUUCUUUCAUAUUUUCAUGUCAUUGGAGUAGUAUCCAAGGUAUGAGCUUAACUAUUGCAUAUGAAUUAUUCACAAAAAAAGGCCACGUUCAGGGUCUUAUUGUUUGAAUUCCUGGUCUCUGGCAUCAUGGCCACCCUUGGCAAGCAUUCUCUAGAUAUCCAAACAUAUCAGUCUUCUCUCCUCUGUGUUGCUCAUUGCAUUCACAUGCCUGCAAGGGUAGUCUGCAUGUUAGAGACUGAGAAGCAACCAAGCCACCAGCUUGCAAACAUCUGACUGUUCCCACGUGUGGUAGAAAGAGAAGGGCAUUGGCAGCGGAGACUUGGGUUCAAAUCCAAGUUAUUAUGUUUAUGGUCUUGGACAAAUCAUUUAACGUCUGGGACCCUCCAUUCCAUCAUCUGCAAAAUAUCCUCCUCAGAGUUGUAGUAAAGAUUAGAAUAAACAAUCAUUUAGAAAGCACAUCGCACAGAGGGACUAGAUGAAUGCAAGCCUCUCUUCCUUCCCACACUGGGUUCUUCCUUUGACAGUAGUACAUUCACACUCCCUCCUGGGACCUUGGGGACACUCCAUAGUAGUGCACUGUGUCAUGAUUUUUACUCAGCCUGUGGAAGCAUCAGAGUCUUAGCGUUUCAGGAUCAUUUGAAAUUUUUUAAAGUUAAAAACUGUUCUUCAAAAGCAGUAUUGCAGAGAGCCUGUGCAGCAUGUUGCACAUAGUAGGUAUUUAAUAUUAGCAUGCAGAAUGAAUGAAUGAAUGAAUGAAUGAUACAGUUAAAAAUGAGGUGUUCUGGUUAAAACAGACAUUGAGGUCUCAAAAGCCUGCAUUCUGUGCCCUCCCUCACUCAAGGAGAUAACCUUUGAAGCAUGACCCCAGAAUCUUCUAGCCCUUAUAACACAGAUUGGAAACCACUAAUCUGGUCUAAUGCCAUCCCCACUGCAGACAUUUCUGCUACUGUACUUUUGGUGAGGUGAUUAUCUUAUUUUGAUCCUUGAAAAAAAAAAGGGGGGGUGGGGGCUGCUCACUCUAGUUCUAGACAAGUAACAAUUUUAAGAAGUUUUUCAUGUUAAGGCAAAAAUUGUACCCUUAGAUUUCUACCUACUGGUUGUACUUCAUUUCAUUCACUCAUUCAUCUUUUCAUUCAUUUUAAUCACGCGUUAAAUAUCAGUUCUGUGUCUUGCCUGAAGCUUCACUCCUUGCAUAUACAGAUAGAUGAUCUUUCAUUCAUUCAUUCAUUCAUUUGUUUUAAUUCCAGUGUAGUUGACAUAGAGUGUUACAUUAGUUUCAGGUGUACAGUACACUAAUUCAACAAUUCCAGAUAUUACUCUGCUCAUCAUGAUAACUAUACUCUUAAUCCCCUUCAUCUGUUUCACCCAUCCCCCCUCCCCCUCUCUGGUGACCAUCUGUUUGUCCUGUAUAGUUAAGAGUAUGUUUUUUGGUUCGUCUCUCUUUUUUUCCUUUGUUCAUUUGUGUUGUUUUUUAAAUUCUGUAUAUGAGUGAGAUCAUAUGGUAUUUGUCUUUCUCUGGAUGGCUUAUUUCACUUAGCAUUAUACUCUCUAGACCCAUCCAUGUUGUCUUUUCUCUUUUGAAAGUCUUUCUUCUUAUGUGUCACAUUCAGUGAAGAUCAAUGUGGAUUUUUACUGAGGGUUUUCUUGAGCAAAAGGAAAUUCCCAUUACACAAUAUACUGCAAGAACUUCUUAAAAUCUACUUUCCGAAUAUUUGCUCUCAUGAACCUAUUCAGUAAAUCCACUCAAGUAAUCACCCCCUGCUGCCAGCAACCUGGCUCUUUACCUCUCUUCUUCCUUCAUUUGUUCUCCUGGAGAAUGACUUUCCUCCGGGUAGCCCCAGACUCUUUCAAAUGUUCUUUUGAAAGCUUCUACCACAUCCAUUAUCCCUACCAGCCAAACAGAAGUUCCUCCUGGUGGCCUGCACUUCUUAGAAUGUGUGAGAAGGAAGAGAUUAUCAUUAAGUAUACUCUUUUUGUUGUUGUUGUUGUUGUUGUUUACCCCAUUUGACAAAGAGAAUAAGCUCUGCUCCCAGCCCUCAAGUAGCUAACUAUCACACUAAGUAUAGUGCAAUAAAUAUUAAGAUCCACUCAUCAACAAAUACAUAUUGAGCACAUAUGAUGUAUCAUUCACUUUUCUAGGUGAUAGGGAUACUAUUGUGAACAAAAUAGACAUUCCCUGCCCUCAUGGAGCUUACAUUCUGGAGGACAGAGAUAGACUAAUAAAAAAAUAGAUAGUUAAAAAAAGUAUAAGUGUGUCAGGUGAUAAUAAAUAUAAUAAAUACAGUGGAGAAAAAUAAAGCAAAAAUAGAUGUUAGAGCCAGGAGAGGUUGAGUUACUUCAUUGCCCAUAAAACCUUAUGGUGAUUAGAAUCUGGUGGUGAGGGAAGGCUUAGAGUCCUGGGCUUAUUAGAUGUAUGUGUGAUAUUAUUCCUGACGGUCUCAAGCAGGAUGCCAGUGGUAAGAUGAUGAGUGAUGGGGGAGGGAAAAGUGAGGUCCAUGGCUGAGCCAUCUCUUUUUUCUGCCAAUGGUGAAAGAGUGGUCCUCUUUGGAUCCCACAGAGCUCCUGUGAUUCCCUCCUGAGAUUUACCAAUGGAGGAAAGAAGGAGACAUGAUGAGCUAUGACAAUACGAAUGGAAGUGUUUGGAACAUGGAAGUAGGAGGAAGUGAUUAGGAGGGACUCCUCAAAGGAGGAGACAGUGUAGGAGUUAUCCAUUUGUGGGAUGACAGGGCAAAAUACAUUCCAGUGGCCAGAAGGAGCAGUAUCUUUAAAGACCUGUAAGUAUGCAGACAUCUGUUAGGUUUUAAAAAACUAUCGGUGGGUUCACCUUGGCUGAGCUCAAGAAUGCAAAGUGGAGUCAAGAGAUACAGCAGGAGAGGAUGGCUGCCAUGAAGGAAUUUGCAUAUCAUGCUAGGAUUGUAGUUCUCACACCUCCAGCCUUGGGGAAACCUCCAAGCAGAAGAAUGAAAUGACCAGAUCUUGUAUUUCAGAAAGACUCUUCUGGUAUCUAUGUUUUGGGGGCAAAAAGACCUAUUGGGAGGAAAGAAAUGCUUCAUCCAGGAUCAAGGGAAGAAGGUAGUCGGGAAGGGAGAGGUGGAGACAAGUCCAGCCACCUAACUGUUGAUUGAUUCUUCUGCUUAACAGUCCAGGAGCUAUUCCAAGACUUGUCUGGGGUCUUCUCUCCACCAGGACAGAACCUCCCAAUUGCAAAGGGCAGCCCAUUUCAGAGGUGUGCACUGAUAUUCUUGGCUUUCACUUUUGGCUGUAAAUCAUGGCAGCUGUCCUUUCUCUUCACUGUCCUGUUGUCCUCUCAUGCAAAAAAUCAAUGUCAAAGUGAACAGGUGUUGCUAAUGGUACUAGAGAAUAGGAGAAUCAGGAAACAACAACUUCAAGGCUGAAAUAAUAACAUUUUAAUUGGAAAUCUACUGUGAAGAGACUAACCUAUGUAGAUAUAUGCAAAUCCUAUGCAAAUACACAUGUGGUCUUUCUAACUAUUGUCAGAACCUCGAUUUGACCCACGGGAAUUCUUAAUGGUAGAUGCUAGCUCUCAGCUGAGGCUAAGGGCUGUUGAUGAACAAUUCUAGGUUUUACCUAUGUUUAAACCAUAAUUAAGAAAAAUAUUGAUAGCAACCUGAACUUAAUUAGCUUAAUUGAAUGUUGGAAUUGAUUGGGUCUUGAGAGAGCUGGUCUCUGAAGCUAAGCCUUGGGGAGAUUGCAGGGGGUGGAAAGAAAACCGAACUUAAAAGCACCUAGCAGAAAUGAAAAGGAAUGGGCGAGGAGCCACUGGGAGCAUUAUUAAAGGGAAAAGAUUUUUAUCAGAGAGUUGAAAGAAGAAUACUUAAAUUUCAAGUCACGCGUAGCCGUUCUAGGUCAGAUCACUCAGUCAAAUGGGAAAAAAAUGAUGUUGGGAAGCAAGAUUGUGUGAGAUACAGAAGGGGAGGCCAGCAUCCUUGCAUGGGAGUAUAUCACAUCCAAUAAACAGUUGUGCUAGACUGAUGGGGGCCAGCCCAGUACUCCCAGGCCAGGCCGUGGGCUCCAUGCAAAGCCCUUGGGGUGCAUGCUAGCACCUGGGGAGAGGCCAGGGAGCCUUACGGUUAAAAACAAAGGAUUUCAGCUAUGAUGAUGCAUGUCUUCUCCUGUCUUUAUUUAUUAAGAACUAAUUAAGUUAUCAAGUUAUGUUUUAUAAUAAAUGGUUUAAUUUUCUCACUUAUGAAAAACCUCAUUAUUUGGGCUUAGGCGAUCCUGAGAUUAAAUCCCAGUUCUGCCCCUUUGUGCAGUAUGACCAUCGCAUUCCUGAGCCUCAGUUUCUUUACCAGAUUUGAUACUACAUAUACAAUACAAUGUGAAGGUAGAAGGUUGCUCUGCCUUCAUGGUACUGAGCAAUCGCCACCUCAUCACAUCCCCGCGAAGGCCUGUGGUUUAUAAGGGGUUGAACUGAGGUGGCAAGCACGGUCCCUGGUUCCAAGCCUGUGUUCUUUCCACUAUCUUUCUGCCUUAAUCCCCUCUGCCCUGGUCCUCCCCUACUCUUCAGAGAAGCUCCUUGAGUUACUUGUCCAAAGGUGCUGUCUCCCCCACCCCCAUUCUCUCCACCGUGAAGUCUGCCCCAUCUGUGUGCUCUUGCUUCAUCAACAAGGAUCUUCUGGCUAAGUCUUUGCUCUGUCUGUCCCACCUUCCAUGCUCCUUUCUUCCACAUGAUCUCCACCUGCCACAUACACAAUGAUGAAAUAAAAAAAAUUAACUAGGAUGCAAAAGAUGAACCACGUUUUCUGUUUUGUUUUUAUAAUUAUGUACAUAUGCAAAAAGAAAUGAACAAAUAAAUUACCAGAAAGGAAAAAGCCAAAAUGUUACCAGAUGUUAAUUCUGAGCAUUGUUGAGAUUUUUCAAAAUUAUCCACAAAGGAUAUAUUGUUUUGAAUUGAGAAAAAUAAACAUGACUUUUUAAAAGUGAAUGCACUUGCUUGGGAAGUCAGUUAACAUGGGUGUUAAUCCUGCUCCUUACAGCCCGUGCCCUGUCCCUUGUGAGGACAUUUCUGGUGACAUGGUCCUCCAGGACUUAUAUUUGAGAGAAACCAAUCUCUCUCACCAUCUCAAGCAUGCUGUCCCCAUUUUUAGCUGCACGAGAAGCAAGCCCAUUUUCAAGGGAAUAACAGCUCAAAUUUAUCAUAUUGCAGAAACAGAAGCCCCAUUUCUAGAAGAUUCAUAGAUUGCCUUGAGAUAACAUUUAACUUUCCAGGAAUAUCUUCAGACAUGACCUCCAAUCUUGACAUGACAUCUUGUUCCUUUUGGUGUAAAGAUUACACUUUGGAGUGGACCCUCACUGGAUUUCUAGGCCAUGUUAAGUAUCUGAUCUCAUGGGCACUACCUCUGCAAAACCAAGGCCACGUAGCUACCUCCCCAACCUACACAUAAACACACCAACCACCAUUGCCAUACUUCUGCUACUGCUAUCCCGCCCAUACCUACCACAUGCAGCUUCAGAUCCAGUGCAAGGUGUGGGACUCCCCUGGAUUUGGGAGCAAUUUCAGAACCACUUAGAAGGUGUCUUUAACCUUGGGUUGUUUUGCCACUGGUCUGGCUUGACACUCGUGAUCACUUCUGCAUUGUGGCUUGGGUUUGAGUGAUUGUUUUGAUAACUCAUGUGAUAUGACAGCCGCUUCUCUCUGGCCUGACCUGCCUGACACCUCUAAUACUGGCCCCAACUUUAUAAGGCUUCAAUACAAACAAGUGAUCUAUCAUAAUGACCAUGUUGUUUUUGCCUGUGACAUAUUGGUAAGAAACAUUAUACUAAUUAUCCCUGCAGUUCAGGAUAAGUCACACUUAGUGAUGAUAAUUCUUUAAGUGGAUGGAAAUAGGUUUGCAAAUGCUUAAUGUAGGAUUUUGGUAUCAUAUUCCUAUGAGUGAUUUAGGUGGUGUGUAUGUGUGUGUGUGUGAACACUUGUGCUCAUGUGCACACAUGCAUUCAUUCUACGUUGGUCAAGUUUCGGUGUCAUUAUGUCUUAAUGUACUACAUUGCAUUCAGAUUAAAUCCUAUUGUACUUUCUGUCCAUUCAGAUUUUAUUGAGGUUUACCUUAUAGCCUGUCAUAUGAUUACUUUAGGAGGUCAGUGUCCUAGUUUGCUUUAAAAGGACAUGCUUUCUUUCUUUGAGAUGGUUUAACAUAAUAGUUGAAAGGGAAGUCGCUGUGGAUACCUGCCUCAGUUUAGAACCAGACUUGAUUUUUUAUGCCAGUGCAGUUGAGUUGCAUCUUGGCUAGGAUUGUGCUCCUUGUACCACGGUUUUCUUAUCUGUAAUGCAGAGGUAAUAAUUUUCUAAUUCAUAUGGUUGUUACAGGGUUUAAUGAGAUAAUAGUAUGUGUAAACAUUUAGAACAGUGCCUGGAACACUGUAAGUACUCAAUUAAGUCAGCCUUUAACAGUGUUUAGAGAUGUAAAUGCAACUUAUUAAUGAUAGUAUUCUAUUUUUGCCUUUCUCAUUGCUUUUUUAAAUUUUUUUUAACGUUUAUUUAUUUUUGAGAGACAGAGACAGACCAUAGGCGGGAGAGGGCCAGAGAGAGAGGGAGACACAGAAUCUGAAGCAGCUCCAGGCUCUGAGCUGACAGCACAGAGCCCAACGUGAGGCUUUAACCCACGAACUGUGAGAUCACAACCUGAACUGAAGUUGGACACUUAACUAACUGAGCCACGCAGGCACCCCUUGUCUUUCUCACUGUUAAAACAUCAAGGUUAUUUCUAUCCCCAUGUCCUUAUAUUUCUAGUUUGAUUCAUAUAUUUUGCCAUUAAGUAAUGGCAUGUCUCAUAUAACUUCAUCGUAAAAUGAGUCUUUUAUCAAUAUAAAAUGACUUUCUUUGUCUCAUAUAAUGCUUUUUUUUACCCUAAAUUCUACUUUGAAAUGUUGCCAAUUGAAUUGUUUUUGUUUGCUUUCUAUGCUUGAUAAAUAUUUGCCUAGCAUUUCCCCCUUUUCUUUCUUUUGUCUUGCCAUUCAUGUCUUAUAAAUAGCAUAUGGCUGAAUUUUGCUUUUAACCCAAUCUGAAAGACUUUAUCUUUUAUUAGAGGAACUUAAACCAUUUAUAUUUACUGUCAUAACUGCUAUGUUUGGUCUUAUUCCUGUCUUUUUGUUUUACUGUUUCUCUUCUUCAUACUUUCUUUGGGCUUCUUUUGUUUCCUUUUUCUAUACAGGCUAUCUUAUUAUCUUGGAACUUUUUUUUUCCUUCUAGUGAUUUAAAACCUGCAUAUCUGUUUUUAGCCAGUCCUGAGUGAAUCUAAAAAAAAAAAAAAAAAUGAUCCCUGAGCUCCAGUAGUGACAGGAGUGUAAUGGUGGGUGAGCAGCCAGGCCGGUGAGCGUGGAAGUCAAUAAAAUCAGUCUUAUCCCUCAAAGGAAUAGUGAUGGCUAUUCCCUGAGCCACCUUAUCACAACUGUAUAGAGCCCCAGCUUCUCUCCGCUGUGUCACAUUCCUGUGCUUCGCACAUGGGCCCUGCCUAGCUAGCUAGCUGGACCUACUACGAGCCUUUCUUAUGUUCUGUGCACCUCAGACACACCAAACUAUGGUCCAUUCCCCCAAACCAGACAGAUGCUUAAAUGGCUCCACACUGUUUAGCAGGCAGAGUUUAGCAGAGUACGUGGCACAGACUAGGUACUCAGUAUGUUUUAAAUAAGUGAACAAGGAAAGGAAACAAAAGGGAAGAGAGGAGGGAUUGAUUUUUAAAUAUGCAUGAUGCACUGAAAAAAAAAUCAAGAUGUGUGAUACCUUGGCUUGCUGCAGAAAGGCUGAAGCUUAUACGUCUGACUACCACUGUUGGUGGCUCAUUUUAAAUGAGCCCCCCUCACACUCCCCUCCAUCUCUGGGGCAGAAUGGCAGUCAUGUGGUCCACAAAGCAUUUCAUGUGCAGACAUCAUCUUCAUUUAUAUUGCCUGCCUUGCAAAGGCCCACAGGCCUAGGGCAAAUUUAUUAAAGUGGAGUCUAUUUAUUCAAUUUAUUAAACAGGAAUAUUUGAAGGGUUUUCAUUUAGAAGAGCGAGUUGAUUUAUUCUGUUCAGCUCUAGAAGGCAGGCCAAAGCCCAAUGGGUAAAAGUUAUAAGAGGGCAGGUUUUAGUUCAACCUAAGAUAAAAGAUUUGUUGAAAGAGGAUUUGUUUGUUCAUUCAUUCAGCAUGUAUUCAUCAAUCUAUUCAUUCAUCAGCAGCCAGAGAAGAGAAGCUCCAUUUUCUAUAGCUCUUGCUUUAUCUGGGACACUGUGGUAGGCCCUCUUAUCUGCUCUUUCCUGUAGAAAGAGGCAUAUUAUCCCAUUAUACAGAUAUCAAACACUGAGGCUCCAGGGAGCUGUCACCAGCCCAAGCUGAACACAGCCAGCACAUGACUGAGUCUGGCUUAACCUCAGACCUCCAUUCUCUGCAGAGCUCGUUCUCUUUCCAUGUGGUUGUGCCAUCUGCCAAAACAGAUCACUUGUGCGUGACUACCAGAAAUUGGAUACAACACUGAAAAAUCCAUCAGGCCACUUUUCCCUCCAUCAUUCUCUCUCCUUUACUUUCCUCCCAUCUCUCCAUCCGUCUCUGCCAACCUCCAAACCAGCCCUAAUAUGCUAACACAAAAUUAGACACUUUAUAGUUUUAGCCCACAGAUUAUGAAUGUUGUCAGACCCUUUUCAAAAUUAUCACUCAUCACAGGGACACUGUUUCCAUCACAAGACCUCGCAUGUAGGUGGUUUCCUCAUUUAGAUUUAACCUGGAGGUGCCCCAGUGGUCAUCAGGAAUGAGACCCAAAAUAAAGGAGUAGCUUUCCCCUGAGUAUAUCUGAGGGAGGGUGCAUCUUCCAGGGCCCUGGUAGGAAACAGAAUUAACCUCAGGUGGUUUGAACAAAGAUGCUUUAGGAAAGGGACCACUUGCAGAGCUGUGGACAGGGAUUGAGUAGAGGUGGAAAGGCAUUUAAAGAUAUCAGGCUUCCAGGGCUGAAGAAGCAAAGGGAGAGAAUAGUGUUAUUAGAGGCAGUUUAGAAUUCCAGCUGUCCAGAACCCACAUUCCCAGAUGGGCACAGCUACUGCAGAGGAGGCUGUGAAGCAGAGAGGAAGAGGGUUAGAAAUAUCCCAACAUCUCUUUCUCCCUGCCUCUUGACCUCCUAGUACAGCUUCCCAUUGGGAGAACCCAGACAAAAGGUAAAGGAGCUCCCAAGAAGCUGUCCACAGGCAUCAAUCUCCUGGGCCACAAAGCAGGACAGAAAAGGAUGAGGAGUGGUUGGAGCAGAAGCAAACAAAAAAUAAUGAGUUCAUGAGGGGAAAAUGGACAAAUGAUCCAGUGGGCUGAAUUGAGGGGGAAAGCCCACAAUGAAUCACCGUGGCAGAUCCUCUUUCUGCUUCCAAGGGCCCAACUUUCAGAAAAGUAGAGGUUAAAGAAUUCUGUAAUUAUGUCUUUUGGAGGCAGAUGCCAUUCACACUACAGCCCUUGCCAAAUGCCAGGCUGGUUUCAGUGUGUCUGAACCUCGUGAAGGAUUUGUCCUAGAUGUUAAGAUUCAUCCAUUCCUUCGCCAGAGACUUACCAUGUGCUGUAGUUUAUUCUAAAUACUGGAACUACAAAGACGGGAUGGGUAUGACUCCUGUCCUUCAGUGUGUCCCAGGAUACUGAAGAAAACAGGGGAAUCUAUUAUUUCAACAUGUUAGAUGUAAAAUAAAAGUAACAAAUGCUGGUCUGUGGGUUUGCAGGCAGAGUGGGUAACCCUCCCUGAAACUACUCAGAAAGGUGAUGGUUGGGUCCUAAAAGGAUUAAUUGGAGUUUUCUAGUGACAGGAAAGGGCAGGACCAUUCCUGGAAGAUGUCAUGGCAAACACCACAUUUAUAUAAGACUGAAAAGAGAUGGUGUGUGCAGCGAACAGCUAGAAAAUAAUUGUGGCUGGAGCAGCAGGUACAGGUUGUAUAAUGAGUUAUGGGGCUAGAGAGCUUUCUAAGGGAGUCCAGUCAGGUCAAGUUAUUGCUUUCUCUGGUACAACAAGGUAGGAAGACGUGUUUCCAAAAAGGUCAAGCAUCGCCAUUCCUGCCUGCUUCUUCUUGCAUCCACGUCAGAGAAAGGGGAAGGGAAAUCUGUCCCAUGCCCCAGGGUGUUCACCCAUGGGGAAAAGAGCUUGAAGUUACGUUAGGUAAGCUCGUUAGGUAGCUGGAGUACAAAGCCAAGUAAAAUCCCUUAAGCUGCUCUUUCUCCAAAGCUUUCCAUGUGCAAAGUCUUUCUGGAAAAUACCAAUAUAUUGUAUGGUGCUUUACAAAGAUUAAAUUAACAUUGGCAGGAUAUGUCCCUGCUCUUAACUAGUUUCUAACUUGGUGAAUCUUGGAAGUCUUCCUGGGAGAGACACAUUUUGAACUAAUGCCUAAAUAGAGAAAGAAAGAAACCAACAAUUUUUGAAGUUCUGCUAUGCUACAAAUAAAAUACUAGGUGCUUUUUUUUUUUUUAUUAUAUUGUCUCAUGGAAGUCUCCUGGCAAUCGUAUGCAACGAGUAUCAUCAGCCCCAUUUUUCAGAUAGGAAACUGAGGCUCAGAGAAGUGUCACCCCUAUAGAUUGAAACUGAAGUCAGACUUCACUGGACAUAAAUCCAACACCUACGUUCUUGCCAUGGUGCUCUGUUUGCCUCUGAAGGGCAAUGCAGGCUGCUUGCUAUCAGACGUAGAAUGAUGAGGGCAGCAAGAGGAGUCUUUUCUUCUGUAAAGAUGCCAUCCACCCAGCGAGGUUGUCAGGAGGACUUAAUGAAAUAAGAUACCCUCUCCUUUCACACCCCAAUGCCUUCGCAUAUACUUAUCCUACAGCCUGGAAUAUCCUUCUCCCUCUGCCCAUUGCUCUGUAGCCUGUGUUUUCCCUUCAUCUUCUAAAUGUGGCUUAGAUAAUCCUCCCACCAGGAAGCCUUGCACUAGUCACAUGGUAGUGGGGGGUACCUGGACUGUUUGCUUGCCUGCCCCACUCACCACGGAGCUUCCUUCUCACUUGUCCAUGUGGCUUCAGCUCCAUCCACAAAAGGUGUCCUGCUAAGUGAAUAAAUGGCUGUCUGAGAGAGCCCACAGCAUAACAGGUGCUCCAUAAAUGACAGUUUCCCUUUUCCUUCUCCUUUCCUGGAGGCAGCAUACAUUCUGAAUAGACUUAGAGGCAGACAGAAAUACAAUUAGUUUGCUUGAAGUUAGCAUCUUCCAGGAAACCUUGUAAUGAGGACGGCUGCCCUCCACAAAGGAGGUGAGCACUGGGUUGCUGUGCCUGUUCGGGGCAGAAUCUAACCCACUGCUCCUGGGUCCUCUUUACUUGACACGGAGAGGUUGGGGCUAUACUACUCCAGGUGGGUGCCGCUGACCUGGUGAGAUGUGGAGGCUCUUCCGCUUAUGGGGCAGGGGCAGGGCUAGCUGAUGGAGUGACAAGAGCACAGUGGCACACAAAGUAACAGUAAAACAGAAUGAUAAUGCAUUUCCUAAUGGCCUCCUUCACAGCUGUGUACACUGAUUUAAUCUUUGCAAAGCACUCUAUUGUUUAUGAGGCCUCUGGGUACAAUUUUAUGCCUGACUGAAGAGGUUGCUAAUAGCUGCCAUAUUUGUGUUUAAGGACCUGCAAAGGAUUAAACGAAGUAUUUUAGAGCAAUGAGCCAUAAUAAACUAAUAAUAUAUUACAAAUAAUAAAUGUUUUUACCCAAUAAUUGACUACAAAUCUAGUGAACUUGAAAUGACAAAAAUACUAAUUAUAGUUCCAGUUGUUCCAUGUAUCCAUCAAUCGGAAUGGAAAAUCGGAGAAGGAUAGGAAAUCUGGGGCACUUCAGGUCAUUGGGAAGGUGGAAUGGACACUGGACGCUUCCCCCGGUGUCAUGGCUGAGAACUGUCAAACUCACUUAGUGAAAUGCUGGGUUUCAUUUCCAUCUGAUGGAGAGGGAGCAGGAGUCUGAGUCCUAAGCCACCUACUGAAGUUGGUGUUUUGUGGGGGUUUUUUUUUUGUUGUUUUUUGUUUUGCUUUUUUGUUUUGAUUUGUUGUACCUUGUUCACUUUCCAGUCCUAAGUUUUCCAGUGCUUGGUUUUCAUUUAGGGUGAUUGCUAGAGAAAUGCCCCAGAGGAUCUUGGAAACAGGAGUUGGGUCUUAAGAAAAGGAGUUCUUGCUCUCUUAGGCCUCUGGAAUAAGCCAAUUUGUCUCUCUCUCUCUCUCUCUCUCUCUCUCUCUCUCUCCCCCUGUUUUUAUGGAUGAGAAACCUGAGACAGAGAGAUGAAGUAUGUUGCCUGACAUGUCAUAGUUGGUAAGUGGCACAGCCACAGAGCCCAGCUGCAGAACUCCAAACCUCAUGCUGUUUCACCAAAUCUUAUUACACCUAUUUUCUGAGCUUUUUGGGGGCAUGUGGAUCUUUCCUUUCAAUACUUGGGAAGUAUAUAUUUCCAUACUCCCACAUCUCUCAAUCAUACCAGUUAUUUUUUUUUCCUUUUUUUUCACUCCACAAUAAAACACGGGCAUCUUUUCUCAUUAAAAACAAAAACGCUCAAGAUAAAAAUUAAAAUCAUCCACAAUCCUAUCCAAGUAAACCAUUGUCAACUUUGUUUGCAUUUUCUUCAAGGAUUCUAUUCCAUGUAAAUGUAACAAAAUAUUGAGAUCGUAUUUUAUGAGUCUUUGGUAUUUUAAUUUUUAAAAACACAGCUUUAUUUGAUGUCAUUUGAUGUUCCCUGAAAAAUACUGUUUUAUAAUUGUAUAAUAUUUCAUGGCAUAUAGUCUCUAUUGAGUAUUUAGGCUGUUUCCAUUUUUUUUUGCCUUGUAACUUAAACUUAAUAAACAUUGAGUCUAGCAUAGUGCAUGGCAUCCAAUAGACAUUCCAUGUAUUUGAUGAAUGAGUUAAAUCAAUCUUUGUAUGCAUUUCUGCUCAUUUGUUUUCAACAGAUGUCUAAAAGUAAAGUUAUCUAAAUAUUAUCAGACUCUUGAGAUAUAUUCCCAAAUUGCUUUCUAAAGGGGUAAUGAUGAUUUCCAAUAUAUGAUAAGCAUUCAUAAAUUCUGGAACCCAUUUUUUUUAAAGGAUAACUUAGUUACUAAUGUUUGUUCUUAUCUUCCUUACUGUUAUAAAUUGAGUGGAAAAUUUACCAAGCCUCACUCCUGAGAAACUCACUAUUUAGUGGCACAUGUGUGAGUAUAUCUAUAUAUGUAUAUUUAUCCAUGUAUGUAUAGGUAUGGAGAUAUAGAUAGAUGAUAGAUAGAUAGAUAGAUAGAUAGAUAGAUAGAUACACACACACACGUAUACCCCCAGCAUUUGUUGAAGACUUACUGUAUACCGAGUACUAUCUUUACACAUUACCUUUAUUCAUGCAUUUUUUUAAAAUUUUUUUUAACGUUUAUUUAUUUUUGAGACAGAGAGAGACAAAGCAUGAACGGGGGAGGGUCAGAGAGAGGGAGACACAGAAUCUGAAACAGGCUCCAGGCUCUGAGCUGUCAGCACAGAGCCCGACGCAGGGCUCGAACUCACGGACCGCGAGAUCAUGACCUGGGCCGAAGUCGGCUGCUUAACCGACUGAGCCACCCAGGCGCCCCAUUCAUACAUUUAAUCUCUUAUCAUGAGGCAGAUAACGCAACUCCACAAUGUUCAUUCAAUUGCCAAGGGUCAAAUACUAUUCUUAUGAUGAAGCCCACACUCUUCACAUCUACUAGUUACAUGUGAGAAUGCAACAAUCAGAUGAAGAGUUAAUUAUGAUAUAGUAUAGUAUAGUGUUAUGAUGGAAGAAUGUGAACAGAUUAGAAUAACAAAACUCUGUCUAAAGGAUUCAAAGAAAGAUUCACAGAGAAUAUUAAAGGACAAGUGACCAUUUGCCAAGAAGACAAAGGAAAUGCAUAAUAGGCAAAAAGAAUUGCAGAUACCAAACACAGAAUAUAGAAAGCAGCCUAGGACAUCCAAGGAGCUACAAGUAAUAAAGGGAAGGAAUACUAGUUAAGGUUCUAGGCUUCAGAGUUACGGUGCCUUGGUUGAAACCCAGCUCUUGCAAUUAUCGUCUAUUUGAUAUUUGAUGUUUGAUUUUUUUAAGUUUUUUUUUAAGUAAUAUCUGGUGCCCAAUGUGGGGCAUGACUCAUGACCCUGAGAUCAAGAGUCAUAUGCUCUUCUGACUAAGCCAGCUAGGCACCCCAUGUUUGAGGCUUAAUAUGACAAAAUAUGUAAAGACUUAGUAGUGCCUGACACAGAGUAAGCAUUCAGUGAGUAUUCACUGGUGGUGGUAGAUAUGACCUAAUGUGGGAGAAGGGAAGUAUAUUAGGACAGGAAUCCCUGCAAUCCCACCAUCUGAGCAUCUACCCACUCUGAAAACAUUUAAGGUCAGAUCUAAUUCGAAGAAAGGAAUAACCAUGUUUUAAGCCAAAGAACACAACUUGGAAGAUAACCUUGAACAGGUCAAACAGGAUGAUGUGAGACUGAAGAGUGUUGUGUAAGGUUGGAAGGAUGGAUAUAUUGGAGAUGUUUUAUUUAAAAAAGCAGACCUGGGGACACUUUAGUAAUGAAUAAUCCUUAAAAAUAAACCACUUGGCCCCAUAUCCACACUAAGCACCCAUUGAAUGUUGUUAAUAGGAAAGUGGUACAAUCAAGUUUAUUUUUUUUUCAAAGAUCCUUCUUAUUACUGCUUGGAAAGUAGAUGGGGAUUGGAGGUAGGAGUGGCAAAAAAAAAAAAAUGGUGAGAGAAAGAGACCUAUUGUGGGUGUCUCUGUCCAAGAAAGAAACACUGCUAGCUUGGAGUAGUAUGGUGGUGAUGAACAUGGAUUUGAAAAAAUUCAGGAGGUGGAUUUUGAUUUUGAGAUGGAUUUAGUGGGAACAAUAAAGGAGAAGUAAGAGCCAAGGACAAUACCUAGGUUUCUGGCUUGAGGAACUAGAUGAAUUGAGAUGCAUUUUGUGAGAUGAGAACAGUGGAGAAAGAUCAUGUUUGGGGGUUAUGAUGAAGUGUUCAGAUUGUUAAAUGAAUGAUGAUAUUUUAUGCCAUAGAUCAGUGUGUGUGUGUGUGUGUGUGUGUGUGUGUGUGUGUGUGUGUGUGUGUGGCUAUUCUCUAUUAGGCAGAUGGGAAGGGUGUAGGAGGAAGGUGUGGAAGGCUCUGAAAUAGGGGGGAAAAGACAAGAUCUCUGUUAGCUAUUAUGUGCGGCAAUAACCCUUGCUGUGUUUAUUGCCCAUUUAAUAGAGUGUACAUUACAACCCACAGUGAUAAUCAAGAGAUGGGGGUUACCGAAUGAGAUGCAGAGAUACCAUAGGUGGGAUAUUUAUUUCGCUUGCACGAAAGGUUCUCAUUUAUGAAAAUGGAUUCUGGCUAAAUCUCAGUCUUCAUCUCUCUCCACCCCUCCUUUCCUCAUCCCCAAAAGAGUGACCACAGAAACUUUUGAUCCAAAGUGAUUGACAGCAGAGAGCCAUUUUCAAAAGUAUGGUAUCCUAUGAUACCAUAGGAGAGAGAGGGAUAAGAUGAGUAGCCAUUUACCCAAGGGACUGUAAAGUUGAUUAUUUUGCCUGAAAGAGAAUGCCAUGCUAAAUAUUGAAAGUUAUCUUUGCUACCAUUUUCCUUAAGAGAGUACAAGUAUAGAACCCUUGAGACCAAUGACCAAAACCUUUCUUUACCCAAGACUAGCUGUAUUACAUUUUGAUGAGUUUCUUCAUUUUUCUAGCAUUAAUUUGUUCAUCUACAAUAUAGGGAUUAUAGUAACUUCUCACAGACUUUGUUGUAUAGAUGAAAUGAGAAAAUAUGUAUUAGACAUCAAAUACAUGCUUCUAAUAGAAUAAAUAUUACUUCUUCCCUCAUCCUCCCCAUUCUUUUCUUUUCCUACGUUAUAGAGUCAGACUUAACCAUGAGGCUUGAGUGUACUUGAAUUGAGUUUUGAGUGAGCUACAAUGGAACUGGGGAGUUGUAAUAUCUGGGAUCACUAAACAUCCAUUCUCCUUGGGGCCUUAACCCAAAUUGGUAGAGUGCGUAUGUCAGCAGAGGAUCAGGGUGGCUACUAAUGAAAGUUAGGAGGCUUUGAAAGUCUUGACAGUGUUUCCUGUAUAUCCUCAGAAGCUUGGCUGCUUUCAGGUGUCUUUUGGAAACAGCAGCAUCUGGUGGCUGCCUGAGCAGUAACCCGGCUGCAGGCUUCAGGGGGAGCAAAUCACAGCAUCUGUGUUUCUCCAGCAAAACAGCAGGGCUAUUAAAAUAGCUCUUAGGCACAAUCUAUCACUGCACUGUCUCCCUUGUUUGCACAGGCUGUAACUGGAAAAGUAAGAGUCUGGAGAGACGGCCUUGUAUUACCCGGGUACUAGAAAGGGACUUGGGGAGAAUUGGGUUCAUGUUGUCUUUGCCAACCACUUCCCAGGUGACCUUGGAUAAGUCACUUGGAAUCUGUAGGUCUUUUUCCUGAUCUGAAAGCCCCAGGGCCAUUCUGUGAUUUAUAAUGGCAAUUGCUACUUGGAGAAUAGGUAGGAUUAAUAACAGAAAGCUUCUUUGCUAUAUGACAUUGGAAAAACUGUUCAAUCUCUCUGUGACUUUGUUUUCUUAUCUGAGAGCAGGGAUGAUGAUAGCUACAAUAAAGGGUGGCCAUAAAAAUUGACUAAGAUACUGAUUAUAAUGUCCCAGAUAUAAUUCCUGGCAUAUAACAAGCACUCAGCAAAUGUUGGAUGCCUUUCUGCCCUUAGUUCACGAUGUUGCCUAAUGUCAGUGCUAAAUCAUAGGGCCAACUGCUGUUUAGUCCGAGUAUAGAAUGUAAGAUCAUGUUAGCAAUCAUUAUUAUCAAGUGUGAUAAACCUAUUAUUCCCAUCUUACACUCAUGUGCAAUUGAACCCAGACCCCUCAAGUUUAACAAAGAAUACUGACUCGAGAAGUAGUGCUUGGGUCAUCCUGUUGCGUAACUACACGUCUGUCAACCAUGUGGGAGCAUGAGGGUUGGCCUCAGCCCUGGAAGACAUACAUGGCCACCUUUCUGUUUGUUCAGGUCUCCUAUGUAUAUUCUCCUCGUCCCUUUGCAUAACUAACCUAGUGCUUGGCACAUAGUGUUGGUGUUAAUGAAUGUUUGGAGAAUGAGUGAACUAUGUAUCUAAUUCCACAGUAAUUAUUCAUUGAGCAUCUACUGUGCUCAGGAAGGCAGUCAACAUGAACUUUCUCUUCAUAUUAUAUAGUUAUCUAUAUUUUAUUUUCAAAAUUAGGUUUUUUGAUUCCUUUUAAUGGGAUGGUGAGAGUAUGGGGAACAAAAUUUAUAUUUCCUUAAAAUUCUAUUUUGUACCAGCAUUCCUUACCUCAGUGUGAUGUUGUAGACAAAACUAUGUGAAUUUACUGCAAUCUGAAAUCACUGCAUCAGUAUUACAGUGUUUAUUAUUAUAUUUGCAGUUGUUUAAUGCUACUUUAUAUUUCUACAUUCUGUAUUCUAAUGCAUUAGAUGCAAAAGAUUCCAAUUCAUCUCCUUCUGUUUGGGAUUUUAAAUAGGUUAAUAGGAUGCAAAUACAAGGCACAUUUUUGCAUUCUGUUACAAAUAUUGUACACAGAUAUUGCUAUGCUGUUUGGGCAAAAUGAAAUGAAAUGUAAUUUAAUAUGAUAUUUUCAAGCACAUUUGAUCGUUCCUGAGGGCUUUAUGGCCGUGGUCCUAAACUGUGUUAAACCAUAGCUAAAACAAGUCUGAACAAAAUUAGUUUCUUUCCUCAAUUUACUGGCCUCUCCUAGUUUGAUGACUUUUUGUCGUCCAUGCCAAAUGAUGUUUUAGGUUUCAUAUGGUUAGUCUGGGCUAGAAAUGAGUUUGAAAAUAUUCAGCUCUGCUCAUGAGAAUAUAUUGCUGUUUCUACUUUUAGCCUGCUCUUCAAUUCACCAACCAUUCUAUUUAUUUAUUAAUUCGCCAAACUCACUCGCUCAUUCAUUUAUUUAUUCAACUCUAUGUCUUGCUCUAUGCUCCUGGCAUUAAUCUUUUUGUCUUUCCACACUCUUUUCUGAGAUGUAGGCUGUGUGGUCCUAAACAAUCUGCUUAGUUGGAGUCUAAGGCAGUGCCUGAGUGGGCUACAUACAUGAAAACAGGAAGAAUGGAUGUGAAUGUUCUCUUUUAUAUGGCAAAGUUUCCUUGAUUGUAAAGAUUAAGUGGAAUAAAAUGGAUAAACUCCUUGAUCCAGCGUAAGACAAUGCAGCACUCAAAGUACAUUGGAAAAAUACAUAAAUGUACCCAUUUCCAAAUCUAUAAAAUAGGAACUAAAUACCUACUUAUAAUUUUGUUUUCAGAAUGAAGUAAUAUGCCAAUAGCACUAGAAGAGUGCCUGGCAUAUAAUAGGUGUUUAGUUUGAUCUCUUUUCUAAGGAAAGAGAGCAGGAUCACUACCCAUCACAUGUAAUAACAACCAAACAAACUCAUUAGGGGAAGAUUUUGAAAUCCUAGAAAAAGGGAUAUGAGCACAGAGAUUUUCUUCAGUCCCUGCCACAGCUGUUUACGAGGUUCUUCCCAGGCUCAUUCUGUUUCCUGUCACCUUGCCACUAGUGAGCUUCCCUCCUCCCAGCCUGACCUCCCAUGACUAUGGGGUCAGGUAUGUAAUGUCAGGGUUCAUGAUGGGGAAGGGGGUCUUCACAGCUCUUCUCCCCUCUCUCUCAACCCUACAGUGACUCCCUAAGGCCAGUUUUGGAUGGGUAGCCCCUAUCACAAUCCCUCCCCUUCAAAAGUGCCCUGGCAUCUGAGCCCAGGUCCCUUUGAAAUAUAGACAAAUCUACUCCAGUCUUUUGAGUAACCAAAGACUCAGGAAAGAACAAAUAGAAAGACUGCAGCUACUUUGACUCCUUCUAUCUUCUCUGUCUUUGCCCCUCCACAAAUUGAAUCCUCUCCAUUGACUGCACAUCUGCAUUUCAGCAGGCGAGCUGCAAUUAUUCAAUGACAGCAUGCCCUGAUUUCCAUUGCGGAAGAUCCAGGACUGGCUGAGAUGACCCAGGCGUGACCGUCCUCUGUCAGCAGUACUAGAAAGAAGCAUCUGACUUAAAAUUACAUAGCGAUGGAGAGCACAGUUGUUUAUGCUUCUCAUCAGUCAUUCAAAAUGCUGGGCCAAGAUCUGCCCCAAAAAGGGCCUACAGAACAUUCCUGAAGAUUCCUCUUUCCUGAUGCCUCAACAGAGUUUCAAUUAGGGCUCUUACAUUUGACCUAAUGACAAGCAUGGUUAUCUGGUGGAGUGAUUGCCACUUCCUUUCCUUUCAUUUAUUGUCCCAGGUUUUGAAGAUUGAGAGAGGAGAGGUAUUUGCGAACCCCCUACUCUUCUCUCCCCAACCCUUCCUUCACCUAGCUAACUGGACUUGUCCUUCAGACACCAGCUCAAAUGUUAUUUCCUCAGGGAAGUCUUGUAUUACACCUCCAUCUGAGUCAGUCCACCUUGUUACAGUGCAAUACGGCUUUUUGUGCUUUCUCUCUGUACCUUGGAUCACAGUUUAUUAUAUAUAUGUGUGUAUAUAUGUACAUAAUAUAUACAUCAUGUGCUUGUCCUCCUGUGUGAUUAAUAUGUGUCAUCUCCACUGGAAUAUGAUUUAUUCCCCAGCACAAAGUGCAGUCGCUGGCAUAGGGUCAGUUCUUGAUGAGUAUUUAUUGAAUGAAUGAUUAGACAAAUAAAAGAAAUAGGGUCAAAAUAGGAAAAUAAAAGAAGGUGGUCAAAAGGUACAAACUUCCAGGUAUAAGAUAAAUAAGUUCUGGUGAUGUAAUAUGUAGCGUGUUGACUACUGUUAACAGUACUGUAUCAUACAUUUGAAAGUUUCUAAGAGAAUAGAUCUUAAAAGUUCUCAUCACAAGAAAAAAAAAUUGUAACUCUGUGAGGUGAUGGACGUUAACCAAACUUACUGUGGUGAUCACUUCAUAAUAUAUACACAUAUAUUACAUCAUCAUGUUGUACACCCAAGACUAAUACAAUGUUAUAUGCUAAAUAUAUCUCAAAACUGGGGCAAAAUAAGUUUAAAAUUUUUUAAAGUAAAGAAAUAUUUACUAUUUGGUUGAUCUGAGGAUUUUUUUCAUAGCCUAUAAAUGAAGUUGUGUUUCAUCCAAUUUCAGUGACUCACAGGACUCAACCACAGUCAUACUCAACUAAAAUUUAUUACAGAGGUACAACAAGAAUGCACAGAUAGACCAGGAAGUGAAAAAAAUGUCAGUGAAACCACACUUCUUUUUUUUUCAUUUUUUUAAAGUUUAUUAUUUUUGAGAGACAGAGAUAGAGCAUGAGCAGCAGAGGGGCAGAGAAAGAGAAAGGGAGACACAGAAUCUGAAGCAGGCUCCAGGCUCUGAGCUGUCAGCACAGAGCCUGAUGUGGGGCUUGAACUCACAGACCCUGAGAUCAUGAUCUGAGCCGAAGUUGGAUGCUUAACUGACUGAGCCACCCAGGUGCCCCUGUGAAGCCAAACUUCCUAAGGUGAGAGUGAGAGGUCAUGCAAAAUGCACUCUUCCCCUAGUAGUGAAAAUGCAGCAAAAUUUAUGAGAUGCUUCUGGCACAAGGAAGCCCAUGUGAGACUAAGUGUCCAAGGUUUUUCUUGGGGACUGGUUACAUAUGCAUGCUCUUCCUAACUACCAAAAUUCCAAUCUCCAAAAAUGAAGUGGGUGUUCAGAAUAAGCUACCUUGUUUGUGUAAUAGUCUCAGUACAGUGAACCAGUCUUCUCAACUAGGGACCAUUUUAAGAGCUAAGUUUCCCAUUAUCUUGCAAGCAGUCCUUCUAAAGUCAGCAGUCUCAGGCCUGUAUGUUAAUUUUUUUUCUGUACAGAGGACUAGAUCUUAUAUUUUUCAUGUGGGUAGGGAAACACACAUAUUUACAUACAUGUAUGCCUCCUAGCCAACAACAGAGUGAGAGACAGUAUAGGGUGAAGUAGAUAAGAGGACCAACUUUGGCAUCUGAGCACUUUUUUUUUAAGUUUUCUAAGUUUAUUUAUUUAUUUUGAGAGUGAGUGGGUGUGCAUGCAAGUGGGGGAGGGGCAGAGAGAGAAUCCCAAGCAGGCUCUGCACCAUCUACGCAGAGACUGAUAUGGGGCUCAAACGCACAAACUUCAAGAUCGUGACCUGAGCUGAAGUUGGACACUUAACCGACUGAGCCACCCAGGCACCCCCAAGGACUUGGGUAUAAAUCCUCGGUAUGCUUGCUGUUUUGCGUGGGGUAAGUGUCAUAACCUAUCUAUACUCCUUACUAAUGUGCAAAAAUAGAAAAAUGCUAGACCUAUCUCAUAGUAUUGUUGGGAAGAUUGAGAUCAAGCACUCAUUCAACAGCGCUAUUAAUAGGGAGGAAGUGCAUAUUAACUGAUGAUGGUGUCAUCAUUAUGAUUUCCUGAUAUGUAAUGGUCUUCCUUAUUUUGGUACACGUAAACUGAAUGACUGAUGAAUCUGUGGAUGACAAAGCACCUGGGUUCUAAUCCUGUCUCCAUCAGUUACUUGCAACCUAAUAAUGGGCACACUAGUUCUCUCCCAUCUCCGUUUCCUCAUCUUUACAAUUAAGAGAGCAGUCCUUGUCCAGCCAAGUCUCACAGCAAAGUAGGAGAGAGCGCAGAAUGUCCCGGGAAAGUGUUUGACUUGCGCAAACAUAAUUGGGCAUCUCUCUGUACCUCAGCCUCCCAAACUACAAAGUGAGGAUGUCAGUAUAAUAUCAUACUUCUUAAGUGUUGGCCAUUAUUAUUCCCAUACCUGCAAAUAUGCUCACAAGAGAUAAAGGAAUGUAAGUAUGUUCUGUAUUUACCCAUGUAAGGGGUUAUACGAUUACCAGACAAAGCAAUUUGUGGUUGUCGUUGUUGUACUUUAAAGAAAUCUUACUGAGUACUUAUGAACCUUCACCUGGGGUGGGAAUCUCUAGGAGGAAGGAGGUAGCCUAAGCAAAGAAAUGGUAGAGAAAGGGAGAGAGAAACAGAAAAUGUGUGUCCCCACCAGACUGAAUUCCCCAGAACUAGCAACUAUCUUCUCAGACUGAGUCCCUGGCAUUUGGCAUGGUUUCUAUUAACUGGCAAGAAGCUCUCAGUAAAUGUUUGUUGAUGAAUAAAUCAAUCUGAUUAUCAGCUGAAAGUAUUAUUGCUCAUUAGAGGACCAAUGAUUAAGCACCUACUGUGUAUCAUGCACUUGAGGUAUUAUCUUUUUGCAGCAUGUAGAAAGAAGUCUUAGGAGGUAGACAUAUUCUACUCAUCUUGUAUGGCUGAGAAAACUGAGAACCUGUGAAGUGACAUCAGAAAGCAAAUAAGAGACAGAAGCAGAAUCCAAGCUCAGUUCUGUGAGGCUCCAAAGUCACAAGAUACAUUCAACCACCUAACACUAAAAUUGUCUUGUUGUUUUUAUACUUCAUUUUUCUUAAAUGGAUUUCUUAAAUUUUUAAUAGAAGUGCUAGCCAGUAAUCAGGGUCUCAUAAUUCACUUUUAAAGUUUUCCUAAUGUACCCUUGCAAGAGAAGAACAAGCCUCAGCAUAGACAUUACAAGUGGACCUCUUGUCUAUCGUUUAAGGCUAUCACCCAAAGUGAUUCCUUGAGGGGAGUGGGGUUAGAGAAAAUGAAACAUUUAUUAAGUUACCCAAAAGAUCGCUCUACUAGGCUUCCUUAGCAUAUGCUUUCAAGGUGAUAGAUUAACUGAAAUAAAAUUAUUGAAUUGAGAAGCCAUUCAUUACAAGGGAAUUUCAGGAAACCAGAAUGCUUUCUAUAAUAUUACCGCCAGAGCUGUCUAUUAAGUGAAAGUUAUGUGUUCUUCCACGAUUGUGAAACCUCUGGUUUGUCAUCCUUUCCUCUCAGCUUCCUUCUAGUGGUGAAAAAACUUGUAAUUUACAACUGCUGAUAUAAUUGGAAAUUUAAUUAGUUUUCUUCAGAUUUCACCUGCUUUGUUUUAAGCACUAUUUUCAUGGCUGCUCUCNNNNNNNNNNNNNNNNNNNNNNNNNNNNNNNNNNNNNNNNNNNNNNNNNNNNNNNNNNNNNNNNNNNNNNNNNNNNNNNNNNNNNNNNNCCGCCCCCGCCAACCCCCAGUUGUCACUUAUGUCAAAAGUAACUUUUCUCUUUGUCUUUCUUUGCUGUCCAUUGAAAUCUAAGACUCACUAUAGUAGCCAGGUCAGUCUCUGCCUGCAUCUACUUCUGCAUCCAUGUUUUUCUUGUCUCACUCUUUUUCUUUGACUCGAUUUUCAUUUCUCAAUCAGCAGGCUUUGUUGAUCCUAUAAUCUGUGCUAUCCCUGAAAUAGGGAAGUGGACAAAAUACAAGGAAGAAAGAAAGCAGGCUCACCUCCAGUGUCCAAGAUUGCUAGGAUAGGAGGAGAUAAGGUAGAAAUGCAUCCAAAGAAAUACUAUAAAAAUUUAUACCCAGAAUGGCUGGGCGGUGCUGUGAAAAAGCCUAGGUUUUGAAACAAUGUCCACUGAUCUCCCAUUUCUGAACAGUGGGAAUAUCAGCAAAGUAUGAAACCUCUCUGAAUCCUAGUUUCCUCCACUGUAUGAUGGAAGAUAAUCACAUCCACAUCAGGAGAGUGUGGAACAAAUAAUAAGUUAAUGAAAGUGGGGGCCUGGCAUAGGAUCUGGAACAAAGAAAGCCCUCAGGACUCCCAUGACUUCCUUUCCCCUAACCUAGUGCCACCCUGUGAUACCUGCGGGCAGACCUAAGGGAGUGCAGAGGGAAACACGCUUUGCGUGUUCCAGGAAAAUCAGAAAAGGCAGAAGGUGUGGCUUUUGAACUGGACCUUGAAAUAAUAAUGAGGCAAUAUAAUAGUGAUGAUGGUGAUGAUGGUGAUAAUUUGAAGAGGAGGAAAAAAAGAAUAGCUACUAAUCAUUAAAUAGUAAAUAUUACCUACCACUGCGCUAAAGACUUCACAGUAGGAGGUGAUUUAUUUCCCAACAAAAUUUGAUGAAAUGGAUGGUAUUAUUUCCCUCAUUUUAAUGAUUAAGAAAUAGAUUCAGAAAAUUUCAUUGCCUUAGGUUACUGAAUGGCUAAGUAGCAAAGCUGGGUUUCAUGCACAGGUAUAUUAGACUGAAAAGCUAAGGUUGAGCCACUUUUGAAUUCUCUUGGGCAUAAACAUCCACUCUUCUAUUGACUUUUUUUCUCCCUGACCACUGGGACCUGGUUGAUUUUUUAUAGCAGAGGAUUCCUUCACCAGUGACCAAAGCCAUCCUUCAUCCUGAUGUGUGUUUGAUGUCCUAUAGGAGAAGGGCAGGUUAUGAAGGGGAAAUAGACGUAAAUGUUACAAAAAGAAGGAGAAUCAAAAACUAGAUCUGGCCUUUGGCAGCAUUAAUUUUUCUCACAGUAACUUAUCUAAGAUUUAGCUAGUCUUAUAUUAAACAAUAAAGAGUUACCAUAGCAACCUCAUUGCCAUGUAAUAACACUCACAUCCUUCCCAACUGUAAAAUCAAAACCAGAGAAGCAAAUAGAAACCAUCAAAUUACCAAAUAGCCCUCUUCUUCAUCUCUUUUUUCUCUUUCAUAGAAUGGUUAUUGAUUACUUUCUUUAUUGUAGGUCAGUGACACCAUGACUUAUUUUUUUUCCCUUCCCCCUUCCUCUCACGCUCACUGCGAACAAGGAGGGACCCGAGAGGAGUACUCCAGCCCUUGGAGUGACAGGUCUCCUCUUAUUCCAGAAGGACAAAGCUUGGGUCAGUGCCAUCUCCUGCCAGCUGCUGCCAAUAUUGCUCUGGGGGCAUUUAUUUCUCUUGCUGGCUGCAGAAUGCUUGAUUAACCCUGUGCACUGGCCACAUCUGCUCCAACGCCUGCUCACGGUAUCUCUUCACCUUCUGGCAGGAAUUUGCUGUCCAUGUUGGAGCCCUGGGCAGCAGUGUCUGCAGCAGACGUUUUAUCUGUGGUGCACCGAGUGAGGCAAGUCACUGCCCCUCCCUACCACCUGCAUACCUGCUCCCGCUUUCCCCCCCCCUCUUUUCCUCUUGCGUGAUACCUGGUCUCCCUUCAAUACUGAAGUCUUCACUGAUGUUCUCGGCUUGGAUGAGAUUUCCCUCCUCUGAUAGUCUAUGGGUUCUAUUUAUUUAGCUGUAUAUUGUACCUCCUAGCAGGCCACACACACAGUAGGAACUCAAUAAACCUUAAACACCCCACUUCCUCAACUGUCGAUGGCAUGAAACUGUUUAUUGGCACUAAUCUAUGGGUAGUUAAUCAGACUGACUCAUUCUUAGUUUUCUUCUUCUGAGAUUUUUACAUAUGAAUAAAAGUAGAUGGACUGAGAAGCAAGUUUGGUUUAUCUGCUGUAUCUCUAGCAAACCACAUCUUUUUAAUUUCAUGCAUCAAUGGAAUGAUACGUCAUGCCUAUUACUGUGGGACAGCUUGCUACGUUGUAUAACUCAACAUGCUGAUGCAGCUGGGCAUGCAAAAUUAUUCCCAGAGGGAGUCAGACCCAGGAAAUCACAAGUGGUACCAAGUGUCCCAAGAUAGGAUUUUUUUUACCCUUUCCCAAGACCUCAUCCACUUGUGGGACCUGACCUGAACAACGUUCACAUAUUGGCUCAAUGAAGGACAAUUCUGUCUUUACUGGACACUAGGUACUUGGAGCAAAAUCCCUAGUGAGGAAAAAUUUCGUCAUUUAGAACCAAAUGAUCACUUUUUCAGUCAAAGGAUAUUCACUAAGGACCUCAAUAAUUGUUUGGAUAAUAAACGAGCGACUGAAUAAAAGAGUAAAGUGUCCCAAUUUCUGCCUUGCUACCAGGUUUGUUAUUCUAAAUCCCACCCACCUCACGCCCUCCAUGGCAUAGACACUUAGAAUACUGCAUCUUUUACAGAAUAAAGUCCGAAGGUCUCAGCUCAGUGAGGCAUCCAAAUGCUUUUGCAAUCUGGCUUCCAUUCCUACUGUUGCCCCAUGCUCCUUUCUCUGCACAGCCCUGCCUCCUCCAGUGCUCUCAUUUAUUUGUUCUCUACUGGAUAGACAAUAACUCUCCUGAAAGGUGAUACUUGAAUUUGAGAAUUUACAAAGUAAGUUCCUUUUAAACAUCCAAAAUCUGCCAUCGCAGGCUAGAUGAACAUCUUCAAAGGUGUCAGGGCUUCCCUUCUGGGCAACCCAGAGGCCAUAGGCUCUGAUUCAGCCUGAGAUUCCCAGAAGCUGGGGUUUUGUUUGGGACUGGGAAUGGCCUUGAACAGCUCAGGACAGAAUUGGAAGGAUAUUGAAUGAAACCUGCCCAAACCCUUCAUGUUACUUCUGAGCAAGCGGAGACCUAGAAAGGUUAAGUACCUUGUCUAAGGUGUCAGGGUUCAAUGACCAUGUGGACACUAAAACCCAGGCUACGUCUUUUCCCAGUCCAUCCUGGUUAAUAUCUAGCUCCCUUGUGGAAGGCACUCACCACCCCCACCCAGCCACUCAUCAGCAUAGUCACUCAUGUUCUUCCCCAAGCAGGUUACCUGUCACCUCCUCUUUUCAUCUCUGAGGUUGUAAAUUUCUCCCCCAAACUUUAGUCCUCUUCUGUCUAGCUGCUGCUGGAAUCCCUGAAGCUUGACAAAGUAUUCUAUUUGCUGGCUAGUGCUAGGGAUGAAUGCCAUAAAUAUUAGCUGUGGGUAACGAAUGACUGACACAGGGAAUAAAUAUUUGUUUUCUCUGAGAGGUUACAUUGUGGUAUUGGUAAAGAGGCAUAUCCUGUUGUUGGUUUCAGGCAAAACUGUUGCUGAACAUCUGACAUAUAUCACUCUCUGUACAUGUAAUUGAUGAGGUCAGAUAUAAACCUGUGCUGGCAACAUCUGUGUUUAUUGCACCCCAGUCUGUAAUGAAGCUCUCAUGCCCUCUUCCAAACUUGUUUUGAAGCAACAUGUCUUGGAUGCCCUUUUUCUCUGAGUCACACCCUGGAAGAACAGUUGGUCAUAUUUGAAAAGCAGUGUCAUUUUAGUAGAUGACAUACACUAGAAUGGAGGCCUCCCACAGGUGGUAGAUACCCUCCCUUCAACCCAGGACCCAUUUCCUUGUACACAUCCACCCCUGGAGAUUCAUCUGACCAACAAUUAAGAAGUUACUUUUCUGCAUGAUGCUGGGUGUUGGAGAUACAAAGAUGAGUUAUUUACUCAGACCUCAGGGGGUUCACAGUCUCCUCCAGAUAUUGUUUGAUUCUCUGUUUCUUGUCUAGACAUGCAGACUUUGUUCUCCUGUCUUCCAUAACUGCAUAACCUGCUCUUUCUUCUCCAAAAGGUCCAGACUUUCUUUCUGUAUGAAGAACCUCAUGCUUACUUCCUGGGGUCCGUGUGCUCUCUUUUCACCUCAUGUCUUCCUCUGAGUUCUACCUCUCCACUUCCCGCCUUUUCUUCCAACUUUUUUUUUCAAUUUAGAAUCCUAUCCACCUGAUUUAAAAAUUGUGGUUCUUAUAUGUCCAUGUAGCUCAGUAAUGCUGGGAGGAAAUGUGGUUCUUUUUUUAUUAUUAUGUCUGACAUUAUUUUCUUCCAUUCUAUCUGGAAGGUCUAAAGAUUUCUUUCUCUUCUUUUCUCCUAGAAGCCCUCUAUCUCAGCACAUUCAAAACCUACCAUUUCUUCAAGGUCUGGUUUGAAAAAAAAAGAAAAAUAAAAGAAUGCAAAGCAAUAAUUAAUAGUUUUUUUAUAUUGAUAAUGUGUUGAAAUUUUGAUUUAGGUACACUGGGGUAAAUAAAAUACAUUAUUAAAAUUAAUUUCACCUGGUUCACCUUACUUUUUAAUGUGGCUACUUUUUUAAAAGUAAUGUAGACUUAUCUAUAGGGUUUGCCGUGUUUUUGUUAGACAACAGUGAUCUGGAAUAAUAUCAGCAAUUUCUUAAAGUGAAACUUUACUUGAAUGCCUAAGCAAUCUUUGGAGUAUGACUGAACUUUUAGUCUGUUUCCAGGACAAUAUCCAUGGCAAAAUUUAUUAUCUGUACUUAUAUGUAGCUGCCUUAUAAGUAGGGUGACCAUACUUUUGGAUUUGCCUGAGAAAGUUGCAGUUUAUGCCUAUUGUCCAGGUAUAAAUUGUUAGUAGUGACCCCUUUCAUCAUCAAAAGAGUCCUGGUUCAAAUGAUAAAUUGCAUUAUGACUCUAUUUAUGAAAGAUGCACCUGGAGCUCUUAGUUUACUGUGCAGAAAUUUCUCCCAGAAGAACCCGUACUCAUGUUUCCUUGACUAGAGUGUCUAUUCUAUCCAAACAGACCCUCUUUUCUGUGGUCCUCACUCCUACCUCCCUCCUCCAACAGUACUCUUUUUGUCAAGAAGAGACAAUUGCAGGGGCGCCUGGGUGGCGCAGUCAGUUAAGCGUCCGACUUCAGCCAGGUCAUGAUCUCGCGGUCCGUGAGUUCGAGCCCCGCGUCGGGCUCUGUGCUGACUGCUCAGAGCCUGGAGCCUGUUUCCGAUUCUGUGUCUCCCUCUCUCUCUGCCCCUCCCCCGUUCAUGCUCUGUCUCUCUCUGUCCCAAAAAUAAAUAAACGUUGAAAAAAAAAAAAAAAAAAGAAGAGACAAUUGCAACUUAGAGUUUCAAUGAAAAACAGUCCUCUAUUGCUGAUUACCAUGGAUAGCAGCACUGUGAACUAUUUCCCUGGCCAAUCAAACAACAAAAUAGCUUGAGUCCACAGGCAUUAUCCUUUAAUUACCUCAUGUUGUGUUUUGUGUAGAUUGCAUUAGCCAACUACAAAAAUGAUCAGAUACAUUACCUGCCAUUGGCCAUUCCACUUCCCAGUUCAGCCAUUUGAAGGAAGCCUGGGACCCAGGAGGCCGGUGUUACAAACAGUAUUUAUCCCUUGCCCAAUCUCAGCUUCCUCAUUUGUCUGGUGGCUUGGAAGAGAACUUACACCUCACAGAAACUGUGAUAAAAAUGAUAGAAAGACUCCUGUCACCUCUGUUUUCUCCUUGGCUCUUGAUACAAAAUAGCCUUAACCUCACUACAGUCCUCUGUAUCUAAUGGGGUGACUUCCAUAUUCCACCAAAUGAGAAAGUCUUUCUUUAAUAUUCUCUUAGUCAAUACACCCCUCAUAAAUUCCACCUGCUUUCCCAAGUGGAUACAUCCUUCAAGGUUCUGCAACAGCUACAAGUAAACUUGAUAACUCAGAGAGCUGCCUGAAGAAUCUGUCCCUUUUGGUCAUCUGUGCCUCCUAAAUGGUUGCAAAUAUUUUAUUUAAACCUGUAAUGGGAAAGGGAGAAAUUCCACUCAAAUGUAUAACCUUCUACUACCUACCAUCAUAGCCAUGACAAAUGUACAUCUGAUAGUUUAGAUUCUGCCUAUAAGGAGCUGCUCAUUGCCUCUGCUUUUGAUAAACAUUAGUUAUUACAGGAGAAGCUGUGUUUCCCAGUCAUUUCCCAGGGUGCUUUUUUUCCCCAUUUCCUCUAUCUUUUCCUCCUUGAGUGUACCUUCUGGCACCAGACAUACAUGCUGGCUGCAUCAUUAAGUGCUGAGACUUUACAUCUUAAUUCUGUGUGAGAGGUUUUCUCUAGGGGCAAUGGUGCAUCUGUAGAAAAAGAAUUUCGGUGUAGAAUAGAGGUGAUAUGCUGGAGGAUACUGAUGACAUAUUUAAGGAAACAGCUGUCCAGAAACUAUUUUUUGUGUGUAUAGGUGGGAGGGACAAGAGGAGAAGUUGGCUUAGUUUCAUUGUCCACAGGCUAAGAUGGAAUAUGUUGGUUUGGCUUUGGGUUUUACUAAGGAAAAUCCUUGAAGUACUUAAGCAAGAAAGAACAAAGAUUUAGGUUGUGAGAUAAUUUGCUCAACUUGUUUCUUCUGGGUUUUUUUUUUUUUUGGGGGGGGGUUGUUUGUUUGUUUUGUUUGAGUAGGCUCUAUGCCCAACAUGGGGUUUGAACUCAUGACCCUGAGAUCAAGAGUCAUAUGCUUUACCAGGUGAGCCAGACCAGUGCCCCUCAACUUGUAUUCUUUUAUAUCUGUAAACUCAUAAGCUAUCAAGAAAUAUUAUCAACAAUUCCCACUUUCUUUUGUAUGCUUCUUAAUAUUAUUUAAUCCUCUCUUAGACAGAAUGGGGACAAAGCCAAGAUGAAAUCAUGGCUUAAUUUUUUAAUGUAAUUCCUUAUGAAACAAAAAGAUGUCUGUGUUCAGUAGCUGGAUAGAUGUAUGGCAAAUAGGGGAAAGGCAAGCUGUGUAACAUCAGGACUAGUUUCUAUAGCAACAAAAAUGUCAGCCAUCCUUUUGGCUGAUCCUAUUAAUCUGGAGUAGAAGCAAUGAUACUGACACACUCGAAAUGUAUUUAAACCAGAAGGUGAAAAUACAACCCAGCUGUAGAUUUAAAACGGAAGUAGAGCUAGGCACCAACAUAAUGUGACUGAAAUAUAUGCCAUGAGGGAAAAGUGAGGUUCUCUCAAAUACAGCCUCUGCAUUUUUGUUUUAAGUGAUUAGGUUUCCACCCUACGUUCCAAAUAUUCAUGGACCCAACUAUAAAAAAAAAAAAAAGAAAGGAAGAGGAGAGAUCCCAUCACCUUCUGUUUCUAGAGCAAGGCUGUCUUUUCAAUUGGGUUGGCUCAGAGUAAACACUUGAAAUUAAUUGUUUUGAAGAUGGUAAAAUUUGUAACUUUGUGAGCUGCUGAUUCUUGUGCACUUCUCAGAAAGGAAGAACUAGGUUUCUGAGAGAAGAAAUCCGGUGUUUGGACCAAUGUGUGUGGUUGUGGUUUCUGUUCUUUUAACCAUGCCCAGGGCUAGGGUGAACUUUGUGAACAGUAAACAGAGGUGAUUGCCCUGGCCCUGUGUACUAUGCAAGGCUGCUCUGAGGACCAAAUGAGUUAAUAGAUGGAGAAGUACUCUGAAAGAAGCUUAAAGUGCUAUAGUGGAGUAUAGAAUGAUUAUUAUUAGUAAGGAACAGCCAAAGAAACUCUUUCCUAAAGAGCACCAGUUGUAGAGAGAGCUUAGGAGGCAAGUUAUAAAUUCUGACUAUCUGGGUCAGUGGUUUGAUUUUUUUUUUCCUAGAGAGACUAUAAAGCUAUUAUUCUGUACUAUUUCCCUUUGGUGCCUCUUUUUACUUUCGACUUAUUUAAAUGGCUAAAUAUUUUCCCACUUUGCAAAACAGAAUGACAGUCCCCAGUAUAUUUUGCUGCUGGAGCACAAAAUAAAUGGGGAUGCAGAUCCGUGUCAUUAUGAUAAAACACCAUCUUUUCAUCUUUAUCUUGGAAUUUCAGACUCCUCAGGAAAGAUGACCGCCUCUCAUUUUGAAAAUGAUUUUGCUAGCAAAGGAAGAUAUCUCUUAACUUGUUCUUAGGUCUUCUGGUUUCCAAAAGCGUAAAGGAAAAUUAGCUCUGUUUACUGUUCUUGCCUUAUUAAAGCCAUUUUCCUUCCCCAACCACUCACCAAAUCUCUAAAAAUGAUUGCAGAACAACAGAACAGAAUGGAGACCAAAACCAGCAAGGAAAAUAAAAAAAAAAAGUACAUAACAUUUGAUUAACCAAGACAUUAUAUUCCUGUAAAGGAAUAUAAUCUGUUUUUAGAAAUUAGUGGCAAAGGGUCUGGGUAUUUCUGCCUCAGUUUGAACACACAUUUUUACACUUCAGAAAUAAUUAACACUCUCAAAGCAAAAGAGAUACUUUCCACUGUGCCUUGAGAUAAAAUGUUUUUGCACAAACUACAGCUAGGGAUAUGUAGCUCUCACCUUCAAGCCCUGCAUCACGACUGAUGACUUGGGAUGUUCCCCAAAUUUCAGAGUUUGAAUAUAUCCAUCUAUCACCAGUCAAGGAUGUGUCUAGCACUAUGUUAGGCUCAUGGAGAUAAAAGGCAGUGAGGAUAAGGAAAGAAACUAGAUUUUUUUAAGAUAAAAAUUUACGAAAUUUGAGGCAAUGAGUGACCAUCUGUGUAUUCAUUAAAUUAAAAUAAAAUGAACUUCAUAGCCUUUAUAACAGGGGAGGCUAGUUUUUAAAUUUGUUUGUUCUUCAGCACUUAGCUCUUUGGUAAAGUUUUGCCCCAUGAUGCACCCAAAGUCUAUUUUCUAAGAGAAUAUAAUGCAGUGAUGAGAAGGAUUGGUUUCAUAGUCAGAUUUGGAUUCAAGUUUAAACUCCAUCACUUAUUAGCUAGGUGACUUUGGGCAACGUCAGUGCAUUUCCAUGUCCUCUUUUGUAAAACGAAGAGCAAUAAAUCCCAACACACAGAGUCUCGCAAAGUCUAAAUAAGUGAUGGAUGUAAGAUGCUUAGGCAAACAGGUAGUACAUCUUAGAGACCCAAGAAGUGUUAGCAAUUGAUUAUUAUCAUUACUGUAAAUAUUAUAUAGUAUUUCAAGCCAGCCUUUUUAUUUGGCCUCUAAAACAAGGAAACAUAUUUUAUUGCCAAGCUACAGGUAAAAUAAACAUGCUCACAUGUAUGAUGCUGACCACAUCUUGGGGAGGCUUUCACAAUGGGGGAAUGUUUAAGGACAUGGGUGUCAGAAAUGUGGUGAGACACAAGGUCAGGGUGAGCCUUAGCAGUGGAGGAAGGACUGUGCAUGCCUAUUGCAUAUAUCCAUUUGUUUUAAAACUCAUUUUUAUAUUUAGCUCAAUCAUUUUGGUAUCUGUUUCCAUGCCUCACUGUGUACUGAUUGGAGUUAUAACCCUGUCAUACGCUGUGUUAUUGUUUACUCUCUUUAUCUAAUAAUUAGCCUGUGAUCAAUAGAGAGCAGAGGUUACAUAGUUGUUCUCUAACCUAAUCUAAAUAUGAAGUACUGUUCCAGGAGUUUAGGAGGUGGGUAUUUGUUGAAUGAAUAACAGGACCAAAUAAUGAAAAAAAAAUGAAUAAAAAUCCUUAUUAAAAAGGGUUCUGAGGAAGCAUUUAAGCCCCCAUUUGACCAUGUGAUAGUGACUAAAUAUCACUUCUUAUGUUUUGAUGUGGUCACUUUGCAGCUUGGCAGAUGAAUAGAGCAUUGAGACCUUUUGGACUGUGGGUUCUAGUGUUAGGUGGAGAGCACAGACUUAGACCUCUGAGAGGGUGUGAGCGGAGGACCCUCAAAUUACAGUGUUAGUAGGCAUGAACAGCAGGCCUCUUUGCAGCACUAGCUCUCGUUCCAAACCACAUGCUCAAAUCAAUAGUUCGGAGUGGGCUGCCAGAAAAGCAGCCAGAAGAUCAAGUAUUGCCUGAGGAACCCUUCACCCUUGGCUGCCAAAAAGUGUGCCCUUCUCCCUUGACUUGGCAGCCUGAGCUGAAAGCCUGAGGCGGCUCCUCUUGAAAGGCCAGCACAGAAAAUCCCUUUCAGAGCUGCAGGGUAAGAGGGCUGGAGAGUCAAGGACAAUCAUGAUGUCUGACCCUUCAUGGGCAGCUGGUCAUAGCCUGGAACGGACAUCUAAAGUAAUCAGAUGAGCAUUUCUGGAAUCACCUGUUUUCAGUCCAAAAGCAUCUCCCUUCCAUAACUGGUCCAGGACUCUGCGCAUCUGCAAUCCUUUGGCUAUUUUCUUCCUCCUUUCGGAUGACCCAUCCCAAUGCCCACUCUCCUCCCAUUCGUGCUUUCUACUCUAUUUUAUCUGCUCACAUUAAAUAGGUGCAGAUGCCAAUUAUAAUAAUAACAAUAAUAAAGCUAGUGUUUAUUUAAUAUAUAUCAUGAAGCUAAUACAAAUAAGUGCUUUGUUCCUUUUUAUUCAUUUUAUCUUCCCCACAAGGUAAGAAAACAGAGGCACAAGGUAAAACAUGUCAUCAAAAGAAAGAAAUCAAAGUAUACAAGUACAGAAUAUGAUGAAUAAUGAAUUAGCCUAUGAGGGACAGGUCAGGAAAGGCUUAAUAAAAUUUGUGAGUGAAUUUAAUCUUGAGAGAUAAGGAAGAGAAUGGAAAGGGGACAUACCAAGGGUCACUGGUAGAAUGGAUGUGUAAGGCACAAUUUCUUUUACUGAUCAUGUUUAGCACAGUACCAGGUACAUAAUAAGCACUCAAUAAACCUACAUGGAAAUGAAUCAAAUAACAGUAGGAGAGCAGGAGGCCAGAGGUAAGAGGGUUAAGCCCUGUAUCAAUUGUUUCAGGAGGAGUGGGUGAGUGAUGAAGCUUUCUGUAAAAGCAAGAGCAAAUUUUAUGACUGCAACUCACAGAUUUCUCAUCAUAAUGAAUUCUCCAUUAAGUGUCCUCCUAAUCCACAUCGGCUGAUGGAUGAACCCCUGAAACAGAAAGUUCCCACCAAGAUCUAUGGAAGUAGCCACAUAUCAGAGGAGAUGAAUGCCGUUAGUCAUCAGGAAUUUGCAGGAGUCAAAAGGAAGAUAGGAACGUUUGCCUGGACUCUGUUUGAAAGCCAGAUUAAAAAAAUGAUGACCCCAGCUGUGAGUUGUCAAAUGUUCUAUUCAUAUUAACCACUGCUGCAGUCACUGAUACCUUAGCUGGCUUUGAAGGAAAAACAGACAACUUAAUGAAGCCAUUGGAGUGUACCUCAGACAGCACUGCACUGGAGUGGAGUCCUUGAAUGACACAGGUAGAUGGGAUCCUUGAGAUCAUCUACUUAAAUGAAGUCUUGAGGCAGAACAUAAAUAAAUAGAACAUAUAAAAGCCAUAAAUGGGUUCUUUUUGUAGUUUAAAUCUCCAUCCUUUGGCAGAAAAGCACUUUUUAUUGCUUGUGCUCUCCCAGAGCACCUAUAUGCAUGGAGAGCACUGGUUUGAGUCCAAUACUCUCAUUUUACCAAUGAGGAAAAUGUAAACACAGAGCAGGGAAAUGGAUCCCUAAGUUUCACCCAGGUGGCCAAUGGCAAGUUCUAAGCCCAGACAGGGAUCCAGAAAUCUCAACUCUGCUUGUUCAUCCACCAAUAAUAUUCUUUGCUUCAAGAAAUAUUUAUCGAAAGGGGCCACCCGUGUGGCUCAGUCAGUUAAGUGUCUGACUUUGGCUUAGGUCUUGAUCUUGCAAUUCAUGAAUUCUAGUCCUACAUUGGGCUCUCUGCUGUCAGUGUGGAGCCUCCUUCGAAUCUUCUGUCUGUCCCCCUCUCUCUAACCCUCCCCUGCUCAUGCUUUCUCUAUCAAAAAUAAAUACACAUUAAAAAUUUUUAAAUAAAAAAAAAGAAAUAUUUAUUGAGCAGUUACUAUAUAAAGGACACUGCCAGCCUGGAGGAUACAUUUAAAUAUCAAGUUCCUAUCCUUAAGAAUUUGGGCAACAAUUGAAAAGAUAAUUCUAUUCCAGCGUUAAAAGUGCAAAACUAGAAGUCUGUACACAUUAUGGCUUACUCAAAUAUCACAGAUGUCAGGGACCAAUCAAGUAACAUGAGUGAAACAUGGUGAGAAUAAGCCACACAGGUAAUUGAAGGACCUGGGACAUGAAUGCUGACUGCAUUCAAAUUUUUUUCAGUUGGAAACCUCAGCUUGAUAAAGAAUAUUUACAAAAUUUUACAGCUGAACUCAUACUUAGUGGUGAGAAUCUCAAAGCUUUCCUACUAAGAUCAGGAAGAAACCCAAGGAUAUCCCCUUUCACCACUGUGUUUCAAUACCAUUGGAAGUCCUAGAAAAUGCAUUUAUACAGGAAAGGGAAAUAAGAGGUAUACAUAUUGGGAAAGAGAAAUAAAACUAUCUUUGUGGAUAACAUGAUCAUCUAUGUAGAAAAUCUGAAUGAGUCAACAACAACAAAAAGCUCCUGGAACUAAUAAGCGAGCAAAGUUAUAGGAUACAAGGUUAACAUACACAAGUCAAUUGUUCACCUAUAUCCCAGCAAUGAACAAGUGGAAUUUGAAAUUAAAAACAUAAUACUGUUUGCAUUAGCACCACCAAAAAUAAAAUACUUAGCUAUACAUCAGAUAAAAUAUGCACAAGACCUAUAUAAAGAAAACUAAAAUGCUGAUGAAGAAAUUAAAGAACUAAAUAAAUGGAAAGAUAUCCCAUGUUCAUGGUUAAUAGGAAGAUUCAAUAUUGUCAAGCUGACAAUUCUUCCCUACUUGAUCUGUAGAUUUGGUGGAAUCCCACCAUGUUAUAUUGUGGAUAUUGGCAAACAUUCUAAAAUUCAUAUGGAGAGGCAAAAGACCCAGAAGAGACAACACAAUAUUGAAGGAGAAGAAUGAAGUUGGAGGACUGAAAUUACCUCACUUUAUGACCUACUAUAAAACUACAACAAUCAAGACAGUGUGAUAUUGGUGGAAGAAUAGACAGAUUGAUCACUGAGCCUAGAACCUAGAAGUAGACUCACAUAAAUAUAAUCAACUGAUUUUUGAGGUAUAUGGAUAAUCUCUGUAACUUCCGCUCAAUUUUGCUAUGAACCUAAAACUGCUCUAAAAAUAUAAAAUCUAUUUUUAAUGGAAAACACUGCACAGACAAAAGACAUUUGUCAUUGUUGGGCCACUAGCUUGCUUCCAUGAAUAUUUCCCUUUACAUUUUACAAAGAUCUUUCAUAUACUAUAGCCUUAACCUAGUACAUACAUACAUACGUAUAAAGGAAACAAAAAUUUUUACAAAACUGUACUUACUGUAUGUGAACAAUCCUCCAUCCCAUUCCAUUUUAUUUUAUUCUAUUUCAAUUACACUUGUUUAAAUAAUAGUAGUUGUAAUGCACUCAACUAUUUUCUAACUACCCGAAUGUCUCUUAAACCAUAGUUUGCAAACUACUACAACAGCACUGGUGCCUCCAACAACCCUGUGAGGCAAGUAGUGGUUGUUCCUUCCAUUUUACUAAUAAGAAAAUGGACUCUCAGGGAAACUGUUAUUUGCACACCCUCAUACAGUGAGUGAGUGGCAGACCCACACCGGAACCAAAAUUUCCUGGCACCCCAGCCAUGUGAUUCUUUAAGGAAGCCACUUUGCCUUCUCAAGCUAGAAGACACUAAUAAGACCAGGUUCCAACUCAGACUCAAAUCUCAAUUUUGACAUUGCCCUUGACAACAAGAAGUUCCUAGUUUCCCAGUAUUUAUUACUUCUUCCCAUUUAUCUACUAGAAUUGCCUCUUCUUGGGCAAUCAGCAUGGAAUGGCCUUUCAAGAUGGGAAAGGAUUUAAAUAAGGACUUGAUAGUUCAUACCUGCUCUUUGCUGUGCCCUGUGUGCUGUUUGAGAAAUCCCAGCAAGGCAGUUUCCUGAUGUUUCCAUGCCACUGCCUGACCUUGAGAAUCUUGCAAGUGAAUAUAUAUAUUUUCUAGAAAUUUCAAGCAGUUGCUGUCAUAGUGCUGGAAAAGGGAGACUUCUCAAGCCUCAUAUGUAAACUUGGCUUCUGCUAUUUUCCUGCAAGUUUAAUAAGGCCAGGGCCAUAAUUGUAAAUAUUUAAAAUCUUGAUGUGUGGCCAGAUGGAUUCAUUAUAGACUAUAUCUGUAUUUAGACUCAUAAUUUCCAGUUUGGCACCGGAAAUGUCACCUAGGAAGACAUACAGGGCUCGGGAUCCGAUCUGCAUCUAAAUGCCAAAGGUAAAACACUCAUUUGUGUCCUCGCCUCUGAUUUUACUAACAGUUCUUCUUAUUUAGCCUCGCCCAGACUCAGACGGGAGCCCAAUGGAGAAAUAAUAGAUAUAAAUUGUGCUUCGGUCAUUGGCUGUUUAUCUUAAGAAGAGAAACUGGUUUCCAGGCUGACAGAUAAUUGGACGUCCAAAAAGUUCACUAACAGAGGCGGAGGAUGAGACAGUACUGAGUGAAGACAAACCAGGAAUGUUUAUUUUCUUUCAUUACACAAUGGGAAGAGGCUGCAGAUCCUUUCAUUUUCCUCAAGUUGUGGGUUUUUUGAUUUACUGAGUAUGACAUCCACUGCUUAAACAGUCUGUGAAUUGUCUAUGAAUUCUUAAAGCUUUGGUGCAAUAAAUUUGCAUAUUUGACUCUAGGGACAGAAAGGAGAGUUGCCGUGGUGGCCCAGGGAAGGGAUCGGGCCCAUGAGGAGAAAGUGGAGUCCCCCCUUCUCUCAGCUAUUCAUCCGUUGGUUGAUUCAGUGGGCACUGCUCAUCUAGCCAGCUCCCACACAACAUUCUCCCUUCCUCACAAGCAUCAGCUCUGUUAGAAAGGCUCCUAUGAACAAAGUGGGGUUAGAUGUCCACUCCACCAUGUUCCCGUGGGUUAGUGCAGUGAGAGCACUUGUCCCAUCAUAGGAGGAUGGCUAGAUAUACCCAGAUGCCUGUCCCUCUGUUGUGAACCCCUUGAAAGCAAGGACUAUGUCUUCAUUUGCCUUAGUGUUCCAACACCACGCAGUGCUUACCACAGAAAAUGUUGUUGGAGAUAUUUAAGAAGAUGAUGAUGAAUGAGUCCUUGUUCUGGAGAAGUAUGACACAUAUCCUAAUUAUCAUCUAGCUUUUUUAAAGGUUAUUUAUUAGAGAGAGAGAGAGAGAGAGCACACAAGUCAGGGAGGGGGAGAGAGAGAGGGAGAAUUCCAAGCAGGUUCAGCAUGCUGUUAGCACAGAGUCCAACGUGGGGCUUGAACUCACCAACUGUGAGAUCAUGACCUGAGUUGAAAUCAAGGCGGGCGCUUAACCGAUGGAGCCAUCCAGGUCCCCCUCAUCUAGCUUUUAAUCCAAAGAAUGUCCAAGUGAUUUGGCCCCUAUAAAUUUCUCAUCAUGUUUUCAUGCCUUCAGUUAAGAGUAAAGAAAGGCUUCCUUGCCAUUAUUUCAUUUGAACAUAAUGCUUUUCUCUUGGCACUCUUUUGAUGUCAUCUCAAGUGAUUUCCUGUUGGAUCUGUAUGUUUUAGAAGCAUAUAAACAUGUCUAUGUGUAGAAUAUAUAAUGCUAAAUAUAUACAUUAUAUGUAUAUGCAUAUAUGUAUGUGUGUGUAUACACACAAACGCCACAUAUGUAAUAUGUGAUAGGAUCCUUUAAAAGGAUAAGUUGAAGACUGAAUUUUCUAUGUGUAGUGGGAGUAUAGACAGCACAGCAGAGCUGGAGUUGGAAUAAUCCACCUCAGCUCACUCAGUAUGUAACCAUGGGCAGAGCCCGUGUCCCAUCUGAGCCUCUGUUUCUUCGUCUCUAAAACAGAGCCUGUGAGAGCUGCCACACCUCCUGCUAAGGAGUUGGUGUGAGUCUCAGAUGAGAGGGUGGAUGGGAAAGCCCUUUGCUAGUUAAAUCAAUGGAAAAGAUUAAAAAUGCCAAAUGAGUCAUGUUUAUGACAAGAUUGGGUUUGACAAUGCUAUUUACUGUUUGGGAAUGUGAAUGAGAAGAAAAACGUACUUGCAAAGGUUCUUGGCACAAGGCAGUGGUUCUGAGAGCCAUGCUGGCACUGCCUUUGCUUUUCCCUUUGAGUGCUGAACAUAUUCCCACUUGCUUGCCAGCUGCAGAGCUCACUUGUAAAAUUCCUUGUUGCUGUUCCCUUUCUUUCCCUGUCUUCCUCCUCCCCUUUGUAGGUAUGCAUGCACACUUCUUCACUUGAGGGAAGCAUUUGCUUAUGGUUUUUUUUGUGGUCACUUCUAAGCAGCCUGUGGCCCUUUCUGUAUCUCUGAGAGCCUCCCUUCUGCCAUUCUGUGCCCCUAGAGCCUUGCAAGGAAACCCAGGGUGUGUGGAUUUCCAGGGACUAAGGCAGCUGUUCUCAGCAAAAAGACCAUGGACACUUCCCUUUGUAAUGUAGUAGUCUUUGGUUUAUGCAGGGACUUUGUCAUUUUAAAUGGGCAUCUUAACCAUAAGCUGCCUCAUAACAUAAGACUUUGUCUCAUUCUCCCUAGAAGUAAAAAUCAGAGCAGGUUAACUUUGCCUGGAAAGCAAAGUUAAUUCUAACUUUAACCAGGAGAGCUGUAUACCUCCGAGUCAAGAUGGGGACCAAUGACAUUCUAUUAUGUUAACAUAAAACUCUUUAAGAUGUUAUUUUGCUUAACGCCCUUCAGCAACUCUCCACUGACCAUUACAUAAAGGUUAAGCUCCUUACUAUGGCUAUACAGUCCUAGGUGAUUUAUCCCUGUUCUAUGUCCAGCCUUGUCAGUGUUCACCCACGUGGUUUGGGUUACCUAGGGCAUCCAUUCUUCCAUACAUCCACUGGUUUAAUUCCUUCUUUUCAACAUAUACACACUGAGUACCUGUUAUGAUCUUGACACUGUGCAGGGCACUAGGGAUAGGCUGGGGAGCAGAUGGUGCUCGUGCCAGUAAAAGCUUCGUAGUAGGCUGAUAAUGGUCUCCAAGGAUAUCCAGAUCCUAAUCCCUAGAACGUAUGAAUAUUGCCCUAGAUAGCAAAAUAACUCUGUAGAUGUGAUUACAUUAAGGAUGUUGCACUAGAAAGAUUAUCCUAGAUUAUCAGUGGGUCCUAAAUGUAGUCACAAGUGGGACACAUAGGGAGAUUUGAUGGUGGAAGAGGACAAGGAAACAUGACCAUGGAAGCAGAGAGUGUGGGGAUGCAGCCAUAUGCCAAGGAAUACUGGCAGCCACUGGAAGCUGGGAGAGGCAAGAAAUGGACUCUUCCCAAGAGCCUCAGAAGGAGCUUUUCUUACUGACACCUUUAAUUUUACCCCUGUAAGUCUCAUUGCAGAUAUCUGACCUACGUAGCUAUAAAAGAAUAAAUUUCUGCUGCUAUAAGUCACUAAGAUUGUGGUAAUGUGUUAAAAGUUUUUGUCAUGUAGUUUCCUAUUACCUAUUACCUAAAAGUCUAGCUAUCGGCAGGCAAUUACCAUUCACUAUGGGGAAGUGCAGGGAGUUUUUUGAGACCCAGAGUAGGAGAAUUUAUCCUGGAAUUGGUAUAUCAGGGAAGGCUUCUUGGAGGAUGUAACAUCUCAGCUGCAGCCUAAAAGCUGAGCAGGAGUUGUUAACAAGAGGAAGGAGGCGAGCUCAGGGCAGGUGGCUACAGGCAGGGCUAACCACUUAUACAAAGUGUACCUUGCCAUAUCACACCUGCAUACCUUGCACAUGCCAGUUUCUUGGUCCUUUUUCUCCCCACCCUCCCAACCUACCAUACACACACACACACACACACACACACACACACACACACACACAUUUCACAUAUGCACACUUCCUUGUUUUCCACAGCAAACUUCUGUUCAUUAUUCAAGAUUGCUCCAAAGCCCCUCUGUAGGAAAGCUCUCCCCCCAUGCCUCCUUGGCAGAGUUAGGGUACAGGACCUCUUGUCUUAAGGCGGUCCCAUUCUUGUUUAUUGAAGUUCUGAAAUCAUAGAAAUGAAAUCCCUGAGCAUAAUUUAGUAAUGGCCCCUGCUACUACCUUUUUCUCCCUCUCCCCCUUGGGAAUCUAAAAGGCACAGAUGUGGGGAGGGAAACCUUUAGCAAAGAGAACUUUCUGCUAGUGGCAACUGGCUAGGAAACCCAUCAAGAAAGGUUUCAUGGUGUCCCGGCAAAUCCCCUCAGGUUGAUAAAUUAAGGUUCUUGGUACAGAUGUCCUCCAACAAGAAACUUAGAAAAUCCCAACAAACCUUUCUGACUAGCUAGUUCUUCCUCGUCAAGAGGUAUUUUUGUCUUGGGUGCUGCUAGAAUGCUUUGAGAUCAUUUAAAGAAGAGAGGAACAGUGGGAAAUACAGAUGUUCUGGUUGAAUUUGACACCUAAGAGUCAGGAAGCAGGGCUAAUUAUCUCUUUCGCCUUCCUUCCUUCCACCUAAAAUGGAAGCAAAACUGUAUGAUCAAAAAAUAUUUCCUUUUUUUUCCAUUCUUCAACUGGUUGCUAUGGUGUCAGGUAGGGGGGACCCAUCUGCAACUCUGAAUGUUUUGUAUCAGGAGGUGACUGUCAGUCCUCAAUUAAUUAUUCAUGUUUUCAUUAAGAGCAAUAAUGAGAAACAGUAGAAAUGAAAGGUCCCUAACAUUACUAGGAACCCUAAAAUAUUCAUUUAUUCUUUGAUUAGCAAACCUUCUUAAGACAGAUGGAACACUAACAUUGAAAUCAGACAGACUGAAUCCUAGAAGCCACUGAAUAGCUAUGUUGUAAGGCAACAUUUACUUUAUCUCUUUGAGCAUCAAGUUUUUCAUCUGUGAAAUGGGGAUAUGAUACCCACCUCCUGGGAAUGCCUAAAGAUUACAGUGACGAUAAAUCACUUAAAAUGGUGCCUAAUACAAUAUUUGGUCAGAGUAGCUGUUCAGUAAAUAGUAUCUGUUCAUGAUAGGAAAUCCAGAAUGGACAGGUAUUCUGGUCAGGUUUGAUGCAAUGCACAGCUAAUCAUUCUCUUAGUUUUGAAUGAUAUUUUUCUGCUCUUGGGUAGAGAACCUUUGCUUAUUUGGAGAUAGAAUCAGCAAUCUCCAAAUGGAAAGGCAUCUGUAUGUAAAAUGUAUUCAACAUAGUUUUAAAAUUUGAGAGCAUUGGGGCGCCUGGGUGGCUCAGUCGGUUAAGUGUCCGACUUCAGCUCAGGUCACGAUCUCGCGGUCUGCUGGUUCGAGCCCCGCGUCGGGCUCUGGGCUGAUGGCUCAGAGCCUGGAGCCUGCUUCCGAUUCUGUGCCUCCCUCUCUCUCUGCCCCUCCCCCGUUCAUGCUCUGUCUCUCUCUGUCUCAAAAAUAAAUAAACGUUAAAAAAAAUUUUUUUUAAUUUUUAAAUUUUUAAAAUUUGAGAGCAUUAAAUUGCAUUUAUUAAAUAUCCCUUUGCUCAUAAGUUUAUAUUUUCAGGGUGUUUUUGUAAUUUUACUGUUUCUUUUUCUUUUUUUUUUUUUUUAGCCAAGAUGUCUGUGCUACGGGUCAUUUCUUCAGUCCUUGGGAACACUAAACCUAUGCUUUAUUGCAUUUGUUGGGGAACAGAGAUAUUACAUCUUCUUCUAAAGCUCACAGAAAUAUUUGAGUAGCAAUCCGAUUCACAAGUAACUGAGUUCAGUUAAGAAUUAUGUGACAUGAAACCUGUUCAUGUUACAUGAUGUGGCAUAAGUGAUUCUAUGACUUCUUUGUCCCUAAAUAAUUGGAAUAGAGUCAAAUGAGAUAAUACAUGCGAAAGCAUUGUGGAAAUUAAAGUUUUCAUUGUAAUGGAUCAUUAUUAUUCUAAUUACUACUAAUAUGAAGAACCUAAUAUAGCAUGGAUCAAUUAUCAAGAUAAGAGGAUUUCUGAAGUUGUGAACACUUGGUACCCAUUUGGUAUUUAGCUUUACACAGUUUUGCUUUGUUCUCUAAUUGUUUCAUGCAUUUUAAUCUUACCUCUCUACCACAAGUAAAUUGUAAGCAUCUAUGAGCAUUUAGUCAUUUAGUAGAAUUCAUUUUUUCAUCUGUGAAAAUUCCGAAUGCUCACCAUGUGCCAAGCACAAAGCUAAGUCCUGUUGCCAAAGAGGUGACUAAGAUGCUUUUCCUACCCUCAGUGAGCUUUAUCUCUGGUUAGGGAGAGAUGGCUAGAAUACAGGUUGCUAAGUACUUGAACAUAGGUAAGCUCAGAGGGCUUUCAGGGCCAGAAGGGUGGUCCAGGCCUAGAAGGAUGAGGUCACUGUUAACCAGGUGAAAAAAAAUGAGAAUCAGUUCUAAGUAGAGAAAGCAGCAUGUGGAAAGGCUCAAGUGUGGGGAGGGGGCACAUCAUGCAUGCAUGGAACUAUAAUAAUUCAACAUGGCAGACAGAAGAAGUAGAAGCAGGAACACUAUUUGGGAUAAAGCUAAAGCAAGUUUCCCUUGCUUGCAUAACAAGCUACCUAAAAACUAUGUGACAUUAAAAAAAAUUUACUUGUUCAUGAUUCUUCAGUUGGGUCAGCAGUCUGAGGGGAACAUUUGUCUCUGCUGCACUUGAUACUGGCCUUAGCUUCAUAGUCACAUCGCAUCACAUCUGCCAUAUACUAUUGGUCCACCAAGUUACAAGGCCUUCCCAGAUUCAAGGUAAAAGGAAAUAAAGUCCCACUGGAGCAGAAUGAGCCUACUGGGAUGGGAGGAAUUGGUAGCAGCCUACUAUAGAGAGCCACUACAGAUCCGUCAGGAUGUUGCUGCGGAGGGCUUGGCUUUAUCCAAAAACCCAUAGCGCAACCACUCAGGAAGCUUUUGACCAAGAGAAAGAAGUCAUGUAUUUUAGAAAGCUGGCUUCUAGAAGCAACUUAAAACAUGGAAUGGAGAAGACGGGGCCAGUACCAGAGAGGCCAAUGAAGAGCUGCUGUCAUGGUGUGGGAAGAAGUAACAGUGGCCUAGACUAGGAUAAUGGCAGUGGGAAUGGUAGGAGAGAGUAGGGAUAGAUUCAUUUAUUUAUCCAUCCAUUCAACAAGCAUUUAUUGAGUGACUACUAUAUGCAGGUGUGUUGAGAAUUCAGCAGUAAACAAAACAAAUGUUCCUGAAUUCAUGCCCUCCUGGAGCUGAUGGUAUAGUGACAGAAACAUAAAAUACAUAAGACAAGUAUAGAAAGCAUCUGUUCUAAAGAAUAAAUAUAAAGGAGAGAUGAGAGGGAGGACAUAUGAGGGAAUGUGUGCUAGUUUUUGGUUAGGUACUCGGAAAAAGGUUUGCGAAUCAAGAGGUAAGGGGACAUACCAUGUUGUACCUGGGGGAAGAAUAUUUUAGGAGGAUGGAAAUGCAAGGACAGUGGCCUCAUAUUAGUGUCCUAGGGUUACCAUAACAAAGUGCCACAAACUGGGUAGCUUCAAUCAUAGAAAUGUAUUAUCUCUGCGUUCUGAAGGCAAAAAGUCCAAAAUCCAGGUGUUUGCAGGAUUAGUUCCUUCUGAGAGCCGUGAAGGAAGGAUCUAUUCCAAGACCUUCUCCUAGCUUCUACUGGUUUGCUGGCAUUCUUUGGCUUAUAGAUAUCUCACUUCCAACCCUGCCUUCACUUUCACAUGGCAUUCUCCCUGUGUGCAUGGCACUGUGUCCAAAUGACCCCUUUUUAUAAAGAGACCGGUCUUAUUGGAUUAGCAUCCACUCUUAAUGACCUUAAUUUAAAUUGAUUACUUAUAGAAACACCUUAUCUCCAAAUAAGAUCACAUUCUUAUGUGGUACUGGGUGUUAGGAUUCCAGCAUCAGUUCUGAGGGGUUGGGAGGACACAAUUCAACCCAUAACAGAUCCAAAAUCAGGAAUCGGUCAGGCAGAAUAACUGAAAGGAGGUCAUGUGACUAAGGAAGAAUAAAUAUUGGGAGAUGAGAUCAAAGAGAUAACGGGGCCCAGAUUGGGUAGGGCCUUUAGGUUAUGGGAAGAAUAUUGGAUUUCCUCUUUGUGAAAUGGGAAGCUAUCAGAGUAUUGGGGCAAAGGAACAACAUCAUCUGCCUUACAUCUUUCUCAGAUCAUAAUAACUGAUGUGUCGGGUAGGCUGAAAGGGGCAAGGGAAAACAAAGGGACCCAGUUAGAAGGUGACUCAGGAGGAAGGAAUAAUGGGAGUUGGGGCGGUGUCACCAUCACAAAGUUGGUGAGAAAUGAUCAUAUUCUGGAUAUAAGAGUUAGCUGAUGAAUCUGAUGAGGGACUAGGCAACCAGGAUGAUUGUAGGUUUUGAAGCCUGUGCAGUGAAUGGAUAGAUGGAGUUGUCACAGACCUCAGGUUUAGGGGAAUAUAUCAAGAGCUCAGAUGUGGACAUAUCAGACUUGGGAUGCCUAUUGGAUAUCAAAGGGGAGAUGUCAAGCACACAGUUGGAUAUGCAAAUCUGUAGUUCCAGAAGCAGUUUAGACUGCAGAUAUAAAUUUAGAAGUCAUCAGUACGUGAAUGAUACUUAAAGACAUGUAACACAGGGAUGUCAUUAGUGGUAAGUUACCUUCUCUGAGUUUUUUUAUGCAAACUAAGAAUCAUAACCCUUCCCUCACAGCAUUACAGUGAGGAUCAACCAGAAUCUAAAUGCAAGGGAUUCAUAGAAAGGGCUUUCAAUAAAUGCCUGUGACAUGAGUUGAAUUUUAAGUUAAUGCAAUCUGGAUGAUGUCCUGAAUUUUUGUCUCUUGCUGCCCCUUCUAAUGGCUGGAUUUGGUUCCCAAUCCCCUUGAGAUAGGUAUAUAUUGCUCAAGAGAAGCUCGUGCUCCCUGUAGAUGGACAUAGCAGCCUCAUAAUCCUUGUCCAUCCAGGGUUCAGCAGUGGUUCAACGAAAGUGUGCACUGGUGUGCAGAGGGUUAAUCCUACGCCAAUGGGGAUGUGCAAACCAGGAGCCAUUCUAAAUCUCAAUACCACAUGCUGCCUUAGGGAUCAUCAUGUACUAAAGCCCAAGAUAAAAAGGCCUGACAAAGAUUAUUGACGGUUUACCUUUUAAUGAGCAGCUGGGAUUGAUUCUCUUCCCCUCUGGGAUAGCUUUCUCUGUCCUUCUUCCACCAGAGAGGCCACGGGGAACAACAACAACAAAAAAUACAAAUCUCCAAUUUGAAUAAUUGCAAGGAACUGCUUUCUAGCAAAUAAAGUUUUCAUGGGUGAGAAACGGCUCACAGCUUUAAAAAUAUAUAUUUAGAAUUGUUAUGAUUAUCAUGAUUAUUAUCAAGCUCUCCUGGUACACUGGAUAUUUUCAAAGAGGCUGGUUGCCUCUAAUUGGAUAUUCCUUGCAAUUUCCCUCUGGGUAGGUCAACAGUGUUAACUCUUAAUCAUCCAAGGCAAUUAAAUGCAUGUGGAUCUAACCUAUGCACCAAAGGCUGCUGAAUUGUUAAUACAGUUAUAAUGGUAGAGCCAGACAUAAGGGUGCUGGCAACCAGUGUGUGAGCUCUUGCAUAUCUGUCUUGGAAAACGGAAACCAGAGACAUCUGCACGUGGUGCUGGGCAACAGAUCUUGGGAUACUGACCCGCAGCACAUCCCAGUGUGUUUCUCUCUGGAUCUAAUUCCUCCUCUUGCUGAGAGCCAGAGCUCCAUUUGGGCCACUGAGUUCUUCGCUGAGUUUAGAAUGAAGCCUUCAGGUCACGCUUGGGGUGGAUAUGAUGGUUACUAGACACAGCCAAGAGGAGGAAGAAUCAAAGGGGGGCGGGGUGGGGGAAGGCACUUCAAAUUAAGCUUUUCAACAAUUUGAAUAUGUUGCCAUAAGAAAAAAAUGAUGAACUUGUAUGCCAGCUAUACUACCCACCCAACCUUGAAUCUUUCUCCGUCUCUAAUCUCCAUCUUUGCACCCCCACGCCUGAUCCAUUGCAGAAAUGAGAUGGAGAUAUCUGUACUGCCUGUUUCUUGAUAAUUAUUUUCUAUGACCUCAAACAGGGUAGGAUAGUGGUUUCAGACUUUUUAUUGGGACCCCCAUAAGAAAUGUACUUUACAUGUCAACUCCAUAUAUAAAUACACAUACCUGAAGCAAAGUUUUGUAGAAUAAUAAUUAGCCCUUUUUAUAUGCAGUAAUAGAAUCUGUCCUAUACUAUUGUUGAAGAGAGUUGGCCAUGAUAACUUCAUUUCAUAGCCUACUGAUGAGUUGCAAUGCAUACAUAGUUUGAAAAACACUGAGCUAGAGGUAGAAACAAGGAGGUCUCUGGCGUUUGGGUCUCAAGAUCAGUGAAGAUGUGAAUAGAGUAGCCUGCCUCAAGAGAAAAUAGAGCUAAGCCAAGUGAGAGACUCAUAUUUUUCUUCAGCCUUUUCCAAGAUAGAGUCCUAGUCCAGAGACAAAGUCAAAAAAAAGCUGACACUGAAGGGGUAGUGGGAUUUCACUGUGGGCUGGUAAUGGUGCUUUGGCUCUACCUCUGUGGUCCUGACCUUCCCAGAUUGCCUAACAACAGUUUGGGGGAAUUUUUAGAUUGUAGGUUUUGUUUUGUUUUGUUUUGUUUUGUUUUGUUUUUAACACAUUUUAGAGAAUUAAAUUAUACUAACAGUGGUUUAUUUCCUACAUCUGGGGGCUCCCGGGUGACUCAGUUGGUUAAGGAGGAAAAGAACGUAAGAGAAGGAGGUCAGAAUCUUUAUUUCAUUGGCUCCCUCCUUCCUAGGCUACAGGUUGCUACCUGCUGUGUUCCUCUGCCUAAGGCCACAGCCCCCACAGGGGAGUCCACUCCUGUAGUUAGAGCCACUGCCGCAGUCCUCUCCAGGUUAUGGCGGCUGCCACCUUCCUCUGUCCUUGAGGUUUAUGGGUGUAGUUCACUGCAACUUACAAAGAAUAAUGUAGCACCCUUGUAAAUGAUGUCUUCUCUAAUCUCUCCUCAGUCACCCAUCUGUGCCAUCAAUUUCACGUUGAGUCUAGUGGCUUAGACAUUCCUUCAGGAAGGAUGUACUACCCAGCUGUGUAGAAUGAGGUCAGCAGGCAACCUCCAGCUAUCAGCUCCUCUAGCGCCUGCCUCAGCUGCAGAGACCACCUUGUCCAGGCCAUGCUCUUCCUGGAAACUCUCAUCUGGUAACAGUGAAGCAAGCAAGCAGGCAUAGAGAGGCCAGGCGAUGUAGACCCAAUGUGGGAUUAUCUUGACAGACAAUAUUCACUCUAGAGCUCCCCAUCAGUUAAACUUCCUCCCCUGCUCAAUCCUGUUCUUUGCUCUUCCUUUUGGUCUCUCUUAAAAAUCUUAUACCCUGUCUUUGUAUACUCCUCCAGAAAACCCCACCUGUAAAAGGAAACUGACACCAAGGUUAUAGAAGGGCCUGUAGUGGAAGUAGGGAUAUCUCCCUAUUCUUUCUACCAAAAAGACGAGAGCAAAAUAAGUAGCAGCCUCAACUACAUUUCCCAUCUGAUCUCCCACUCUUGGGCCUAAGGCAGAGGAAGGUGUGCACAGAGUUGGAGAUUCCACCUUAGGAAUGUACAUUUCAGUGAAUGUUGAAAUGUUAAGGUUUUUUUCCCUGUUUUUACCCCAUGGCUUGAUUUCUACUAAAGCCCAGUGUCCCUGGUUUGUUCAAGAAUGAAUUCAAAGAGCCAGCUCAAAUCAUUAUCUGAGCCAGAAAGGUGUGUGCCAUAGUAGUCUCAACUUGUGACAGGUGAUAAAUACUUUUGGAACAUUCCCAGACCUCCAUUCUGAAGAAGAAGGGAACCCUUUCCUGGGUAUGUCAGACACGGGGCUCACCCCUGAGUGAUACAGCUCCUUCGUCCUAUUUAGCACAGAGGCUUAGCAUAGUUAAAGAGGUAACACAGCUAUGAAAGACUUUAUCUGCUUUCCUUCUCUAAAAGGUCAUUCCAGGGGUAACUAAGUGGCUCAUGAAGUUUAGCAUCCAACUUCAGCUCAGGUCAUGAUCUCACAGUUCAUGAAUCCAAGCCCCACAUUGGGCUCUGUGCUGGCUGUGCAGAGCCUGCUUGGGAUUCUCUCUCUCUCCCCCCCCCUUUCUCUGCCUUUCUCCCACUUGCUCUCUCUCUUUCUUUCUCUCACUCAAAAUAAAUAAAUAAACUUUAAAAAAAUAAGAGUUCAUUCCAAAUGCAAAUAUAUUUUCCCUUUUUUUAUGACACUAAACUGUAUUCUGCAGGAUUUGUGAAUUUCCCCUUUGUCAACAGGAAAAGUAUGAGAAAAAGGGGAGACUCAAGGAUCCCAACCCGUCUUUCUGCCCCUCCUCAGUUUAAUCAGCAUCUCUACCUUCACUUUCUAUACAUAGCUGUGGCUAACCCAGUCCAUGAUCUUAUAGAUGAGAAAUCAAAGACCAGAAAAAUAACUUGCCCAAGUUGUCCAACAAUUUAUAUCAGAGCCAGGAAUAAAAGCAGGUCUUCCUACUCUCUCCAUUCCUUAUAACCCACUGUGAUAUUUUCUUACAGGUUUACCCAUUAAAAUACAGCAGCAUAUGCAGACACAAACGAGUAGAAAGUGUAGAGGAAUUCCCUGUCUUCAUGAUAGAGAGAUUGGGGGUUGCAUUUUGAUAUGUGUGGGGUCUCCUGAUCCUAUUUAAAAUCAUAUUCUAGAAUCACCACUUUAUCUGUAGGAAUAUGAUUUAUGCCCCUUUGCACUUCUAGCAUCAAUUUCAGACCUGGCAUAGAAUAGCUUCUCAGUAAAUGCAUGUCUGUGGGUGAAUAAAUGAAUGAACAGAUGAAUUUGUGAAAAUCCUUAAAACCAGCUCAGAGCUAAGACAUUGUCCUAUUUUAAGGGUGGUUCUUUUCUCAGCCAAGAAAAGAGCCAAAUUAUACUGCUGGCAGGCCACUGGAUCUGAUGAAAAGGGGUUGGGGUGGGGAUGAAAAUUCAAUGUAGGUUGCCAUUAAUACAAGUAAUCAUGCGAUGUGAUGUAUUUCUUCCUGAGACUGUAGCUUAAAUCCCAAUUACCUUCUGGUGACAAAUGAACUCACUGAGUAAUUCAUUUUGACUGUUGGAGCUCCCACCUUCUGUGUUACCAUUGCAUGGAGAAGGUGUAUGACAAAUUCCAGAUUUAAUUUUAGUGCUUGGGAGCCCAAGUGGCACAAUUACCAGAUCAAGAGUGAUGGCAGAAUAUUAACGGGAAGAGUUCAUGUGAAGCUGAGUUAUAUGUAAGAAUGCUGAAACUCGGACCCUUGCAAGCAAUGUGGAGCUCCAACUGGUCCAGGUACUGGACCUUAGGAUAUUCUCUUCUCUGACUUUAUCCUGAUUUCUCCCAUUCAAAGGGCUUCUCUGACUCCUGCUGAUUGUAUCUCCAGCAUAGGUCUUGACUUCCUCCCUUUGUCCCAUUCCUCACCACCUUUCAUUUGAUUGUUCAAGGCAGUAUGGGUAAUGAUUAAGAGCACAGAUGUUAUGGUCCAUUGAUAAGAGUUCAAACCAUGCCUCUGCCUUGCCCUCCUUAUGUAACUUUGGCCAAGCUACUUAGAUACUAAUAUAGAUUUGUUCCUGCAUAUUAAGCAUGAUAAUACAAAUAAAAUAUGUGGCAAUUAGGAAAUACACAAUUGAUUGCAGUUUUUCUACUAGUAUUAGUAUCCCAAUCUGGCUUCUAUUUACUGUUCUGUCACUCUCCUAUCUGGGACCAGCACCAUUAGCUGUAAAGGUCCAGCUAGUAAAAAUUUCAGGCUUUGCCGGCUAUACGGUGUCUGAUGUAAUUACUUAAUUCUGCCACUGCAGAAAAAGUAGCCAUAGACAAUAAGUAAAUAAACGAACGUGGCUAUGUUCCAAUAAAGCUUUAUUUAUGAACUCUGAGAUUUGAAUUUCAUAUAAUUUUCACAUGUCAUGAAAUACUAUUCUUCUGAUUUAUUUUCAACCAUCUAAAAAUGUAAAAACCAUUCUUAGCUCGCAGACUAAACAGAUGGCAGGCUAGAUUUGGUGGGGCGGGGGGGCUGUAGCUUGCCGACCCAGGUUCCAUUAUAUUGUCUUCUCCAUGGUCAGCUUCAUAUUCCCGAAAGACACCUCAGAGUUUAUUUUCUCUUUUCAAAACCUUCAGUGGGUCUACAUUGCCUAAAAUCAAAACUGCUUCAUCUGGCCCUGAAAGCACUUUGAGGUCAUUGGUGGUGGCCCUGGUAGCUUGCCGUCACAUCCCAACCCUCUCAGUUUGCCAUUCCCAGAGUCUCCCCAGGUGUUUAUGUCACAUUCCUAAGAGUUAUACUCUUUCCAAAAGGCUCUGGGAAGAAGCUGUUGUGAUAGCAGCCCAUCUCUCUAGAAUAAAGGAGCCUACUCACAGCCGUAGGGUCUGAGGAUACUGAGGAAAUCCUUCCCUACCUGCUUUAAUAACUGCUUCCCCCAGCUUGUUCCACUAUACCAACUUUCCAUUUAUUAAAUCUCUCCUCAUCCUCAUGAAGACCCUCUGAUGAAAAUAUAUCCCCAUUUUGCAGUCAAGGAAAGUUAGUCACAGGGCGGUUAUGUAUCUGGCCCAAAGUCACACAGCUAGUAUGUAGUAGAUCCAGGACUUGAAUCUGGACAUUGAAAGCAGAGGAGUUCAUCCUCUUAAUCAUUACAUUACAUUGAAUAUUUUCUUGCGUGACAGCUGGUGACCUUCCGAGAAGAGCUUCUUCAAAUGACAGAAAUAAACAUUCCAUUAUGUGCAUGAAUGUGUAUAGGCAUAUGUAAUACCUUCCCUUGAAGUUAAAUUUCCCCUUUUUGUCAAAUGCAAUGAUAACAGGAGGAACAUAAGAUACCUUAUUUACAAUUGCAAAACCAUGCUGUUCCUUAAUCCUCACAGACAGUCUUGAAAGUGAGCCCAGACAUGGAAGAAAUGCUGCCUUAAAUGUAUACUAAUCCACAGUGAAGGACUGAUCGUAUUAAAACAGUUCCCAUCUCCCUGUAUUAGCAUCAUCAGAGGACACGUUUUAGGCAGAAAGGGAAAAGCUGCUAAAAUGAAUUAGUUGCCUCAUUUUUCCAGCAGAGAGAGGUGAGACCACAUGAAUGUAAUGUGCCACGAUGUGAAAUGCCCAACUUCCUUUAACAAGACUAAUUCGAGCUGGGUCGGCAUGUUGGUGGGGGAGGUGCAAGGUGCUUACACCUCUCCCCUGGACCUUGAGACCUCUGAGAAGACCUCUUUAGUGGAGCAGGCAGAAGAAGCAAAAUGCCUGAGGCUGGCUGUCUUUGGCUCUCUGACCGCUGACCAAGCAGGUGGCUGGGUCUAGUGGAUAACUCCCCACAGACCACACGUCCUGCACCUUCACUCUCCACACAGGUUUGCCUUUAACUUGCUGUGUGAUUUUGAGCCAGUCACCUCAGCUCUCCACUUGAUUGUCCUCAGCAAUGACAUGAACAUCACCAUCAGUACUUUGUUGGCUUUCCACUUGUCUGCAGACCCACAGUGGUUAAGACCUUGGAACUGUGAAGGCAAGCUGUUUGGACUUCAAUAUUAGAUCACUUGCUCAGCUCUAAGUGACUUGGGGCCAACUACUUAGCCUCCUUGUGCCUUUGUUCUCACCUGCCUAAUGGGAAUGCUUACCUCACAUGAUGUUAUAGUGACCUAAGCCACAUGAUGCUCUUACUACACUUCCUGGCACAUGCUAAGCACACAGUAAAUAUUGAUGGUAAUUACCAUAGUCUCCUGUGAGCCUAUAACUGAGCCUAUAAUAAAUAAUAUGUGUGUGACUCUUUAUAAUUUUCCAUACAAACCAAUCCCAUUUAAUCUUCAUGAAAUCCACAUGCAAUGUUAUACGUAUGGUUAUUUCCAGUCCAGAUAACGAAUCUGAGAGUCAGAAGGGUUACAUAACACAUCCCAGGCUAUAGAAACUGUUAUUGUAUGGUUUUGACUUGCACAAAACACUAUUUCCUGUGUUCGUUCUAUAGUUUAUAGACUGUAACCUUUCAUGUACAUGUAAAGAAUGAUUAGUCUCACAGAAGAAUCAAGGAUCUCCAGAUUGCAACCUCUUUUGGUAUCUGUAGGUUUUCUCAUAUUUGCUUUUACAUUAAGUUAAAAAUGUUUUGAGGUUUGCAACUAAAUAAAGGUGAAGGUAGUAUUGUCUGAAGAUAUAUACAUCUGUUUGAGCCCAACUACAUUAAAGGUGAAAAGAGGAAAAACCUUAUGAAUCUCCUGGUUUGCAAAGUGGGAUUAUACAGCAAGACAAUAGGCUUGUAAACCAGGCUGUUGGUUUCAGAGAGAAAUCCCCAAAUGCCUUCUUGUCUGCUUUUACUUUAUCUAGGGCUGAGAGGACCCAGUUCUUAACAUAUGAUAGGAAAGACACAGAAGUAGCUGAUCAUUGGUAGGAGGCUUUAACUCAGGAGGUUUAAAGGAAAAGCCAUUCUCUAACCUGGGGAGUUUGUUUGGAAGGAACAAAGAGAGAAAUGGAGUGGGCAGAUAUACUCUGAUGUUCCUCCCCGCAAGCCAAAAGCACAAUCUGCACUGGAUAAAUGUGGGUAAUAUUAAGUGAAUGGCUUCUGUUCUUAUUAAUUACUUUGGACUCUUAGAAACCUCUUAAGCUACCCUACGCUCUACACCGGGGCACAGUGUGGUUAGGCAGAGAGAUGCAGAAGGUGAGGUAGAAUGCUGGUUGCUGGGCUUAGCAGACAUGGAACCCCACCUUAAGCUGGGUAGGGAUGACUGAUCAGUGGGCCAGAUGCAGAAAAUGACAGAGACAUGGGGGUCUGUAGCCUGUGGGAACUGAGGGCAAGGCAACCAGGCUUAGACCAAGCUGCAGGAGGGAAUGAGCUAUGAUUCACAUGGCCCACCAGAGCAGAAAGGCAAGCAGAACCAAGCAAUCAAGUGUCACAGCCUCAGAGACCAAAACAGGCAGAUGUUGUUAUGCCCAACGGUUCCACUUCUGCUUUGCUUUCUCAAGGGCUUCUUGUCCAUGGCCUCCCCUGUCCACCAUGCAUCUCCAGACACUAUAAUAAUGGAGGAACACAAGACGGAAGACACCAUUCAUGAAAUGAAGCGUUAUUAUUAUUUUUUAAAUAAGAUUCACUGGGAACCAUGUAAAAGGGCUUAAAUUAUUGGAUUGUAAUGAAUUCAAACUGAGUUGGACAUUUAGCUUCACUUAGAUUUUAUUUUUCCUGCCACCUGUCAUGAGAGUUUGAGAACCCAUAUUGGGCUUAUUAAAAAAUAAAUAAGUUACAUUUAAUCUGCACAUGUGAAUUUUAAAGUGAGUUCAUUUCGCCACAAACAUAGAUAUAUAUUAAGAUACCUUAUUUUAAACAGCUCUUUAUAGAUUUAAAACACUGUAUAUAUUGACAUGUGAUUCUCAUACUAUUUGUGUGACUUUGGCAGGUCAUGGAUUGUUUUCCCCCUUAUACUCAUUAAGAAACUGAGAAUUAGAGAAAACAGACUAACUUCCCAGGAUUAAAGCUAUGUGUGGUAAGAAAGGAUAGGACUUAAAUUAGUAUUCUGAAUCUGAAGCCAGCAUUUUCCCCACUAUAUCAUUUGCUAAACUACCUGUGCAUGGUACAUAUAGCCAAACAUUAUGUUUCCUGAGUGGUUAUAUUGUGAAGAGUAUACAUAAAAGAAAAAGUCAUUCAGAAUAUGUGUAAGGGAAAAGCCAUCCAGGGUGUUUGUUUAGGUGUCUGAAAUAACAGAAUCCUAAAAAUGAGUAAAAUGAUUUAAGCAUAUUGAAUGUUUACUUUUAUUUUAAGCACUAUGUUAGGUAUGUGGAUUACAGAAAUCAACAAGAAUUAUCCCUUUACUUAAUGAUCUUACAGUCUAUUCUAUAAAGUAGUUCCCAGUGUUACCAAAGUUCAGUGAACAAUAGUGAUGUCUAGCUUUGAGUGAAUGUAUUUGAAGAGAAAAUAGCAGAUUGUUUAAAUUUAUGGGUUUUAAAGUCAGAACACUGGAUUUGAAUCCCACUCACAUGAUCAACUAACUUUAGUUGAACAUUGAGGGAGAUUAAUUCAUAUCUUUACACUUACUUUUUUCUAUUAGUAAAAUAUGGGUGUAACAUUAAUAUUUCUUCAGCAUCUUUGAAGGAUUUAUAUAUUUUUAAAGUUUAUUUAUUUAUUUGAGAGAGAAAUAGCACAAGCGGGGAAGAGGCAGAGAGAGAGAGGGAGAGAGAAUCCCAAGCAGGCUUCCCGCUAGAAACACAGAGCCCAAGGUGGGGUUUGGACUCAUGAAACCCUGGGAUCCUGACCUGAGCCAAAACCGAGAGCCCCAUGCUUGGCUGACUGAGCCACCUAGGUGCCCUCGAAGUAUUUAACUACAUAAUCUAGGUAAAACUCUUAGAAUAAUACCCGAUAUAUUUUAAUAAGUAAUGUUUAGCCUAAUUAUUAAUAAAUACUAUUGUGUUCUGUUUUGGAUAUAUUUUUGUCCAAAUAUCUAUUAAUAGAAAAGUAAAGAUAUAAAAAAAUAAAUAAAAAAAUAAAAAUGAGGAAAAUAUAGCAGAAAUGUAUAAUUGUGCUUCUUCGGUAUUUAAUAUCCUCCUGUGACCUAUCCUUUUCCUGUGUAUUUAUCUUUAUUCCACUUUGUCUAGAAACCCCUCUCCUUGAAGUUGUUACCCCUACAUUCUGGGAAAGUCCUUAAUCCAGCACUUUCCAAAACACGUGUUAGGGAACACAAGCUCCCUGGGAUAUAAAUAGGUGUAACAAGGGAAAAGAGUUCUAAUGGCCAAAUAAAUUUGGAAAACACUGGGUUAAUCAAAUUAAAUAGACCUCUUUACAAACAACUUUUUUAGAACCUUUGAUGUUGUAAAUACUGUCUAUGACUACUUGAGAAGUAUAAAAUAUGGUACAUUUCCCACCUUAUUCGACCGUUUGACUGUUUUUGUCAUUGGUCUUCUAUAUUACUGUGUUCUUUAAAGCACAUGUUAACACUGCCACCUUAAUCAAUAACUCUGAUGGAUGGGAGAGAGUCAAGCUAUGACAUGGGUCAUUCCACUGACCAUUAGGGUUGAUUCAGCUGACUGGAUGGAUGGAUGGUUACAUCCCGGUGCUACAUGCUUCAGCACACAGUGCAAUCUUCCCAUGAGGACCAUUAUUAGGUCAAGUGACUAUGGUCCACUAAGAUCUUGAUUUCUGUUUGAGCACUACUUGCCAUAAUCCAAUAUCUGUGGCCAUGAGUUAUGAUGGGAAGAAACCAGGUCUGGGUGAGAACCAUGUCAUGGAAAUAAACCUCAUCUAUUAAAGCAACAAAUAUUUGGGGCGCCUGGGUGGCGCAGUCGGUUAAGCGUCCGACUUCAGCCAGGUCACGAUCUCGCGGUCCGUGAGUUCGAGCCCCGCGUCGGGCUCUGGGCUGAUGGCUCAGAGCCUGGAGCAUGUUUCCGAUUCUGUGUCUCCCUGUCUCUCUGCCCCUCCCCCGUUCGUGCUCUGUCUCUCUCUGUCCCAAAAAAUAGAUAAACGUUGAAAAAAAAAUUUAAAAAAAAAAAAAAGCAACAAAUAUUUUUGAACACCUACUAUGAGGCAGACAUUGUGCUGUGUGCUGAGGAUGCAGUGACAAAUAAAGCAUAUUCAUUCUGUAAGGGCAUCCAAUCUGGGAGGGGAGGGAAGAUUAGGAAACGACACGGCGUAGACACUAAAGUAGUAACCCGAUGUGAUAUUAUAUAAGAAGUGUAGGCUUCAGUACAAUGAGGCACAGGGCAAGGUGUGCCCUGGUCUGUUCAAAAGGAUCAGGGAACACUUUGAAGAAGUAGUGAUGCCAAGGCUGGGGCUUCGUAGAAUGGGUAGUGUUUUUGCCUAGUGAAAAUAUACCAUAUCCCAAGAAAAGAGAAGAGCACGUGAGAGGAACUAGAAUUCAACACGUACAAGAGGGCCCAUCUUACAUACGGAAUAUAGUAGCAGGCUUCUUCUAGGCAGAGGAAUGGUUCAAGGUAGAUCCAUCACAUGGGUAAAGUCAUGCGUAUCAGGACCCCAGCCUAGAACCACAAUUUAAGCCAUGCUCUAGUCUUGUCAGGGUAUCUAAAACUAAUCCUAACACCAAAACCAAUGCUGAGCCUCAUCAACUAAGCAAAUGCUCCACGGAUUCAGAAAUGGACUACUGGCUAUGGGAUGACUGAGGGCUGGACAACUCAUUUCAGAGGCCUCCUCCUCCUGGGGACUGAGCCCUCUUGCUAAAUGCCUAAUGGUUUACAACUAUUAUGUCAUUUAGUCCUUAUCAACACUUGAAGUAGUUUCCCUAUCGUUUUAUAUAAAAGGAAGCUGAGGCUUUGAGGCAUAGCAGAACUUGGUCAAGUAUACAUAGACAGUUAGUAGGCAAGCCAGGGCAGACCCUGUUCUGUCCAACUCCAAAGUCUGAUACAGUUCAGUGACCAUGCUACAGUGGUUCUUGUUCUAACUUCCUGCCUCUCUGCAGCCUUGGUCAGUGUUGGCCAAAGGACUGCUGGGACUGAGACUCCCUUAGAGUUCCUUGAUGCCAGCCACGCAGAACUGGGACAAAUCGUGGCCCACUGUGUCUACUGGCAAUGGCACUCAAGGCUCACUUGCCUCAUUGUCAUGGCCUUCUAUUCACUUCCAUGCUCAUCCUUUGUGAAUGUCAUCAGGUUCCUAUGAUAGCUUUCUCUAAAGAACUCGAUACAUCAUGAAAAAAUUAUCUCAGUCCCCAGCCAUUCAUAUGAAGCAGGAAUCAUUUCUAGUCCUUUAUUUCCAGGUAUCCAAGAUAAAGUAUAGCAAGGUCACUUCACAAACCCGGGGACUCCAGGAUCCCCAUCUAGGAAGAAUAUCCUGUUCAUUUAAUUUCUUUUCCUUCUUGAGGCUCUGCAUCUUCUUCUAUACCUUAGGGCCCUAGCCUAGCCAUUUAUAUGGAUCACUAAGAUUGCUUAAUUAUCCAUCGGUGAAUUCCUACCAAAUACCACUCAAUUCAGAUUGUGGCCCUAAGGGCUGACUGUAGGUAAGACUCUUUCCUACUCAGAGCCUCAAGUUCCUCAUUUAUUAAGUGAGGGUAUUAGCUUUGUGAUCUUGAAAAUCCUAUUUGGCAAUGUAAUUCAUAUCCAUUUUAUAGAUGAUGGAAUUAAAAAUCAUGAGGUUAAUGAUUCAAAUAGUAAAUUUCAGAACUGGAAUACUUAGCCAGCUGGCAAUGAUUUAUUUUCAAAGACAUUAGCUGUUUAAAAUAUUUAUUGAGCAUCUAUUAUGUACAAGGCACUGUGUUGGGCACCAGGGAUACAUAAGUAAAAAGGAAUCCUCCUGCUCUCUAGACAAGUAUUUAUUUAUUGGAGGAGAGAGAUAUAUUAAAAAAUUCCAACAUGGUGUGAGAUGAGUUACAGGAAAAGUAUGAAUGAGGUUUCAAGAGAGAAGAAAGAGUUGUUACUGUUAUGCCCAGAAUUCGUGAUCCCCAAAGACCACUAGGGAGCCGAGUCCGAUGCAAAAGCAUAGAGCCUUUAUUCGAGCUAGCUCGAGCUCAAUCCCCUACCUGCACCGACGCAGCAGUGAGAUACCAGGGAAAGAGAGCGAGUUUCAAAAGGACAAAGGUUUUAUUGGGGCCUGGGGGCAGUUGGUGAGGUAAUGGCUAUGGCCUCAGCCGAUUGGCUGGGGAAGGGUCCUGGGGAAGGGUCCGAGUCCUGUUAGGCAGGUGAGGGGGGGUUUACUCAAGGGGAGGAGGUGUGGUCAAGGUGAAGGACACGGAACAGGAUGGAGUCGGCCGGCGUAGGCCCACCCUUUCAGUUACCUAAAUCAGGUACCUAAGAAAGCUUACAGCAAAGGUGGCACCUCAUCUGGGAAGGGAGAGUUGACCUGUGAGUUAAUGAAAUUGACCUAUGACCAGGUGCUCUUUGGUAACAUGUAGAAAAAGGCGACCUUGUUUUUGCUGUUUUGGAAUCUAAAAACUUCAGCAAAUAGUCAUAGUAUCUAUUCAAUGGAAGAAGAACAUAAAGAGUUCAGACAAAGUAGAAAGAGAACAUCUUCAGAGAUAGGGUAAUAUAUACCUGGAAUGCUUGCCUGCCAUCUAGCAACAAAUAUUGCUGGCAUAAAAAUAAAUACAUGUCUCUGACAAGAACAAGGGGAAAUAAAAGGAAAUGUCAUUGAUAAUAACAGGAACCUGCACAUUGUCCAAGCUAUCCACAAAGCCUGAUGAGAUUAGAAUGAUUUUAAGAGACAAACUCAAAUUGAUAAGGGAACACCAAGAUGAGAAUAGAGAGGGAGUUGACAGUAGGGACAGAGAUAAAUAACCUGUUUUUCAAGUACGUGUCCAAUAAGUCCUCGAAGGAAGGGUUGGCAGGGCCUCAGAGACUUGCCCAGUGUAAUUUAUUGACAGGGAAAAGUAGACAUUCCUUUAAAAAAUUAAUUAUUUGUCUUGGUGACUAGUAACAGGAGAGGUUGCGGAAUGAAUUCUGGGAGUGAACAUAAAUACCUUCUAGAGGGGAGAGAGUAGCAGUUGGAAGAAAUAAAGGUGAAUCCUGACAAGAAGAAGUUGAUUAAGAAGUAAGCGCGCUCAGAGAUUGAGAGAGUGGUCAACCCUGGAGUGAUUGAUUGGCGGGUCUCACAAAGGCACGUUCUCAGUUGGAUGUCUGAGCAUCCCUGGACAUUCAGUGGUGGGUUGGAGAUGUAUCAAUAUGGGUUAGGAGCCUAGGUCUCAGGCACUCAGUGAGCUGCUUCCCUUUUGAUGUACAAGAGGCUGAGAAUGAGAGUCUGUUGAAAACGAAGUACAUGCUCGGCAAUGUGGUAGAUGCUUUACAUACAUUGUCUCAUUAUUUUCUCAUCAUCCCCUGUAAGGUAGGUAUGAUUAUAAGAAAUCUGAGGGUCAGAUAGGUUAAAUAACCUGUCCACGUUCACAUGCUAAGUAGCAGAUCCAGAAUUUGAAAUACAGUCUGUCUGAUUGUAAAAUCAAUAUACAUUUCUCAGGGUGCCUGGGUGGCUCAGUUGGUUGAGCAUCCAACUCUUGAUUUUAGCCCUGGUCAUAACCUUAUGGUCGUGAGAUUGAGCCCUGCUUUGAGCUCUGUGCCGAGCAUGGAGCCUGCUCAAGAUUCUCUCUCCCUUUCUCUGUCCCUCCCUCUAAGUGCCUGAACUCUCUCUCUCAAAAAUAAAAUAAACUAAAAUAAAUAUACUCUUUUCACUCAGUGAAAUACUCCUAUACUUUUUGUUUCCAUAGUGAAUAUGUCAAGGCUAGUAGGUGGUAGGAGCUCACAUAACGGUAACUAGUAAAAAACAGAAGUAGGAAUAUCAAGAGGAGGGUGGGGGGUGUCUGUGUAAAUGGAUCAUAACACCUGUGUGACUGAAAGGGAAGUUGUGAGAAACAAGAUAAUAUAUGGUAAAUUCUGUCAUAGGGUCAGCAGCCUAAUAGCUGUUCAAACACUAAGAGGUCCUUCUUUGGUACUGGACACCUUGUAUCAUACUUUUCUGUAUGUGUUCUAUAUGUUUGAACAUCUCUAACAGGGUACCUGAGGGUACAGAUUUGCCUCCUUCUUGUCUGUAUUUCUCAUUGGACUUUGCACGUAAAGGACUGUGGUCAAGAUUUAUUGAAUGUGGACAAGUACAAAUGAAUGCAUAUUAGAAAUACAUAGUGUAAAAAUUCCAUCUUUGUCUUUGCAAUUACUAAUGCCAUUAAUAUUAUUAUUUUCCUUAUUCCGAUUAACAUAUCUACCAUGCUUUAAAUACAUACACACGUGUGUGUGUGUGUGUGUGUGUGUGUGUGUGUGUGUAAAAUAUCGCUUACCAGGUGCUUUAUAUAGAUAUAUAACCAGUUUACUGAGGAAUCCAAACUCAGUGAUGUAUAAACAUGAUUUUCCCCCAUUUACUGCUUACAACAUAUUAUAAAAUCUCCUUUCUCAUUCCUUAAUGAUUUCAUGGGCAGAAUCCAUAACCUUCCAAUCAUUUUCUGGAGUUAAUGUUCAUCCUGAACAUUGUGACUUGGGAAACUUGGUAGGAGAAAGGUGCGUGGGGCUAGUUCUGGGAUACUUCUCCCUCCCUUCCCCGUGCUCAUUUCCUCUGAUGUCGGGGGCUGGAGGGGCAAACAUUACUUUCUUACCAACCCAUGGUAACUAUCCUUCCCUACUAGUUGGUUGUUGCUGCUUCCAUGAGGACCCUCACUGUCCUUCAUUGUCCUCUGUAAGGUAUGGAUGCAAAAGCUGGGUAUAUGUAGGGUUCUUGAGAGGCUGCAGUCCAGUAGACCCAGAACCAUUUGACCUCUGCCACCUCAUGUGUCAUAGACCACACCAAAGCCUCUUGUUGCUGGGACCCUGAUGAAUAAUCAAGACCACUCAAGACUAGCCAACUUCUGUCACCUUUGACCCCCAGAACAUCAUUCAUCCUUUCCAGGGCAAACCUUGGGAGUCAGGGCUGAUGUGGGGUCACUCCCAUUUUCUCCUCACCGUUUCUCCCUGGUUCUCUUGUCACAUGGGCACAGGAAGCAGCUCGGCCAGUCUACUGUAUGAGUAGCUAUCUAAACAGGAAAUGUCUGGGUUUCCCUCUUGUAGGCAACAGUCUCCGUGAGGGAUCUCCUCAGCACAUUAUCUCCCUUGCCUUGAGGGCAGGCAGGUGGUGGCUCAGGAGGUGAAGAAAAAGCCCUCUGCACCAGGAUGUCUGCCCUUCCAAGGCCUCCGGUGACUUCUUCCUCAGCACUGCUCCCCUCCCCCGAAUUUGUUUUGCUUUGUUUGUUGUAAACGAAGGAGGGGAGAAAGGUAGAAGUGGUUUCAGGGGAGGGGGGACAGCAAAGUCAGUUUUGCUGUUUUGUAAUAAGUCCUAAGGGAGAUGACUGGCCUUGGUUGUUGAUGGCAGCUCCUAGAUGUAGAUUCUUUUGUCACAGCUUUGAGUUCUAGCUGCCGAUUCUGAGGCAAAAUGAAGAGUCUCAGUCUAUCAAUCUACACCUGGUUACACACUUUUAACAUACGUGUGUGUACCCUGUGAGGUAAAAUUCAUCAUCUUCCUUUCAGUUAGGAAAACCAGGCUCAGAGAAGAUAAAGCAAGUUGUCCCAAAUUACACACAGUAAAUGGCAGAGUUGGCUUCAAAGUGGGUCAGCCUGAUUCCAGAAUCCACCCAGAGUACCGGAGCGAUGCUCUCUUAAGCAGAGGCAGGAAAUAGUGGGAAGAGGUUUGGGUGGGGAGACAUAGAUCCUUUCAUUCCCCUUUUGGGUGCAUAACUGGAGAAAAAAGUGAGAGGGAAUCAUGGAAGGAGUCAGAGAGACUAGCUCUCCAGGUAGACUGCUCCCAUCUGGCAAGGAGUCCGCUAGACAAUGGCAAUGACACAGUGGCCCCUGGGACCUAACCAUUAGAGCAGGGCCUGAAAACAAAGGGCCCCAUUUCCUCUGGUGCUACUGUUUCAAAGACUUUCAGACAUAGCAGGGCAACGUGACUACAUCUGGUGACAGUCAUCAGCUGAAUGGGAAAGGCCCAAGUGACCAACACUGGGGACUGAUGUGUUUUUAAGGGGCAAAUGGCCCACAGCACAAGUCUAGUCCUGGGACCGAGCACAGAACGUCUCCUCCUAUAUUACAUUAGUUAGCAUAGUGGUUCUCAAAGUAGAGUUCCCAGCCAUCAAUCUCCACAUCACCUGGGUUUUGUGGAGUACAGAUGCAAAAUCUUGCCUCCUCCCUGUCCCUAGACCUAAAUGAGAAUCAGAAACUCCAGGGCUGAAGCCAAGCAAUCUGUUUCACCAAGCUCUACAGGUGAUUCUCUCUCAUUAGGUUUAACCCAGGUUUACUGCAAUAUAAUUGUCACACAGAAAACAGUUUGCCUUCUUAGAUGUAAAAUUUGAAUAGGUAUGAUAAAUAGGUCCAGUUCAAGCACCAAAAUAAAUAUGUAAAAUAUUGCCAUCACCCUCAAAAAUUCCCUCCUGCUCCUUUGUAGUCACUAUACUCUCCCCAACCUCCAAUCCCUGGCAACCGCUGAUCUGAUUUCUGUCCCUUAAGUUUUGCCUUUUGUAGAGCGUUGUGUAAAUGGAAUCAUACAGUAGGCAGUCUUUUAUGUUAGCUUCUUUGACUUCACAUAAUGCUUUUGAAAGUAUCGAUGUUGUUGCACAUAUUAGCAGCUCACUCCUUAUUGCUGAAUGGUGUUCCACUGUGUGAAUGUACCUAAAUUUUUUUUUAAUUCAUUCCCCAGGUAAUAGACCCCUUGUUGUUUCCAGUGUGGGGCUUCUAUGAAUAAAGCUACUACACAUAUUCAUGUACAAGUGUUUUUGUGGACAUUUAUUUUCAUUUCCCAUGGGUAUAUAGCUAAGAGUGGGGUUGCUAGAUCAUCAAGUAAGUAUAUGUUAGCUUCAUAAGAAACUGCUAAACUGUUUUCCAAAGUGAAUGUAACGUUCGCAUCCAACCAGUGAUACAGUAAAUAAUACCUUUACUUGAUCCCCAUUCUCUCCAUCCCUUGGUAUAAUCAGUUGUUUUGGUUUUUUGUUAACAAAACCAUUCUAAUAGUUGUCUAGUGGUAUCUAAUUACAGUUUUUUAUUUCCCUCAUGAUAAAUUAUGUGGAGCAUCUUUUCUUAUGAUGAUUUGUCAUUUACAUCCCUUCUUUGAUAAAGCAUUUAUUUAAACUUUUCCCCAUUUUAAAAAUUGUCUUCUUAUUGAGUUGUGAGAAGUCUUUGUAUGUUAUGCAUACAAGUCCUUUAAAAGAUACGUGUUUUGUAAAUAUUUUCUCCCAAUGCAGUUUAUCUUUUAUAGUUUUUUUUGUCUUUUAUAGUCUUAAUAGUUUUUUGAAGAACUGAAGUUUUUAAUUUUGAUGCAGUUCAAUUUAUAGAUUUUGUCUUUUACAGUUCAUACUUUCUGCGUCCUUCAUAAGCAUUUUUUCCCCAACCUAUGAUUGCACAGAUUUUCUACUGUUUUCUUCUAGAGAUUUUACAAUUCUAGAUUUUCUUUUUUUUAUUUUUUAAAAAAAAAUUUUUUUUCAACAUUUAUUUAUUUUUGGGACAGAGAGAGACAGAGCAUGAACGGGGGAGGGGCAGAGAGAGAGGGAGACACAGAAUCGGAAACAGGCUCCAGGCUCUGAGCCAUCAGCCCAGAGCCCGACGCGGGGCUCGAACUCACGGACCGCGAGAUCGUGACCUGGCUGAAGUCGGACGCUUAACCGACUGUGCCACCCAGGCGCCCUGACAAUUCUAGAUUUUCAAAUUAAUGUUUACAUAUGGUAUGAGGGGCUUUUUUAGUUUGCAUAGGAACAUCUAACGGUUCUGGCACCAUUUGUUUAGAAGACUUUUCUCCAUUAAACCACCAUUGCACCUACUUAGUAAAUCAGUUGACUGUAUAUGUGCACACCUAUUUUGGACCCUCUAUUCUGUAUCAUUGGUGUAUUUUCCUACCUUUAUAGCAAUAGACCCUGUCUUGAUUGCUGUUGUUGUACAGUAAGUCUUGAAAUCAGAUAGUCUAAGUCCUCCGAUUUUGUUCUUCUCUUUCAAAAUUAUUUUAGUCAUGAUAGGUCUUUACACUUCCAUAUAAAUUUUGUAAUUAACUUGUCAAUUUCUUUUAAAAGUACCUACUAGAAUUUUGAUUGAAAUCACAUUGAAUCUUUCGAUCAAUUUGGAGAUUAUUGAUUUGUUAAUAAUAGUGCGUUUUCCAGUUCACGGACAUAGUUUAUCUUUCCAUUUGUUUAGGUCUUUUCUAAUUUCUAUCGUUAAUUCUUUUUAUGAUAGCAGGAUCUGAAUUUGCAUUAUCUUGUUAGAGUUAUCCCGAGGUAUUUCUUUUUUUUUUUUUUUUCUUAAUGCUAUUGUGGAGGAUUAGCUAUUGAAAAAAAAAAAAAAAACAGUAAUGGUAUUUUAUCCAUAAUGCUCCUUCCAGGAUCCAACCAUGCCCAGCAGUGGUUAAGGUGGGAUCUUUGCUAUCAAACAAAACUAUGUCUAAAUCCAGGAUCACCAUUCUGAAAAAGCAUGUGUUAAAGAGCCCACAUUCUAGUGUCAGUCAACCUGGUUUUAAAGCCUCCCUCUACCACUUACUAACUUUAUAACCGUGCAUUCUCCAGAGUUCAGUUUCUUCACCGAUAAAAUGGGCAUAAUAAUAAUAUCUAUCUCCGAGGGUUGUUAAAAGAUUAGAUAAACAGUGUAAAUCAAUGUUAAGCAUAUAGACAUAACUCAAAACAUGCUAGGUUUUAUUAUUUCUUCCUAGCUGUGUGACCUUGGGCAAGCUAACUUCAAAAAACUCCAUAUCCACAUUUAUAAAUUAGAGAUAAUAAUAGUAUUAAUAGGGUUGUAUUGAGGAUUAAAUUAAAGUAAAACAUUGAAAUUACAGAACGCAGUGCCUGGCAUAUAGUAAGCCCUUAUUAAUACUAGCUACUAAUAGCACAUAUCUUGACAUGAAGCAAAUGAAUAUUAAAAAAUACUCUGGGCUAAUGGCUCAGAGCCUGGAGCCUGUUUCCGAUUCUGUGUCUCCCUCUCUCUCUGCCCCUCCCCCGUUCAUGCUCUGUCUCUCUCUGUCCCAAAAAUAAAUAAACGUAGAAAAAAAAAAUUUAAAAAAAAGGGGUGCCUGGGUGGCGCAGUCGGUUAAGCGUCCAACUUCAGCCAGGUCACGAUCUCGCGGUCCGGGAGUUCGAGCCCCGCGUCAGGCUCUGGGCUGAUGGCUCAGAGCCUGGAGCCUGUUUCCGAUUCUGUGUCUCCCUCUCUCUCUGCCCCUCCCCCGUUCAUGCUCUGUCUCUCUCUAUCCCAAAAAUAAAUAAACGUAGAAAAAAAAAAUUUAAAAAAAAGGGGUGCCUGGGUGGCGCAGUCGGUUAAGCGUCCAACUUCAGCCAGGUCACGAUCUCGCGGUCCGUGAGUUCGAGCCCCGCGUCGGGCUCUGGGCUGACGGCUCGGAGCCUGGAGCCUGNUGCUCCUUCCAGGAUCCAACCAUGCCCAGCAGUGGUUAAGGUGGGAUCUUUGCUAUCAAACAAAACUAUGUCUAAAUCCAGGAUCACCAUUCUGAAAAAGCAUGUGUUAAAGAGCCCACAUUCUAGUGUCAGUCAACCUGGUUUUAAAGCCUCCCUCUACCACUUACUAACUUUAUAACCGUGCAUUCUCCAGAGUUCAGUUUCUUCACCGAUAAAAUGGGCAUAAUAAUAAUAUCUAUCUCCGAGGGUUGUUAAAAGAUUAGAUAAACAGUGUAAAUCAAUGUUAAGCAUAUAGACAUAACUCAAAACAUGCUAGGUUUUAUUAUUUCUUCCUAGCUGUGUGACCUUGGGCAAGCUAACUUCAAAAAACUCCAUAUCCACAUUUAUAAAUUAGAGAUAAUAAUAGUAUUAAUAGGGUUGUAUUGAGGAUUAAAUUAAAGUAAAACAUUGAAAUUACAGAACGCAGUGCCUGGCAUAUAGUAAGCCCUUAUUAAUACUAGCUACUAAUAGCACAUAUCUUGACAUGAAGCAAAUGAAUAUUAAAAAAUACUCUGGGCUAAUGGCUCAGAGCCUGGAGCCUGUUUCCGAUUCUGUGUCUCCCUCUCUCUCUGCCCCUCCCCCGUUCAUGCUCUGUCUCUCUCUAUCCCAAAAAUAAAUAAACGUAGAAAAAAAAAAUUUAAAAAAUAAAACAGCUUCUGAACAAUGAAGACUAACCUUGGAGAAAAGCUUGUAGGGAAAGUUCAAAAGUUAUAGAAGUAGCUGCUAGAAUAUUUAGAUGAUGCACAGACUGACUUAUUGAAAACUGGUCCUUUUCAACCAUUCAUGCUAAAUGGUUUUCUGUGGCCAUCCAAAGAACUACUCCUCCCCCUACGUUGCUUCUAAACUCAUUGCAGAUAGUGGUGUUCAAGCUUCAAACUAAAAUCAAUCUAUUUAUUGUAGUGACUUCUAGUUACAUACACCCAAUUACCACUGUCAUUAAGAAAGCAGUAGCUGCCGAUACUGAGUAGAAAUGUGACAUUAAGCAUUCAAUGCUUGUUGUCCAAAGUAUGUCCUCCUUACCUAGGAAAAUUAAAAAACACUCACGAUAAUACCUUUUGUCUUUAACUCUUUGCCUACUUCCUAAACAAAACAACUUUACGAACUAACUAAUUUUGCACAAGAUAGGGAUGUGUGGUUUUAAAAGAUAUUAAGUACUGAUUGAGCAUUUUAGUUAUAGCAUAAUAUUGGCAUAGAUGGUAACAUAAUCUCUAGAGAAAUUAGCCAGUUCGAUGCUCUAGGCAUGUAUUAAGUAUGUUUGCAUGGAUCUAAGCACCCUGGUUAAUAUGGGAAAUCAUAAAUCAAUGAUUUACGGAAAUAGUGGCUCGAGAUUUAAGCCAUCAGUUUGAAUGCCUAGCUCUGCUAUGAGAUUUAUAAACUUGUGUGUCUCUAGCCAAGUCCUCUGCCCUGUCUUUUCAUGUUCUUCACCUGUAAAAUAUUGGGCUGGUGUAAUGAGGUUGAUUAGAACUUAAUGAUUCAGGUUUUAUUCUCUGGUUUUAAGAUGCAUUAUCUGCCUCCAAACUUGUUGCAUUGUAGUUGGAAACAAGGGAGUCCUCCUGAAAAGGCAAAUAAUUGUCCUAAAUACUCUUUGACUAAGAAUGAAAUUAAUAACCUCCAAGGUAGUAAAAGUCAACAUUAUUGGAGAUAUGAAUUAAACGAGCAUUGUAGAAUAUUUUCUCAGCUGUAAAAUAGGUUUAAUUAUAAUUGCUUUGCAGUGUGUAGAAUUAGUGAGUUAAUGUUUUUUUGGACUCCCAGAAUAUUAGAAGUACAAUAAAAGUUACUUGCUUUCCCCACUGAACCUAUUGUCUAUUUAAAUCUCCCAAGAUAUUUUAUCUUGAUAUAAUAAGGAAAACUGUGCCCUGAAGACAUUUGAAUCAUAAGUCUGCCCCAGGACGGGACAGAUCAGUUUUACUAUCUUCAAGGGACCAAAUUAUCUGAUAUUUUUUUUUUAAUUUUUUUAAUGUUUAUUUAUUUUUGAGACAGGGAGAGACAGCAUGAACGGGGGAGGGUCAGAGAGAGAGGGAGACACAGAAUCUGAAACAGGCUCCAGGCUCUGAGCUGUCAGCACAGAGCCCGACGCGGGGCUCGAACUCACAUACCGCGAGAUCGUGACCUGGCUGAAGUCAGACGCUUAACCGACUGCGCCACCCAGGCGCCCCAUUAUCUGAUAUUUUUAAUACAUUUACAUUUUGCCCAGUUUUACCAGCACUGAAUCAUUUGUGCAUUUUCUUCCUCAGUUCUUUUAAGCAGAUCUAAGGACCCAGCUUUAUAACUGUACCAUAUUGGGGUCUGGUAAAACAACAACAACAACUUUGGAAUCAUAUUGCCCUGUGUUUGUAUCUCUUCUCUGCGACUUACACAACUGUAUGAUUUAGGUAAACUGCUAAUUUUCUGGGAGCUUCAGUUUCUUCGUCUGUAAAAUGGGAAUAUCCUCACUUCAUAGAGUUUUGGUUUUUGUUUUCGAGAUUUGAAAGAGACCAAAUAGGUAAAACCUUCAGCAGAAUGCCAAGCCUAUAACCAACUAAUAUGUAUUGUUAGGUACACUUUCACACCAUAGCAAAGUGGCAGUGGGCAUUCAUCAGAUCUCAUUCCAUUGACUCUAAUAUUGAACUCUACAAAUAGCUUAAAUUGAAGUAGCCUAAAUGAAGCACCUUAUUUUUAAAAAAAAUUUAAUGUUUUAUUUAUUUUUGAGAAAGAGAGAGAGAGAUGGAGAGAGAGAGCGGGGGAGGGGCAGAGAGCGAGAGAGAGAGAGAGGGAGGCACAGAAUCCAAAGCAGGCUCCAGGCUUUGAGCUGUCAGUACAGAGCCCAGUGCGGGGCUUGAACUCACAAACCACAAGAUCAUGACCUGAGCUGAAGUCAGAUGCUUCACCGACUGAGCCACCCAGGCGUCCCAAUGGAGCACCUUAUUUUAUCUCCAACCCUAUAGAAUAUGGUUAUUCUAUAGCUGUCUUACAGAAAAUUAUUCAGCAGUAACAUUAAGUCCGUAAUAUGAGAUAUGUUAUAAGGGAAGUUGGAAACAUAAUUAGGCACAGGCACCUGGGUGGCUCAGCUGGUUAAGUAUCCAACUCUUGAUUUUCACUCAGGUCAUAAUCUCAUGGUUUGUGGGGUCAGGCCCUGCCUGGGACUCUGCUGACAGCACAGAGGCUGCUGGGAUUCUCUCUCUGUCCCUCCCCUGCUCUUGGAUGCAUGCAUGCACUCUCUCUCUCCCAAAAUAAAUAAACAAACAAACAAACAAACAAACAAACAUUUUUUAAAAAGAACACAUAAUUAGGCAGGGAAAAAUGUAUAUAUACUGUGAUACCAAAUAUAUGAAAUAUGUAUAGAACAAAAGGUUGGAAAGAAACAAGGCAGAAGCUUUAAAGUGGGUGGUUGUGAGAAUAUGAUGAUAUUUUUCUGUUUUCUUCUUUUCAAAAUAUGGACAACUUUUAUACCUUUAAAAUAUGGGUAAUUUUUUUUCUUUUUGUAUUUUCCACUUCUCAAAAUUUCCUAUUUUUUUAGACAGUGGACAUAUGUUAAACAAAUUACGAAAUAGAAAGCCACAUCUACUUGAAUGCAUAGGAAAGAAGAAAUCUAUGUAUAUCAAUUGUUAAAGAAAUUUUGUACAUAGUAAAAAAUUGCUAAGAUUAUACCCCUCUCUGACAGGACUAUGGUACUUAAUAAUCAUUUUUAGUUUGGUGAGUAUCAAAUUUUCUCAUAAUCUAUUUCAAUUAUCUUUCUUGCCUUUCCACCUUGGCCUUCUCCUUGGUAUAACUUUAAUUUAAAUACCUCUGCCGUGUGUGCACCAGAUCACUCUGUUAACAGUGUAUGAGGAAUACAACUAGCCUAUUAUUGACAUAAUGUGUAUGUAUUUUUUAAUUUGAAACGUGGAAACGCCAGGUGUUCAGAAUCCCUACAACUCCAAUUUUGGUUCUUGCAAUAGAUACUCAGUUUGAAGCCAUGGCCUCCCACUAUGACCUCCAGGGGACUAUCUAGCAGUGUGCACUCCUCAGGUCUAAAGAUGGCUUAAUUAGGCAUGAUUAUUUUCUUCCUUAAAGUAUCAUUCUUCUAUUUUAGCAUUAGUCAUUGGUAAGCACGGUGGAGAGAUCAGAACCGUAAGAAAAUUAGGAAAUGGCUUUGAGGGUCUCAGACCCCUCUUCUUGGGGCAAAGUGGCACACAGUCUCCACAGUUAAACAAAGUUAAACUUCUCAAUAAAAUUUUGGCAUUCAGACAGAAAAAAUUUUCUCUCUUCCCCAAACACAGAGCAUAUAGUGUCUACUCAAUAAAUAUUGGUGAGUUUAAAUUUUAUCAACAGGCUUUUAAAAUGUUAACACUGUUAAGAAUUUUUAUAAAGGAGAUGGAAUGAUUUGGAAAAACAGAAAUCAUAUUUUAUUAUCAUUCUUGGGGCACCUGGGUGGCUCAGUCGGUUAAGCAUCCAAGUGCAGCUCAGGUCAUGAUCUUGUUGUUUGUGGGUUCGAGCCCUGCGUCGGGAUCUCUGUUGACAGCUCAGAGCCUGGAGCCUGCUUUGGAUUCUGUGUGUCUCUCUCUCUCUGCCCCUCCCCUGGUCAUGCUUUCCCUCUCUUUCUCUCUCACUCUCUCUCUCUUUCUCUAUCUCUCUCAAAAAUAAAUAAACAUUAAAAAAAUUAAAAUGUUGAUCUUUCUUUUGCUAGCAAACAACAACAAAAACAGACAAGGUCUCUAUGAUGGAUUUUCAUGGCACUUAAAAUAACCCUUAACUUUGGCCUAAAAACCUUAUGUGAAUUGGUCCCUCCCAACCCACCUCUCUGUGUUUACCUCAUAACACUGCUACCCUCUUUUGUUUUGCUCCCAACACAUAUUUUGUGAUAAAUAUACUGGUUCUUACCUCUGAGUUUUUGCAGUUGAUGAUCCCUGUGCAUGGAAUGCUUUUCUGUUCUUUUUAUCUCCCUGGCAAAUUCUUGUUUAGGUCUUAUUGUCUCCUCAGAGAGGACUUUCCUGAUGGACAUAUGCGAAGUUAUUCUCCUUAGUCACUGAUCUCAUCACUGUUUUAUUCUUUCAUAGAAUUGUUCUCUAUCUGAAAUAUCUUUUUUUUUAUAUUUGUUCCCAUAUUUAUUCUCAUCAAAAGAAAAACUCACUGUAGGCAGGGGCUUUCUUGUCUUCUACUACUGAUUCUCUCCUCCUGUAGAAUAUCUGUGGAAGGAAGGCAAAGAAGGAAGGAGGGAGGGAAGGAGUUUAAAUCAACUCAUCCUUACAACUAUCCUAUGUGGUACAAUCCAUAAUCUCAAUUUUACAGAUGAAUAAACUGAGGUAAGGGAAAGUUAUUUCUUUAUAUAGUCAUCACAACUAGUGAAUGGAAUAACUGGGAUUCUAAAUAGAAUCUUCUCGGAUUCAAGAACGGCUCUUUAUCCUAAAAGAACAUUCCGGAACGUCUACUCCAACCGUGUUAGAAUAACUAUUACCAGAUUUACCCUUGCAUUGUAAACAACUAGAAAACUAGACAAAGUACAUAAAAUAGUUGAUUUUAGGAGAGGGAUAACAGGAAGCUCAGAAAUGUGAUCCCUAAUAUCAAGGAAACAGCCAAGGUGAAAACUGCUUGUUCUUGCUUUCUGCCUAGAGGUACUUUCUGAAUUGCAGCAGGCGGAAGGAGAAAUCAAGCAUAGCAGGGCAAAAUGGAGAUGAGGAGGUUAUGAUCAGAAUUCAGUGAAACUGAAGGUGUCUUAAAGUAACAGGACAGAGAGCCAGAGAAGAGGUGGGCAUGUAGAAGAGCUCCAAAAAUAUGCAUAUGGGUCCCCUUUAGGCUGUUUACUGAAUACAGACCUAUGAAUGUGGAGGGUACACCCCUACUCAGCUAAGCAAAGAAUAACUAGCAAGUUGUAAACCAAACUAUUCCCAGAGCUGACCAGGGAAUUUGAGUUCUGAGCAUCAAGAGUAGAGAGAUACCAACACCCAGGAAAUUCCUUAGACACCCAAGAAGGAUCACGCCUUAGUGGUUGAGCUAAACACGUUCUAGAGUAAUGGCUACUCUAGACCUGCCACGACAGAGCUUAAAAACAAGCCUUGAAAUGAUCAGGCUGAUCCACAAGUAAUUGCCAAAAUGAACUUUGACACUCUUUAAAGGAAGACAACAAAAUCAAGAAAGUCAAAAACCAGAAACGUUUAUAAUAGCCAACAUCUAAGAAACAAAACAACAACAACAAACAAACAAAACUUAUAAGACAUGUGAAAAAGCAAGAAAAUGUGACCUACAAUUAGAAAAUAUAAAGUUAGGGGGCACCAGGUGGCUUAGUCGGUAAAGCGUCCAACUUAAGCUCAGGUCAUGGUUUGUGAGUUCGAGCCCCACGUCAGGCUCUAUGCUGACAGCUCAAAGCCUGGAGCCUGCUUUGGAUCUGUGUCUCCCUCUCUCUCUGCCCCUCCCCUGCUUGCUCUCUCUCUCUCUCUCUCUCUCUCUCAAAAAUAAACAAAAAUUAAAAUAAAUAAAUUUUUUUAAAAAAGAAAGAAAAAAUAAAGUUAGUAAAUAAACACAUAAGAAAUGGCAGGCAUGAUGGAAUUAAUAAACAAGGACUUAAAAAUAGCUAUUAUAAUAGCUUGUCUUUUAAAGAAAACAUUGAACAUGAGAAAGAAGAAUGAAAAAAUAUAUAAAUAUAUUUAAGACUUGAUCUAAUAUAUGUAAUUAUAUGUAUACAUAUGUAUAUAUAACUAUAUGCAUAUAAUAUUAUAUGUAUAUAUGUAUACACAUCAAAUAGAACUUCAUUUUUUAUAAUUUUUUCAAUGUUUAAUUGUUUUUGAAAGAGAGAGAGAGAGAGACAGAGUGUGAGCAGGGAGGGGCACAGAGAGAGGGAGACACAGAAUCCAAAACAGGCUCCAGGCUCUGAGCUGUCAGCACAGAGCCUGAUGCAGGGCUCAAACUAACGAACCAUGAGAUCAUGACCUGAGCUGCACUUGGAUGCUUAACCGACUGAGCUACCCAGGCCCCCCUCAAAUAGAACUUAUAGAGUUGAAAAAUUAUGAUAUCUGAAAUUUAAAAUUCACUGAAAAGGCAUAACAUUAAACACUAUUAAAGAAGAGAUAAGGGAAUUUUAAGACAUAGCAGUAGAAAUUACCCAAAAGGAAACACAAGAGAAAAAAUACCUAAAUAAAUUUCAGUAACAGAAACAGUGGGGCAAUAUUCAGUGACUUAUAUACAUACAAUUAGAAUCUCAGAAGGGGAGAGAGAGAGAGAGCAGAAAAAUUAUUUGAGGAAAUAAUGGAUGGAUUUUUUUCAGGUUGGCUGUAAACUCACAGAGAAAAGAAACUAAAUGAAAAUUAAGCAAGAUAAACAAAAAUAAAACUGGACCAGGACACAUCACAGUCAGAUAUCUCAAAAACAGUGAUAAAAUGAAUAUCUUAAAAGAAGCCUGAGGAAAGGCACACAUUAAAUAUAGAGGGGUGGAAGAAAAAGAAAUUCACUGAACUACAUUAAAUGUAACUAAUAUAAGUGUAAGUAAAAAGGUAGAGAUUAUCACACUGGGUUAAAACUAAAGCCUAAGUACAUACUGUCUACAAGAAACUCACUUUCUUUUUAAAAAAAUUUUUUUAAUGUUUAUUUAUUUCUGAGACAGAGAGAGACAGAGCAUGAACGGGGGAUGGUCAGAGAGAGGGAGACACAGAAUCGGAAACAGGCUCCAGGCUCUGAGCUGUCAGCCCAGAGCCCGACGCAGGGCUCGAACUCAGUCUGCGAGAUCAUGACCUGGGCUGAAGUCGGACGCUCAACCAACUGAGCCACCCAGGCGCCCCUAUUUAUUUUUUUUUUAACAUUUGUUUAUUUUUGAGAGAGAGAGAGACAGACAGAAUGCAAGCAGGGGAGGGGCAGAGAGACGGAGACACAGGAUCCAAAGCAAGCUCCAGGCUCCAAGCUGUCAGCACAGAACCUGACACGGGACUCGAACUCACGGACCGGACCGCGAGAUCAUGACCUGAGCUGAAGUCGGAGGCUUAACCAACUGAACCACCCAGGCGCCCUGAAACUCACUUUCAAUAUAUAGACACAAAUGAGGUCUAAGUAAAUAAUGAGAAUAUUCAGAUCAUAACAAAACUGGAGAAGCUAUAUUAAUGCCAGAAAGAGUAGGUUUCAGGACAAGAAACAUUGCCAGGGAUAACGAUGAACAUUGCGUGAUGAUAAAAGGGUCAAGAAUAUAUAACCAACCUACACAUUUACACCCAUAACAACAGAGCUUCAAAAUACAUGAAGCAAAAACUGAAAUUAAUAAAACCACUGAAAUUAAUAAAAAAAUUAAUAAAAAUUAGUUAGAGAUUACAACCCUCCUCUCUCAAUAAUUUAUACUGACAUUUUAUAAAACUCAAAUCCAACAGCAGCAGAUUACACAUUCUUUCCAAGUUCUCGUCAAACAUUAAUCAAAAUAGGCAAGAAGUUAGAUGUAUCAGCAAAUUGUUUGCAAUAAAAAAGUUAGCAACAUUUAUAGAAGAAAUGCAAAGUUGAUUAACCCAUUAUGUAUUAAAGGUUGCAGGAUUCAAAUUCAGUAUUCAAAAACUUAACUGUAUUUCUGUAUAAACAGUGAAAUAAAAAAUACUUUUCUUAACUACAAAACCGCCAGGACUGUGCAACAAAAACUACAAAGCAUUGCUGAAAGAAAUUUUAAAACACUCAAACAAAUGAGGAGCUUUACCAUGUUGCAGGAUUAGAAAACUCAAAAUUUAUUGAAGUAUAAUUGACAAAAAAAAAGUCUUAUUAGUUUCAUUUGUACAUCAGAGUGAUUUAGCAUUUUUAUACAUUAUGAAAUGGGGCGCCUGGCUGGCUCAGUCAGAAAAGCAUGCAACUCUUGAUCUCGGGGUUGUGAGUUUGAGUCCCACGUUGGGUGAAGAGAUUAUUUAAAAAGAAAAUCUUUAAAAAAAAAGAAAUGAAAUGAACUCCACCAUAAGUCGUCCAUAUUCCCUAUGCUAUAUACCUCCAUGUCUUAUUUAUUUUAUAACUUGAACUUUGUACCUUUUAAUCUCCUUUACCUGUUUCGCUUGCUACCCUCCCCCUCCCCUUCUGGUAACCACCAGUUUGUUUCCUUCAUCUAUUAGUCUGUUUCUGUUUUGUUUGUUUGUUUUUGCUUUGUUUUGUUUUAGAUUACAAAUGUAAGUGAAAUCUCAUGGUAUCUGUCUUUCUCUGACGUUUCACUUAGCAUAAUACCCUUUUGGUCCAUCUAUGUUGUUGCAAAUGGCAAGAUUAUAUUCUUUUUAUGGCUGAGUAAUACUCCUGUGCGUGUGUGUGUGUGUGUGUGUGUGUGUGUGUGUGUAUCACUUCUUUAUUCAUGAAUGUGUCAAUGAGCACUUAGAUUUCUCCCAUUUCUUAGCUAUUGUAAAUAAUGCUAUAAUAAACAUAGAAGUGCAUGUAUCUCUUUGAAUUAGUGUUUUCCUUCAGAUGGAUACACAGAAGUGGAAUUGCUGGAUUGUGUGGUGUUUCUAUUUUACAUUUUUUGAGGAACGUGUAUGCUGUUUUCCACAGUGGCUGCACCAGUUUGCAUUCCCACCAACAAUAUAUGAGAGUUCCUGUUUCUCCAUGUUCUUACCAACACUUGCUAUUUCUUGUCUUUUUCAUACUAGCCAUUCCAAGUGAUGUGAGGUGAUAUCUCAUUGUGGUGUUGAUUUGCAGUCCCUUGAUACUUAGUGAUGCUGAACAUCUUCUCAUGUGCCUAUUGUCCAUGUGCAUAUCAUCUUCGGGAAAAUGUCUCCUCAGAUCCCCUGCCCAUUUUUGUUUAUUUUUUUUUUAAGUUUUUUUUUUUUUUCAACGUUUAUUUAUUUUUGGAACAGAGAGAGACAGAGCAUGAAGGGGGGAGGGGCAGAGAGAGAGGGAGACACAGAAUUGGAAACAGGCUCCAGGCUCUGAGCCAUCAGCCCAGAGCCUGACGCGGGGCUCGAACUCACGGACUGCGAGAUUGUGACCUGGCUGAAGUCGGACGCUUAACCGACUGCGCCACCCAGGCGCCCCAUCCCCUGCCCAUUUUUAAAUCAGGCUGGGUUUUUUUUUUAAUAUAUAUUUCGUUGUGUAUGUUUUUAAAUAUAUUUUUGGAUAUAUUUAUUAACCGAUCCCUUAUUGGUUGUAUGAUUUGCAAAUAUCUUCUCUCAUUCAGUAGUUUGCCUUUUUGUUGUGUCGAUGGUUUCCUUCACUGUGAAAAAGUUUUUUAAUUUGAUGUAAUCCUAUUUGUUUAUUUUAGUUUUUGUUGCCUUUGCCUGAGGACACUGGUCAAAAAAAUAUAUAUUGCUAAGACUGAUGUCAAGAAUUUACUCCUUAUGUUUCUUCUGGGAGUUUUACGGCUUUGGAUCUUAUGUUCAAGUUUUAAUCCAUUUUGAAUUUAUUCUUAAUUUUUUAAUGUUUUUAUUUUAUUUUUUAGAGAGAGAGACACACAGUGAGAGCAGGGGAGGGACAGAGAGAGAGAUGGAGACAGAAUCUGAAGCAGGCUCCGGGCUCUGAGCUGUCGCGCAGAGCCCGACAUGGGGCUUGAAUUCACAGACUGCAAGAUCAUGACCUGAGCCGAAGUCAGACACCCAACCGACUGAGCCACCCAGGCACUCCUUGAAUUUAUUUUGAUAUAUGGCACAAGAUAGUGGUCCAGUUUCAUUCUUUUUCAUGUAGGUGUUCAGUUUUUCCAGCACCAUUUAUUGAAGAGACUGUCUUUUUCCCCCUUUUAUAUUCUUGGCCUACUUUGUCAUAGAUUAAUUUACCAUAUAUGUGUGGAUUUAUUUCCAGGACCUAUUGCAUUGACCUGUGUUUCUGUUUUUGUGCCAGUACCAUACUGAUUUCAUUACUAUAGCUUUAGAGUAUAGUUUAAAGUCAAGAUGCAUAAUACCUCUAGCUUUGUUCUUUCUUAAGACUGCAUUAGUUGGGGCGCCUGGGUGGCGCAGUCGGUUAAGCGUCCGACUUCAGCCAGGUCACAAUCUCGCGGUCCGUGAGUUCGAGCCCCGCGUCAGGCUCUGGGCUGAUGGCUCGGAGCCUGGAGCCUGUUUCCGAUUCUGUGUCUCCCUCUCUCUCUGCCCCUCCCCCAUUCAUGCUCUGUCUCUCUCUGUCCCAAAAUAAAUAAAAAACGUUGAAAAAAAAAAUUUUAAAGACUGCGUUAGUUAUUUGAAGUCUUUUGUGGUUUUGUAUAAAUUACAAUUUUUUUUCUAGUUCUGUGAAAAAUGCCGUUGACAUUUUGAUGGGGCUUGUAUUGAAUCUGUAGAUUGCCUUGAGUGGUAUAGACAUUUUAGCAGUAUUAAUCCUCCCGAUCCAUAAGCACAGGAUAUUUUUCCAUUUCUUCAUGUUGUCUUCAAUUUCAUUCAUCAUUGUCUUUCAGUUUUCAGAUCAUAGGUCUUUCAUUUCCUUGGCUAAAUUUAUUCCUAGGUUACAUUUUAUUUUUUGAUGCAAUUAUAAAUAGAAUUGUUUUCUUAAUUUUUUUUUCCGAUAGCUCAUUAUUAGGGUAUAAAAAUGCAACCAAUUUCUGUCUACUAAUUUUGUAGCCUGUGGCUUUACUGAAUUCAUUUAUUAGUUCUAAUAGUGUUUUCGUGGAGACUUUAGGGUUUUCUAUAUAUAGUAUCAUGUCAUCUGCAUAUAGUGACAGUUUUACUCCUUUCUUUCCAAUUUCGAUGCCUGUCAUUUGUUGUUCUUCCUAAUUUCUGUGACUGAAAUCUCAGUAUUUUUAAUGUGUCCAUUCUCUCCCAGUGACCCACUGAUCAAUGCAGUCCCAAGCAAAAUCACAGCAAGCUUUUUUUUAGCACUAAAAUUGACAAGCCUAUUCUAAAAUUUAUAUGAAAAUAUUUUAAAAAACGCCACUAGAAUAGCCAAAACAACAUUGAGAAAGACAGAGUUGGAAGACUUCUAAUACUUUAUUUCAGAACACUGUAAAACUACAGUAGUCAACAUAGAAUAGAAUAGAUACAAGUAUAUUAUUCAAUGGAACAACAGAAAUUCCAGAAAUAGACCCACACAUAUAGAGUAGUGCCCCCCAUCCCCAAUUUCACUUUUCAUUGUUGAAUUACCCACAAUAAACUAUUGUCUGAAACUAGGUGAUCCUCCUCCUGACAUAUUGUUAGAAGGUCAGUAGUAGCCUAAUGGUAUAUCACAGUGUCUACGUCAUUUACCUCACUUUACCUCAUCACACAGGCAUUGUCUUACAUCAUCACCAGAAGAAGACAGGUGAGUGCAGUAUGAUAAGAUAUCUUGAGAGAGGAAGACCACAUUCCCAUAACUUUUUUUACAGUAUGUUUUUAUAAGCGUUCUUUUAAAUUAUUCAUUAGUGUUGUUAAUCUUUUACUGUGUCUAAUUUAUAAACUCUACCUUAGAUAUGUAUGCACGGGGAAAGAGUAUAUAUAGGGUUCAGUACGUCUGUGGUUUCAGGCAUCCACUAGGGGUCUUGGAACAAACCCACCAUAGAUAAUGGGGAAUGACUGCAUGUUUAACCAAAUUUCACCAAAGUUGCUAAAGCAACUCCAUGGAGAAAAAGACUCCUUUUUACCAAAUAGUGACCGAAUAACCGAAUAUUCAUAUGACAAGAAAAGUACUUGAUCCUUGUCUUACACCAUAAACCAAAAUGACUUGAAGUGGAUAAUAGACCCACACAGAAGAGCUGAAACUAUGAAACUUCUAAAGGAAAACAGAUAAGCAAAUACGAUAACCUUCAGGUAGGUAGUGUUCUUUAGGACGCAAAGCAUGAGACAUAAGGAGAAAUAGAUAAAUUUUGCUUCACCAAAAUUAAGAUGUUUGCUCCUGAAAGAUGCUGUUAAGGAAAAGAAAAACCAGAGAAUGAAAGAAAAUAUGCAUAAAGUAAAUAUCAGAUAAAUGACUUGUACUCAGAAGUGUGUAUGUAUGCAUAUAUAUAUAUAUAUAUAUAUAUAUAUAUAUAUAUGUAUACAACUCAAUAACAAGAAGAUAAACAAUCUUACUUUAAAUGGGCCAAAUAUUUGAACAUUUGCUUCACAAAGAAGAUAUAUGAUUAGCCAAUUGGUACAUGUAAAGAUGCUGUUUCAGGUUCCUAGGGCACUUGUAAGUACUGUGAACUGGGUGACUAAAUAGAACAGAAAUUGAUUCUCUCAUGGGUCUCCACACUACAAGUCUGAAAUCAAGGCAUCAGUAGGGCUCUGCUCCUUCUGAAGGCACUGGGGAAGUAGCUGUUCCAUAGCAUUCUUUUAGCUUCAAGUGGUUGUUGGCAACACUUGGCAUUCCUAGACUUGUAGAUACAUCACUCCAUUCUCUGCCUCCAUCUUCACAUGACAUUCUUCUCUGUGUGUGCCAGAGAAGUGUGGCACAGAGUGUAUAUCUACAUGAACUUUUUGGACUGACCAUUGGAUUUACAGCCCACUAAAAUCCAGUUUGACUUUAUCUUAACUUGAUUACAUCUGCAAAGACCUCACUACCAAAUAAGUUCACAUUUAUAAAUACUGGGUGUUAGGUUAGGUCUUUAACGUAUCUUUUUUGGGGGGAAAAUCCAACACGUAACAGAUGCCCACCAUCAUCAGGGAAUUACAAAUUAAAACCACAGUUAGAAUGCCUACUAGAAUGGCUAAUAGUUUUUGAGAAUACUAAGCAUUGGCAUUGUAGAACAAAUAGAAUUCUCAUGCUUUGCUAGCGGGUGGUAGAAUGGUGCAGCCAUUUUGGAAAAUAGCCGAUUUCUUAUAAAGGUAAGUAUGUUAUCACCAUAGGCCCAGAAAUUUCACUCCUAGAUAUCUACCUAAAAGAAAUUAAAACAUACAUCCAGACCCAGACCUGCACGUGAAUAUUCAUAGCAGCUUUAUGCACAAUAACCAAACCUGGAAACAAUUCAAAUAUUCAUUAACAAGUGAAUGGAUAAACAAAUUGUUGUAGGUCUAUACAAGGGAACAACGGCAAUAAAAGGGAAUAAGUUUUGGGUGUAUGUAAGGACUUGGAUGCACCUCCAAAUUAGUAUGGUAAGCGCAAGAAGUCGGAGACUAAACAUUACAUAAUGACUCAAUUUAUGUGACUGUCUAGAAUAAUCUAUAAUGACAAAAAUCAGAUGAUGCUUUUCUUGAGUGGGGAGUGAAGAGGGGAAAUUUUCUGAAAAACAUCUGAAAACAACUUUUGGGAGUUGAUGAAAAUGUUCUAUGUCUUGAUUGUGGUGGUGGCUACAUAAGUGUAUACAUUUGCUAAAACAUAAUGAGUAUACUUAAAAUAGGUUCAUUUUAUUUCAUGUAAAUUAUGUGUCAAUAAACUGAUUUUUUAAAUAUAGCCAUCUGUUACUGGAAUGGAGCUCCUCUGGGAUAACUCCUCUUCUCUAACUCAUAUUUAAGCCAGGCACUUAUGAGAAGUAAAUAGAAUAACACCCACUAACAUCCUGUGCCCGCCCUAUCAUAAAUAGUCAAUCAGAACACGUUCCUGUUUCUGGAAAUUUUAGGACCUAUGACAUAGUGUUAAUGUUUAUAUUUAUAUUUAUUCAGUGGUUGCUAGUUAUUCUAUUUCACAGAUGUGGACAAUUAUACCAUUUUCUGAAUUUUGCUGGUCUUGUAGCUUUCAUAAAUUACAAACUCUUAAUAUAAACUUGAUUGUAGUAUAGUGGAAAGAACUGGUAGGCUUUAGUGCUAAUCAGCUUGUGGUUUAAAUUCUGGCCAGGCCAUUUACCAGCUGGACAGCCUUCAUUCCUUUAUUUAAAAAUGUGUAUUAAGCAAUUGUGAUGUACCACAGGGGAUGUGCAUUAAGGAGAUGUGCUCCUAGCCUCGUGGAGCUUAAAGUCCCCUCCUUCAACUUGUUUUCCUUCUCCAGGUUGCUGGAUUUUACUAUCUGUAAAUUGGGUUGUACUGCCAUUUUUACAAGGUGGUCAUGAGGAUGAAGUGAGCGGACUGAAUAAUCUACUCAAGUUUCCUCUUGCCCUGACUGUGUGUCUUUCCAACUUCUUACUGUGUUCUCCUUCUUUCCUGUCUAUCCUAUCAUGUCCUAUCCUCUCCCAUCAUGAAUUUUUUUCAUUAUUGAAGUACAAUUGACAUGCAAUGCUGUAUUCGUUUUACACGUACAAUAUAUUGAUUCAGCAAUUCUAUACGUUAUUCAGUGCCCCCCACGAUAAGUGUAGUCACCAUCUGUCACCGUACACAUGAUUACAAUAUUAUUGACUAUAUUCCCUAUGCUGGGUUUUUCAUCUCUGUGACUUAUUUAUUUUAUAACUGGAAGUUUGUACCUCUUAAUCCGCUUCACCUAUUUUACCCACCCCCCCUCCACCUCCCCUCUGGCAACCACCAGUUUGCUCUCUGUAUUUAAGAAUCUGUUUGUUUUUGCUUUUUGAUCUUUUGUUUUCUUAGGUUCCCCAUAUAAAUGACAUCGUAUGGUGUUUGUCUUUCUCUGUCUGACUUAUCUGCUUAGUGUAAUACCCUCUAGGUCCAUUCCUGUCACAAAUGGCAAAAAUCUCAGAUUGGCUAAUAUCAAAAACACAAGAAAUAACAAGCAUCAGGGAAGAUUUGGAGAAAAGAUUUGGCAAAGAUUUGCAGAAAAGGUUUGGAGAAACAGUGCUCAUGCACUGUUGGGGGUAAUGCAAAUUGGUGCAACCACUGUGGAAAACAGUAUGGAGGUUCCUCAAAAAAUUGAAAAUAGGAAUGCCAUACGAUCCAGUAAUUCCCUCAUGAAUCUUAUUCAUGUCUCCUUCUAUACUAUAUAACACAUCAAAUUCCAAUGCUUGUUUCUUUUUUUUAAAGAAACGCUAUUUAUUUAUUUAUUUAUCUAUCUAUCUAUCUAUCUAUCUAUUUAUGAAAGUGCGUGAGUGGGGGAGAGAGGCAGGGGGGAGAGAGAGAGAGAGAGAGAGAGAAUCUCUUUUAGUUUUAAAUUUUUUUUUUUUACAUUUAUUUAUUUUUGAGAAAUAGAGUGAGACAAAGCAUGAGCGGGGGAGGGGCAGAGAGAAGGAGAUACAGAAUCUGAAGCAGGCUCCAGCCUCUGAGCAAGUGGUCAGCUCAGAGCCUGAUGCGAGGCUCAAACCCACCAACUGUGAGAUCAUGACCUGAGCCAAAGUCGGAUGCUCAACCAACUGAGCCACCCAGGCACCCCAAGAGAGAGAGAAUAUCUUAAGCGGGUUCCACACUGAGCGUCUAGCCCAAAGCGAGGUUCUAUCCCAUGACUUUGGGAUCAUGACCUGAGCUGAAAUCAAGAGUCAGACAUUCAAUCAACUGUGCCACCCAAGCACCCCCCAAUACUUGUUUCUUUUCUCAGCUAAAAUUAUUUACAUUUCUGAAUGGAUUCAUUCAGCUGUUUUCCUAUUUAAAUUAUUUUAUUGUUAAACUUAUAUUGGAUGAUAUUUAAAAAAAAAAAAAAAGUUCCUGGAGUGAUUUUUGGGUAACCGAAGUUAAGUAGAGUAUUAUAUUCCUUAACAAUACCUGUUUAUAUUUGUAUGGCAUUUUACCUUUACAAAGCUUUUUUGUAUCUAUCAUUUCAUUUAAUAAUCUCAAUGAUCCUGUGAGGUCAGUGGAGGGAUUAUCAUGUCUACUGUCUGGAUUAGUGUACCAAUGCCUAUCUAUAUUAAAAGAGUAUUUAGAGCAGAGACGUAAUUUGAACCUGCUUAUGCUUUUUAUUUGUGUAUGUAUUUAACCACAUUUAUUGGCUAGUGAUUGUAUCCUGGCUAUAGUGUGAUGCUACCCUUAAGAAGUUGAAUGUCUGUGAGGGUGUGCAGCCUGCAAAUGGAGAGCAGUGACAGAGUAUGGAUGCACAUACCAGAUGUAGGUUUUCAGUAAGGAGCCAAGGAUCAGCCUUGUAGGGACAUGUGGAAAGGGGAUUACGAUGUGCCACUUAAACAGAGUAUUGAGGCUCAUCAUGAUUUCCCCAUGUAAAUGAGGAAGGAAAAGGCCUUCCUAAAAUACGCCCAAACAAGAACCCUUAGGAGUCGAUAUUUAAUCUCUACUCUCAUUCAUGCAAAAUAAUUCUUCACUAUGACAAAAGAAAGAAAGAAAGAAAGAAAGAAAGAAAGAAAGAAAGAAAGAAAAAAAGAAAGAAAGAAAGAAAGGAAGGAGAAAUGAAAAGAAUCACAGAGAAGAGUCACAAUCCAGGCCCUCACCAACUAUGCCCCCUUUUCUGGAUAAAAGGAGGAAACAAGACUGGUUUCCUGCAACUAUUUCUUGGGCCACUUUCCCUCAGCCCCUGGCCCUGCUCAGGCUGGACAAAGCCUGUACAGGGAGGUAGGGAGAAUGGUGUUUGUGUUCAUCAGUGUACAUUUCUUGAAACUGGCCACCAGUGAACAAUCAAAUCACCUUGGAAUAUUCUUAAGCUUCCUACAUGUUUGAUUAGUUUUUCCCAGUAGGAAAUGAAAUAAAAGAAGCAGUUAUUAAGAGAGCUUGCUCUCUGCAUGGCCUAAGACUGGCUCCUGGAGUAACAGUGCUCUUCAGAGCAGACAGGAAAGUCAGAGUCAUUGCAGGUGUUUAAUGGAAAGGCUGGAACUGGAUGUGUGUGGUCUUCAUAGUGGAUGGGAGCAGAGGAGGGCGGGAGAAUCUGAGGUCUCUUUUUGGCUGAUCCACAGACUGACUGAUACUCUUGGCUCAAUUUUCCUCUUUGUAAAAGAUUAUCCAUGUGUAAGAUUCUUCCAUGUCUUCAUUCUCUUAGUAGCCCACAGAGCAUGGCCCUCUGCUAGGUGUCCAGCAUGUAAGAGUAAGUUAUAAGUAAGAUUCAGCUCUCUAGAGGAGUUCCUGCUGAAAAUGGGGUGAGCCAACAUAAAGGCUGAGGGUGGGUGAAGGGCACUGUGGGCCUAGAUGAUGGGCCAAAUCAUCAUGGAAGAGGCAGGGAACUGCAUGGGAAUGUGAAAAGGAGAAGCCUGGCUGAUGGUGUGGCCAAAGAGCAAUUUUGGGGGAGAAGAGAAAUAUCUAAGGAAGACCUUUCAUGUUUGGGCAUGAUAUGUGAUAUAAGACCUCUCUUCCAAGACCCCUAUUAAAUAUUAAGUAAAAUUUAUACUGCUCAUUAAUAUUUGGUGAAGUGGAUCAUCUUUGGAAAGAAAGAAAAGAAGUACUGAGACCUGCUUCAUGGUUUAUGUGGGACACAAGAGACAAGACACAGGAAGAAAGUAAGCUGAUAUUUAAAUAUAUAAAUAAAUAAAUACAUAUAUAUUUACAUAUGUGCUUAUAUAUACACACAUAUCUCUGUAACUAAUCAUAUAGAUCACAUAUACAUGUGUAUGCACACUAUCUAUGUAUAUGUGAAUAUAUGGUAUAUAUGUACCUCUUCCUAAAAAAACUUCUCAGAGAACAAAAAGCAAUGUUAUCUGGAUAACAUGUUCUUAGUGAAUGAACGUGAGCUAACACUUAAAUACUUACUAUGUACCACGUCCUUUUCUAGGUACCUUAAAUGUAAUAUGUCUUCUUCAAUCCUUACAAUAACUUCAUCAGGUAGGUACUACAAUUAUCAUCCUUUUGCAGAGGAAGGAGGAAUCUGAGAAACAGAGAAGUUCAGUUAUUUGCCCAAGGACACAUAGCAAGUAAGAAAUAAAGCUGAGCUUUGGAUCCAGGCAGCCUGGAUCUAGGACCUCAACUCUUAACUUCAGUGCCCUUAAAUUACAUAAGAUGUGAUUCACUUGUAAUAGUUUUUGAAUCCUUUGGGGAGCCUUGAGUACUGAUGGAAGAAUCAAGGCAGCUUUGAUUCUCAAGUAGUCAAGUGUGGGGAACAGAAACUCCCUCUCUUCUUGGUGGCUUUAAGUGCAUUGCUCCCUGAAUUCGAUUGUAGAUCCUUAGACAAGAUUUGCUAAUUUGGUUCUUUUAUUCAAUAACUAUUUACUGAGUAGCCACUAUGUGCCACAAAUCCUUUGAUGUUGUAGAAAAAGAAUAGUAAAAAAAAUUAUAAUAAGCAAAAUCCCGGGGUGCCUGGGUGGCUCAGUCAGUUGAGCAUCCGACUUCGUCUCAGGUCAUGAUCUCACAGUGCGUGGGUUUGAGCCCUGCGUCAGGCUCUGUGCUGACAGCUCAGAGCCUGGAGCCUGCUUUGGAUUCUGUGUCUCCCUCUCUCUCUGCCCUCCCCUCCCCCGCUCAAAAAUAAAUAAACAUUAAAAAAUUUUUUUUUAAAUAAGCAAAAUCCCUGUUGUUAUAGAGUUUACAUAAAGACAACAGAAGAGCAUUUUGAUGGUUUAGAGAAUCAUGAUAACUGCCAUAGAGACAAGGGGUGCAUGAGAGUGCAGAGGAGGGAGGGGAGCUGCUAUAAAAUAUAGGUGGUCCAGGGAAGACUUGUUGAAUGGUGACUUUUGAGCAGAGACCUGAGGGAAAUGAAGGAUCAAGCCUGCAGUAUCUGGAAGAAGAACACUGCAGGCAGAGGAAAUGGCAAGUGGAAAAGCCUUGAGGUUCAGUUGAAUUUAACACGUGUGAGGAGGAGGUGGAGACCAGUACGUCCGGAGUAGGCUGAGCUAGAAUCAGAGGGGUAAAAUGGCAGGUGAGAAGUUGAACGAAGACUUUGGUUUUUCACUCUGGGAUAAGUAACCACAGGAGUGCAGAGGCAUGAAGCCAUGGUUUUGUUUUUGUUUUUGUUUUUUGUUUUGUUUUGUUGUCUGCCUUGUCUCUUAAAAAGCUAAUGAUAAAGGGCAAGAGUGGACACAAAUUAUUGUUGCAAAAAUUCAGGCAAGAGAUGAUGGGAGUAGUGUGGGAGGUGGUCAAAAGUUGUUGGGUUACAUUUUGAAGGUAGAGUUAAUCACAUUUGGAAGUUUUCACCCCAUAGGUGAUAUGUAUAGAUGAUAAAACUGGCUAAGAUCACUUCUGGGGGAAGUCUUGGUAGAGAAGGAAAAGUAUUCAUGGAUGGAAGCCUGGGCAUCUCUGACCUUGAGAGAUUGAAGAGACAGGAGGGAUCAACAAAUGAGAACAAGAAGGAGUAGCCAGGGAAGAAAGGAACACUAAGGAGAGGAGCAUGCUGGAAAUCAUGUAAAGAGUGUGCUUCAUGGAGGAGGGUGACCAACUGUGCUGCAUGAUGCUAACAGUCGAUAAAGACCGAGAACAGAGUGGUGGGUUAACAAAAUGGAGGUCACUGGUGACCUUGACGAAAGCUGUUCCUGACUGGAGUAGGUUUAAGAGAAAAAUGAGUUACCCCUGGACAUGUUUUCACAUGAGACUUUGAUCUGAGUGAAAACGGAAUCUGCUUUCACACUCCUCAGAGGCCUGAGUCUUGUCCUGACAAAACCAAGGCUCAGAGGCCCAGGGCUUUAGACAUAGCAAAUAAGAAAGUGAAACCUUUGAACUUGGAAAUAGUAUUAAAGUUGUCAUUGAGGGCUUGAAAUGUUGCAGUCACACAUCUUGCUCCAGGAAACAAAAUGGACCAGUUGUUGGAUUUAUUCUGGUCCUCUGCCUAAGACAACAGCUAAAGAAUCUCCUUUAUAUAUUUAUCCAGGGUCUUUGUCCUCACAUCCUCCCUUGACAAUAAAAUGUAGUGUCCUCCAGAGUCUGGACUCCCUGGGAAAAAAAAAAUAAUUGUAUCUCUCUGUCUCUUUCUCUCUCUCUCUCUCUCUCUCUCUCUCUCUCUGAUGAAAAUUUCUUCAUCAUAAUUCAUAGUUGGUGGAGCAUGCUCUAAACGCCGGGUGUGGGUAGUGUGAGUGUUGAGUCUGGACAUAGGGAAAUGAAUUCAAUACUCUCUCACUAGUUUGUUGUGCAGAAAUAAUUAUACCAUUAUAUCCUUGUGUGCCUCAGCAUCUCCAUUUAGUUUGGCAGGAUAACUUCCAAAUUCCCUUGAGUCUUACGUUCUCUGAUCCAUUCUAAAAUUCAUUUAUGUUUUCCAAGUUGCUAAUUUAUCUCAGCCUUCCCUUAUUUAUAUUAAUCACACUUCCCCUUUGCAAGAGGAAUAGGGACAUUUUCCAUCCAGUCAUCUUUAUGAAUCUUGUAUCCGUUUGGAUACCUAUAAAUUGUGGAGAACAGCAUUCAAUCUUGAUUUCUCAGAAACUCAAGACUGGGCAGCUGAGACCUGGGGUGCUGCCCCUCUGGUUGUUUGCUUUGACUCUUAGUGCUGGUGUCAGUGAAUUCCCAGCUACCUUUGGCUGGCUUUGUGUACUUGGUCAAUGUAAUUAACCUCUCUGUGCUUUGGCUUUUCAACUGAAAGAGGAAUAUCACUAUCACAUGUGUUGAGAAAACCUAUGUGAUAGUCCUUGGGAUUUACCUGAGAGUAGUAACCAUUAGUUAACUCUUUACUUACCUGAUAGAUAACUGCCAAUUGUAGCUAUAUGGCCAUAUCUACUCUAGUCAGAGUUUGCUAUGCAAAAAUAGCAAGAGAGGUUCUCUCAACUCGGGACUUGAUGGAAACAACAAAGAAGUUAAAUGAAAAUCAAACACAUGAUCAAGAAUGAAAGUCCUCCUUAAAUGUUAUUUAUAUAUGUCUUUGGAAAUAAACCACUAUACCCAGUUGUCCAUGAUAGCAAUGGUGCUGUCAUUUUAAGGCCUAUCAUCAAUGAAAAUAACUCCAAAUUAACAGUAAAUACUAGAAUGGAUUCCCUGAAUGCACAGGAACUGACUUUACUAAGGCAAAAAUAGUUCUUGCUGUCAUUGUCACCAUGUUCAGUGAAUAUUAUGAGAAUCAAUUCACGAUUGAAUCAGCUGAGGUGGUUUUUCCUAAUGGAAAAUCACAUACCUUUCCAGAACUGACUUAAUGAAAGGAGGUGGUGAUAUCUGAUCCAAUUAACAAAUAAGUUGGAACCAGAGCAAUUCCAGAAAAUUUUGCGAAACUUCCGACUAGGAUGGAUUUAAAGUCAGAAGUCAUAGGUUAUGGGAAUUGGAUUGAGAUUGAAAUCUCUCCAACCAGAGCUGACAUUAUCCAUGCAUGUGAUAUUGUAAAAGAUGGAGCUAUUAUGGAUAUAGCAACAUUCAGGUGGCUCUCCCAGAAACAUACACUGUAACUAAUCAGUUUCCUCUUAACAAGCUCAGAGGACUUCUAAGACAUGACAGGGUAGCUGCUGGAUUCACUGAAGACUCGGCUUUUGUCUGUGCCCCCAAGGAGGUAUUGCUGAUAAACUUGGUUUCGACAUCUCUGCAACAAAGGCAGUUCAUAUAAGUGAUUCUACAGCCAUUUAAUUUCAGAUGGUACACAUUGCCCUUCUUCCUGGCCUCCUAAAGACCAUAGCCACAAAUUAUAUGAUGCCCCUUCCUCUAAAACAAAUCUCUGACACUGUAGUAAAAAAUGCUAGCAGAGACGUAGGUGAAAGGAACUACAGGCAUCUCUGUGCUAUUUAUUGCAGUAAGAAUCCUUGGUUUGAAAUAAUCCGUGGGUUUCUGGACAGAAUUAUACAGCUGCUUCAUGUGCCUCCUGGUGAAAAGAAGGGAGAUGGUGUGAUCACAGCAUCAGAAGGCCCUUCCUUCUGGGGCAUGCAUCGAGAUGCUUGCCAGCGAUCAAAGCAUCAGGAAGCUUAGGGUCAGUCCUUCAUCCUGAUGUCAUCACCAAAUUUGAGCUAACCUUGUCCUGCUCCUCCCUGGAAAUCAGUAUCAGGCCCUUUUUGUGAAGAGGGGUCUCUGUUGGGUGAUUCUCUCCAUGAGGCUUCCCUUCUCCUCCCCUGAUGUCCUUUAUUUGUCCCCACAGGGGACAUCCAUUUGUGCUUUAAUGUUUAAUUAAGUGGAAAGCAGUGAAAAGAAAAAGAAUGAAAGCCCUCCUAAAAGUGUCUACAAGUCUGCAUACUGUACAGUGGGUUUUGAAAUCAGCUUCCAGUUUGCCCUCACUUUGGCCCUAUGAUCAGGGGAGCCAUUUCCCUUUUGGUGGGUCUACAACUCUCCUCCAGAUUCUGCUGGCUGCCUUUCCCUUUGUCUCAUGCUGUUUCUUUCCAGUGUGUGCACUGACACUGGUUUCUUCCUUUGGGCUCUUAGUACAAGGGUCAGUGAAGCCCCAGCCUUUGUAGAGGCAAACAUUUAAAACCUACUUUAAAAACUUUUUUUAAUGUUUAUUAUUUUUUUUGAGAGAGAGAGAGAGACAGAGUGUGAGCAGGAGAGGGGCAGUGGGAGAGGUAGACCCAAAAUCUGAUGCAGGCUUCAGGCUCCAAGCUGUCAGCACGGAGCCUGAUAUAGGGCUUGAACGCAUCAACCAUGAGAUCAUGACCUGAGCUGAAGUUGGACGCUUGACCAACUGAGCCACCCAGGGGACCCUAAAACCUCUGUUAAGGACUGAGAUUACCACUGCAUGGCUACAGAGGCUAUAGCAAUGUGUCUGCAAACUUCCUGGCUGCAUUCAAAGUGCUUCUUACGACACCCUCCAUUCUCUAGUCUCUGUCACACGCCUCUAAAGGGAAGAGGCAUUUUAAACUCCUUUGAGGAAAAGAAUUCAAUCAUUCGCUUCUAUUUGGGGUUUCGGACACUGAAUGCAAAUAAGGAUUAUGUGAUACAACCUGGAUAAUAUCAUUAUCCAUUGUUAUCCAUUGUUAUCCAUUGUUUCCUUUGCUCCUUUGACUACCAGGGGGCGAGACUAGUGGAGUGGGUGAUGGUACCCACUUACACCCUUCUAUCGUCUCCUCUUCUAUAGGGUGAGCCCUUUAAGGAAGGGGUGCUGCCUUGCACUUCUCCAUGUCUGAUCUCUAGUGCAAGGCCUGGCCCCAACAAGGAACAGAGUCGAUAGCUGUUGGAAUGAAUUGCUGCAGUGAACCCACCAUCCUUGCUUUGGGGUAUAGUACUAGGCGUCAUAGCAUCAUGGAGUCAAAGAUAAAGGACUUCUCUUCUGGUGGUCCAGGAACAGAGAUGGGACAGGGUGCCAUGAACUCAGCUCUGGGAAAUCCCAGAGAAGGUCAUAGUUUUCCAAAGAUUUACAGGCUGAGGAGGAAUUCCCCACUCUGAAAACAGUGCUUCCAAAAUCCUGGUGCACAGAUUGAUGCUGGCCACCAGUGAAAUGAAAAUGGACAAAAUAGUCUUUUUUUUUUUAAGUUUAUUUUUCAUUUUGAGAGAGAGUGAGUGAGUGAGCAGGGGAGGGGUGAGAGAAAAGGAGAGAGAGAGAGAGAGAGAGAGAAUCCCAAGCACACUCCACGCUGCCAGCUUGGUGCCCAACGUGGGUCUUGAACCCACAAACCGUGAGCUUAUGACCUGAGCCAAAAUCAAGAGUUGGAUGCUUCACUAACUGAGCCACCCAGGUGCCCGGUGUAGUCAUUUUUUUUAAAAAAACAAAGCUGAAUUCGUUUUUUAAUCUGAGCUUAUGGCCUUCCUGAAAUGUUUUCUCAUUUAGUGUAGUCCUGCUACACUAAAAUAACCUUUUCGAAAUUGUAGUGAUGGUAAAUGGCAAAUGUUUUAACUUAAUAUAUUCUAUUAGGGGAAAAUUACCCUUACCUUACGUUACUGCCCAGUUUAAUUUCAUUUUGUUUUGGCUUGACAUUUUUCUGCCCCAUGUAUUCUCUCUAAGGAGCACUGUUAGGCCUGUGGUUUCUAACAAGACACGGACCAUUUUGAGAAACUGAACUAAAGUUUUUGACCCUUUUCUCCACAGAAACCUGUUUAUGUGCACACACACACAAACUUUUGCAGGUAAUUUUGGAAGGUUCACAGGCCUUUUUAAGACCAACUGUGAGCUUCUGAAGAAUCCAGAAAAUCCAGUUAGGAAUUCCUGGACAAGAAGGAGUGACAGUCCACUAUUGUGAGCAAAAUUACCUUUCCCCAUUCGUUUGCUUUUUAAUGAAAUAUUUAAUGUAAAUAAAAAAGUUUUCCCUCAUUGCCCUCUAGGGCCAUUAAAAGUCCAAGGAAGCUUUGAGAUCAGGGAGUUAACAAAUAUUUUGCAAAAGCAAAUGGCGUGCUAAGGGAGCUGCUACCCAGCGUUUGAACCAGCAUUCUGUGGUCUCGGGGGGUAUGGGAACCCCCUCCUCCCUUUGGCAUUUUUUGCUGAGCAUACCUUGCAACCUGUCACCACUGACAGGGCUCUGUGCAUCUCCCAGGAUGUCUGGAGGAGUCUUUUUGAAGGCAUUUCAGCCAUCUGUUAGGGUUUCCUGCUCUCAAGGGUGCUUUGAUGCCAUGAGGAGAUGUGACAUGACAUUUGGAAUCUGGGCCCAUGCAUCACAAUGCCAAGGGCAGGGACAGCCGCAGGGUGACUGACUCUGGCCCAUUGUGCAGGGAUGAGCAUGUCAAUCAAAUACAUCUGGCUGGGUAGUCAUAUUGGCAGCUGGGCUGCUCAAAUUUAAAGGGGAGAGGGAAAUGAAAGGUCGCAGAAAACUUCAGAAGAGAAGGACAACCCCCUUCCUCUGAGAAAGCUCAUCUUCCUCUGAGAAAGCCUUGGGGUGCACGUGGAGACCACAGCUGGAGCAGUGAAGUCAACAUUGAUCACAGGAUCUCAGAACCAUAAAGAUGGCCAAAUCCAGAAUUUCCCAAACUUCAGUUAUUCCAGCCCAUAGCCAUGAUUUUUUGCUCUCUGUAUGUCACCAAUAAUUCAUAUUUGCUUUAAAUAGGCUCACAUUUUUAUUUAAAAACAUGUAUUUUUAAAGAAAAUUUAUAGAACUAACUAAAAUCUGGCAUUACUUGCUAUAAAUAUACUGUAGUCAAAAAUAAAUGAAAUGAAAACAGAGCACUCUUUGGAAAUUCUAGCUCAACGCUUUGGUCUGCUAGCUCAUUAUUAAAAGGGGAAGUCAGCAAAGAUUUUGGGCUUGUUAUAGGAACUUACUCAGACUUUAUCCUUGAUGUAGCUGGCCAGAUUGAAAGCAAAUUCAAAAGUGAAUCGUCAUCACUUUAUGUGCUCAAAAUUUGUUAAUACCACAUCUAAGGAUUUACUAAAAUUUAUGUGCUAACUAAAUUGAUUUUACGUGCUACUGGAGGGCUGGAUUUCACUCUGCAGGACACGUAGAUCUGAUCCAAGCUUUUUACAGAGGUGAGAACAUCCGGAGGAUGGAAAGGACUUGUCCAAGGUAACCAUGGUUCUAUAUCUGUCCUGGUACCUAUAUACUGUUUAGCCAGGUGAUUUUGCAGGUUCUGCCGGAGGCAGGUUGUACCUGCCUACACCUUGGCUUUGGACUCAGCCUUGUGACCUGUUUUGGCCAAUGGGAUGUAAGCAGAUGCGAUGCAGGCCGUGGUUUCAAAUUGGAUCAUAGAGCUGGGCUUGCUUUCUUGCACUUGACCAUGAAGAGGACACACCACAGUCAGCCUGUCAGUCUGAGAAUGAUAGACUUGUGCAGGCCUGGAUUCUGUCCGUGCAAAGAUUCAGUAUUUGACUCCCAGUCGCUCGUUCCCCUUUUUGGUGCAGUACGUGGGGCGUGUAUGUGUGUGUGUAUACGCACACAUGUUUGUGGAUGUGAAUAUGUAUGUAUGAGACAGACAGACAGAGACAGAGAGAGGAGGGGGUGAAGAGAAAGGGAAUGGAAACCUGGGCUGGGAAGAUCAGUGUCCAUAUCUCCUCCAUCUUCCAUCUUCUCAGAGCCUAACACAAGCUCUCAAAAAUGUAGAUGGUUAAUAGAUGCUUUAUCUUUUACUCAGGAACUUGUGAAAUUCAGGAAGUAUUUACCAAGAACUCUGUUACAUACAUGGGACUGUGCUACAUAUACCUGGGGAUACAAAAGAAGUCAUUUUUGUGUCGUAGGGGAUUACGACGUGUUUCAGUGGCAAAGGCACACCUGCAUGGUGUGAAUAAACACCACUUCAGAGCUGUAUUGUUCCUGUACAAAAGUGGCAAAGCACAAUGUUCCUCAAAUAUGGCAGCAUCCUCUUCUGCCAGGCCUUGACCGUGCUGCUCCCUCAGCCUACAGUGCAAUUCUGGAACACCCCUGGAGAGGUUAGGUUCUCCACAAAGCUGUACUUCCUGUCUUCUUCCUUCCUCUCUUCUUUUCCAUACAGGCAUUUCUACUUCCUUUUGUUGUGGUGGUUCUUUCUGCCUUUGACCCAGAAUAUUCAUAGGACUUGCAUACCUUUCAAUGAGUUGCUCUCCUGUCUAGUUGUUCUGCAACCUGGUACCGUCCUUCCCAUUCCGCCCCCUUCUAGGAGUCCCGUGGAGUUGCCCGCAGUUCACAUGUGGAGUCCAUUUUACUCCAUCUCCUCCCCCACCGCCGUGGCCAAUGCCCUUGUCAUGCCUCACCUGCCUGGUUUCUUGGUAUCGCCUUUGCCCAGGCUGUUCCCCAUAGGGUAGUUGGAAUAACUUUGUAAACUGCUAAUCUGAUCAUUUGAUUCCCCUGCUAAAAAGUUCCCCAAUGGCAUCUCUUUGCAAUUAGAAGAAACAAAACAAACAAAACAAAACAAAACAAAUACCUACAGACUCAUUACUGUGUCCUAUAACACUCUGCCUGAUGUGGAUGCUGUAUAGAUCCACUUUGCAAAUCAAACUGAGGAGAUAUCACACAGGGCAAGUGGCACACCUUCUGAUUCCCAUGCCAUCCAUCAUUCUUCAUGCCAAGGAAGCAAACCACAGUCUUAGUUACCAGUUACUGAGUAUGUACUCUAAGAUGCACAUAAUUAAGCUCUUUAUACAUAUUAACUUCUUUAUUCCUCAUAAUUCUGUGAAGUAGGGACUAUGUUUAUCCCAGUUUUACAGAUGAGGAAACUUAGGCACAGAGUGUUCAAGUAAUUUCCUUACUACAUAGCUUGAAAAUGACAGAGCUAAGAUCAGAACCCAGACAUUAUAGCUCCCUUACUGCUGUUGGGCCAUGCAAUAACUGUAAGACUGACAAAUAUGGAAGGAAUAUCCUCAAACUGCUACCUGAUUUCCCAUCCCCAUCAUUUUUCUGGCUAGCUCUCCAGCUAUCCAUAUCUUUCUAUAGCUCAGGAUGGUAUUGGUUCUCCAUCCUCAAGAGACGGCUCAGUAUAACAGCAACAUCAACAAAAAUUAGGAAUCAACCGUUGAAAAUUGAUAAUGUCUCCAAGGGCUGAGAUGGUCUUCCUCCAAAGAGGCAAUUAUGGGAACCUAGUAAGAAUGGAAGGCUUUUUGCAGAAAAUAGAGUAUGAGCAAUCCUCACAGAAAUGUCAAAAGGAUAUUGUGUUUUGCAAAUGUUUAUUGCAAACAGACAAAAGUAGGUUCAAUUACUCGUCACAGCCUACACAUUUCUCUCUUUGUUGGCCGGAAAACACUCAGGUGUUUUGUUUGGUUUGUUUAAUAUUCUCCAGGAUGGCAUGGCGGUAUUUUUAGCUUUGAAAUUUUGAUUGUGAAUUUCUGUGGCCUAUUAAAAAAAAUGCCCAUGCAGCCUUGCAACAUGAAAAAGAAUGACAAAAGCUGGUGAACAUGAUUAAUCCACUGGACUUCAUAUAUCAUCUGUCCUUUGCCCCCUCCUUCCUCCAUUCCCUGAGCUCUCUAAACAUUUCAUCUGUGAUUCUGGGCACUUUGAAACCGGAAUCUGUAUUCAGCACAUGUCCCUACAUGAUUAAAUAAAAAUAAUAAUCAUCUUUCUCUGCUGUUGCCUCAGCAGGAAAUAGUUUUUAACUCCACCUCCAUUGCCAGUACCCCCAGUCUGGCUUGUUGGAGUGAGAAAAAACAUCACAGGCUUUGAAGAAAACUGGAUGUUAAAUCUUAGUAAUAGGGGUGCCUGGGUGGCUCAGUCAGUUAAGCAUCCAACUUCGGCUCAGGUCAUGAUCUCAUGGUUCAUGGGUUCGGGCCCUGCGUUGGGCUCUGCGCUGACAGCUCAGAGCCUGGAGCCUGCUUCAGAUUCUGUGUCUCCUUCUCUCUUGCCCCUCCCCCACUCCCAUUCUGUCUCUCUCUCUGUCUCUCAAAAAUAAACAUUACAAAAUUUAAAUCUUGAUAAUGGUGUGACUUUGUGCAAGUUUCUUGUCCUUGUUAAGUCACAGUCUCUUUUGAUAUCCACUGGGAAUGAUGAUGGCUGCACCACAGGCCAGGUGGUGGUGAUAGUUAAGUGAAAUAUAUUUUAUUUUAUUUAUUUUAUUUUAUUUUAUUUUUUUAAAUAUGAAAUUGAUUGACAAGUUGGUUUCCAUACAACACCCAGUGCUCAUCCCAACAGGUGCCCUCCUCAAUGCCCAUCACCCACCCUUCCCUCCCUCCUACCCCCCAUCAACCCUCAGUUUAUUCUCAGUUUUUAAGAGUCUCAGGGGUGCCUGGGUGGCUCAGUCAGUUAAGUGUCUGACUUCGGCUCAGGUCGUGAUCUCGUGGUUUGUGAGUUCGAGCCCCGUGUUGGGCUCUGUGCUGGCAGCUAUAAGCCUGAAGCCUGCUUUGGAUUCUGUGUCUCCCUCUCUGCCCCUCCCCUGCUCAUGCUCUGUCUCUCUCUGUCUCAAAAAUAAAUAAAACAUUAAAUUUUUUUUUUAAAAAUUAAGUGAGAUAUAUUUUAAAUGUCUAGUGCCAAGUAAUAUUUAGCCAUAUUGGUUUGAAUCCUUAUUGUGUGCUGGCACUCUGCCUUUAUUAUUCAUUUAAUUUAACUUCAUAAAGUAGGAAUUAUUAUUCCUAUUAUACAGAUAAAGAAACUGAGGCUCAAAGCGGUAAAAUAACUUGCCUCUUACAGGUUGAACUGCGCCGCCCUCCUCAAUAAAAGACAUAUUGAAUCCUAACCCCUGGUAGCUUAGGAUAUGGUUUCAUUUGGAAAUAGAGUCUUUAUAGAAGUAAUCAAGUUUGAAUGGUAAUUAGGGUAGACCUUCAUCCAAUGUGACUGGUGUUCUUAUGAAAAGGGGAUAUUUUGACAUAGAGACAGACACUCCCGGAGGGAAGACAAUGUGAAGACACAGAAUGAGAAGAAAGCCAUGAGACUGGAGUGAUGCAUCUGCAGGUCAAGGGGCACCAAAGAUUGCUGGCAAAUACAAGACACUAGUAGAGGCAAGGAAGUAUUCACCUCUAAGCUGUCAGAAAGAGCACGGCCCUGUUAAUGCCUUGAGUUUAGACUUUUUAACCUCCAGAUCUCUGAGAUGAGAUUUCUGUUGUUUUUGGCCACCCAGGUUUUGGUAUUCUGUUAUAGCAGCCCUGUAAACUAACAGAUUCCUUAAAGUCACGCUGUGAGUAAGCACCAACACCAGGAUUCAGGUCCUGGUCUGACUUAAACCCGGGACUCACCCAUUCCACUACCAUUGCUUCUCAAACUGUGGUCCAUGGACAAGCAGCAUUGGCCCCACCUGGGAGCUUAUUAAAAAUGCAGAAUCUCAAGCCCCCAACCCCAACCUACUAAAUCAGAAUCUGAAUCUUGACAAGAUGCCAGGAAAUUCUUAGGUACUUGAAAGUUUGAGAAGCACUGUAGACAACCUUCCACAGAGACCAGCAAACAUGAAUUCCUUUCUCUUCCUUUCCCUAGGUCCCCCUUCGUGUGCAGGUGCAAGUGGGUCUUUCCCUUUCUAGUGUGUUCUCUUUCUGACCCAUUUCCCACUCUACUCCUUAAUCCCCCAAGGCUAAGUUUGUCCUUUACACAUGGCAGGGAAACUGGGUGCAGUGAAAAGACCACGGGCUUUGGGAGCCCUAUUGAACUUGUUUCAAAAUCCUGCUUUACCACUCAGAGGGCAAGUUGCUUAUCUUUUCUUUUCUUUUUAAUUAAUUAUUUAUUUUGAGAAAGAGAGAGAGAAAAAGAGAAUCCCAAGCAGUCUCUGUGCUGACAGAGCUGACAGCACAGAGCCUGAUGCCCGUCUCAUACUAACGAACUGCAAGAUCAUGACCUGAGUCAGAUGCUUAACCGACUGAGCCACCCAGGCACCCCCGUCUUCUCUGAGCUUCAACUUUUUCAUCUGUUCCUGGCGCCAUUACCCUGGUGGAAGCCAUUGUCAUUAUGUUCUGCCUGGACUACUGAAGUAGCCUUGUUGGUGGACUCCCCACCUCCCCAAGUCAAUCUCAAUCUGUUCUCCCCAUUGCAACCUUAAUGAUCUCUCCAAACAGCAAAUCUCCUUCUGUCAUUUCCCGUGAUUGCAAACCCCGUCCUGGUUGAAGUCUGAAUUCCUGAGCAUGGCUCCCUGUCCUUUGCAUCAUGUGCCCAUGUCUGCUUCUCCCCUCUCAUAUCUCCUGCCACUUACCAUGCUUACUUUAUUAUUUACCUUCUAUGUGUCCUAACCUUCCUCUACAUUCUCAAGCCAGACAUCACCUCUUCAGGGUCUUUGCCUACACCACACAUCCCUCCCCUGAACUCCUAUACUUUGCAUGCCUUCUCUGUGCUUUUCUUCAUCAUAUCAACCAAGCGUUUUAUUAACUGCAAUGUUGAUUUAUCUAUAUUCCUCAUUAGACCACAUGAGCAUGAAGGCAAAGACCACGAUGAUCUUUGUGAUGCUUGUAUUGCAGCUCCUAACCCGGUGUUGGGAUAUAAGUCAGCCCUCAAUAUGUAUUUGCUACACAGAUCAAAGAAAUUGGGAGAUGCCUCAGUUUUUAGGCCAGCAUUGUGCAUUCUGUUGAAGAAACAUUUAUUUCUGAAGCCCCACUGCUGUUUUACAGAUUAGGUGCCACUUGUAGAGUGAGUACAGGAACAGCCAGUGUGUUCUUUCUGAAGUUUCUUUGUUCUUUCCCGCAUGAUUAAGCCGCCUAGAUCCUACCUCGUUGAACAAAGCUAAAGUAUUUACUCCUAAUUGCUUUAAGUAAGGCCUGUGUGAUCUAAUCACUAAUCAGAUGCUUGCGUUUAAGAAAGAAAAAUGGCUAAUUAACGGAAGCCAGUACCUCCAAUAUUAAGGAUCAGAGCUCUCUAUGUGGCAGCAUGGUAAGGGAAGACACAUAGUGAGGCUUGGAGAGUCUUUGGGGCUUCCUUGGUUUUUUUAGGCUUCGUUUCCAGAGAAGUUGAAACAACACACCCACACCUAACAGGAAGGAGACAUUCUGAAUGAAUCCUAGGAAACUGUCCCCUCCUCCAUGCGGUCAAUAGUAAGAAAUGCUGUGAGUUUGAAGUUAAAAGUUACCUUUUGUAUUGUGAGAAAUACAAAAUGAGAAUGCAUGAGCCAGUUGUGAAAUUUGCACAAGAAUAACAACAGCGGUUAAGUUUAGGAAAAACAGAAAAUCUUAUUCACACAGGAUGGGCCAGUUUGGACCUUGAAUAUACCACAUGUUCAAUAAAUUUUUUUGUUGUUGUUAAAGGUUUCUUUAUUUUUGAGAGACAGAGAAAGAGGGAGACAGAGAGAGAGAGAGAUCACAAAUGGGGAGGGGCAGAGAUAGAGAAAGGCACCAAGGAUCCAAAGCCAGUUCUGUGCCGAUAGCAGCGACCUUGAUGGGAGCUCAAAAUCAGGAACUGUGAGAUCAUCACCUGAGCCGAAGUGAGACACUCAACCGACUGAGCCGCCCAGGUGCCCCAUGCUCAGUACAUUUUUACUGAGUGAAUUUCUUGUCACACACACACACACACCUUUAUUAAAAAGCAUAAAAGAGGGGCGCCUGGGUGGCUCAGUCAUUUAAGCAUCCGACUUCGACUCAGGUCAUGAUCUCGUAGUUCAUGAGUUCAAGCCCCACGUUCAAGCCUCCUUCAGAUUCUGUGUCUCCCUCUCUCUCUGCCUCUCCCCCACUCAUGCUCUGUCUCUCUCAAAAAUAAAUAAACAUUUUAAAAAAUGGGGGUCACUCUGCAGACCCUGCUCUUUGAAAGGAAGAAAGAAAGAAAAAGAAAGAAAGAAAGAAAAGAGAAAACCUGAAUAAAUUUUCAUGGAAAGGAAAACCCAUGCUAUAAAGAUGUCCCUUCUCCUCCGGUUAAUCUAAAGAUUCAAAGCUGUUGCAAUCAAAACCCCAACAGAGUUUUUCAAGGAGAUUGACAAGCUGAACCUAAAACGCACGUGGAAGAGUAGGGGGCCAAGAAUAGCCAAACAUUUUUGAAAAAGGAGGAGAUAAGAAAGAAAGAGUACUGACUUACUCUACAGAAAGAUUUACUCUAAAGCUCCAUGUAAUUUUGAGCAGUGGUUUCAUUUUUGUGUUUGUUUGCUUGUUUUGCAAGCUCGUCAUCCAGGGAACUGAUUUUUGGCAAACUUUGCUACAGUCACUCUACACUGAUGGAUCUGAAUGGAAAGUGAAGGCAUGCAGUGUGAAUUUGCUCAGCUCUGACCUGUGAGAGCUGCAGUUCAGGGCAGGGGAAAGAGCCAAGGUCAGAUGCACCAUGGCUAACCUCCAGUUCUGCCUUCCACGCUGUGAGUUUUAGGGUCGGUUGCUAAACUUCUCUGAGUCUCAACUUCUUUUAAUCUCUAAAAUUCAAUGAAUAAAAAUCCAGGUAGGAAAAAAAGAUCUUGGUUGGGCUCUGUUGUAGUGCUUUUAAAAUCUGUUUAUUUGCAUAGGAAAUGGCUUUCUGUAAAGUAGGUAUUGCCUACUCAAAUGUCUGCAGGGGCCAGGCAGUUCAUUCACACCCACAGGUAGCAGUUACACAGAAGAUAAUGGGUAGAGGGAUUAGGGCAACCUUGAGUGAGGGUAAAACAGAGCUGCAGCCAAAUCAGCCCACACAUCCCCAGGCUGUAAUUUCAGUUCAGGAGCCAAGAACCCAGCCCGGGAAUCAGAAGAGGGACAGAGAUGAACUCUCACUGUGGCUUUGCCUCAGACAGUGAUGUGUCUCCGGGCACAUUAUUUCACAUUCUGAGCCCCAUUUUUCCACCUUUAAAAUGGGCACGUCAGACUCCCUGAGGGUGACAGUAGUUCUAACGUUAUAAAAUGCGUGUCCGGGAUUCUAAUUUAUGGAUGCGCUUGCCAGUCUCACUUCUAGAAUUGGAAGACCAAGGUUCACACCCCAGCACUGACAAUUGAUAAAUGCCACCCGAGAGUGUCCCAGGGCUUCACUGCAGUUCAGUUUCUAUCACUAAAAAUAUGGAGGAAAAGUAAUCAUAAUCUUUAUGGAUCUGGGGUGACAAGUAUGAUAAUUAGCUAUCAAAAUGUUUAAUAAACUGGACAACAGUGCAAAGGGAUGUGGAUUAACAUAAUGGAAAAGAAGGUAGAUGAGUGGUCUACCAAGUCCCAGGUCCCUAAUACCAACAUUCUUUGCAAAUCCAGCCUUCCUGGUACAGAGGUCCUGCUAUACUCAUGUUACAGAUGCAAAAACUGAGAUUUCAAAUCAUAGACCCACACAGGGGUUGAAAUCUUUUCCUCCUGGUUCCAAGGCCCAUGACUUCUUUCUUUCCUUUUUUUUUUUUUUAACAUUUAUUUAUUAUUGAAAGACAGAGAGAGUCAGAGCGUGAGCAGGGGAAGAGCCGAGAGAUGGAGAGACACAGAAUCUGCAGCAGGCUUCAGGCUCUGAGCCAUCAGCACAGAGCCCAAUGCAGGGCUCGAACUCACGAACUGCGAGAUCAUGACCUGAGGUGGUUUUUUUUUUUUUCCAUGACUUAUUUCCCUACCUGCUACUUUAUCAGGUGGGCCAGCCAUAUCCACUUCUAGGAGCCAGAAGUUGUCGCCAGGUCGGGGACCGUGUCCAGGGGGAUCCGCUGAAGUUAAGAGCACUAGGCACAUUUCCAUCCACCAAGCUGGCCAGGCUUCACUUCCUGUAAAUGAGGUGGUUAGCCAUGUUUGUACAGAGCAAGACUGAGGGCUUUCUCUAUGCCUGCCAUUUAAACUGUCAGGUUGGGUGUGGGCAGCCUGAGACCCAUGGUUUCUGGACGUGGGCAGAAGGCCAGGGACCCAGGUAAACUCACUACUGACUCAGGUAGAGCAGACUGCUGACAGGGAUCACCUCUCAUUCUCUUUAUGCGACCAACAUGCUGUUCUGGCCCCGAGGAACACAGGUCAGCAACUUCAUGAAUUACCCUUUUGCUUGUAAUCUAGUUGCACUGGUGAAAUAUUAUGUUGCCUAGGGCAGGGCUAUCCCUGGCUCUUAGUUGUUUAAAUUGCGAAGUUUCCUUUUUGGAAGGAAGGAAGAUUUAUUGAAUGCUUACCAAGCAUCAGGCAUGGUGCCCCUCACUGUGCACCUAUGAUUUUAUUUCACAAACUGUAGACAUUAGAUUCUGUUGCUUCAGUUUAUCAGAUGUUAAAAGGGAAGCUCAGAGGGGAUAAGUAAACUUACUAGAGGCCACAGGUUUAGUAAAUACUAGAGCCAGGGGAUUAGAAUCUCUGGCUCUCGGACUCCAUAGCCUGACUCUUUCCACACCACCAGUCUGCCCACUGGUGUGACACUGAUGGCAAAUAUGCCUGUAAAAUCCAAGUAGAGUUUCAUUUAUUAAUGGUCUGCAAUGGAAGAAGACCGACAGCCUGGCCAAUAGAAAGCUCAUUUGUUUUGUAAACAGAGAAUAAUUCAUUCAUUUGCUAAUGCUCUCUCCCAGUGAAAGUCUGAGCCAAUUCCGCCUUUAAUCUGUGAUAUAGCUCGAGAGCACGGAUGUCCCCACAGCCCAUGCCUUUGAAUAUUCCAUUUGGGACACGCAGGGAUGGUGCUUCCUUUGUCUCAACAUCAAAGCCCAGGGCUUCAUGUCUUGACAGGUGUAUAUACAUGUUGAAAAAUAUAAAUAAGUGCUGAAUAUCAAACCCCUCAGAUUGCCCAGUUGUCCCAUUCUCCAAGAAAAUGAAAGAGAGCAUAACUUAAAAUGAAUAAAAAUAUACUCCCCAUUUGGAAGUCUGAAAUUGACAGUGUUUACCAGAAAUUGUAUGAGUGCAGAACGCAGGCUUCGAUUUGAUUGUGGGUUAGAAUCUGUGCUGCCUGGGCUCUGAGAUUCUUCCUUUGUGAGUGAUUGCUACUGCUGGGGGAAUUGGCAGUGUGACCAGGCCGAGGGAAGGGAUAAAAUGAUUAGGUCCAAGACUUCAUUGCGAAGCUUCUUCCUCUGAGAUUUAGAAACCAUCUUUCUUUCAGCCUCUUAAUGUUUCCUGAACACCGUGAAUUUCUCCAGGGGGCUUUAUGGCCAGAACUGAUCGCAUUCAAUUCUCCCGGGAGGAAAUAGGCAGGUUUGUCUUAUUUAUUUAUUUAUUUAUUUAUUUAUUUAUUUAUUUAUUUAGUAAAGAACAAGAAAAGGAGAGGAGAGUCCUCUUAUCUUGAUGGUAGUGGUAGAGGACGGGUACAAACUGUAGAGUAACUGGCCCUCCGCCUGAAUCGCUUCCCCAUCGGACCAAACUGCCCUUACCCUGCCCUUCUAGUUACUCUUCAUCAUUUUCCCCCGUGCUCCUUUUCCCCCUCUUUCUUUUUUUUUUUUUUCUCUCUUUUUUUCUCUGUCCGCUUCCUUCCUUACCCUAAUCUUUUCCAACAGACUUGAAGCCUCUGACGUGGUCAGCUUCUGUAAUUAAAAGCCACCAAGUCUUCCAGUGUCACAAGUGAAAGCAGAUAUGCCGGAAGGACUGAAGCCAGGGAGCAGUCAGGGCUGAGGGUGCCGGGCUGAGAAGGGGCAUCUGGUCUCCCCUUCCAGACACGACAGCGUCUCGGUGCCUGCUGCUCCUUGAGCUUGAAUUUGCUGCAGCCCCUCAAGGGUGUGACUCUUCUUCGUGGACCUGGCUCCUCCUCACCUUUGUGUGUCCUUUCACUUUUAGUUCCUGCUUCUAGCUGCAGUCAUGCUCCUCAUAGCUCAGAUCCCUGACAAGGAAUCUGACUGAUUGCAUUAGGGUUCUCCAGAGAAAGAGAAUAGGAUAUAGAUUUAGAGUAUAGAUAUAGAGAGAGACAGGGUAUCUAGAUAUAGAUCAGGCUUUUAUGGUUUCUAUAGAGAGAAAAAAUAUAUAUAUAUGUAAGGGCACCCAGGUGGCUCAGUCGGUUAAGCAUCCUAUUUAGGCUCAGGUCAUGAUCUCACAGUUUGUGAGUUUGAGCCCCAUGUCAGGCUCUCUGCUAUCAGCACAGAGCCUGCUUCACGUCCUCUGUUCCAUCCUCCCUCUGCCUCUCCACUGCUUGCACUCUCUUUCUCUGUCUCUCUCAAAAUAAAUAUAUAAACUUUAAAUUUAUACAUAUAUGGUUUUACAUAUAUAUACAUAUAUAUGUAUAAAUAUAUACAUUUAUAUGUGUAAAUAUAUAUAUCUAUAUAUACAUAUAUGAUUUAUUGCAAGUAAUUGGCUCACGUGAUUACAGAUGCUAAGUUUCAAGACCUACGAUCAACACACAAGAGGCAUAAGACUUCAGUUCAAGUCCGAAGGCAGGAAAGAUCUGAUGAUCCCAGCUCUAGGCAGUCAGAUGGAAGGAAUUCCCUCUUUCUCAGCCUUUUAGUUCCAUUCAGACCUUCAUCUGAUUGGAUGAAGCCCACCCACAUUAGGGAGGGCAAUCUCCUUUACUCAGUUUAUCAAUUUAAAUUUAAACUCACCCCAAAAUACCCAGAAUAAUGCUUGAACAAAUGACUGGGCCCGGUCAAGUUGAUACAUAAAAUGAACCAUCACACUGUGUCCCGUUGCCUCUCUGGUGCUCUCUCUCCUUUACUUCUUUCACUCCCUCCCACCUGGCCACCUCGCAGGUAGCUGGUCUGGUCAGCCUUUGGAUUAGUUGCCAUAGGACUGGGUAUUCAUCUAUAUCCAAUCACCUAAGACUGAGCUUAGGGGACAUAUCAGCCAGGCACCUUGGCUGACCCUUAAGCAACAGCUUCAGGGAAGCAGUCUCCUUUAGAGAAGGUUGGUAUGGAAUGCUCAAAUUGUCAAGAGAAGCCAUACCGUCCACAGACCAUGACACCAGUAAAUACGGGGAGUUUAUGUGGCUAGCUGCCAAGUUGGUGAUGAAAUCAGAUAUUUUACUGAGCCACAGGGUCAUGCCAGGUUCUGUGGAUACAAAGGUAAAAGGAUGUGACCUCUGCAUCCAAGGCUGUCACAGAGGGUAGAAGAUGCAAAUCAAGUAUCCCUGCAGCUUAGUAAACAUAGAUCACUUGGCUACAAGACGUCUUGGAGAUCUAGUCCAGCCUUCUCUAUUACCCAGGUCAAGAAAUAGAAGCCCAGAGAGGUUAACAGACUUGCCUAGGGUCACACAGCUAAUUACAGGUAGAAAUCUCAUUUCAAUUACCAUGUAUUAAAUAUGCAAUAGGUGAAAAAGAUUAGCCUAGACCUUUUCAUGUGUGUUACUUCAUGUAACCCUUAUUACAAUGAUGUAAGGUAGACUUUAUCCAGGGGAGAGACCUGAAUUUCAGAGAGGUACACUGACUCCCUCCGUGUCACAAAGAUAGGUAGGAGAUAAAUGAAAGAAGAUUUUUUGUUAUGUCAGUUUUGCAAAAAAAAAAAAAAAAAGACAGUGUUAGAAAUUGUAAAUAGGACUUUAAAAUGUCUUUAAGAAAAGCAUCCAAUGCUCACCAGCAUGAUACUUACCUGCUCUUUGCGAGAACAAAUAUUUCAUAGAAAAGAAGCAGGAGGAAGGACAUUUUUGAGAGACUCGAUAAGCAAGGAAGGUUAUAGAAACACAAAAAGGGAGGGGGGUGACCAUCUUUGAGAUGAUCAAUAAUAAAGACGUUUUAAUUAAGGACUUUUAAAUAUCUCAGGAAAAGAUCCAUUUCACAGGUGAAUAGGAUAAUUUAGCAACAAAGAAGAAAGGGAAAGAAUCGGGGUAGUGAGGCAAGGCCUGCUCAGUGUACUAAUGAGGCAUUCUGGCCUUAUUUUCCUUAACCUCAAGGACCUUGACUUGACCAAAGAGCUAUGUGAAAUACCAUGCAUAUUGAUUUUUUCCCCAGGCUGGGUUUGUAAUUUUUCCUGAAGUAAGAGCAUUCAGACCAGAAUGGGUACUGAGCUACUUGAUUCUACAGGAUAGGAAAGUUCCCCUGGUCAGUUGAGCAGAACACAGGCAGAAUAAUGUCUCUGACUGAAGCACUUGUGGUAGUUGUUUUGGAUUUCUAUGUGUCCCUCAUCUCCUUCUCCUUCCAUACCUGUCUUCCCCCUUCCCCUGUUCUACCAGCUCUCAUCCUCCUCUGUUUCUUGCCCAUUAUUUCCAUUGCCCUAUAGAUAGGGACAAUGACUCACAUUGCCAUCUGGGUCAAUGGGCCACUAAAAUUAGGAUAUAGUAUAUGGGAUAGAGAGGACUGUGGACAUUUGGAAAGUGCAUGCCUAAACCAUAAGGGCCAAUGGAUACUUAACUCCACCUAAUUGUUGCCAUACUUGACCAGGGACCCUGUGUUGCCAAGUCUUUUAAUGUUUUAAAAGCACCUGGAAAUCUGGAUUUAACUUUUGUGAAAUACCCUGAUUUUUAAAUCUUAACAAUUAAUUCAAUUCUUCAAAUUCUUACAGGCUGGUAAUGAUCCAUGAGUCACCAGCUUUUGACCUCUGGUAUAUAUAUCAUAUAGGAACCAUAGCUGAAAUCAUAGCUUCAUUGCUUCUAGCUGUGUGACUCUAAGCAUGCCUCUUAACCUCUCUGAAUCUUAAUAUUAUUGACUAUCAAAUAUAUAGAAGGUGGCAUAUUAAGCGCGAGGCUUACCGUCUCAUACCAAGUAGAUACACUAUGGAUAACAAUUCACUCUUUUCCAUUCUAUCCCCUGACCAUAGUGUCUCAAUCAUGUAUACAUCUGAUUCCAGAGAGGAAUAUUCAGCUUAUUACAAGACCAAUGACUUCUGGAACAUCAGCUUGCCUUUCUCCUGCAAACAAUCAAAUCACAAGAGCUUACAGCAUAUUCUUACCCUGCUUUGUUGAGAGCCAUUUCCCCAAAAUGCAUCUUAUGUGGGCAAUGAGUCUCUAUUCAUGCACAAUUUCACAUGAAAAGAUUUGCCCUUUUCAUUGUACGCAUGGCUUGAAUCGGCCAGCCUGCAUGAAAAUAUUUCCAUUCAUUAGCAUGCCAAAUGAUGUCACUGGCCUGGAACUUGGGUGGAUAUUGCAUGGACUGAUAGAAUCCUAUUGCUCUAAGGAUUCUCAGAGGAGGUUGUCUCUUCCAACCUUCCAUGUCCAAUGCAGCUUAAAACACCACCAGAAUGUGGUGAGGGCUCACUAUUUGGGGAAGCUAUCUUGGCCACUCUAGUUACUUCAGAUAUCUUCCUUGUAUCACAUUUAAAUCUGAAUUUCAGUAACUUCUGUCUGUUGGUUCAGAUCUACCAGGAAUCUGAGAGUCAGAUUGGUCAUAAGACAACGUGCUAUCUCAUUAAAUAAUCAUAAUGGCGGGAACUUAUGUGACAACGUCAGGUCUGUUCUUGACGUUUUACAGGUAUUUAGUUACUUAACAUUCACAAAAACCUUAUAAAACAGGUAACGAAGCAUUCUGUUUUCCAGAAUGAGUAAAUAAAUGUGAGGCACAGAGCAAUUAAAUGACAUACCCAAGGUCUCACGGCUCAUAAGGGAGAGAGGCAGGAAGGAAGACAGGGUCGUCUGGCCUCCAUGUGCUUAGGGACUACAUCCCCCUGCCCCUCCAUCAGAGGGUACCUGCACCAAGAUCAACUGCAGAACCAAGGGCUCUGAUGUUACCCAGAGCAGAUUUGCAUACUGGCCCUGCCACUCCCGCUCAAAGCAGACUUGGGCAAACUUGUCCACGUCUCUGACCUUUUAUGCCACCUUUCAGUGGUCUUGGGAAUCAAAUCUCUGCAAAUUGUCUAGAGCAGAGUCUGGCAAGUAAUGGACAUGCAAAGGGUUUUUGUUGAGUGAAUGACAUUUAUCAACACCCCAGACCAUGCAUCACCUGGUCUUUUAUCCUCACUAUCAUGGCAAACGUUCCAAGAGCCCUCUUCAUACUAACUGCUCACUCUUCUUUGGCCACUCUCCAUUUUCUUCUGUCCUUUUCAGCAUGAAGGAUAUUUCAGGGUGGUCUUCCCUCCCUCAGAAUACAGUGGUAUUCUCACUAGCUUAACUCUCUGCUCGCAUCACUGCUGCUAAGACUGUGCUAAUACACUUCUCUCUCAAGUAUCUAUUCUUCUCCAGGCUCUCCAUUGGAAACUGAGAAUAAAAAAUGAUCUAAGACAAGAUCUCUGCCCUAAGGACCCCUCAGGUAGAGUAGAAUUCAUGGUACAAAGAGUUAUGGAAAGAGUGAAAAGGGAGUAUGCAAGAAGGAAGACAACUCUACUCAGGGCAGGGUGAGACAUAAAACAUUUUUGAAUAAGGAUCGGAAAGGAAAGAAGGGAAGAAAAUGUAUGGAUUAGGGGGCAUCUGGUGGUUCAGUUGGUUAUGCAUACAACUCUUUUUUUUUAAUUUUUCUUUUAACGUUUAUUUAUUUUUGAGACAGAGAGAGACAGAGCAUGACCGGUGGAAGGUCAGAGAGAGAGGGAGACACAGAAUCUGAAACAGGCUCCAGUCUCUGAGCGGGCAGCACAGAGCCCGACGCAGGGCUCGAACUCACAGACCCUGAGAUCAUGACCUGAGCUGAAGUUGGACGCUUAACCGACUGAGCCACCCAGGCGCCCCUAUGCAUACAAGUCUUGAUUUUGGCUCAGGUCAUGAUCUCACCCCCGCAUCGAGCUCUGUGCUGACAGUAUGGAUCCUGCUUGGGAUUGUCUUUCUCUCUGCCUCUUUCUGCCCCUCCUCCAUUCGUUCUCUGUAAACAAACAAACAAACAAACAUUAAAAAAAGGAAAUGUAUGGUUUAGAACCUUGGGAUAACCUACAUGUCAUAAAACAGACCUUAAAAUGGUUGCAUAAACACAUGGUAGAAUAUCUAAAUGCUCUUAAAAUGAGUUGUAGGGAAAUCCAUAAAUAUGAAAAAAAAAAAAAACCCUAACAUGUAAACGGUAAGAUUGGUAAGUUUUACCACUUAAAAAUUUUAAAUUAAGGUAUUAUAAAAACGAAAACAGGGGCACUUGGGUGGCUCAGUUGGUUAAGCUUCCGACUUCAGCCCAGGUCAUGAUCUCACAAUUCUUGAGUUUGAGCCCCGCAUCAGACUCUGUUCUGACAGCUCAGAGCCUGGAACCUGCUUCAGAUUCUGUGUUUCCAUCUCUCUCUGCCCCUCCCCCACUCAAGCUCUGUCUCUCUCUCUCUCUCUCUCAAAAAUAAAUAAACAUUAAAAAAAAUAAGAAAAAACGAAAACAUAAAAAGCCACUGUGUAGCAAAAGUUGCUGAUUGUGAGAUCACCUGCAGAUCUGAAGACACUUUCAUCACAUAUAGCAAAGGACAAGUAUCUAGGGAAAUGCUAAACCAGUAAGUAAAACACAAAAAAUAUAUAGAAAAAUGAGGAAAGAAAAUGCACAGGAAAUUCACAUAUGAGUAAUUGUAAAUAGUCCCCAACCUUAAUAAUCAAUCUAGGGAAUUCAAAUUGAAAUAAUAAUGAGAAAAAUAAUUUCUCAUCCAUCAGACUAGGAAACAUUUAAAGGUAUGAAAAGUACAAGUGUUGGUGAAGGAAUAAGGGAAAAUUAUGAUUAUCCUGAAUUUCUAGAGAAAUAUAAAUUGAUAAUAUACUUGCAAAGAGCAAUUUGGCUGUCUUGAGUGUAUGCAUUCCCUAUGACCCAGUAAUUCUGAUGCGCGCACACACACACACACACACACACACAUUUAUACAAUAUGUACAUACACUUCCAGACUCACUCCAGAGAAUAUUGUGGACAUGUGCACAAACACACCUAUACCAGAAAAUUCAUUGCAAUUCUAUUUAAAAUGGAAGAAAAAUAUAAACCAUCUUCAUGCCCAUUAUUUGAAGAAUGGAUGGAAUACUUAAGAAGUUUUCAAAUACUUAAGAAGUACAAGGUAAUGAUGAGAUCUGAAACACAUAAUUUAAGUGAAAAAGUGUGCUAAAUUAUAUGUAGUACAUGUACAAUAUGAUGUCAUUCAUGGAAAUUUUUUAAAACACCCACAAACAUUAAACAAUACUGUAUAUUCAUACAUAUAAUGUUUUCAAAAACAUCAAAUGGAAAAGAUUCUUAAUCCAUGAAAGUGGUAGCUACUAGAAAGGGAAGAAGAAAUGAGACUCACACCAAAAACCAGAGGGGAUGUCAAUCUUACCUAAAAUGUUUGAUUUUCUUAUUUAAAAAAACAUUUAAGGCAGUUGUGACAAAAAUGUUAAUAAUUACCAAUUAUUUGUCAUAGGCCCAUGGAUAUUUAUAAUUCUUUGUCAUUUUUGCUACUUUUAUAAAUGUCUUCAAAAUUUAAAUAUGAUCUCAGGAGACGAAGAGCUACCUUGAAAGUCUUGAAUGAGUCAUUUUGAUGCUUGAGGGUCAGGAUUCAGGUCAGAGUUUCUCUGGUCAUUCCCUUCAAAUGGCCCUAGGAAAAUUCAAGCUCCAGCUCAUGGGAAAGAAAGGUAACAUGACAAUCCAAGUGAUUUUUGAUGAUAUGUUUACAACUCUCAGAGGAACCAACCAUAUAAAUUUACUUUUUGGCUAAAAAUCAAAUAUGAAAUACGAAGCAAAGAAAAUUCCAUAUUUGUGGGGCGCCUGGGUGGCUCAGUUGUUUAAGCAUCAGACUCUUGGUUUUGGCUCAGGUCAUGAUCUCAGGGUGGUGAGUUUGAGCCCCACAUCGGGCUCCCCUCUGACAAAGUGGAGGCUGCUUGGGAUUCUCUCUCUUUCUCUCUCUCUCUCUGCCCCUUCCCUGCUCACUCUCUCUCAAAAUACAUAAACUUAAAAAGUUUAGCAAAUUCCAUAUUUGUUUAUUCAAACUCAUUGUAAUUAAACUUUCAACACACAUUGGGGAGUACCUUCCCCUGUGGAAGGUACACAUGGAUAAUAAACCACUUUCUUGGGAGUAGAGCACCAAACUCACAUUUUACUGGGCAGAUACCCUUACUUCCAUAUCUCCCCCAGGUCACCUUUCUAAGUAUUGCGUGCAAAAAUGCUGAGAAGGAGGUAUUACUAUUCCCAAUCUACAAAUUAAUAUAUUGACAGUGAACUAGCCCAAGGUCAUCAUCAAUUAGUAAGUGCCAGACUUUAUUCUCAGACUCAGAUUUUCUGACAGGAGCUUCCAUGUUGCUAGAGCAGACAUUGGAUGUUUUCAGAGAAGUGAGAUGCAUAUUAACACUCUUUGGAGACGUACGGUGUUCUGUAGAAAGCAAAACUUUCCAACCUUUGCUUCUGUCCUUGAAACUGAGAAAUAAAAUUGGAAGUGGAACUAAUAGUCUUUGGAAGGCAGGCCUGCCUACCAUUUAGCGUUCAUUCCCACUGGGCAGGAACCAUGUCAUUGGCCAUGGUUUGCUCUGUGCUGAGGGCAUGGACGCUCAGAUGGAGAGUGCCCUCAGAGCAUGCCUUGCACCUGCCAGUGACAAAUUGUCAUCUGGGAGGUCUGUGAGCACCUAAUUGACUCUUCUUCGUUCAGAGAACACACUCCCCUCGUGCAGAGAGCCCAAGGAGCAAGGUGCUGAAGUGCACAGGACAUAAGAUCCAAGCUUCCAGAGUCACGGUUUCCUUUCAGCUUCCUUUGUGACUUUAGCCAGAAUGGCCUUUCUGAUCCUUAAAACUCCUGCAUUGAAAAUGGUGCCAGUUCUUAGAUGGCCAGUAUGUUGAUGGGACUAAAUGAACAGAGUAUGCUGGGUAACAAAGCAAUUGUUGAGCAUUUUCCGAUGGUUUGUCUUGACCCUCAAGUCCCCAUCCUCUGAGGUAAAAAGGAAAAUUCCUAAAACCUUCAUUUCACGGUAGAGACCUCAGAGAGGUUACAGGACACUCUAGUGAACGGCUCCCUGAUUUCUGAGAGGUAUUUUCAGCCUAACGAGUACACGUGAGCCUUGACAGACGAUCCACUAGUUAUUAUUCUCAGGCCUGACAGCAGCCUUCCAAAGUUGCCAAACGGCUGCCUCUUUUCUCCGAGUUAGGUGCGGCUCAGCCUAACACUUACAGGCCCUGCUCGCAUCCUCCAGAGGGGACACCUGCAUAUAUACAGGUGUAGCCACCAGAGGACCUCUGUGUGUGAAGACCUUUUUAACUCAGGAAAGUUUAGAAACAACCGAGCCAUUGUAGACGCUGAGUCCACAAAGUGGAAUGAAUUGUUUAUAUGUUACCAGUAAGUGAUAUGUGCAGGGGUAAGUGCACAUUCACGUCCUGGGGUAUACGGUGGUGCACAACACAAGCACGUAGCGAUGGCAUACUUGGGAUGUUACCUUUCCACCAAGUAUACUUGCCAAGAGUGUUGUUCCCCUUGCUUCCAUGCCACUUGGGGUUCUCUCCGCCCCAAUUACCAUCUUGGGCCACCCUGUCAUCCCAUCCCACUAUGCUUGUCUAAACCCCACUGUUCCUUCACAUCGCUCCUCAGGAAGGACUCCUCGGCCCUCCCAUAUCUAGAUUUGGUCACUCCCCCGCGUUCUUGCAGAUAGCCCCCACUUUCUUUUGUGACGUGUAGCUCAUCAUAUGAGUAAUUAUUGGCAUCGUCUGUGCUGGAGAUGGAGAAGUGCGCCUGGGGAGGGCUCAAGAGUUUCUCAAGGACACAGGCCUAUACACAGAAUGAGGUUCCUGCCCUCAGGGUGGUCCCCCCAGGCCUCCUCAGUCACUUCAUGUGUGGACUUCCCUUCUCGUGUCAGUAUCAUCAGGAGAAGGGUGUGGAGCUCAUUACGUGCUGUGUGGUCCCCUCCCACCAUAUCUCCUGACACCAGCUAGAGUUAGGGUGACUCAGCUCGGUUUUCACUAGUCCCUAUCUUGGCGAUCCUGCUUUUUUAUAGAAACCUAUCUUCCCUAGAUUCAUUGUUAAUGUUAUUUCUAAAAUACCAUGUUACCUAUUUUUAUAUUUUUAUCUUAUAUCCCACCACCCACUUGUUUCCACACCUGUACAAUAAGACGGUUGGAGAAUAUAAAUCUUCAAGGUUCUUCCCAGGCUAAUGGUCUGAGUCUGUGGAAUGUCCCCUUAGUGGGUUAAGCCAAAAGAAAUAUCCCCCCGGUUUAAGCGGCUACUGUCUGAGGGCCACAGAAGCAGCUUAAAUGAACACUAUUGAUACCAAAGAUGCUGUUGCCUUACUUAUUUUUCUUCCCUUCCCACCUGUUCCAGGUGCUUAACCCUCCACCCCCACGGGCCUCAUGGAGCAUCAGUGCUCCCGCAGAGAUCCCAUACAUAUUACUUGAUGAACGCUGUGACACGGGCAAGUUAGCAGUGAUUAGAAUCUAUUUGCCUUCACUUCGUCUCGUGGCAGAUUAUACUUGUAUAUUAACUUGAUAAUUCUCUGAUUACCGAGGAGUUCAACUGAGGCUCUCAGUCUCCUCCGUCCUCAUUAGCCUUGUCCAGCUGAGCUUGGGCUGGCCUGAACCAUCACUACAGUCGUCUCACUCGGUGGCGGGCAUGAGAAUGAUUCGUUCUGGGAACCGUAUCUCUGUUGCUGUAAACUAUUUGCAUACCAUGCGGACUUGCACAGACCUAGCCUGUGCGAGGUCCCAGAAGCAGUCUGCUUUCACCUCCCCCCUUAUCUGAGAAGUGGCUGUGCAUUAUUCAGUAAAUGGCCCCAUCCAAGGCAUUGACACCACUCAUGAAACAGAAUUUAAAUCUCGAUAUUUUGAGAGGCAACAUGCCAUAGUGGUUGUGUGCAUAUCCUUGGGACCAGAGAGCUAUAUUUUAGGCAACUAGGUGAUUUUGUUAGAGUUACUUAAAGUUUCUAAGCCUCAGAGUACUUAUCUAUAAAGUCAAAAUAAUAAUAGUGCCCACCUCAUAGGAUCGUUAUGAGAAUAAAGUGAAAUAUAUAUAAAGUAUAUAGCAAUAUAUGUGAGUUUCCAUUAUCGUUAAUAGUAAGCAGUAUCUUUCUAUGGAACGAUAGAAGUGCAGAGAGGCAAGAGAAAGAAUGUUUAUUUUAUGAAUAAGGAAAUAAAGGUAGGCGAAGAGAAAUGAUUUCAUACCCUCCUUAUCAAGCAUGUACCGUGGGCCAGUCCCUCAACAUCAAAAUCCAAUAUCUAAUGCCAGUCUCUGCCCUCAAACAGUAAGAAGUAGCUUGUGAAAUGUGCCUGUGGGAACAGGGAAGCCUUCCCAAGGGAAGUGUUGAGUAAAUUGUCUUGAUGAACCAUCUUUUAAUACCCUAACUCAUUUCUUAAAACCAUCUCUAAUGUUACCUCCUCCAUGAAGCCCUCUUUAUUCCCUCUUCCCUGCCCAAUGCAUAAUCAACCACUUUCUCCUCUAUGUAAUUUCUGUAGUUUGUCUACACUAUACAUUUGCAUAUAAAAUGCACAUAAAAAGUGGAGAUUUUUAAAUUCUUGGUCAGUUGUCUCUAACACCGGCACAUAGCCUGGUGUCUAUGAUGCAGCAAAGGCAAUUGUAAUUGCUCACAGAGUGUUUAAUGUGCUUACUAUGCAUAGGCACCCCCAUAAGUACUAGAUUUAUAACAACCUAACCUCCUGGUAACUCAGUGAGGGUGCUGAGACACUGACCACUAUAGUGAUUUGCUCUAAAUUACUCAACAGCCAGGAUCUGAAUCCAAGUAGUGUGGCCCCGGAACCCCUGAUCCUAACCAUUGUGUAAUAACUCUCCACAAAUGCUUGCUGAAAUGGACAUAGUAAUAGUCAUCAAGUGCAAGGCACUUUACACGUAUUCUUAAUACUAUUCCGAUCCUCAUAUUAUAAAUGUGUAAACUGAGGCCCAGCAUGUUUAUGUAGCUUUUCUCCUGCCGAACAGGAGGCUAGAGUACCUAUGCAAGUGCUAGAGUAUGUCAUUUGUAACACUAAGUGAAUGGUAAUACAGUUGGAUUAUCGGUGUGAGAAGUUGGUGGGUAGACGGCUAAGCUUGAGAAGCUCUGUAUUGCAAUUCCCUGCUCCCUCCCCAACAUGUGGAAAGAACAGUAAUGGAGACAUGAAAGGACUCCAGAGUGUGAAAAUAGCAAAAGUGUGAAACCAAGAAAAUGUUUGUUAAGUUUCACAUGAGGUAUCGUGUGGAUUUGUCUGUCUGGAACUUUGAGCCUCAUUCUCUAGAAAAUGGAGAGGCUUCAAAAGAUUUAGGACCAGAAGUGAACAUGACAUUGUCUGUUACUAUUCCUCUUUUAAAGUCAUUGCAUUGUUUAUUAUCCCUCUGAAUUUAUAAUAGCUUAACACCAGAUCUCUGGGUAAAUACCAAUGGAUAAACACUUAUAAAUACGCAUUUGCCACUAGCCCCCUAAACACAGUGCUCGGAGACAGUGCUAUAAAACCCAGAUCUUCACGAUGCCAGCCUUGAUGUACAUGUGUGAUUCAGGGCCCACUUCUACCAUUCACCUGCGCAUUUUAUAAAUUAGGGCAUUAUCCUCCUUUUAGAAGCUGCUUCUAACCACCAAGAGUGGUAAUCUUGCAUCUUUCUCUAUUUGAAAUCGUAAAACUAAUUGAACAAUUCAUUGAACCUAAUGGCUUUAGAAAAAUCAAUAAUUGCCUCCUGUUACUGAUAUAGUGGAAACGUGUGUUAAGAAAUUAUCCAAUAUAGAAAUAAGCCAGUUAAAAUAAAUAAUUCAAUAAGCUGCCUGGCAGUCUAUUCAAAUUUUGAACUUGAACGAUGACACAGAGUUUUUUAAGUAUAAAUAAUGAAAAAAAUAUACUCAGUGUUGCCAGGGCAUAGACUAAAGCUACGGCCAGCCAGACGCCAGUUCCUGGCAUUUACCCUACAACUCCUGACUUUGUGAUCAGUAAAAAGGCUGUUGGCGGUAAGGUGUCUAUGUGGGGUGUGUAUGAAUGCUGGCUCCCAGUUAGCAUGGUUAGCAUUUGAGAUCAGAGCAUGGCAGUAAUAAUGUGUUCCUCAGAUAUAUCUAGUAAUUCAGGCACCUGGGUGGCUCAGUUAAGCAUCCAACUCUGGAUUUCAGCUCAGGUCAUGGUCUCACGGUUUGUGUAAUUGAGCCUCAAGUAGGGCUCCACUGCUGAGUAUGGAGCCUGCUUAUGAUUCUGUCUCCUCUUCUCUCUCUGCCCCUCCCCUGUUUGCAUGCUCUCUCUCUCUCUCAAAAUAAAACAAUAAUAAUAAAUAUAUCUAGUAAUUUACAAAGCACUUUCACAUCUAGUCAUAUCUAGCUAUCAGUCACCUAGGUAUUUUGCAAAUGGGAAAACCAGGGGCUGGUAACAUGAAUUGACCUGUAUGUAGUUACAUUGCUAGUCCAUACAAGAAUUGAAAUUAUAACACAAGUUUUUAAGCUCUGUCCACUGCUCAGCUUACUAUUAUUAUUAGCUUUAACUUUUUAUUCCCUUCUACAUUCAAAAGAAUCUGCAGAACCCAAGUGCCUGUUUUCAAUCCAAGGAACCUACAGUUAAGAAAGGUCAUUUGGUCAAGGUCACACGGCUGAAACAGGAGAGAGCUAGGAUUUGAACAUGACCCUUUGGACUCCCAGUUUAGGGUGCCUUUCUUAUACUCUUCAGCUUAGUGUAUCUCUUCCAAGGUAAUGAGGUGAGAUAACCAGGGAGAACACAAUCCCUGGCUAAGAACCAGAGGUGUUCCAAAGCAGAAUCUGGAACCUGGGACUGAGCCCAAUCUUCAGCCAGUUUCUUUUUUUAACUUUAUUUAUUUAUUUUGAGAGAGACAGAGACAGGGUGCGUGGGGGAGGGGCAGAGAGAGAGGGAAAAGGAGAGAGAAUCCCAAGCAGGAUCCACAUUGCCAGCCCAGAGCCCAAUGUGGGGCUCAAAUUCACAAAACUGCAAGAUCAUGACCUAAGCCAAAACUGAGAGUUGGAUGCCUCACCAACUGAGCCACCCAAGCUCCCCCAGCCAGUUUUUUAAGGUGACCUGCUUCUCUUCCCUCAUUCUGAAUCAUUGGGGAUACAAACAGAUGGGGGCAGAUGUUUGUACCUGACAGAAACCUGGGUCAUGGGUCCUGAUGUCUUGAAGACAAAAAUUGUAGCAGGACUCUGAGAGGAAAAUAAAAUGGAAUGAUAACACUUGUCUUUCCUGCUGGUCUUUUUCCAUUGCCUCAGAGUCUCAAAAUGGUCACAUCACAGGUGGUGAGUGCAAGCAAGAAAACAAAACAAAAUGAAACACAGGGCAGGGAAUGGUCCAGUGUGAGCUGUGGUUCAAGACACUCAGCCUUUCCUUCACUCAUUUUUCUUGUUCACUAUUAUAUCCUGUGUACAAACUGAACCUAAAAUAUACCACUUAGGAUGUACCAGGCAUUGUUCUUAAGUGAUCAUGAAUAUUAAUUCAUCUAAUCCUCAUAGUAACCAGUGGGUAGAUACUUCUAUUACAACCAUUUAACAGACGAGGACAUUGGGACAUGGAAAGAGCAAGUGCCUCACCCAAGGAGCCAUAGUGGAUGAACAAGGAUUCCAUUGAAUGUAGGCCCCGAGUCUCUAGAACCCAUAUUCCAAAGUGCCAUGCUACCCUCCAGUUCCCAGUACUCUGUGCGUGCCAUCUGAGAUCUGGUCUCGCACAUGACACUGUGCCACUGAGCUCAGGGGCUGCAUCAAUGGACCUUCUUGCCUUCUGGCUUCUGGCCGGGUUUGGCCAAUGGAAAGCACCAGCAGGAAGUCAGAUGGAAGAAGAUGGGUUAGUGCAGUUAGUCUCCUGACUCCCUCCCUGCCAAGACCACAGGUUCCUCCACUUGAGGCCACAGCUCCUAUGGAAAAGCCCUCUCCAAUAGCUACAACUCUUACCAUGUCCUCCUGGCUCAGGGUAAUGCAUCUACUUGGUCCCUGAGGCUUAAGUGUGGUAACGCCCCCCCCCGCCCCCCGGCCCACUGUCGUGACCCUGGGUGUUUCACCUUAACCAUAGCCACACUUAUGUCAUCUCCUCAGUUUACUUCAUGUGAAUGAGCCACCUGUUCCAUGCUGGGACCCUAACUGUUUUGGACUAAACCCGAUAGUUGUUUCAAUCUCCAUAAAAAGUCCGAAAUCAGGAAUCUAACCACCUGUCUCAUGCAGUGUUGUUUGCACAAGGUUAGCCCUCAAUAAUUUAUGUGUUGGAUAGAGAAAAGAAGGGAGUGAGGAGGGAAGAGAGGGAGGAGGAGGGAAGGACAGAAAGACAGGGAGGGAAGACUUAUAGGCCCUAUAAAGAAAUUUAGAACACCAUUCCAGCUCACUUCACCUGGAUUAGUCAUUUCCUUUUCUUACAAAUAAUCGUAACUUGGGUCACAAAGCUCUAUGACAUGUUAUUUCACUUUGAGCAGAUAUACUGGCAUGCCCACUUUACAGUUCAUAAAACUGAUCAUCAAAGAGGUGAAAUAAUUUGUGUUAAGUUCACAUGUCAGUGAAGUGUAUGAGCCUGGACUCAGCCCAGAAAUUAUGAUUCCAAAGCCAAUCCAUUUUCGUCUCUAAAGCUGUAAUCUGAGCAUUAGGUGUCUGCUCUGUGACAAUGACCCAGAUCUUCAAAGUCACACCCACCUUGGAGGAACAUCUCUCUCUUCACCACAGCUUCAGUCAUAAUGGGAGUUUGACUUCGGGCCAUUCCCAUCACCAAUGAGUUCUGCCUCUUUAGGUUUUCUCCUUGCUCUAUGGCUCCAUUGAACACUAAUCUUAACCGCAAAACAGUUCAGAUGUUGAGAAGCACAUUGGUUUUGUAAAGUUCCUUUCAUUUUCUUCUUCCAAGGUAGCCCAAGAGCCAUUUUUAUAAACAGCAUACAACAAUCCAUGUAGGGAGGCACAAAUGUGCUUUUCUGAUAAUUCACUUUGAAAAAUGUAAGUCUUUUAAAAAAAAAAAAACUAAGAUAUUGAUAUUUGUACAGAUGGGUGGCAUUUGAAUGUAUCACCAUGAAGUCCCCUGAGGACUUGGAAGGUCUCUCUGAGAAAUGUUUAUUUUGAGAAUCAGAAAGGCCAUCCCUUCUCCACAUCCCGUUGAUUUCAUUCUCCUGGAAGGACAUCAAUCCUGGGCCCAGACAGCGCCUUUACAGUCGAUUGGAAAUACCAGUCAUUUAAGAGCCCACAUUUUUUUUUUUCUGAUAGGGGGAAAAUGUAUGAUUAUGUCUUUGAAUAUUUAACAUUCUAAACAAGUGGCCAAAAAAUGAACCGUAUAAGCAUCUAUUUGUGUGAGCAAAGGUCAAAGAUAUGAGAUUGGAUGGCUUAUUUUGGACUAAACCAAGGAGUAGCUUCAUUUUCUAUAGUCUCAAAUCAGGAAUUUCUUAACUAAAAGGGAGAUAACAGAACCGGAAAGACAGCACAUUCCCUCUUUUGUCCCUUCCACUCUACAGCAAGCUUCUUAUGAGAGAGGCAAUUUCUUUUUGCUUGGUUUUCUGUCCUUCCCGCUAGCAUACUACCUAACAGGUAGUCAGUGCUUCUUAUGUCAUUACUGAAUGAUUAACUGACUGGCUAAGUGAAUGGUUCAUAAAGCCUCUUAUUUUUAUUUUCAUUUACUCCCCAAAAUUCCAGUAAGAUAAGCAAGGGCGGGAAUCAUUCUUACUGUGACUACCCAGUAAAAAAUGGGCCGCAGAUGCAUCAUAGAUCUUGCCUAAAGUCACACAGCAAAGUAGCAGCAGAGUCAGGAGUAAAAUCUUGGUCUUCUAAUGACAAGGUCAGCAGUCUUUAUAAUUCUUUGACCUGGUCUCACUUCCUUUCCUUUGUUUUAGCUUUCAUGUGGUUUACUAGCUUAUACUUUGGAGGGGAAAUGGCUUUUGGAAACUGCAGGACUGAAAACAAAGCUCUUCCUCCGUAGAAACCAUGAAAUCCCCAAAUGAAAUGGGAGGCAUUGAAUUUCCUGAUACAGAGAUCAAUGUAAUAGAAGAGAAGUGAAUGACAGAUAUGAAAUUAAUGGCAUUUAAAUUUAUGCAGUUACAAUAGAAAACAAUUCUUCUGGAAUGCCUUCCUGAGUCUUUGAUACGUAGUGGUAAUUAAAAGAGCUCCUUUAAAUCAUUUAUUAUAAUUAUGUUUUAAAUGAUCCAGUCCUGAAUGUAACCAGCUUUUUGUUGUUUACUGGUAGCUGGUGACAUUUGGAAUUGACUAGACAUUUGCAAUAAUUUGACUACUUUUCACAGACAAAGAACUGAACUGCCUCUUGCAAUUGGGAAAGCCUAACAGAUCCUCUGUGGACCCCUCACUUUCUACUGGGCCUCCGUGAUCUGAUACACUCCCUGGGCAAAAAGAAUCAGCAAGAGUUAAGCAACGAUGGAACUGAAGAUCAGACACAUUCUGCAACUUUCACAGGCAAAAGGUUUUAAUGAAAAAGUGGAGAGCUCAUGACAUGCUUUGGUUGUAAGACUUGAGCCUCUGCAAUUCCAGGCUGUGAGUGAGAUUUGCAGAGUUGGCUAAAAUUUUGUGCUUCUGGGGUAGGGUUAGAAAUGCAAUCCACAUUCCACUGUUCAGCGCACUGUUUUUCUCCCAUUUUAGCUGUCUGGCAUCUUUGCUUAAGGCUUUGUGGCUUACAGGCAAAGAAACUGAGGCUCAGAGAGGUUGAGAGUUUUGCCUAAGGCCACAUAGCUCAUAUUGAGUUGGUGGAGGGGACUACUUUUGGCUCUCAGUUAGAUGCCUUCUCCAGCUAUGCCCCCAGGGCUGCUUUUGUGAUUGUGCGGUAUUUUGCAAGGAUUACCACCGUGUAGUACUUGUAAACUUGUACCCUCAUUUAAAUGGUCAGGUUCAGAGCAGUAAUGUGGCAUUCGCCCAAAGCCACACUUUGAGUGGCGAGGACAAGACUUUGAUGCAGGCUCCUGAGUCAAGUUUAUGACUCUUUGAUCAAAGCACAGCUUCCUGGCUUAGAGAAGUCAAGGAGGUAUAUAUCCUGGGUCAUCAGGGAGCUUGGGGAAGGACAUGGCUAGGUCAGCAAGAAGUCAUUCCUUCCCCAUGUAAGGGCUGUGUCUCAAGGAUGCUGACAUUUUCUGAACUCUUACGAUGAUAUCUGGAAUAUUUUUUCUUUACUUCCCUUUCCUGAGCUUCCUCUUCCCAAAGCAAGCCUCUAGGUAUGGUUUCUUCAACAUGCCAACCCCUCUGUUUGCCAUGUCUCCCCAUCCCAGCCCCCACUUCAUCCUCCUCACCCUCUCUGCUUUUCUUCUCCUUCAGACUCUGGGCUCUAAUCCACUUCUGGAAGAGCAUGAGUUUUCUCUCAGUUAGCAUUUGGCAAAUGACUCGAUCUCUCUGAGCCUCAGGUUCUUCGUUGUAAAGGAGUAUCUCUAAAUUGCAAAUAUCUAAAUCGAUGGUGGUCCCCUAACUUAUUUAUAUUUGUGCCCCUAGGGCCCAGCUCAGCUCCUACACAUAGUAAAUGAAUGACCAAAUCCUAUAAGGAUUAGAUGAGAUAAACCUGGAACUGGCCUACCACAGGUCUUAGCACAUAAGAUUCAUUCUUUCAUCUGUGGAAAAUCCAUUGAGGGCCCACAGCAUGCCAGGAGCCAUUAGGCAAUUUGGAUAUAACAUUGGAUUAAACAGCUAAAGAUUCCUGUCCUCUUGGAACUUAGGUUCUAGGAGGACAAGACAGACCCUAAAUGAUACUCAUACUCAACAAGUAAAGCAGGUAGUAAAUACCACUGAAAAUGUUUUGAAAGAGAGCUGAGAAAUGGGGAUCAGAAGAGAGGUUAGAGGGAGCAGGUUGCAAUUUCAGAUAGGUCAUCUUGGGCAGCCUUAUGGAAAAAGCAACACAUGAGUUCAAUAGUUUCAAUUUCCUCAUCUUCAUCCUUUCCUGUCUCCCUCUCUUUUUUCUCCCUCAACCCAAGUUCUUCCUAUACAAUGCUCGACUCACUGGCAAGGUUAGAAAAUACUGGAGAACGUAGGCACUCAGUCCUGUUGUUCUAGCUGCAGAAGUGGACACAUAAUCUGCAGGGCCCAGUGCAAGAGGAAAAUCAGAGCCCCUUAUUCAAAAAUCAUUAUAGAUGUCAACACGGCAAUAGCAGAACAUUAAACCAAGUUCAGGGUCCUUCUGCACAGGUCACACAGUGGCUGCUUGUGGCCUCCAGAGAUCUGCCAUGUCACCACUGGAAUUGUGUUGACUCAGGCCCAGCCUCUCCUCCCUCUGGCUAUGGCAGUCAGUCUCGCCACCUGCUUUCCCUUGCACCUGUCCUGGACCUGGAGUCAGUCUCGUUUCUCACCAUCUUCCUGGCUUCUUCUACAUAGGGCCCUGUAUGGGCAGACCCGACACACAGGUACUGAGGGAUUAUUAAAGCCAGCAUCUGUCCUUAGGAAUCAGUAAACCGUCCUGUGCCGGGUGUUUAUUUUCUCCAGAUUUAAUGGCAAGGGAACAUAAGUGGGUGGAGGACUUCAGGAUUUAUUUCCUUCUGAUCACCAGAGCACUCUCUCUCGUAGGGCCAUUUACCUGAUAAAUUGUACCAGUAGGUCUCAAUGCUGAUGAGCCUCCAACCUGCUCAGGCUGUUGCCCUGUCCUGACAGUGAGUGAUCUGUUCCUGCCUUGCCCAGCCCAGCCCAGCACUAGAUUAACAGAGUUGCCUUAAAGGAGCACAGCACUUCAGUUGCCCCUUUUCCUCUACCACCCUUGUCCCACCCUGCAUCUUACAGGUGAGGAUACUAAACCUUGAGAGGAGACCUGACUUGCACAACACCCCACAGUAACUGUCGUGAGAGUUCAGCUGGAUCUUCUGACUCCAGCACCACUGUUCUUCCAAGUGUUGCUUUAUGAUGUGUGCAUUUAUUUUGCAUCCCCUGCCUACUUCCUAUGAAAGGACUUGACUGCAGACAUCUUAUUCCAGAAUGCACUUCCCCCACUAAUGCCCUUUAUCUAAAAUCACAUGAGAUGUCAGAGCCUGGAGGUGCCAGAAUGCCUUUGGUUCCUUGCCCAGGCCCGUAUUAUUCUGAAGAAGCAAAUAUAGUUCUCAAACAUAUACACAUCCCAGUCUAAGUAAACAAGAGGGACAGAAAUAGAGAAAGGAGAGGGGGAAGAAAACACUAUAGGAUAUGCACUUACGAUCUCCAUCCCUCUAGGCAUUGAGUCCUUUUUUUCUACUGCUUUAGUAUGGUAAAGGAUAUAUAACCAAAUUUAUCAUCAUAACCAUCUUUACAUGUAUGUUUCUAUGGUAUUAAGUACAUUCAUAUUGUUGUGCAAUCAUCAACACCAUCUGUCUCCAGAACUUUUCAUUCCAAUUUUUUUCUUGAAUAUGAAAUGCUACUGGCUGAAACAGAAUGCAGCCCACGAUGGUGUUUGCUUCAGUGAUAUGCCAAUUUAACACACCCUCACAGGCUGGAAAUCAGUACCCUUCCUCCCUGAACCCUGAGAGCACCGAGAACAGAAAGGCCAAGUGCCCCCCACCCUGGCAAAUGUAGCCACAGUUAGCUAACUGGGGUACCAUGUACCUGCAUUUAAGGAAGUGCCUAGGAGAAGUCAGAGACAGGACUUGGGAAAGAACAAAAACCCUGAUUUUAUGAGAACAGCCCUUCCAUUCCUGUCAUUCUUACAUGGAUGCGGAAAAUUUCCUGUGUGUACGAGAGCUUUGUAUUAAGUGAGCCAACCUGGAAGAGGGCUCUGCCCUGAAAGCGUAGAGUCUUCUUCAGGAAGAACAAAAUAUUCUUUCCGGGUUUGAGGUCUGAGAACUUAAGAGACAGACCCAGAGACAGAAGCAGACAAGCAUGGAAAAAGAGCUGGAUGCUAUGAAACAGACAAGCACCCGGAGUCAUACGACAGACAUGCCAGAAAAACACACACACGCAACCAAAAAUACACAUAGUCACUGACAUUUAUUGAAUGCUUACUCAGUGCCCUGUGCUGUGCUAAGUGAAGAAAGAAAAGUACGGAGAUCUUAAGGAACUUGCCCAUGGUCACACAGCUCAUUUAGUGAGCUUCAAGUAGUGCACUGUAAUGGUGGAAUUUAAAUGUGUUGAAUUAAAUUUGUAAAUCCCAUGACUUGAAAAUAGAAUGAAGAUUGUAAUAUUCAUGUCAGAGCUUAGUUUUCAUCUAGCAGGCCAUAGGGAGCCAUUGAAGGCUUUUAAAUAUGGGAGUGAUAUAGUCACAAGAAUGUGUUCAGAUGAUCCCUGUGAUGAGGCUGCCUUCGAUGCAUUGGAAUGGGAGGGGCUAGCAGUGCUCCUCUCAGGUGGAGAGGUGGGUGAGUUGGGAAGGAUAACUCAAGUGAGCGGGGUCUCACAGACCUAAGGCUACUCCUACUCAAAGUAGCCUCCAAUCCAUCAUUUUGCUUCCAUUUAUCCAUGUCAGGUGUGAUGGGCAGCUUUCAGGCCUGUUGCUCUGCCUUUUCACCUUCUAGAGGAUUCUUUCUUCCUCAUGAAUCACGCAUGAGCCCUUAGGCUCCCACAGUUGGAAAGGCAUAUAUGAAAUGGCAAUGCAGAAGAAUGUAAGAUAUUGAAUAUAUCACAUUGGUUAUGAGAUGCUAUGAACUUUCUGGGUCCACUUCUCAGGUUAUUCAGGGAUGGAAAGUAGGCUUCACUCCCACAUGCCUGGUGUCACCAAUGGGUAGCUCCUGCUGGAAACACUACAUUAAGAAGUUUGAGAGGGUGCUCUGCUCAAGUCAUGGUGGCAUCGUUUUGUUGGUUAGGCAAGCCUUUUAAGGGUAGAGGGAAGGGAAUUGAUAGCACAUAUGACAAGUAAUUUGCCAUUAUUAGGCUAUUGGAAUUAGCUUCUUUGGAGUUCUUUUCUGUUCCCAAGGCUGCAGCUUUUCAGGCUCUAUAUGGAGUUUGAGUGUACAACCAAAUCAGUUUCCUAGAACUCAACAUACAUACCUGGGGCACCUGUUCAAUGUACGGCAGACUCCUUGCUGCAGUCUCUAUGUAAGGUGCAAAGUACUCCUUGCUUCUGGAUGUUAUGCCUAUUCUUUUGAGACAGUACUGAUGAGAAAUGAUGAGUCUUUGUAUCUAGAAAUUCUGCAUACAAAGACUGAACUGGUUUUAGAAGACUUCAUGCCACUGAGAACCUUUGGAAGAGGGUGGGCUAAGGGAUUAUUUAGCCUAGCUUAAAGUCUCUCCUUGGAAAAAUUAUACAUUCACUCUAUGUUUGAUUUAUUCUUCUAUGUGUUUUAGAAUAAUAACUAUGAUGAUAUAACAAGAAGAGAAGAACGUAUCUUAACAGUCUACUUCCUUAACCAACUGGUGAGAUUAAUCAACAUUCCCUUUUCCUUCUAUCAGUUGUGCUGAUGGAUGCCCCCACCCCCGCAUGCCAAAUGCUGAUGAGUAGGAGCCACUCUAAGGUGUACCUACUUACUUGUGUUGCAAGUGACCAGCUGCUAGUCAUAGUCACAUAUCCUAAGAGGUUCCUUGUUCUCCUGUGCCCAGAAGCAGCAUGGUCUAAUGGCGAAGAGCCUGGAUCCAGAACCCAGAUUCAGAAACUUGGUUCAAAUCCUGCUGUGUCACUUACUAGAUGGCCUCAAGCAGAUUACUUAUCCUCUUUGUGCUCAGUUUCCUCAUUUGUAAAAUGAAAAAGUUAAUCCUAACUAUCUCAUAUGGGUUAUUAAGAGGACUGCAUGAGUCGGUAUUUUUAAAGCCCUAAAAUAGUACUUGGUGCAUACUAAGUGCUAAUUACUGUUUUUUUAAGGAAAAUCAAGCAUCUAGGCACAUGGUGGAUUCUUACGUAUUAGAUCUACCUUUCCUUCUAAAUGCAAGCAGGAGGUUUUUAUAAUUUGCUACUGGGUUUUGAAGAAAAGUAUACAUCCAAAGAUGUUGGAUAUUUCGACUCCAGGCAAUACAUCGAUUGUAGGAAGUGGUCUCCAACUAGCAGGAUUUGGGUUCAUCGCUCAACCAUUGUUUUCCUUCAUUGCAAAUAUCCUUUGCUUAUGGCAUCACAGGACUCUCUUGACAAGGAAGAGUUCCUCGAGGAUGCUGAGUGGGAAAAGAGGGUGGCUGCAGGCCAGGAGUGAAGAGCUGAGGGAAGUCUGGGGGUGAGGAGUUGACUAGAAAAUUGUAACAUCAAUAUUAGCAGACAGGCUAAUGAAGGAAUGCAAUUUGCAGACGCCUAUCUCGCACUUUCCCUCCCUUCCAGGGAGCUGGCAUAUGCUAAUCAGGAUCAUCUAAGCCUGGCCCAGGAUCAGUGCCAGCUUUGUAUCGGAGGAAGGGCUUUGAGGAUGGGAGGGUGACCUCCCUACUUUGAACAAAUGAUGACCUUUAAAUGUUUGAAGUCUCUGUAGGCAAACCAUGGACACUGAUAGAACAAGCAGACAGCUGGAAAGAAAUUGGUCAGAGCUUGAAAAAAUAUGAGAACACAGCAAAGGAGGAGGGGAAGAGAAAGGAAAUAGCUCAUAUGUAUGUUCUGUGUGGCAGGCAUUCUGCCAAGCAUUUGAUAUUAGCUUAUUUGUGCUUCAGCACAACCCCAUUAGGUAAAUAUUGAUAUCCCCAUAUUACAGAUGAGGAAAUAGGCCUGGAGAUCCCACCGUCACACAAGUCACAUGGCAAGGUUACGAUAAAUGCCCAGGUCCAUCUGAUUCCAUGCCUCGUGAUCUUCUCUCACACUGUACUGCCUUCACAGAAUUAAUUAUAAUAAUAACAACCCUCAGGGACAUUUUCCUAUUGUUAUUACUGGCAGAACGGGUAGUGGUUAAAAGCUGGGUGCCAGAGUCAGACCUAAAUUCAGUUCCACCUUGACGGUUUACCAUCUCUGCUUUCCACCUGUCCCACGUUCUCUGAGCACUGAUUUCUCCACUUGUGGGAUGGAACCGGAUUGCUUUGGGUAUUGACUAGAGUAAUGGAUAGAGUGGGAGAUAAUAAAGUGACAGAGAACAGUGUGCAGUGGUACAUCAUAAGUGCUCAGUAAACAGAAUACACUUCCUCUCAGUAUUUUCAGAUUCGUUAUUUUUAUUGUUGAUUUGAUUCAUCAGCUUAGGUGCGCCGGUCUUAUCAAGUUGUGUAUGUCUGAGCUCCUUGAAGACUGUAAGCCAAAAUUAGAGGAUCAUCAAGGUUUAGAGCCUGAGAGAACCUCUCAUAUGGGAAAAACUAAUCUCAGAAAAGGGAGUGGUUUGUCCAAGGUCAGGUUGAAUAAGUAACACCUGUAAUAUCCUAACACCCAUCAUGCUUCUAGGCAUAUAGAAAAGUCUUUAAGAAAUAAUUAUUAAAGGGCACCAGGGUGGCUCAGUAAGUUGAGCAUCUGACUCUUAAGUUUGGCUCAGUCAUGAUCUCACAGUUGGGGAGUUUGAGCCCCACAUCAGGCUCUGUGCUGACAGUGUGGAGCCUGUCUGGGAUUCUCUCUUCUCCUCUCUCUGCCCCUCCCCCAUUAAAGCUCAUGCUCUCUCUCAAAAGAAAUAGAUAAACUUUAAAACAAAAUUUUAAAGAAAUAAUUAUUAAAAUAAUUCUGCUUUAACCUCAGCAUGUUUCUAUGCUUUUUCCCAUUCGUGAACUGGUGGUAUAUAUUGUUAGGAGGCUGCAUCUGAAUCUGGGGAAUGUUUGUGGCAAUUCUGGCCCACCUGCCUCUGGCUGAUGGCUUCUCUUCCAACCCCACAAACCCUGCUUCCAUUUUCUCCAGGGGAAGGCAAGAAAUUAGCAGCUGUAUUGGCUCCUGUGAACAGCAGAGCAGUUUUGAUGGAGAACAAGGAAGAGUUUGCAAUGUUGUGGUUGUUUGUGGCAUUUCAUCAGCCAACAAUGUAAAUUAAAUUAAUUAAAAAGCAUUGUACAUUUUAAUUCCAACACUGGAUUCACUCAGUGGCCAUGGAAAUUUUGAAUAAUGGAUAAUAGUCAUUUCUAAUUUCUCAACAUAUGUUUUUUCACUUACACAGCUGUGAAAAAAAUUAUAUUUAUAUUUUUGUUGAUGCAUAAUUUCCAGCUUGAAAACAGAAUUCAUAUUAGCAUUAAACUGCCAACAGGUGUCGGGUUUUUUUUCCCCCCUUCUUCUUUCUGGUGAGCUGGAAUAAUCCCUUCUUUGGCAGGAAGUCAGUAUUUUUUCACAGUCAUUUUUGCAUCCUUAAGAAUGUCUUUAACAUUAUUUUCUACUUGAUGAAACACAUCCUCUCAAGGCUUCAUUAUUUUCACCCUGGUGUUAUCUGAUUGAAUAUUUCAAUCACAAAAAGCUUGAAGAUUUGAGUCAUUCCUACUCAAGACUGCAUAGAACUACAGCUGGAUAUGUCAAUAACAUUCUGAUUUUUUUUUUUUUUUUGCUAGGAAAUAGCCAUGACUUUAAAUGACCCAACUGCAUUUUAAGCCUGGAUACUGUUUAUUCUAACUCUUGAUUACAAAGCAUCUUUUAGGUACAAGGUGAUCGAGCCAAACGCAAAUGAUUACAUUCCAUUCUACGUAGUCUGUAGAAAAAGAACAAAUCCCAUGAAACCUUGUCAGUUUCUUCAAAGUUGCUUUUUCUUCUGGUCUACAAUUUUUUUUUCUUGGAAUCCAACAGUUUAAGAAUUCAAAGCAAAGCAGAAUGGAAGCCUGACAGUUAUCCCAAAAUUAUUCCUCUUCCUUGGGUAUUCCUUCCCAGUUAGCAUUACAUCAUCCAUCGUUAUCUCCACCCAGCAACACCAUCCUAGACCAGUUCUAAAUGUCCUUUAACUGUUUUCUUGCUCUCUUCACAUCUCUAGUCAUAGGUCUACCCUUCUGGUUGAGUAUUCUUUGUAAAAGUACAUUUAAUUAGACUAUCUUGCUUAGCACCAUUCAGUGGUUCUCCCUUGUCCUAGGGAAUUCUGGAGAUGUACACACAAAGUCUUUCAUGCAUGACCUGGUCCCCUUUUCCCUAACUCCUUUUCCAAUGCCAUCCUCAGUUACUAACCUUGUCAAAUCGAUGUUGCAGCCAUGUUGUGCUUACUGGAGUUCCAAAAAUAAAUAUGUGAUUCCGUUUCAAGUUUCAGUGACCUUAUUCAAGCUACCUCCUCUGCCCAGUUGCCCCAUAAGACACACCUCGGGGAGCUUUUCCCCAGCAAAGCCUUCCCUGUUUUAUCACCAGGACCAUUAUCACUCUGACACCCUUCCACCCACACUAUAGAUAGAGUGGCUGUCCCUUCUGAUGCUUCACAUCCAUCAUUUGAGGUCAAAAUGGGAUAUAUCGUAAUAGUUAAGAGCUUGGGUUUUAGAGCCAGAUUGCCUGGGUUCACAUCCCAGCUGACACUUACUAGCUCUCUGUGCUUGAUUUGCCAAUUGUAAAAUGGGAGAAAUAAUUAUAUUUACCUGAUAAGGUACUUGUGAGAAUUAACUGAGACAAUAUAUGUAAAGUACUUGAAACAGUAGCUGGCAGGUUGUACAUAUAGAGCUGAUGAUUGAUACAGGUUGAUUUUUACCUGUAUCACUUUACUAGAUUUGUUUAAAGUUUACUUCCCCCACUAGACUGAGAGUUCCUUGAGGGCUGGAAUGGAAUUCUCUCAUUUUUAUAUCUUGAAUGCCUGGUACUGUGCCUGGCAUAUAACAGGUGCUCAGGAACAGAUGUAGGUGGAAUGAAUGAAUAAAUCAAUGUAGACAGACAAUCUGGAAGUUCAGCAAGCAAAAACACAGCCCCCCCCCUCAGUUAUAUAAUGUAGUUAUGAUGUCCCUGACACUUCUUGUUUUUUUUUUAACUAAAAAACUCUUCUCCUUCCAUGAUAACUAGCUAAAACAUGGGAUGAAUGUUUGCUGCACAUUUGCAAGAGGGUUUGAGUCCAACAUCCACACUCUGGUGUCCUGCCUUGUUCUAUUUUACUUUCCUUUGCCAUUGCCAAAAUGAAUAUCCAUUGAAGGGAUUUCUAGUAUUCAUCAUAUGCAGCCACCAGAUGGAUCUGAAUAGUUUCUCUAACAACCAAUUUGCAUUUGGACUCUGCUUCCAAAAUGCCUUCCCAAUAUAGCUUCCAUUCGCCCUCCACACACUCCAACAUCUUCCACUCUGUUCUAAAGGCCACACCUCUAAUUUUGGAAAUUGUGGAUCGAUUUGGUACAACUGAGCUACACCAAGUCAAAACAACAAUUGUCAUUUAUUGCCAAAUCAUGACUUGCUCAUAUAUUUCAACUUCUACCAUGUAAAAUAACAAAAUUUUCAUUAUAAUCAUUUUUUUGUAGCAAAUCCCAAGAUACUGUUGCAAGACUGAUUUUUUUCCCCCCUGCACUGCACCCAAGCUUUCAUCUUUGGGUUAUGUUCCUUAGUGGGCAUGGUCCUUGAUCCAAGUUCUUCUUCUUAAGGUUGUUAUGCUUAUGUGGGGUUCUGUUAGGUUUCAUGAACUUAAAUGAAGAGUAAGUAAUAAAUUCAUAGAGGAAAUUGGGUUAGCAUGUGAUUAACAUCCCGGCUGAUGCAGACGGGUGUACCAAUGAUGGAAACAUGUGCUUGUAUCAUGAUGAAAUGCAGAUUAGAGGCCCUGGAGCCAACCCAAGGAUAUCUGCCCAAAACUGUUUCAUCUCUGUCAGCUUUAAUCUGAUCGAAAGAGAGCAUGCUUCAAUGCAGUGAGAAAAAUGUGAACUCCUAAAAUAACCAAGUGGCACUCUGUUUUCCAUGCAGAAGCUAUUAAAAUACUCACUUUUCAUUGUGUUACAGUAGAAAGCAUACUGAACUACAACUUAGAGGACCUGAAUUCAAAUCUCAUCUCAGUCACUAACUUGGGCUGUAAAGUCUCACAGGUCCUUAGUUUCUGCAUCUGUAAAAUGAAUGUGCUGGGCUACCCUAAUGGUAUUCAAUAGUUUUUUUUUUCUUCCCUUCAUAAAACAAGUGACAAAUCAUAUUUGUACACUCCCCAGGGUUAUGCACAAUUAGCCAUGUACUAGUUGUCUCUCCCCUUUCUAUCUGCUCAGGUAAGCGUAUCAGAAAGCACAUGAGUGAGAUUAGCAUUUUAAGAUAACCUUGAAUGUCUAAUUUAUUUUAAAAAUUAAAAAUCAAAUAAUUUGGAAGCUUGGAUACAUCAUUAAAUUUUAAAAGAUGAUUUGCUACACAAUUCUCAAAAGGUAUGCCAUGAAAUGCAAUUCUAGCAGUCUCUUGUGAUGUUAUCAUUCUACAUCGCUGUGAGUUAAUCAAGGGCCAGUGGAGAAAGGUCCAAGGCUUUGAGUCUUUAACUAUUUGCUAUUUGCAAUUAAAAAAAAAAAAAAAAAAAAACAACAACCAAGAAAUACGUGUUUGUAGAUAGUCCUCACUUUGGUGAGCAUUCUCAUUUCCCUUUGGAGAAUUGCUUGUCGCAAGAGCAACUUUUGAUUCUUAGGUUGACAUGUUAGGCAGAGCUCUGUUUCUAAAAUGAGGUAAUAACAUCCUUACUUGAAAGUAAGACGGAAUCUUUUUUAAGAACUGAAAAUAUGUAGUACUUGACUAAAAUAGUAGUGAGUUGUAUCUUGGAAUGUCUCAUCAUGGAAUAUUUAUCUGCAGGGGGGAGAAAAGUUUGUAGUAUGGUGGCUAUUAAAAACCAGAAUAAUAGGGGAAAGGAUUAAGAUAAAAAUUGCCAAAGGAGCAAAAAGUUUAAUAUAAGAUUUGAGUAUAAAAAUGACCUAUACAAUUUCCCAUCUCCAACAAUAUGGUGGUCAAGAUAAUCUGAAGAGCUUUACACUGUUAAAUACCAGGCUAAAGUAAACUUUGUAAAUGUAAGACUGACCUUAUAAGAAAUGAAGGGAAACUAUAAGAAUUCUAAAACAAAGGAUGAACCAAAAAUAACAAUCAGCAGGUUGGGAUGGUGACAAUAAAGCUGUGGAGUGAAGAAGUGACAAUACUGUAACUUGGGGGUGUAGGCUUUAAGUUUACAUUGAGAAAAGAGACUAGCUCUUAGGUUCUCUCAUGUGUAAACUGAGUAAAUCAUAAACCGUGACUUCACAUAAAAGAGUGGAUUAAGUAAAAUCUACCUAUCAGCAUAGAAAGACAGUAGUGAAGAUUGUGCAUCCUGUUUUGGAUUAUGAAUGGUGAAAAAAAUUUCCUUUAAGAAUUAAAGAUCAUGAGGGACACCUGGGUGGUUCAGUCAGUUAAGGGUCCAAUUCUUGAUUUUGGUUCAGGUCAUGAUCUUGUGAUCAUGGUUUGUGAGAUCAAGCCCUAGGUUGGGCUCUAUGCUGACAACACAGGGCCUGCUUGGGAUUCUUUCUCUUCCUCUCUCUUCUUCUCUCUUUCUCUCUCUCUCAAAAUAAAAUAAAAUAAAUAUUAACAAAAAAAGGAUUAAGGAUUAUGGAAUUAGAGACUUAAAUAUAUGAAACUCUAAAACAAAAACAAAAGCUGUGAUACCUAGCAGAUGCAAAUAGCAAACUUCUGAGGAAUACAUCUUUAAUUCAAGCAUCACAGGAUUCGCAUAGCAAAAUAUGAUGAAGAAAUCAAAACCCAGCAUUGCAAAAUGAUACAAGAAAACAUACUACCAUGAGUGAAUGUUGGCAGGCACCAACGAAAAACAUUAAACACCCAAGAACUCUAGGUGAUACAGAAGUUGAAUAGAGAUUAUUAAAGAGGGAUAUUUAAAUUAAUAAAAUAUACAAGAGAAUUCAAAAUAUUAAUAACUAGUAAAGAAACAUGAAACAAAGAAAGGAAAAUCUUUGAAAUUAUCUAAUGGAACUUCUACAAAUGAUGGGGCUAGGUCAGUUAGAGCAUCCUACUCUUGAUCUUGGAAUCAAGAUUCCCCACAUUGGAUUCUAGUGGAGAUUACCUUAAAAGAAUAAAAUUAAUUAAAAAAUGAAAGACAUGGUCAUUAAAGUGAAGUCAAUAAAUGGGUUAUACAGUAGUGUAGACAGAGCUAUAACUGGAGCACAAAAUAGCUGCAAUAAAAAAAGAAAGAUAUAAAAAAAUUAAAGAGUAAAAAAUAGAUAUGGAGAAUAGGACAAAAAUCCCAACCUACAAUGUAAUGGGAUUUCUAGAAGGAGAAAAUAGAAAAAAAUGAGGAAUUAAAAAUAUUUCAAGAGUUAAUGGCUCAAAUUUUUUGGAAUUGAUGAAACUACAUGAAUCCUCAGAAUCAGAACACAUAUACGUAUAUAAAACAUACAAAUCUAUACUUAGAUACACGAUCAUGUGCAUGUAAAGUGAUACAGCAGAUUUGGAAUAUAGUUGGGCGGUUUCUUAUAAGAUUAAAUAUACACUUACUAUGCAACCCAUAAAACACACUCCUGGGUGCUCAUCCCCAGAGAAAUGAAAACUGGUCCACAUAAAAACAUACAUGUGACUAUUCAUAACAGCUUUAAUUUUAACAGCUAAAAACUGAAAACAACCAAAGUGUUCUUCAAUAGUUGAAUAAUUAAACUGUGGUACAACCAUACCAUGGAAUGCUGCUCAGUAAUAAAAAAAAAAGGUAUGAACUAUAUUGAUGGAUAUAAUAAUUUACAUCUCAAGAGCAUUAGGUUGAAUAAAAGAAAUCCAAUUUCAGAAGGUCACAUAAUUGUAAGAUUUCAUUUAUAUACAACAAAGCAGCAAAACAAACAAAACAACAAAAUUAUAGAGAUGAGAACAGAUUAAUCAUUUCCCGGGAUUAAAGAAGGUAGUACAGGAGUAGGGAGUAGUGGAGGAGGUUGAGGAAGAUCUUUGUGUUGACAAAAUAGUUCUAUAUCUUGGCUGGAGUGAUUAUUACAUUAAUCCAUACAUGGGAUAAAGUGGCAUAGAACUAUGCAUGCACAUUGUAUCAACAUCAAUUCUUUGGUUUUGUAUUGUACUAUAGUUACAUAACAUGUAACUAUUAUGGGAAGCUGCAUAAAGGGUGUAUGAGACCCCUUUAUAGUAUUUGGAAACUUUUUGUGAAUCUAUAACUAUAUCAAAAUAAAAAUUUACAGGUGGGGGAGGAGGGCAGCAAACACUGCAGACUAUGGAAAGUUCCAGAAAAGUAACCCAAGAGAAAAGACCAAUUAUCUGUGAAGAAAUAAUUAGACUAAUAACAAACCUUAUCAAAAGUAAUGAUAGGGGCACCUGGGUGGCUCACUGGUUAAGUGUCUGACGCUGGAUUUUGGCUCAGGUUAUGAUUUCACGGUCAUUGGUUCAAGACUCAAAUCGGGCUUCGUGCUGACAGUGCAGAGCCUGCUUGGGAUUUUCUCUCGUUCUCUCUUACUGCUCCUCCCCCACUUGCACUCUCUCUCUCAAAAUAAAUAAAUAAACUUUAAAAAAAGUAAUUACAGAAAUCAGAAGGCAAUAAAAUAAUCUUUAGAGUUUUGAGAAGAAAUAAUUUAGAAUUCUAUACCCAAUUACAUUAUUAUUUAAAGUAUGGCUAAAACAAAGACAUUUGCAGACAAAAAGGUGAGAAUGUCUACUAACAAAUUUAAGCUAUAUACUUUAAGAUACGCUUCUGAAAAAAAAAAUCUAAACCAUGAAAGAUUUGAGAAAAUGAAGGAAAGAGAUAUUGAUAAACCUGUGGGUAAGCCUCAUUCAUUCAGUCAGUCCAAAAAUAUGUAUUAAGUACUAUAUGGUAACUUUGUAAAAGGGUAUGCAGCAGAUAGGAGAGAGAAAUGGUAAGCAAUCACUAAUUUGUGGAUUUAAAUAUAAGAUAUACCUACAAUUCUAGUCAAAAAGUGAAAGGUAAUCAGAAUUACAUGAAGAAAGGUGAUCAGAAUUAUAAUAAAUCUAAACCCUUUUUGUUUGUUUUGGAGUAGAGAGAACUUUUUUAUUAAGACUACAUUUUAAGUAAAAUAUCCCUACUAAAAGACUAAAAACGAAUGAAUAUCUUCUAAGCUGGUAGAGAGAAAAAAGAGAUAAAAAAAUGUAAACCAAUAGAAAAUAGAAAGGAAGUGGAAAUAUCCUUUAAUGCUGCGUAAAUAGAAAGCACAAACUGUUGUAACAAAGCAUUAAGCUAUCACUAGUCACUAUGUAUAUAAUCAGACUAAACUCUGUUAAAAUACACAGGUCACAUUGGGUUAAAAACUUCAACUAUUUGUACUUAAAAAGUUUUACGUAAAGUAUGAGGACUCUGACAGUUUGACAUUUUAAGAGCAUGGGAAAAUAUAUACACUGCUGAAUACUGUAUAAAAUAAACCUCUGGACAUAUAAAAAUAUCAGACAAAGUAUAUAUUUUUUACUAAAAAAAAAUCAAAAUGUAAGAUAGUCACUACAUAAUAGCAUAAGUAAUAAUUGGCCAAGAAGUUAUAAACUUACAUGCAUUUAAUAACAUAUGCUUAAAACAAUCAAGUGACAAUUGACAACAUGGUAUAGUCAUUAAACAGACUCUGGAAACAAAUUGCCUGGAGCUGAAAUCCUAAUUUCUUACUAGGUGUGUGACGUACGUAACUUCUUUUUUUUCCAUAAUUUUCCCAUCUGUAAAGUAGGAUAACAGUACAAAUAUCAAUUUCAAAGGAAUAGUAUAAAAGCAUAUACAUUUGUACAUGUAUGGUAAAACUGUCAGUGUUAUUUAUAUCAUCAUUAUCAACAAAUAGAAGAAACAACAAAUCCAAAUUUGUCGCGGGAGAUCCUCAUACACUUCUCAUUAACUGAUAAAACAAUUAAUUUGCUGGUCAUUUGCCUAUUUAUUUUCAGAUUCAUCCCCUGCCCUUUUCUUGCACUGCUUUCUCUUCACCUUCUCUGUUUUGUAGGAAACCAUAUAUUCAAGCUUUAUUGCCGAUUAGCUUCCAGGGAAGCACCAACAUAAAGAAUAAAGAGUGGGAGGGGCGCCUGGGUGGCGCAGUCGGUUAAGCGUCCGACUUCAGCCAGGUCACGAUCUCGCGGUCCGUGAGUUCGAGCCCCGCGUCAGGCUCUGGGCUGAUGGCUCAGAGCCUGGAGCCUGUUUCCGAUUCUGUGUCUCCCUCUCUCUCUGCCCCUCCCCCGUUCAUGCUCUGUCUCUCUCUGUCCCAAAAAUAAAUAAACGUUGGAAAAAAAAAAAGAAUAAAGAGUGGGAGGAGGAAAGAAUACCAGUAUAUCUCCACAAGACUCUAGCAUGGUGUCUCCUCCUUGGCUAAAGCUCCAGGCAGACUACCCUUCCCAUUGGGGUUCCCUGUUGCAGUUCCAGCUCCUGUUAGAUGGUCUUAGCUUCUCGGCUCUGCUAACACCACCACCACUCCUUGUUCCUUCAGAAAUAGUUGUGUAAGUCGCUUCCUGCUUUUACUGAUCUCUAGUUUGUUUCACUGUUCCUCAUUUGGCUUGUCAGCUGUUCCAUAACAUAUGUAAACAAUUCCCUCGUCAAAAUACCUAGAAUGGUAUCUGUUUUCUUGACUGGAACCUGACUGAUGUAAUCAGUAAGACAAAAUGCUAGUACAAAAAACUUUAGUGCCCUAUCAGUAAACUUAAUCCAAUAGGUUGUUCAAAAUUAACAGAAGUGAAUUCAAAUGAAAUUCCCCAAAAUGACAAAUUCUAAAGUUGUUUCAUACUUUUAUGGGAGAGGGGAAGGAACCAUCUGAAAAGUAUUCUUCAUAGGAGUGUGGAUACUGUGGCAGUGAAAUAGAAUGCAAAGGAUAUGUUUGCUCUCCAGCUUACUAUUACCUCAGGACCAUUUCUUCUCUCCUCAGAUAUUUCUCUAUUAUGUGCUUGCCUCUUCAUAAUCCCAGAACUCAACCUGAAACUUCUUUAUAUAAUAUAUAUUAUUGUGUGUGCAUAAUUUAUAUUAUAUACAUUAUAUAUUAUAUAUUUUCUACUUUAGAAAUGAAUGCAAAGUUAUUCUCUCUGCAUGGUUCUACUUUAUUUCUCUAGUAUAUAGAUACAAAUAAUGUCAACAAAUAUCCACUAUGUGCAAAGCACUAAGUUAGACAUAGAGCCAAAAGACUUAAUCAAAUUUAUUCUUUACUCUCUGGGAAUUCAUAACCUAUUUGGGUAGACAGAUAUGUUUACAAAAAGCUCCAAUGCCAUGCAAAGAGUGAGAAAUUCUAUGAAGAGGUAAAAUCACAAAUUAUAAUAGCAUAGGAAGGAGUCUCCAAUUGUGAGGAUGUUGGAAGUCAACUAUGAAACUUUAUCUUUUCUAUUCAUUUUAGGUCACAAAAUGCUUCCCUAACGUUAUUUUAUUUAAAAGUAUGUAAGCAGUUAUCCUUACAUUGUUACCAUCAAAUAACUGGAGGUAUAACCAGAAGGCAAACCACUUAACUGCUUGGAAUGGAAGGUUAGUUUGGUCUUAGAGCAGGCAUUUAUGCAAUAGAUUGUUUUAGUACCACUGUGAACAAAAUACUAUGUAAAGGACUAUGGAUAAUAUAAAGAUGAUAGGCCACAACUUGUGACCAUUCUCCUCUUAUAAUUUAGUGCUAUUUGUAUAAUACCACAUUAAACAGUUCAGAUUUUCCAUUCCCAGUCGCCUAUAUAUUUGGCUAUAAAGAGGAAAGUCACCCUUUUGUAUUGAGCAUACAUACAUCUUCAAACAUAUAUACAUAGAGUGGUAAGGGAGCAAGAAAGUAGUCCAACCAAUCAGAUAAGCCAAUUCUGCUCUGGAACUCAGUGGGAAGACAAAUCUUAUAGCCAAAUUGCAUGUUAUAGCCAGAUCACCAAGUCUAGCCCUCAUUGUUCAAAUCAGGGCUUUGAACAAAUCAGGACUAGUUCCCAGGCCUUCAAUUUGGAAUCUAGAAAUUCUAGAUAUUUAGAAAGAGAAAGAGAAAGAGAAAGAGAAAGAGAAAGAGAAAAGCAAGAAAAGAGAGAAAGAAAGAAAACGAAGGAAUGAAAGAAGGUAGGAAGGGAGGAAGGAAGGAAACAAGGAAACAAGGAAAGAUAAGAGGAAAAAAAGACGUUUCCAAAGAGGGCAUUUAAGAGUCACACCAACUGGUAAAUAGUAAGUUCAAUAGACUAAUAGAUCUAUUGGAAACAUUUGCAUAAUGCAAUUAGAGACUAUUAGAAUUGUCCUGGUUUUCAAAUUCUGCUUUCUUUGUUAGAUAUGUACCAAAUUACAUAUUGAUCAACACAGGAAUAGAGUCUGCAUUACUUUUCUUGAGUUGGCUCUUUCACCACAAUGAGUUCUCAUCAACUUGUAUUUUAACAGACUUUUUCGAAAGAAUGAAUAGGUCUUGAAUUCUUCUGGUUUAAAAAGGAACCAAAACUGGAGUUGUCCAGCUUCCUUUGCUGAGCUGAGUGUUUUUAUUUAUUUGAGAAUAGUACUCAGAAUCGUAGCACCUCAAGUUUGGAAUAUAUCAUAACUAAAAUUUAGUUCACCUCCUAUCUCCAAUGCUGCAAUGUGUAUUACCACACAAAAGGCCUUCAGACCCAGGGUGGGUAACUUAAAUGACUGCAGCUAGCUGGAAUUCUACAAGAGGGGUUGGUGGGGACUACAGCAAACUAGAGAGUGCUUAGCCCUUAUGGAAUCUCUUCUGUAGCUUAGGAAUUCAGGUCUAUUCCUGACAAACCUUCCUGUUUUCCAGAAGAAGCUAGAAUUUUAUAAGAAAUUAUCUGACUUGUUAAAACAAAUUCAAAAAUAUUAUUAAAAGUCUUCUGUGUGCCAAGCAUUGCUCUUCGUUCUAAUGAUACAGAAAUGACCAAAACAUGGUCUAUAUCCUCAAGGAGCUCAGAUUAUCAUUUAAUAAGAAUGUAAUGAAGAAAGUAAAGCCAUUCAAUGUGUGCUAACAUAGAGAUAGAUGUAAAGUAUUAAAGGGGAACAUGAGAAUUUGGAUGACUUUUUCAGGUUUGGGAAAGGGUAGACUUUGUUCCAGGAAGUGACUUCCUGGAGAAGCUGUAACUUUUGAAUUAUGCCUUAAAAGAUAAAGGGGGGUGCCUGAGUGGUUCAGUUGGUUAAGCAGCCAACUUUGGCCCAGGUCAUGAUCUCACGGUUCAUGAGUUUGAGCCCCGUAUCACAUCAGGCUCUGAGCUGACAGCGCAGAGCCUGCUUGGGUUUCUCUCUCUCUCUCCCUCUCUCUCCCUCUCUCUGUGCCCCUCCUCUACUCACACUCUAUCCCUCUCUCAAAAAUAAAUCGACAUUAAAGAAAGAUUAAAGGAUACUUACCUUUGUAUAAGCAAAAGGAAUAGAGUUAUAAAUAUCUAUAGCAUGUUUAGUAAAAGAUGAGAGGGAUGGAGUAGCUGGAAAUAAGCAAAGUGAAGUAGGUAAUACUACUACUAGGUUGGAGAUAGAUUUAUACUCCACGGGAAGGAAUUUGUUCUCUGUCCUGAUAGAAUGGGAAACAUACAAUGACUGUAGCCAAAGUUAUUAUUUUUUGUGUUAGUAGCAGUAUUAGCAUUUUAUUUGAGAAAAUAACAUAAUGGAGACUAGGAGCACAAGUUAAGAAUAUUAAACUGGAGUCAUGAAGUCAUGAAACCAGUUGAGAGACUGGGAAGAUCUGAAUUCAGGUAAUGAAUGUGAGGACAGAGUAAGGAAGACUGCAUCUAACAGGCAAAGGAGAAGAAGUCAAAUUAGGUGGGAGAUUGAUGGACUACUAUAGAGGCCAAAGUCAGGCAGCCCCCAAAUGGGCCACUUGGCAUACAGUUUGUACCCAGAUGAAAACAAUCGAGGCACAAAAGACCAGGAAGAAACUUUGGCCUCACCCUCACUUUCCACUACCUAAAAUAAUUUAGAUAGAGGACCUGCUCCAGGAAGAGAGCUAUAACCAUACAUCACUGCAUUAGAAUAUAAACUAGACAUGGUAGACAAGGAGGAACCUAGAAAAACCUUUUGGAUCAAAGUCCUCUCUACGUCCAGUUGGUUCUGAAUGUUCCAGAAAACAUUUGUUCACCAAAAUUUAAUCUUUUUCAUUUUUCUGUGAAUUGCAUUCCUUCCCUUUAAAGUCUCAGACCCUUACUUCCUUCUCCUUAGUUCAGGAUGACAUGUAUACCUAAUUUUGCCUGACUGACUUUGGGAGCUCAUGUCUAUGUAGAUUCCUUACAUCUAAAAAAUUAAAUUUGGUUUUCUCCUGUUAAUCUGUCUCAUGUCAAUGGGAUUGUUAGUCCAGCUAUAAGAACUUUGUAUAGUAGAGUAAAAUUAUUUCCUCCCCUACAGUGGGGAUGCUGGCAACAAGUUAGAACAGGAAGAGGAGAAAUUCAGGAGAGAGGACAAUAAUACCAUUAAAAUGCUAUCUUUGAAUUUUACAUUAGACUUUUUUUCAUAACUUUCACUCAUUUGUCCUCCUCUUUGAAUUUGUUUUUAAAUUAGCAUCACUUCUAUGAAAUAUCUCUCCAUUUUGUUAUGUAUCCUCUUCAUCCCGAUAUUCCACCCUAAGGUUUCUUGAUUAUGUAUGGGCAGCCCAGUUUGGGGACAUCAAGUUUAUUCACAUAAUGGGUAUUCACCAGUUCAGUGUGAUGAGUCUUCUCUUAUUGGGGUCUGUAAAAGUAAUCCUGGAGAAAGCCAUUUUCUAGUAGAAUGAUUUAGGGCAACGUUCUAAAGUUGUCAUCUCAGUUGCUUAAUUAUAAAGUAGAAAUAAUAAAGAUAGCCCUUAUUUCAAUAUUAGCCUUCAUUUCAAGAUAUUAUAAAAUCCUAAGGCAUUAUUACAAGUAAAGAACUUACUACUGAGAACAUGGAAAGCACUAAAUGAAUGUCAAUUUGUAUUGUUGUCAUAUUUAGUGAAUCGAAUUUAGAUCAUAAACUAAUGUAGGCACUAAAUUAGAAUUUUGAAGAUACCAUAGUCUCUUCUGAAAUUAGGGAGGAGAAGGAGAAGCUCCAAAUGCCAAAGAUGUCCAGAUGGCCUGGACAUCUUUACUAAGGGAGCUACAUGCUGAUGAAUAUCUUCAUUCAUUCAUUCAUUCAUUCAUUCAUUACCCUGUUCAUUUUUCAGUCACUUAUCUCUUCAUCUAUCCAUUGAUUUGCUUAUUCAAAAAAGUUGUUGCAGGUCUACUAUUUACCAGGCAUUGAGCUAAAUAUUAAGAACACCCAGAAGACGUAAGCUCAUUGAAAACAUAAAUAAAUUAGCGACUAUAAUGAUAACAUGGUAAGCAGUACAUGGAGACCCCCCCAAAAAAAACAAAAAAAAAAUCAUUCAUAGAGAGCACAAAGGAGUAAGUUGUUUUUCCUGAAGACAGAAAUCAUUUGAAUUACAUCUUAAGAGGGAAAAUUUGUCAGGCAAAAAAAAAGUGGGGAGGUAAAGUAUUUAAGACCAGGAGAUCUGUCUGUGCAGAGUCACAGAGGCACCAAAGACCAAAGUGCUUAAGAGGAGUAACCUCUAGGUAGGUGAGAGGGGAACACAAAGAGGAUGGAGGAGCAUGUAAGAGAUGUAGCUAGAAAUCCAAGAGCUUUGAAUCCAAUGCUAAGGGGAUUGAUUUCUUUCCUGUGGCCACUGGGGGAACCCUGGAGGUAUGUGAGUGACACACUGAGACUUGCAUUUUUAUAAAAAUUUCCCUGGUGGCAGUGUGGAUAAUAAGGAAGGAGGACAGGUUAGUGGCAGUCCUUCGGUAUCUCCAGCAUCCCAAGGAAACUAAAAAGUUAUCAUUUACAGGCUAUGUUUGUUGAGCCGGUGCAAAACUGAAGGAAAUUCCUAACUCCAUUCUACCUUUCCUCCAAAUCUUUAAAAUUAUGUAAGUCUGUAUUAUCUUAGGUCUUGAGAUGUUAAUGACUUAACUAAUUGUCAACACUGGCAAUUACAAUGACUGAUACCUUAUCAUUUCUUACAAUGAGCAAUGCUAAUUAAAAUUGAUUGUGCGAGAGCUUUAGCAGCAACUGUCCCCCCCCCCCCCCCCCCCUUUUUUUUUGUUUAAAACAUGAGCUUACUGUGCUGAUUUGGUGAACUUCACACAAGGCAGGCUUAUUAUCCUGGUGUUUACUUCCUAGUUCUGCUUGUGAACCAUAUUAGCAACAAUUAUGAAAUGUCAGAGAAAUGGUAGAAAUAACUGAAUUCGUGCCAUAAGAAAGAUUCCAGAUUUUGAUUCAUUCAUUCAUUCAAGUGCUAGAACCUGUAUUGGACAUCUUCAUAUGCUAGGAACUAUGCUAAGCAUAGAGAAAGCAAAUGAACAAGUAAGUUGAGGGAUUUGCAGCCCAGUGAGAAAGACAGCCUCAUUACAGGAUAAUCACCUAUGGUAUGUAAAUACUACAGUUGGCAGAUGUUAGUUCUGCCAGUGAAAAAUAGUGGCACAUUUCACAGAGAAGGUGACUUUUUAUUGAGGGAUUCAAAAUGCGAGCAGGGACUUCUUCAACUUUUAUUAUUACUAUUUGUAUAUACCACAUGAAUUUGUAAGACUUUAUAAAGUAUCUCAAAAGAAGACAUGUAAUACCGUGAUGAUAAACUAGCCAGAGAAUUCAGGAUUCAAGACCAGAAAUUGUGCCCUGGAAAAUCUAGGCUGAAAAGAAAGAAAAGGCAUGCCAAUCAGUUAUCAUAAAGUAUAUAAACACCUAAAGAAGGUAAAAGGAAGCAAUAACCUUGUAGGGGAGGAAUUUUUUUUUUUCUUUCUCCCCUUCUGGGUUCUUUGGCUAAUCUAAUAAUUAACUUAACAUAAGACAGAUUAACAAGAGGAAAACAAAUUUAAUUACAGUAUGUAAGUACAUCCCAACAGUCAGGUAAUUGAGGUUUAUAUGAUAUCCUGAGGUAAGAAGAAAGGGGUAGGGGUCUGGGAUUUCAAAGGAGAGGAAAACAGUGCACAGGAAGGUGGGAAGAGCAAAUGUUUGAUAAACAAAUGUUUGCCAUGUCCUUUGAAGAAGUCUUUUUAAUAUAAAAAGUAUAGCUCUCUUUCUGCUACAGGCUCCUUAUCUAAAUUCUUUUAGGAAGUUAAGGGGGAUGUUAAAUGUUUUUCUUAAAUCUGUUAGGUCUUGAUUUUCUUCAGCUUGAAAUGAUCCUCAGGCCAAACUGGCACAUUCUGGAGCGGCCUACUCUGAACCCCAUUAACAUGUUCUAAGAAGGAUGAAAAGAUCAUGCUCAAGUGCAGGCUGCCUGGAGGACAGUGACAGACAGGCAAGAGUUCUGGCUAAACAGUUAACUUAGACAAACACCAAUUGAGCAUUGUGAGGGUACUCUGCCCAGAGCCCACCUUUAGGGCUGAACCAUGCAUAGUCCCCCAGGUGCUGGGAAUGUCAUAGUUGAGUCCCUCUUUAGGUACUUCCCUUGGCACAAGGGAAUUGUUUUGCCCAGUGUUAAUUCUCUGCCCUGAGAAGUAGCUUGUAUUCAAUAACUGGUUGAUGAGGGUGGGGCACAAUGGCCCAACCCCUUUUCAGGAUUUGAGACAAUUAUGAAGAGUCAUCCCAACCCCAGAGCUCCUUGUAGGGUCAGCUGAGGUUUCUCUUCCAAUGCAUCACAGUUAAACUUGUCCCUCUGUACCCUCCUACUCGCCAUUUCUGUUAUAGAUAUGGUUUCAGAGAGAAAUCCUAGUUAGAGCCCCUGCUUGUAGACAUCUGGGGUCUUAAGUCCGUUCUCUGGAGAACCAGGUUUAAAACGGUCAUCCACUAUGUGCCCAGUUGGGCGGUGGGCCGGGGCAGGGAGUAGAUUCAACAAUGCAACAGAUAAGAACUCUGACCUCAAAUGAUUUACAGUUUGGAUGGAAGUUAGGGCUUCUCAAGACAAUGCAGAGCCUUGGAAAACAGUUGAGCCUAUGAAAUACAGAAUAGAAGAAUGGGGAGGAUUUUGUCCAUUUCUUAGACCCACUCCUUCUAGUAUACACUAUCAGUUCCUUCUUGGGUCAGCCUCUCUUCUCACAGCACAAUUCACAUCUGUUUAUUGUCCCACUAUCCAUCAUAGCCAGUCUACCUCAACUCCCGGUUUUACAAGAUGACGCCUUUGCUAAGCUCACCCUUCCACCCACAUUUCUCCCCUACAUCCAAAAUUGAUAGCAUCUGUUUUCUGUCCUGCAAUGAUGACUAAGCCUUCAGUGAGUUAUUGGUAGUUUAUUCCAAACCUAAAAAUGAAUCAUGGAACUUGAAUUAUCAUCAUUGUGUAGUAGUGUUCACAGUGGAGACAGUAUUUUGUCCAGAUUAGACCUCCUUUACUUCAAAUUCUAUGUCUCAAUCCUUGUAUCACUCAGAGAAGAAAAACUGAAGCAUCAGGUUUAAAUGGAAUCUCCUUUUGCACUCAACCAAUUGCCUUUCUUAGGUACCAACAUUUCCCAAGUUCUAGAUGAUAUUAUUUAGUCUUUUGAACCCCAUCACCUCCUCUACCUCUCCUUACAUUUGUUUUUUAUCUGGUGGCCUCCUUUCUGGGGCCCAGGCAUCUAAGCCAGUCUGGACCUUCUCAUCUUCCAGCUGUCAUCCUAUGACUUCCUUGAGUCAUAUAUUCUGUUAUUUGGGUUCCAGGUCAUUUUCUUUCUUGGCUUACUAACUUAUUUUGCAAGAGAGCUUCUCAAGAAAGCCAGAUGAACUCCCUGAUUCCUUAGCUGUUCUGAGUCUACCUUCAGUUUUAAUUAGCUAGGGAAGAAUUUUAAAAUAAGUCUCAUUUAAAAAAUUAGAACUCAUUUUUCUUCAGAAUAUUUUGGUUUUAACCAUAUUUCCUUUGCUUGCUUUUAAAAAAAUUAAGUUUAUUUUUUAAAGAGAGAGAGAGAACAUAAGUUGGAGAGGGGCAGAGAGAGAGAGAGAAUGAAUCCCAAACAGGCUCUGCUGUCAGCACAGAGCCCGAUGUGGGACCUGAACUCACAAACUGCAAGAUCAUGAUCUGAGCCAAAAUCAAGAGUCAGGCGCUUAACCAACUGAGCCACCCAGGUACCCCUAACUUUAUUGUCUUAAUCUACUCUACAUUUUCCUUUUCUUGUAUUGUUUUAUUGGAAGGCAUAUUUUAAUUUCCAAAAGUUCUUAUUUUUACCUUAUUUUAAGUUUAUUUAUUUUGAGAGAGAGAGACAGAGAGAGAGAGAGAGAGAGAGAGAGAGUGUGUGUGUGUGUGUGUGUGUGUGUGUGUGUGUAAUUGGGGGAGGGACAGAAAGGGAAAAAGAGAGGGAAUCCCAAGCAGGCUGGCACUAUCAGCGUAGAGCCCAAUGUGAGGCUUGAACUCAUGAACUGUAAGAUCAUGACCUGAGCCGAAAUCAAGAGUCAGACACUUAAAUGACUGAGCCACCCAGGUGCCCCAUUUUACCUUUUUUUUUUUAAGGGCAUGUUUUGCUUUAUGGUUUUGGUAUCUUCUCAAAUAUUUUAAUGAGUUUUUUAGAACACUGUCUUCUGGUUCCUGAAUAUUUCUGUGGCUAUAUAUAAUGAUGGUUCCUUUUAUUGUUGUUAGUGUUCCUCAAGUAUCUAAUCAUUCUUGGUUGGCUCCUUCUGUUUCAGAAUGAGACAUUAGGAAGCCAGUUAAGGGCUCUGAGGAGAUGGAUGUGGCCAAUGGGUGUUGGUGAGAUAACCGAGCAAGGGCCUGACUGGGGCAGAUGCCUGUCUGCUGGCUGUUUAGUGCACUAGGGUACAGGGCUCAUUUUUCCAUUUAUAAGACUCUCAUCAAUAUCCCUGUUUUUCACCUCACAUCUCAGUCCACAUCUUCUAUCAUACUGGCUUUUCUAAAUAUGGAAACUCAGGAAUUUAGCAGUGCACCUAGACUGUCUUCAUUCAUCACUAAUCAGCUUCCAUCCUCUCUCGUUUUCAGAGACAUUAUGAAAUCUCUCACCUACUGAUGGUUCCCUUUCUAUGUUUGACAUAGUUUUGUAUUUAUACCCUUAUUUCUUCUUAUUAAGAGGGAAAAGAGAUCAAUCCAAGUUUUCUCUCUGCCAUCUUGAAACAGAUGCCUCUCCAUUUAUUUGUUUGUUUAAUAAAGACUCCCAUUUACUCCAUCAACUUUCCCUCAUAUCCUCAUUGGCCACUUAGAAAUCUGUAAACAAUAGUGUUAUGAAUUGAAGUAUGUUCCCCUGCCCCACCAAAAUAUGUUGUGAAGUCCUAAUCCUCCAUACCUCAGAAUGUGACCUUAUUUGGAAAUAUGUCUAUUGCAGCUGUAAUUAGUUAAAAUGAGGUCAUACUGGAAUAGAGUGGUCUCCUAAUCCAAUAGCACUGGUGUUCUUAUGAGAAAACAGCCUUAUGAAGAAACCAGGGAGAAUGCCAUGUGAUGCCAAAGGCAGAGAUUAGAGUUAUGUAGGUGCCAGUCAGUGAACACCAGGGAAUGCCUGUAAAUCACCAGGAGCCAGCAAGAGGCAAGGAAAGAUUCUCUCUUACAAGUUUCAGAGGGAUCAUGGUCCUGCUGAUAUCUUGAUUUUGGGCUUCCAGCCUCCAGAAUAUGAGAUGGUUUCUGUUACAGCAAGCCAUCCAGUGUCCUGGUACUUUGUUAUGGCAGACCUAGAAAACUAAUGUGAGUAGAGACAGACAACAGUUAGGGACUUGACAAGCAUUCAAUUUAGAGAUAAGGAGGUAACUGGUAGAAAUACCUCCUCGUCCUGCCCUGAAAAAAAUGGUUAAAAUGAGUGUGGAAAGUGAGACUGGGGGUAGAAAGGAGGCAGAGGAGUAUUGCUUUUCAUGACUUCUCAUUGCUUUCUGUACCAUAACAUUGUUUUCACACACCUUCUUACUUCCCUAGGUAUUCUCUGGUUUGUCAUCUAGUUUGUAAAGAUCUGUGGCAGGUCAAAAUAACAGCAACCCCCACCCAGGAUGUCCAUGUCCUAGACCCCAGAACCUGUGAAUAUGAUACCUUACACGGCAAGGGAGAAUAUAGGUUCAAGAUAGAAUUAAGGUUGCUAAUCAGCUGACUUUAACAUAGUGAGAUAAUUCUUAGCCCAAUGUAAUGAUAAGAAUCCUCGGAAGUGGAAGAGGGAGGCAUGAGUCACAGAGAUAUGUUGGAAGCAGAUCAUUGGAGUGAUGGAAGGAUGUACUGGCAGAAGGACUCAAGAAGAAAGAGGAUGAAAGACACAAGCCACAAAUGUGGAUGGUCUCUAGAUGCUGGAGGAGACAAGGAAACUGAUUCUCCCCUGGAGACCUAGAAAGGAAUCAAGCCCUCAUGAUAUGCUCUUAGCCCAAUGAGACCUAUGUCAGACUUGACCUGCAGAACUGUGAAAUACAUUUGGGUGGUUUUAACUCACUGAGUUUGUGGUCAUUUACUACAACAGCUAUAGGAAACUAGUAUACCAUCCCUUUAAAAGUGCAGGCUCAAAGCUAAAGCAUAGUACCCCAGUCUGGAACUAGCCACUGCUGACACCUGAAAUUCUUUUCUUUCCUGUCCUAGACCUUAAUCUAAUUAUAUAGCCAACAUUUGUUUUUGUAGCUGCCAUCAGAUGCGAUUUUCUCACACUGAAUUUGCAGAAAAUGAAAGCCCAUCAGACUGCAAAUGCCCAUGGAGAAAUGGAACUUACCAUAUUGCCAAUUCCAUCAUAGCAUACUGGCUAAGGACAUAGAGUUAGGAAGGAACUGGGUUCUAAUCCCUCACUUAGCCACUUACUAGCUGUGUAUCCUUGAGCCGUUUUACCUCUUGAAGCUUCCAUUUCUUCAUCAGUAAAUGAGAGCUAGCAACAGCACCAACCUCAUGUGGUUAUUGUAUUGUCUAAAUUAGAUGAUGUUUUUAAGACACCACAAUGCUUGGCCCAUGGUGAGUGCACAAUAAAUAGUAUGUUAAACUUGAAAAGCGAAGGAGUGGGAUAAUGUUGGGCUUACCCCAGAAACUCUGUGUCUUGUUAUUUCCAAAGGCUUAGGUUGAAAAUUUUCUGACUCCCCACUUAUUUUUGUAUAUAUGGCAAUCUAUAUGGUGUCCUAGAAUACUAGCAGGUAUGUGUGUGUGCUGAAUCCAAAACAUGGCUCACAACUUCUGUUAGCAUCAUAUUAGAUGAAGAAGUUAAAUCAAAACACAAACUUUAACAUUAUUAAUUCAGUGGUUAAUGCAAGGCAACCACUCGCUUCUCUCCCUCUUCCAAUCCCCUGGCCCUGGCCUAAAGACUAUCAAUGGUACUCUUGGGAUGGUGAAAGAUGAUGAAGCACCUCCCCUGUGCUUCCACCUGUGACCCCUUCCAUAGCUCUUGCUCUGAAGUCUGCAGACCAUUCAACAGUUAAUAGACAUCUUUAGCUAUCAGCUGCCUACUCAUUCUCAAAGUAGUCUCCCUCAACCACCUACAAAACCUGUUCUAAUUUCAAGACAUAGAGGGAAAUCUUUUUUUUUUUUACUUUGUUCUCAUUAAUUUGUCUCCCCACUUCAUCAUCCCUUACAAGAAUACCUAAAAUUAAGAGAAAUGGCUAUACAGUCUCCUUCAGAUCAGACCUAGAUUCAAACCCUAACUUUGAAAGUUGUUUGUUUCCGGGCAAAUUGCUUAAUUUCCCUGUGUUCCAUGUUCUUCCUGUCUAAAGUAGGGACACCUGCUUCACACAGGAUGAACACUACAGAUAAUACAUGCAAAACAAAGCAAGAUGCUUGGCAUUGUAAGGCUAAAUAAUAGUAAUAGUAAUAAAGUAUUAUUACUACUUCAUUGUUUCUGUUUUCCCUUCAACGAUACCCUUUAGCCUCCCUUCGGACCUUUUCUCCCAGCCUGUCCCCUGAGGUCUCAUCUCUAGGGACAUUCCUCUCCUAUGCUGAGUUAUGCCUCUUAUGAUGUUAAGUGCAUAGCUGGUCCCCAUAGUUUAUAUUACAUUUGUUUCUGAUUCAAGCAAAGAAUGUACUUCAAUAUGGCAUCAUUUAAUACAAGCCUAACCUGCCCCCUACCUGGCAGAGAUGAUGGGAGCUUAUUAAGAUAAUGUCUUCCUACUACUUACAGCCCCUUGAAAGACAUUUACUAAAUAAACAGUGGUAUUCGAUUUUUUGUGUUGUUUGUUUUAGCUCUUAAUGCACGCUCUCUGAAUUGUAUUAAUAGGUUCUCUGCAAUGCUUCUCACAAUAUGGGCACUUGUUAAAUGCUACUAAAUGCAGAGUGGCAGUGGAUGUUACUUAUUUGUGCCUCUGCUUUGCUCUUGCUCUCCUCCCUCUCCCUCUCUCCUUCUCUCUGCUAAACCUGGAACCCCCCCCUCCUCCUUCUAGGUUCCUAGUCCACUGAUUUUCAACCUUGGCUAUAUAUCAGAAUCACUAAGAAUGCUUUUUAAGACUCUUGAUAACCAGACAUUACCCUAGACGACUUGAAUAAAAAUCUCUGGAAUUGAGUUCCAGGCAUCAGCGUUUUCUAACGUUUCCUAGCUGAUUUCAGUGUUUAGCCAAAGCUGACUCUUCUAUAUCCAACCAGAUCCCAAUCAGAUGACAUAUGUACAGAAAAUUAACAUUUAAUGUCUUUUUUCUGCUCAGCUGUGAGUUCCUCAAGGGCCAGUAUGAUCUCUUAUCUUUUUGCUCCCAGUCACUAACAGUCCCUGGCAAAGAGUGAAUACUCAGUACAUAUUUCUUUUCUUGGCUGAAAGCAUAGCCUUCCUAGCUCAAAGGAUUUCCCCCAUGCUCUGGUUUCUGUAACAGUGGACGUGAGUACCUCUUAUUCAUUCUAAUUGUCUAUCAUUUUGGUUGUUCAGAUUCUCUCAGGUAAAAACAAAACAAAACAUUUUUUGUACUGUUUAGCAGGGAAAACACAUCAUUACCAUGUGGUAAGGACUGCUGUCCUCCAGGAGUGUGCCAGGUACUGUGGCUGCAGUCCAGAGGAAGGCCCGGGAGGUCGGGAUGUGGGUUAGAAAGAGUACCGGCCUUCCAAUCACACAAACCCAGAGCCAGAUCUCCACUGUAUGCCUACGGGCACAUUCUUUCACCUCUCCGAGCUCUAGUCUCCUCUUUGUGGAAGAAGGGAAAUGAUGCCUAUUCCGGAGUUUAGGGUCACUGAAGGACAUAAUGUAGGAAAAGAGACACAGGAACCAUCUUUGUCUGCUUGGGCUACCAUAACAAAAUACCAUAGACUGGGUGGCUUAAACAACAGAUUUUUUUCCUCACAGUUCUGGAAACUGGAAGUCCAGUAGCAGGCUGUCACCAAGGUUGCAUUCUGGUGACCGCCCCUUUCCUGGCUUGCUGAUGGCCGCCUUCUCACUGUGUCUCUCAUGGAGCUCUCCAGUGACUCUUGGAAGGCCACUAAUUCUUCUUAUGACCCCCUUUAAUCUUUGUUAUCUUCUUGUAGUUCCUGUAGCAGUCACACUGGGGGGCUAGGGCUCCAAUAUAUGAAUUUUUAGGGGUCACAGUUCAGGCCAUGGCACUGACAGAGAGAGAUACAAAGAAUAUUAGUAUUACUGAACUCAUAUUCUUUGUAUCUCUCUCUGUAUCUCUCAGGUUCCCUUGAGAGAAUCAGAAAAAUAUCAAGGGAGAGACAUCACAACUAGAUCUUGUGGGUUGAGUGGGGAUGUCUUAGGCAAACAAAGGCAUUUCAAGCAGAGCAAACAGCAAUUCAAGUCUGUUAAAAGACAUGACAUAUUUGGGGAUCAGUUCUCACUGAUUUUUCUCACCACUUUUCACCAGAAAUUGGAGUGGAUAAGAGUAAGGUUCAUGGUAGAAAAUAUAAGAGAUGUGGUUUGGGGCAUAUCAUUCAUAAUAGUAAAGGCCACAAAGCUGAGGACUCAGGAAUUUUUCACUGGCAUAAAGGAUUACUAUGCCAGUAGCUUUUUUUUUGUUUCCGGAUACCUCUUUGUUUCCCAUUGAGCUGGUUGGAUUCUUGAGGACAAGGACCUUGCCAAAUGUUUCCCUGUAAUCCACCCCUGAGCCUAGGAUAAUUCCUUAAAAAUGUAGCAGGAAUGAAUUGCUCCAAAACUGUGGCAUAUAAAAGCUAUCACUUUGUUCAUUUGUUCAAUUUGAAAUAAAGCCACCCUGCUUCCUCUAGGUGGUAUGAAAGCCAGCAUUACUCUCUUGGGAUUCCGUCACCCCUAUCUGUUCCCCGACUGCCCAAGAACCCUGGCUAUUAAAUGUGGCCAAUAGAAGGUCUUCUCUCCCUAGCAGGUAAGGGCCCCCUUGUCUGCCUGUUGAAGCAGGUUUUCCUGAUUGCCUUGUGAGUGGUCUUCAGCAUGGUUAACAGCUCUACUCCUCUUUUAUCAUAUGGCCACACUGCUUCUCCAUGCUCUAACAGUAUCUCCCUGGCUCUUAUGCUGUAUUCACUGGAUUGUCUUAAUGCAAACUCCACUCCACUCUUCAAAUGCCUAUUCCACCCUGGAUGCCUGAGUGGUAACCCUGGCUUCAGUUCUUACUUAGCCCUUUGUGCUCAGAAUUAUUACUUUCUAAAGCCAUGGUCUCCACCUCUGGGUGCUACUCUACUACUGGCUUGGCUGUCUGUCUCUUUCAGCUCCACAUUUCUCUCUCCCUCCCCUUGAGUCUUGAGAUAUUUUUGUGAAUAAUCUUCAAACCACAAAGCUUUUAUUUCUCCCCUUCCCUUGGGCAAUAUGGAUUAAUUGCCUUGACGGGCCUGACCUCUGAAACACAAAUGCCUGUUUAAAAUAAAAGGCUGAUUAUUAUAUAAUGAACUAUAUUCAGUUUACUAAAUAGUUAACUUAAACAUAAAUAUAUGUAUACAUUUAUGCUGAAUAGAUGUAUAAUUUAUGCUAAUGAUAAUUACAAAUAAUACAAAAGCAUAAUAACUGUAUUCAUUACCAGUGCUUCAUUCUGCUUCUGCUUAAGAGCCAUAUACUGACAAUUUGACAGGCCGCUGGUACUGUGCUGGGCACUGAGGACAUAGAGAUGGCUAUGGUAUCAUCUUUGUCCUCAAAGAGAUUAGAGUUUAGUGGGGGAGUAAGAUGUAUCAAAUUAGCUAAUGUAUUAUGAAAGCCCUCAUUAAGAAAUGAUUAGGCUGGGGCACCUGGGUGGCUCAGUGGGUUAAGUGCCCAACGGUUGAUCUCAGUUCCGGUCUUGAUCUCAGGGUUCUGCAUACAAGCCCCACGUCGGCCUACUUGAAAAAAAAAAAAAAAAGAUUGGGCCGACACUGUUAUUUUAUCGUGACUCUGAAGAGGUUCCUUGUUUGCUGUGCUGUGCCUUGUAUUCACUUGGUCCGUGUCUACAUUGGCCUUCAUUUCCUUAGCCACUUCCUUGUGAGGUAUAUUAUUUAGGCUUGACUAUGCUAUGCUGCUGAAACUAAGUAACUCCCAAAUCUCUGGAUGGGAGAUGGACAUAGCAAAGGUUUGUUUUUCUUACAGUGACUAGCCCUAAUGUGAUUAGGGAACAUACCUGCUCCAUGUGGCCACUUAGGGAUCCAGGCUCUCUGAGCAUCUUACUUCCUAUAGGGAGAGGGUGGUGCCACCAUCGAAGCAUGCAUUGCAAUGAAAAGGUGCAGCAGUUUUUAACCAUUGCUAUGCAAAAAUAACACACAUCAUUUUUGUCACAGGCCAUUAGCCAAAAAUUGUAACAGGACCCCAAACUAACAACAAGAAAGGCUGGAAAAUGUAGGGGAGCCUGUGGAUUAUUAGAUGAUUGCUGCUGUUGCUGCCACCAGAGUAGUGAUUUGAGAGCAUGAGCUUUGAAGAAUUUGAAUCUUGACCCUGGUAGUUACUUUUGGAGUCCCCAAGGGGGAGGGCACAUAAAUAGCAACCCUCUUCUCUGCUGAGUUCUGAGCUUAAGUGUGUGUGUGUAUGUGAAAUAGGUGAUGGGAUUAAGGAGUACACUUGUGAUGAGCACUCAGUGUUGUAUGGAAGUAUUGAUUCAGGUGUACUAUAUUGUACACCUGAAACUAAUAUUAUACUACAUGCUAACUAUAAUUGAAAUAAAAACUAAAAAGAGGAAUAUAUAUAGAGGCCAAAAUAUCAUCCAUAUUAAUGGUCAAAGACAGGUUGUAGGAUGUGGCUUUAUUCUACUAGUCAAGCAGACCCCCUGGUGGAAUCCCAGAAUUUGGUUGACCUCUGGACCAGGUAUGGCAUGGUGGAACAGUACAGAACUUAUGUCUUCUGCAAGACAGAUGACUCCUAAAAGAGGAGGAAGAAAGUGGGGAUGAGCAGAGCAUGACUAGUUACACUUCAACUACUUACCUAUUAGGUAGGAUAUCUCACAUCUCUGGGAUUAGAUUAAGUAAAGAAGCUAGAAGAAACACUAGUGAAGCUCCCAAAGAAAACUCAAAGUAAGGGAAAAGAGUUUUCUUUUGUUUUGUUUUGUUUUGUUUUUUAUAACUCUUACUAGUUGUGACAUUUAAGUCAGUCCCCCAGCCUCUCUGGUCACCAAUUUGCUCAUCUAUAAAAUGCAGAUGAUAGUAUCUCACAAUAUCUCUCCUUGGGUCUUUUACAACUGCUAGAAAUUAGGAGAUGUGCUAGACUGGUAAUGGGGAGGAGUUCUUCAAAUGUCUUCUAUAAAAUGCUCAUAAAUACUUGAGAUAGAAUUACUUACAAGUUUAUAGAAACCAGAUGGUUUUAAACACAUCCCCCACCCCCAAAACACACAUAAUUUAAAAAAUCUUCUUGGCUGUUUCUUUCCAAACACUUGCCCACUCAACAAGCAUUUCCUCAACAAUCCUGUAGGGUUGUUCUUGUUCCUAACAGUAAAUGUCUGAAGCCACCCUUUUCUAGCAAAAGCAAAAGCUACCCAGUUAAUGUCUCUCUCUGAAGUUUUCUCUUUUAACUCUUUCGCGACUAUUGCCAUUGAGGGUUUGAGUGGCUUUGUAGAAUGGAAAACACCCAAAUCAAAAUAGUCAUUUUCAGAAAAGUGAGCCUUCCAUUUUCCUAGUGAAAUACUAAUUACUCUAUGAUCCAGAGAGUCCAAGGUUGAGCCUUCUUAGAUAAGAAAUUACUUUUUUCACAUCUAAAAGAUAUUUAAAAGUAGAAAUGUUUUAAAUGAAAGUAUUAAAUUAUACAAUUACAUGCGUAGACUGUGCCAUUGAGGGAGUUAUUUUCAUGGUGUAGGCUGAAUCCAGCAUAAAAAUAUUUACUGCUCUGAAAUGUCAAUAUAAAAUAAUCAGAAUAUAAAAUUAAAUAUUUACUGUAUAAUCAGCCUGCAUUCAUCCAUCUACAAUGUUCCAUGAAAAACACUGAUUACACUGAAUUUGACCACCUGGAUUUUCCUAAUAUUUUCAGGCUUAAGAAAAAAACUGCCAAAGUCUCACUCACAGGCAUUUUCUAACAACUUUUCAAGGGAAAUCUUUUGGAACAGGGAAUUAUGCAAUGAUGACUUAAGGAAGUUCCAGAUAACACACACACACACACACACACACACACACACACACACACCAGAAGAUGAACCUCUCUGCUGAUCUUCCUUCAUCACAUAUCUUAGGUUCAGUUGCAAUUCAGCAAGUCAAUAAAUCUUCACAGAUAUUCACCAAUUCUGUGAUAAAACUGUGCCAGGCAGUAGGGAUAAAAAUGUGGUCCGGAGCACCUGGGUGGCUCAGUUGGUUGAGCUUCCGACUUUGGCUUAGGUCAUGAUCUCACACUCCAUUAGUUCAAGCCCCACAUCGGGCUCUGUGCUGACAGCUCAGAGCCUGGAGCCUGCUUUGGAUUGUGUCUCCCUCUGUCUCUGCCCUUACCCUACUCAUGGCUCUGUCUCUCUGUUUCUCAAAAAUAAAUAAAUGUUUAAAAAAAAUUUUUUUAAAUGUGGUCUGUGUUCUUGGGGCGCUCAGCAUCAAAUGUGAGAGACAGAUUACUAAGUAGCCAGCUAUAAUGCACUGUGAUAAAUCCUACAUUAAGCAUAAGCCCAGUGGCAUCAGGUAAGAAGGGUCCUGAAGAGAAUCAUCAAACCUACUCUAUUAUUUCAGAAUGAAGCCAAAGGCAAUAUUAUUUACUUUAUGAAUGUCCAUGCAAUUGGAAGAACCAAACUCAAUUUUAAUUCAUUGUAAAGACCACAUUUUCAACAUUCAUUCUGAAGAUUAACAUGGAAUCUGCCCAUUUAGUGAUGUGGAUUGAAAUUGAUUCUAGGGGACAAUCUUCUGAAAGUGCCACAAAGGUCAAAACGUGACCCAAAAAGUCCUAGACUAGGCAGGAAGUAGGGGUUUAAUUUGUUUGAUCUUAGGUUAAAGGUAAGUGCUUUCUGGAGCACCUGGGGUGGCUCAGUUGAAUGUCUGACUCUUGAUUUUGGCUCAGGUCAUGAUCUCCUGGUUUAUGAGUUGAACUCCACAUUGGGCUCUGAAUUGACACUGUGGAGCCUGCUUGGGUUUCGGUCUCUCUCCUUCUCUCUCUGCCCCUCCCCCACUCACUUUCUCUUUCUCUCUCUUUCUCUCUCCCUCCCUCCCUCUCUCAAGAUAAAUAUAUUUUUUUAACUAAGCGUUUUGUCCUAGCUACUGUUUUACUAUCUGAAAAUAAGCUGGACCUGUUGAUCUCUUAGGUUCUUUCUACCUCUGAAUACAUAUGAUAACUACAAAUCAUUCCCGUUAAAAAAAAAUUAAAACAUCUUAGAGAUGCCUCAUCAGGGAAUGACAUUAGCCUAAUUCAAGUUACAAAUUUCCUUUGCUUAUUCAAUAAUUGAUGAGACUACAUAACACUUGGGUGUCCAUCAGAACUGGGUUUGAGUCCAAGCUUUGUCACUUUCCUGGUUAUGAAGCCAUGAGCAGUUUAUUUAAUUUUUCUGGGCCUUUUAUAUGUAAAAUGAGGAAGUUAUAGCUUAUCUGAGAUGGGACUUAUGGGAUUAAAUAAGAUAAUGAAUGCAAGAGCUUAACUAGUGCCUCACAAAAAAAGGCUCUCAAUUAACAGAAUCAUUUUUAAUUUUUUUUAAUGUUUAUUUUAUUUCUGAGGGGGAGAGAGAGAGCAUGAGCAGGGGAGGGGCAGAGAGAGAGGGGGACACAGAAUUGAAAGAAGGCUUCAGGCUCUGAGCAGUCAGCACAGAGCCUGACGCAGGGCUCAAACUCACAAACUAUGGGAUAACAGCUGAGCCAAAGUCAGACACUUAACCGACUGAGCCACCUAAGGACCCCAACAGUUUUAUUUUUAAUGAGUUUAGCUGUGGAGUUCACGCUGUCCACAGUGCUGAAGAAAAACCUUGUCCCUGCUUAUACUUUGGAAAGAAAGAUGUGUGAAAUCAUCAUGCCUAGUACAGAAGAAAAAUAUAUAAGAGAGGCAUGAACAAAGUAUAUCACAGAACAAGAAGAGUGAUAUUGACUUAGAGCGUGAGAGAGGGGUAGAAUCUAGAAAAGGCUACACAGAAGAAGUAAUAUGUCAACUGGAUCUAUACAUGAGAUCAGCGAGGCAGCCUGGGGUCAUUUUGUGAAAAGUCACAUGAAGGAAUUUGAACUUCCAAUAAAUGAGAACCCAUCAAAAGUUGAUUUACUGCAUAUUCAUUUUUAAUUAUUUUGACUUCAGAUUUCUUUACUCAGUCUGAAUCCGUAGUAUUCUGUUGCUCCAUUCGUCUAAAUCAGGAGUGGACAGCUUGAAGACCAUAUCUGGUAUGUGGCUCAAGCUUAGAGUGCUUUUAAUGUUUUUCUAAUUAAGUUUUUUUUAUUUUAACUCUAAUAUAGUUAAUAUACAGUGUUAUAUUAGGUUCAGGUGGAUAAUGUAGUGAUUCAACAAUUCUGUGCUCAGUGCUCAUCAUGCUAAGUGUGCUCUUUAAUCCCUAACACUGAUUUCACCCAUCCCCCACACACCUCCCCUCUGGAAAUCAUCAGUUUGUUCUCUAAGGUUAACAGUCUUUUUCUUGGUUUGCCUCUCUCUCCUUUUCCUUUGUAUGUUAGCUUUGUUUCUUAAAUUCCACAUAUGCAUGAAAUCAUGUGGGAUUUGUCUUUCUCUGACUGACUUAUUUCACUUAGCAUUAUGGUAGUAGUAGUUCCAUCCAUGUCAUUGCAAAUGGCAAGAUUUCAUCCUUUUUAUAGUUGAAUAAUAUUCCAUUGUGUGUGUAUGUGUGUGUGUACAUACAUACCACAUCUCUCUCUCUAUAUAUAUAUAUACAUAGGUGUAUAUUCAUUCAUCUAUCUAUGGACACUUGGUCUGCUUCCAUAAUUUGGCUAUUGUAAAUAAAACUGCCAUAAACAGGGGUGCAUAUAUUUUUUUGAGUCAGUGUUUCUGUAUUCUUUGGGUAAAUACCCAGUAGUGUGAUUAUUAGCUUGUAGGAUAGUUCUAUUUUUAACUUUUUGAAGAAACUCCGUACUGUUUUCUACAGUGGCUGUACCAGUUUGCAUUCCCACCAACAGUGCACAAGGGUUCCUUUUUGUCUACAACCUCUCUAACACCUGUUAUUUCUUGUGUUUAUUUUAGCCAUGCUGACAGCUGUAAGGUGACGUUGCAUUAUAGUUUUGAUUUGCAUUUUCCUGAUGAUGAGUGAUGUUGAGCAUUUUUUCAUCGGUCUUUUGGUCAUCUGUAUGUCUUCUUUGGAGGAAUAUCUGUUCAUGUCUUCUGCCCAUUUUUAAUUGGAUUAUUUCUUUUUUGGGUAUUGAGUUGUAUCAGUUCUUUCUAUAUUUUUGGGUACUCACCUUUUAUCAGAUAUGUCAUUUUCAAAUAUCCUCCUUCAUUCAGUAGGUUGCUUUUUAGUUUUGUUGAUUGUUUCCUUCACUGUGCAGAAGCAUUUUAUUAUGAUGUAGUCCCAGUAGUUUAUUUUUGCUUUUAUUUCCCUUGCCUUAGGAAGCAUAUCUAGAAAACUGUUGCUACAGUCAAAGUCAGAGAAAUUCCUGCCUGUGUUCUUUUCUAGGAUUUAAUGGUUUCAGGUCUCACAUUUAAGUCUUUAAUCCAUUUUGAGUUUAUUUUUGUGUAUGGUGUAAGAAUGGUCCAGUUUCAUUCUUUUGCAUACAGCUGUCCAGUUUUCCCAGAACCAUUUGUUGAAGAGACUGCCUUUUUCCCAUUGCAUAUUCUUGCCUCUUUUGUCAAACAUUAAUUGAUUAUGGGGGUGCCUGAGUGGAUCUGUCACUUGGGCAUCUGACUUCAACUCAGGUCAUGGUCUCACGGUUUGUGAGCUCGAGCCCCACGUUGGGCUCUGUGUUGGCAGCUCAGAGCCUGGAGCCUGCUUCGGAUUCUGUGUGUCCCUGCUCACACUCUGUCUCUGUCUCUAUCAAAAAUAAAUAAACAUGAAAAGAUUUUUUUUUCAUUACUUGACUAUAUAAUUGUGUGGUUUGUUUUCUGGACUUUCUAUCCUGCUCCGUUGAUCUACGUGUCUAUUUUUAUGCCAGGACCAUCCUGUUUUGAUUCCUACAGGUUUGUAGUGUAAGUUGAAAUUUAAAAUUGUGAUACCUUUAGUUUUGUUUUUCUUUUUCAAGAUUAUUUUGUCUAUUCAGGGUCCUUUGUGGUCCUGUACAAAUGUUAGUAUUUUUGGUCUAGUUCUAUGAAAAAUGCUUGGCAUUAGGGUAGGAAUCGCAUUAAAUGUGUAGAUCGCUUUUGGUAGUAUGGUCAUUUUAAUAAUAUUUGUUCUUCCAAUCCAUAAGCUUGGAAUAUCUUUCUAUUUGUUUGUGUUGUGGUUUUAACACUUUUAAAUGGUUAAUGUGAGUAACUACAUAAUAUACUUGAUUUUGCCCCUUGGCCAAAAAGCAUAAAAUAUUAUCUGACCCUUUAAUAAAAUUUUUGCUGACCACUGGCCUAAAUGACUAAUAUCAAACACAUAAUGGGUUUUUUUUUUGUCAAAAGGCCACAAUGUCUAUAAAUUUUAUAAAUAUUUUCUUUGUGCCUCACAUGUGUCUGGAAUUAUCUUUCUUCCUGAAAACAUUCUUUCAUACCCAGCCUAUCUUUUGCAUUGUACAACAGGUUCAGGAUUCAGUGAUGAGCUUUGCUUUCCUGUAUCCUUUGCCUUCUUAGCUAUACUUUAUAUUUUCUCUUGGAUCUUAUGAUAAUUAAACAAUGGGAGUUUUAUGCCGUUCUACCUUUUCUUUAUCUUCCCAGAAGAUACCCAAUAGUUCUACUGGUACUGGUACUUCUGUUUUCUUGGCCUGAAAAUAAGAAUUUCGCUCUUUUCUAAGUGACCUAUGUUGCAAUUUUGUGUGGGAUCCACAUUAGCUGGACUAUAGGUGAUUGACCCAUACAUAUGCAAAAGAGACAUCAAACAAUGGUGACUUAAAGUAGAGUGUAUUUCUCUAUCUCAUAUAAUAGUCCUGGAGUAGUUGGCUACAGCUGGGAUGGGGGCUCUGCUCCAUAAGGGUUUGCAGGGAUCUGGGCCCUUUCUGUAUUGUUUCCCAUUCUCAAACAGGUUUCCCUUUUAUGAGUGGUGUGAGAUGACUCACUCCCACAUUAUAUUCCAAACACUUGAAUCAAAGGUGAUGAGAACAUAUGACCUCCCUUGCAAUAUUGUUGUAAAAUGAUAGAUAUGUAAUGCACCUGAGCAAAUGCUACAGCUACCUGUUAUUACUAAUAAAUAGGUAAUUGCAAAGAUUCUGAUGAAGUGCCAGUUAUUUAAACCUGUGCUGAAGAAAAAUAAUUUCAGUGGAGUUGAAUAGUGAAUUAAAUUUAAAGUUGCAUUUUUGAUCUUCUCCUUUGUUCUGGGAAUAUGAUGGCUAUUAUAAUGAGUGUACUAGUAUUGGUUACAUUUGAGAGGAAUUUUAUUGUUUUUUGUUAUGAGCCAAAGAUUGUCUAAAGGACUUCAAUUCUAGUAAAUUCUGAAUUCAUGCAUAACUCAGCAGCAAAUUCUUCGAAUCCCUGUACCUUUUUUCAGACUUUUUGCCUGUAGCCAAAUCCUAUUAAAUGUAUUUCCAUGUCAUGUUGUGCUUAAAUAAUGUGGCAGGACAGAGCCUUGACUUAGAAAAUGACACCCUUCCUCCGAGGAGGUUUCUAUCACAAUCAUCUCAUACAGAAAUCAUAUCUUGUAUUCUGCCUCUGUGGAAAUGGGCGAUGUUGUUAAAAAUUUAUUUUUGCUGCAAGAAAAUCUGAUUCUUGGUUUAUUGUGUCAAACAGCUGCUAGUAUAUAGUCUGGGCAGCUGUCCAGCUGUGAGGUUCACAUAAAUUAAUUUAACCCUUGGGUAUAUUGUGAGGCCAAUUAGGAUAGUGUCCCCCCACCAGGUGCAGCAGGGAAUUAAGAACACUUUUCAUCAGGGAGAUCCAGAUGAUUUGAUGAUGCCCAAAGUUCUAUAUGGAGUAUUUUCCAAAUAUCAAGGCAAAUAAUCAUGUAAGAUAUGUUUAUGACAGCUUGAAUCCAUAUUCAUAUGUAAAUACACACACACACACACAUAUAUAUAUGUAUAUGUAUAUAUAUAUAUAUAUAUAUGUAUAUAUAUACACAUAUAUAUACAUAUAUAAACAAAUGGUGUGAAGGAAAAUCAUAAUACUUAGGCACAUAUCACUUUACAGAAUGUAAUGUGUAUGUUCAGGAAUAAUCCAAGGUAUUUGAAUAAAAUUGCAUUGGUUUCUGCCAAUCAAAAAUACUCCCUUUUCUUUCUUCUCAUCUCCUUUCUUAGAACUAAUUCUACUGAGACAGUGUUGGAUUGGCUAAGUGUUAUGCUUUUACUCCUUUAAAAGCAAAAAUAUAAAAUAAAAUUAUGUGGACCUUUAAUGUGCCUCCUGUGGUCCUUGGUCCCUGGCUUGAGAAACAUUGAAUUAAAGGUUCAGCACUGUCAUCCCUAUAGGUAAUUACUAGAAUAGUCACAAAAGCUGGCUUAGAAAUCUCAUAGCUUUGCCCAUUUGCAAAGUAUUCAACCAUAUGAUUUAUAAUAUGCAUAUGUCAAUGUUUAGAAUUAUAAUAGUAUAAAAAGAAAAUUGUAAAUUAUCAUAUAGAGUUCUCAAACACCAAAUAAUAGGGCCAUAACACUCUCCAGGGAUCUUCACACAUGGAGUUUUGAGAAGCACUGAAUCAAAUCCAAUUUUGAAACUGCUUAUUUUAAGGUUAAAUGGACCCUUUCUAGGAUCUACAGAUUCUCCUCUUAAGUCUUACAUGCCAUUUCACUUGAUACAGGUUUAUUAAGAGGCAAUAUCAUAUGAUGGUUCAGAGCCUGGGCUUUGGGGUCAUUUUGAAAGGCUCAAGUCCGAGUGUGGCCCUGUCCUUUGCUUUGGGAAUGUUUGGCCACCGUGUCUCCUGUCGACUUUCCCUCUCAGUAUUUAUUUAAUCUAUUUAUAAUUCUCUUUUAGAACCUAUCUCAACACACAUGUCAAAAUGAAACCUUUCCUCAAUGCACAGAUAAGAACUGGUCCCUGUUUUAUAUACUGGUACUCUCUGUUUAAUAAUAGCAACAGAAACAGGUGUUCCUGGAAGACUCAGUCGGUUAAGCUUCUGACUUUCGAUUUAGGCUCAGGUCAUGGUCUCACAGUUCAUGGGAUUGAGUCCUAUAUCAUCGGGCUGCACACUGACAACGUGGGCCUGCUUGGGAUCCCUCUCUCUCUCUCUCUCUCUCUACCUCACUCUGGCCCUCCCCUGCUCGCAUGUGUAGCACUCUCUCUUUCUCAAAGUAAAUUAAUAAAACUUUAGAAAAAUAAUAAUAACAGCAACAAGAAUACAAUAAUGGCAAGCAAUACUGAGCAGCUAUAAUGUACCAGGCACUAUAUACGAGGUGCUUUACCUGCGUUGCCUCAUUUAAACCUCACAACACCUCUGGGAAGUAGGUGUAUCAUUAUUGUCCUCUUACAGAUGAAGAAACUAGAUAAAAUAAAAAGCAUACUAAAAAUAUAAUGCAAGCCACAUGUAAUUUUGAAUUGUCUAGUACCCACAUUCAAAGAAUAUAAAGAAGGUUGCCUGGGUGGCUCAGUCAGUUGACUGUCCAACUCUUGAUUUCAGCUCAGUCAUGAUCCCAGGGUUAUGAGAUUGAGCCCCAGGUUAGGAUUCUCUCUCUCUCUACUUCUGCCCCUCUCUUCUGCUUACACACACACUCUCUCUAAAAAAAGUUUUAAAAUUUUAAAAAAAUAAAAAUAAAAUAAAACAAAAAUAUUUAAAGAAGUAAAAAUAGUUUAAGCAAUAUCUUAUGCAGUGCAGUGGUUAAAGUGAAAUGCCCUAUGAACGUGGUAAAGUUGAGUUUAGUGGAAAAUUAUUUUACACUGCUUCCAUUUUAAAAUUUUAAUCAAAGUGAAAAUUUCAACAUUCAGUUCCUGAGUCACACUAGCCAUAUUGCAAGUGCUCAAUAAUCUCACUUUGCUAGUGGCUACCAUGUUGAUAGUGUAAGCCUAGGUUCUGAGUAACUUGCCAUAGGUCUUUUACCCAGUAAAAGACUCACUCAGUAAAUAUUUACCAAGUGCCUUUUACACGACAGGUGCUGUUCUAAUCUCUAGAGACAUAGUAGUAAAAAAAAUAGACAAAGUCACUGCUCCCAUGAAGCUAUCGUUAUAGUGGGAUGAGAGAGACAAUAAACAAAUAAUUAACUAAAAAAUGCUUUCAGGUCGUAUUAAGUAGUAUGAAGGAGAAUAAAGCAGGUGGAGAAAUGGCAGUAGACAGAGCUGUUGUGUAUAGCUUGUUGGGCUCUACACCGCCCAACUCCAAGGGACACCAUUCACAUUGUUUGUGAUGUGAAUGCCACUCCCUGGACUAGUGCAGAAGAGUAGCCCUGGGACUUUGGGCUGAAAUCUUAUGUAUAUUAAUCAGGAAAGGUGCUCCAAUAAUGGAAGGUCAUUUUAGCAAAGAUAGGAAGGCAAUGAGAGAACAAGCCAUCUAGAAGUACUUUUCAGAGAGAAUAGCCAGUGCAAAAGCCCCACGGCAGGAAGAAUGCCAAGCAUGUUGGAAGGAAGCAGUGUAGAACGUAUUAAACAGGGGGACACAUAGUAGGAGAUGCAGUCACAGCAGUAGCCAGAAGCUGGAUCACUAUAGGAGUUUGGCGUCCAUGAUUAGUCCUUUGACUUUUAUACUGAGUAAGAUGGGAAACAAUGACUCGAUCUCCAUCUCUCUUGCUCUCAAUCAAUCAAAUCAAAUCAAUCAAUCAAAUUUUUCUUUUUCUUUCUUCUCUUUUCUUUUUAUAUUCUUUUUGAAGAAUUGGCCUGGCUACUUCGUUGCGAACAGACUGAAGGGGGAGGUUAAGUUUCCGGAAGCCAGUAACCACACUAUUGUAGUAAUCCGGGUGAAAGAUGAUGAUGGUUCAGAUUAGAGUCACAGCAGGGGACAUGGUGAAAGCUGGAUUCAGAGUGACCAAGCAGGGAGAGUAUUUGAAGUGGGAGCUUGAAGGGUAGAACUGGGAUCAUAACCUAGGGAGCCUUAUUCCAGAACCCACACUUUGCACUUUUGUGUAGUGGGCUUUCCCCCACUAGAACCUAAGACAGAAAAGAGGUCAUGGUUUGUCCUGUUCACAGUUCUGCCCUGCUGUCCUGCUGGUGUUGAGCCUUCAGUAUGCAUUUAAUGAACAAAUGAGCGCUUAAUGUAUAAAUCAGGAAACUGAGUCCCAAGGAGAUUGGCAAUGAAUUAGUGAUAAGUGGGAUUGGAAUUCAUAUGUACCGGUUGCACAAAUAUUUGCUAAGUCUUACAGACCAGCCUGCAUAUCCCUCCCAGUUUCUGUUGUCCAGCAAAUACCAUCGAAGCCAAGGCCCAUUUCUUGUGAAACCCAGUGACCAGGUCCAACUUUGUUGUUCCUUUACACAUGGCACCAAUCUGUUCCACAAGUUAGUUGAAGGAGAACGACAAUGAGCCGCAUUAUGCCUGCCUGCUUUGACAUUCUAUUCUAAUGCCUUUCUGUUCAUUAUGGUCACCCUCCUCCUUUUUUUCCCUAAGCUCGCAUUUAAAAGAUAAAGAAAUAUAAUUUAUCUUCCUAUUUCCUUGCAUGGUUUUCUGCAGCUGAACAUGCUCCCCAUAAAAUUGAUUUAAGAUUCCUACCAGACUUUAAAUUGAUUGCAAACUGCCUUUAACUUCUAUUGCUUUGUUUUUCCUCCAGCAACUUUCUUAACUUAGUUAAAUGGGCAGAUACUCCUCUAUACACUGCUGCUUCGAAGGCUAGCUCCUCUAGACUUUCCUAAGGGCACAAGAAGAUCAAAAACUUUUCUAUUUUUAUUUCAUAGAGAGGGUUUUCCACAUUAUAAAACUAACCCAUACUCAUUAAAGGAAGUUUGAAACAUACACAAAUAUACACACCCACACAAAAGAAAAAAAAGGAAGAAAAUACCCAACUGUGUAACCCCAAGGUAGUACCUUUAAAACUUUUUGGUGGGGGCGCCUGGGUGGCUUGGUCGGUUAAGCGUCCGACUUCGGCUCGGGUCAUGAUCUCACGGUCCGUGAGUUCGAGCCCCGCGUCGGGCUCUGUGCUGACAGCUCAGAGCCUGGAGCCUGUUUCAGAUUCUGUGUCUCCCUCUCUCUUUGCCCCUCCCCUGUUCAUGUUCUGUCUCUCUCUGUCUCAAAAAUAAAUAAACGUUAAAAAAAAUGACUUUUUGGUGUAUUUUCUUGCCAUCUAUUUGCGUAUGUGAAUGAAUGAGUGAGUGUGUGUGUGUGUGUGUGUGUAUGUGCACACACACUACAUACUUGUUGUGAAUCAUGCUUUUUCGCUUAACAAGCCAUACACAUUUUACUGUCUAGCAUCUUACAUACUGUUUUAAUAGCCAUACAUUAUUUAGUAAUGAAAAUGUUGCUAUAUCCCACUGAUAGGCAUCUUUCCACUUAUCCUUUCACAAAUAAUGCCACACUGAACAUUUUUGUUUAUAAUAUAGAUUCUGUAUUUAGAGUGAUCUCUAAAUCAUCCCCCAAGGCAAAACCACUUCUUAAUUCCCAAAAGUAAGAUCAUUUAGUCAAAUAUAGCAUUAAAUUAUACCAUUUUAAACAUCUACCUAAACUGUAUGCAAAUAUCUACCUCCCUACUAACACUAAUUAUUAAAUAGUUGUCUUUUGGUCUCUUUUUAUUUCAACUGUGCUCAUUUAAUAGGUUUAAAAGCCACCAAAUUUUAUUUAUUUGCAUGUGUUUGAUUGAUUCUAAACUUGAAUAUUUCCACAUACCUGCCUAUUCAUUGUAUUAAUUAUUUUCUUCAUGCCUUUUUUAUUUAUUAGAAUAUCAAAAUAUUCUUAUCAAUUUGCUUAACUUUUUUUUUUUUAAUUUUUUUUCAACGUUUUUAUUUAUUUUUGGGACAGAGAGAGACAGAGCAUGAACAGGGGAGGGGCAGAGAGAGAGGGAGACACAGAAUCGGAAACAGGCUCCAGGCUCUGAGCCAUCAGCCCAGAGCCUGACGCGGGGCUCGAACUCCCGGACCGCGAGAUCGUGACCUGGCUGAAGUCGGACGCUCAACCGACUGCGCCACCCAGGCGCCCCAAUUUGCUUAACUUUUUAAAAAUUUUUUAAUGUUUAUUUAUUUUUUAGAGACAGAGAGAGCACAAGCAGGGGAGGGGGAGAGAGAAGGAGACACAGAAUCUGAAGCAGGUUCCAAGUUCUGAGGUGUCAGCACAGAGCCUGAUGUGGGGCUCGAACCCACGAACUGUGAGAUCAUGACGUGAGCCAAAAUCGGAUGCUAAAUUGACUGAGCCACCCAGGCACCCCUGCUUAACUUUUAUAGAAUAAACAUAUUGCAUUUGUCAAAAUUUCUAUUCAAAUUGGUUUACCAGAGUGCUGUUUGUGUGUCCAUGUUUUUUUAUGGCAUGAUUUUAAUAUACAUUUGGGAGGAUCAGUACUUUCUAAAUUAAAAAUAAUUAUGGGAGUAAUUUUAGGAAAUACAAAUAAACACGAAGAAGAAAAAAAUUCCCCCACAUGUUUAUGAUAACCACUCAUAAUAUUUGGAGCAUUUUCUUUCAUCUUUUUGUUACACACUUAAGUACUUUCUACAAAAGUAGUCUCAUCUUCUACAUUCUGCUGCCUUUUUUUUCCACUUAAGAUGUUAGGAAUUUAUUUUAAUGGCAUAAAUAUUCUUCUUCAUUAUCAUUUUAAUGGCUUCAUAAUAUGCAUAGAUCAAAAUUUAUUUAUUCAGACCACUGUUGUCAAACCUCUUUAUUUCUAAUAUUUCACUGUUAUAAAGAUGCGUGGACAUCUUUAUGGCCAAAUCUUUGGACAUAUCCAUAAUUAUUUAUUUAGGAUGAAUUUCUAAAAGUGGGUCAUAGGUUUAACCAAAUUUUAAGGCUUUGUUAUAUAUUGCUAAAUUGCUCUUCAAACCUGUGUCUUAAGUUUAUGGUGUAGGAUUUAUUUUGCCUUAUAGUUGUAAAUGUUUGCAUAGUACUUGAAAUAAUUUAAAAGGAGCAAUUUACCUAGCUCUGCAUAUAUUGGGAAGGAAAGACAAAUAUAUCUACAAUAUGCCAGGAGCCCAAAUUUCCAGAGUCGAUAGUUCACAAUUUAUAAAUCUUAGAGUUAGUUGAAUACAUUACGUAUGGCUUCUUUCUUAUAUAUACUAGAGAAAAAUUGGUUUUAAAAACUCAACAUUUUACUUUGUCUCCAUCAACUUGUCUUUGUUCUCACAAAGCCAUAUUUUCUAGAUCAGCUAAAGAUGUGGAGGCAGUGACUCAGGGGCCUAAUAAUAGAUCUACCAAAUGCUUGCAUUUGGUACAAAUGCUUACAAAUGCUACAUGUACGAAGCCCUGGCUGACAUUCAUUCUUUCAUUUGAUCUCAGAAUAGCUUCAUUUUGGGGAAGGGGAUACUGAGCUUCAGAAUGGUUGAGGGGCUUCUAAUUCACACAGAAGUUGCAGAACGGUAUCUAUUUCACUCCAGAGGAGUAUAGUUUUCACUAGUCUGUGUUGCCUCUUCUUGGACUCUAAGACUUCAUGGAUUUUACUUUCUCCCCACCCCCAUCCUAUCAACUUACACUUGCAUUUACAUUUAUAUUAAAAAUUGACCUUUGAGAAUUGCACACAAGUUCUGGUUUCAGCCUUUGCUCUCUCUCAGUUCUUGUUUAUUUUAAUUAGCCAUUUAAACUUGUACAUAGCACCCCAACAAAGGAGACUUUCAUAUUAAUGAGGAUUAAUCACAUGCAUACUAUAAAAUAAUAUAAAUUAACCCCAGCAAUGGUUACUUAUAUAUUCUGAGAUGUGUUUUAAUAUGCCUUUUAUUCAACAUUGAAUAAUGGGUUGUGGUUUUUAAAAACCAUAUGGUAGAAAAUUUGGGGAGGGAAAGAUAUUCAACACUCAUUACCACAUAUAAUUUAAAAUGUAUAAUCAACAAAGUAGGGUAUCAUACAGUGUAGUGAGAUCAGAAAAAAAUGAGUCAUAAAUGUUCAAGUUACUGACGUUUAGUAGAAAAGUUGAUGAUCUGAGGUCAUACAUCCUUUGCAUUCCAUCUUGGCCUCUUACUAAUGUGGGACUUUGGACAAGCCCUUUCUUACCUCUGAGAGUCUAUUUAUAUACCUUUAAGAUCUAAUGAUAUUUUCUUCAAAUACUUAAGAGGGUUGAAUUCAAUAUCCAACAGGUACUCUAAAUGGCAAAGUUAUGUUACAGUAUUAGCAGAGGGAGAGCAGAAUUUGGAACGUCACUAUAAUGGUCAAGAAUGAGCACAGACCCACCACCCAUGGUAUCUCUGAGAAGUCCUGUGACCUGCCAGGCAAUGAACAAACUGGCCUGGGGUCCCAAUAAGAGACAAGGGAGUCGAACACAGUUUGGCAGAAAAGUUUUCAUCUAGGGAGUAGGAAACCUCAUUUUGGUGUUUUCUGUGUGGAUUUGGCCACAUUUUAUUCUCUGAGCUUAUGUUUCUUGGGGUUGGUGUGUGACUAUCCUAAGCAUAGUUUUGUUUUGUUUUGUUUUGUUUUGUUUUUUGGUAUAUAAUAGGCCCUCAGUGAAUGCAAAGUCUGUCCCCGGCUCUCUUUAUUUAUAAGGUAAAUGUUGGGUUAAAUGUUAUCUAAGUUCCUUCCAAAUCCACAUUUUAAUGGAUUCUUAGAUUUCAUUUCAUUUUCAUUAUGGACUGUUGAUUGACUAAGUUCAUAAUAAUCCUGGUCUGGUUUCACUUGGUUCCCAUAAUCUUAAAAUGUCAUAGCUGGAAGAAACCUCAGAAACCACCCAAUCCGCUUAUUUUACUGACGAGUAAUCAAGCUCAUUAGUAGGAGCAGGGGGGAAAUUGACUUGAUCAAGGUCACCCUGUAGGUAGUGACAGGGUAGAGAACACCGUCCAUGUUUUCUGACCCAUCCCAAGACUCACCACCCACCCCUUCCCCAACCUCCAGCUGCCGCUGAUACGUUCCAGCCCGCAAAGCAGCACGAUUUGCUCCUCUUGUGUUAACAUUAUUCUAGCAUGUAAUGUCUGUGUUUAAGGCAAUGACCUGAGAAAUACUUUUAUUUCCAGUGAUGCACUUAUUUUGCAGGGUUUAUUAAUUUUAUUUAUGUAUUUGAUCUCUCCAAUGAAAUAAUAAACUAAUUUAGUGGGACAAUUUACUGGUGUGCUCCUCCAAGGAUGUUUUACAGCCUCAAUGCAAGCUUGUCUAACUGUGGGAUCAGCAGAUCCACUUUUGCCCUGCUGCCCUUAAUUUUAGCCAUCAACACACAUGGCAGUCAGCUCUGUGCUGGGUACUUGUGCCUCCAGGGGCAUCUGGAGAUAUCAGGUCCUAGGGCAAAGGAACUUUUGCUUGGGAGCCUCCCCAGAACUUAUUCAAGAGACAGGCUGCUUCAUCAGGCUGAAAGGAGUGGGAGUUGGCCUCCCAGAGAAUUGAGCCAGUGUAUUACCUGAACUGCCCAGAAUGUGAAGGUCAGAGAAUGAGGAAAAGCAAUGUAUACAGAAGUGUUGAAAGUCACAGAUGAAAAAGCCCACAGUACAUUAAGACCAAGAGCAAAGCAAGGAGCGUGAUGAGAAGAUUGAUAUGGACAGUAGCCGCAGGAACAUUGCAAGAUGGAGGAGCAAGGGUGAGAGAUGCCAGACGACCCAGAGUCAUUGGAACAAAUAGCACAGUAGUACUGAAGUUUUCAUUUGGUUUGAUUUGGUUUGGUUUGUUUUUUUUUUUUAACUGGCUUUAAUGUGAACUACAUGGACUUCCUUCUCAGACAGCCCCCAUCUGUGCUCUCUUAACAGCCAAUACUUUCUCAUCUGAGAAUUAUUCGUAGUCUCAUGUCAUUAUUUGCUUGCCUGUCCCCAUUUAACUGUGAGCACCAUUAUAUCACCAGGGCCUAGAACCAUGCCUAGAAUAUAACAUAGCUCAAUAAGCAUUUGUUGAAUGAAAGAAGGAAAGGGUGGAUGGAUGGGUAGAUGGAUAGAUGGAUAAAUGAAGAAGUGAAUCAGUCUGUCAAAGCUACUGGAGGGUCAAAGACUUGUGACCUAAUGAUAUUCAUGUGCCGUCUUUGAUGUACCAAGCAGAACCCAACGAGAGAUAUUUUUGCCAAUUAUUUACAUUUAUUAUAGAAUUACUCACCCAUAGCAAAGAAGCAUCCAAUAUAAAGGUAUUUAAUCUAUCUUGACUAAACCUUCCUUCUUAUUAAUGUUUAAUUACACCACACACAGAAACAUAUUCAUUUGGAGUAGAGGUCAAAGGUCACAGUACCCUAAACCUUUAGGGGGUAACUCUGCCGACCCACUAGUUGCCCUGGGGGUAUGGAUGCUGCCACUGUCGUGGCUGCCACUAAACUGUCACUGUGGGUUGCAUCUAGCAUUGAGGGUUCUUGUCCGAACAACUUCCAGACCUCUAGCCAGAGACUGGCUGGAACAUUAGGAGGAGGAAGGUGGGGUGGGGGGUCCUGCAGUGGGAGCUAUGCAAGCUCAGGAUCCUCUCACUCCGUAGUAGGAACCCCUUUACUGAGAUUGGCUCCCUUAGGGAUGUUACCUUUGUUAUGAUUGGCUGCAUGCAAAUUAGGAAACCCCGCUGUGUUCUUCGCGGAUACCCCUAUGCAACUGGCUGUAGAGUUUUGGAAGGCUGUGCAAAUGAAGUAGCCCUAACUUGUUGAUGCUGUUUACACGUGGCGGGACAUAAGCAGUCCUCAUGUGUUAGCGAUGAUAAAGUGCUAGGGCCAGAUCUGGGACUUGUGGUCCUAAUGGAUGUAUUUACCUUCUGUAUGCUCAGAGCGCCUGGGAUUCUAGAUAGGGAUUCUAGAUUCCAGGCAGAUACCAGGAAUUGGGCAUGUCUUAGAGAUCUUUGGUAAAUACAUAGAAUUAUUUGUAAAACAAUUUAAUUACAAGGCCUGCCAUUUGUUCCGUGACUACCACAUAGGAGACACAAUACCAAGGUCUUUCAAUAUAGUACUUAAUGAUCACAAUUCCGCAAUUAGGUAUUCUUAUCCCAUUUUAAAGUGAGGAGACUGAGAUUCAGAAGGGUGAAAUAACUUGUCCAGUUUCACACAGGGCCCAUUGUGUUGAUAAGAAAACAUACUAAGUUUCAUACGGAGUAGCAAUGAUAACUGCCAAAGAUGGAAAAACCGGCAAAAAAAAAAAAAAAUCCUUGAAAAAGCAACUCUCCAUUGGCUCUUUUACUCCAAGAACUAAGGAAGGUAGCAAUGAUGGUGCAUAUUAUAUUUUAGCUGUAAUAUACCUACAGACAACUUGCAAAGCACUGGUGUUUUUCUGGAAGCUGUGUUUGGGGGCUCUGGGCUUAUUCCCACAUCUCCAAAAGCAGAGUCUGUCCCAGGCUUCCAUACUGUCCAGCUGACAAAUAAUAGUCUCAUUUUGAUUCUGUGUCAUUCGUCAAGGACCAGACAGAAUGCAUGUGUGUCCACAUCUCUCCUUCUAGAUGACUAAAAUAGACUCUCCUCUGUAGUCACGACCUGGCAAGGAAAGGCUGCAAUUUUAUACACCGUCCCUCAUGGGUAGAGGUUCUUCACCAAAAGUUGUAAACUCUCAAUAGAUUCCAAGCAUGAGCAUUGUUUAUUUUUUCUGCAAACUCUAGGUCUGGUGUAUAUUGAAAAGGAGUGUUUUUUUCAUUGUUGUUGUCCCAUUAGAUUUUUCAGUUUAUUGUAUCAGGCGUUAACACCUGGAUGAUAAUCUGCUGAAUGAUCUUCCCCUAUGUCACGUUUCUUCAUGGCACUUAUCAUCUGGCAUACUUUGUAUUUAUUGCUUUGUUUAAUUUGGUGUCUGUCUCCAUCCCCUGGAAUGUAAGCUCAUGAGGGCAGAAAUAUUCAUUUAGUGUGUUCUUGAAUCUCCGGUGAUCAAAGCAGUAUUUGGCACAACUAUGGUCUCCGCAAAUAUUUAUGAAUAAUAAUAAUGGAUGGGUAGAUGUAGGUAUAUAUGGAUAGAUGGACAGAUGGAUAGGCCCUGUCAACUGUGAAAAUUUAGGGUGAAAUUAUAGUAAUCAAGGUAAAACAGGUUUGCACAGGACUAUGAAACUAGACCAACGGAAUAAAAUCUAGAGCCCCAAAUAGACUUUACUGACUGAAAACUUUGUACAUGAUAAAUAUAUCACUAUAAAUCAAUGCAGAAAUCAUAGACUAAGAUAUAAAUGGUACAAGGAGGAUGCAUAAAUAUACAGAAAAUGUACUGAAUCCUAACCUGACACCAUAUAAAGAAUAUCAAUUCCAAGUAAAUUAAAUGCAAGAGGCAUAGCUUUAAAAACUUUAGAACGAAUUAUAGGACAAUGUCUUUAUGAUGCAGGGGUAGGAAAGGAUGUAAUGAAUAAAAUAAAAUAAAAUAAAAUAAAAUAAAAUAGCACCUACCUUAAAAGAAGUACUAAUAGAUUGCCUUACAUUAACAUUUUAAACAUUGUAUAUGUUUGUUUGUUUUCUUUAAAACAAAAAGACACGCUUUGGACCAGGAGAAAUGGUUGGAACAUACGUAACUGCAAGAGGGUUGAAUCCCCAGCAUGCAGAUUAGUAUAGAAUGUAAUUAUAACAUAUCCAGAGGUACCACUACAUAUUUUGAUUAAAUAUUAUCAUUUUACCGUUUUGCUGUUUCUUUCCAUGGCUUAUGCCCACACCAAAUUUAGGACUUUGCUAAAUGUCACUUUCCAGGUAAGGUCUUCCCUAACUACCUUUUUUGAACUUGAGGUCUCACCUUAGCACCUUCAUCCCCCCCUCUGCUUCUGCUUUCGUCAUGACACCUUUGAUCAUAUGACACACUAGACAUUCUGCUUUCCUAUAUGUUUAGUGUAUGUUGUUUCCUCCCUGGAACAACUCAAUAGAAAAAAAAAAAUGGGCAUAUGUUAAAGUAGCCAAAAAACCAUUACAAAAAUAUAAAAUAAAAAUAACAAGAGAAUGUUCAAUGUCACCAGUAAUCAGAGAAGUGCAUGCUAAAAAUAGAAGAUAUUUUAUAUCCAUCUUUUUGGAAAACUUUUAAAGUCUGGCAACACCAAAUGUUGGCAGUGCUAUGAACUCAGGUAGAUUCGUAUGAAUUACUACUGCCACACUGGAGAGCCAUGUGUUACAUCUAAUAACUUUGAAGAUGCAUACACCAUAGAUAAAUCUCAUACACGUGUGUCCAAGGAGUUUAACUGCAGCAUUACCCCCGUUAGCUCAGUUUGGAAACAGCCCAAAUGUUCACCAAUAUGAAUGGUUAAGUCAAUCUAAAUACAUAGUAAAAUAUCACCUAAAUAUUAAAAUGAAUGAAUGUAAGCCAAUUCUAUCAAAGUGGCAAAAUCUUUAAAACAUAUUUAAGAAAAUAAGCUUCAGAUGGAUGCCUACUGAGGGAUAUCAUUUAAACGAAAUUUUCAAACAUGCAAAACACUGCUAUAUGUUUUUUAUGGAGGCAAAGCAUGUAUUAGAAGCAAAAAAUCAUGCAUGGAAAUUUAGGAGUAUAGUUAUUUUUGUGGAAAUGGGAAGGAAUUCAUGGGAUAAUUUCUUUAUAUUGAUAAUGUUUAUUUUUAAAAGAAAAUGUUUAAAGCGAAUAUGACAGGGUGGUAAUAUCUGACCAGGCUGGGUGGCAGUACAUAAGUUUUGGUUGUAAUUAUGUCUGUGCUCAACUUCAUGCUUGAAAUAUUUAAUAAGAAAAGAAAUAGGAGGGUACUUAAGUGUGACUGACAAGGAACAAAGUUUAAGCCAUAGCAUAUCAAAUAAUAUGGUGUGACAUAGCAAAAUUGUAAACUGAAUUUUGUUAUUAGACAAAGACUAUAUACAAACCCAGAUUCAAUGCCUUCUUUUCAUAGCAGUUCAUGAGAUUAGGCUUUGGAACCUGACAUUCUAGGUUCAAGUCUUGACUCAUACUUAAUAACUGUUGAAAAUUAGGCAUCAGUUUUCUCACCUAUAAAGUGGAAAAAUGAGAUAAAAUAGAAAUUAUUUUAAAAAGAGAGAAACUCAACAAAGCCAAGAGUUGAUUCUUCAAAAGGAUCAACAAAACUUACAAACUUUUAGCUAGAAUGAUUAAGAAAAAAAAAGAGAAGACACAAAUAACUAAAGUGAGAAACGAAAGAGGGGACAUUACUACCAACAUUACAGAAAUAAAAAGGAUUAUAAAGUGGAAAAAUAGUGCCUCCUCAUAACAAAUAUUCUGAGGAUGAAAUGAAAUCCUAUUUGUGCAGUGUUCAACACAUGUCAUGGCACAUAAUGAAACCGAAGAUCAGUAUUGAUGUAAACAGGCAUAAGCUUGAAGUCAAUUUUAAAUGCCAUGCUUUCUCUCAUUUUAUUUGUUUUCUCCAUUAACCCUACCAAGUUGGUGUUAUUAUUAUCCCAUUUUAUAUGUAAGAAAACUGAGCCUGAGAAAGGUCAAAUAACUUGUCCAAGAUUUUCCAUCUCUUAAAAAGAGAGAUGAGAUUCAAACCAGAUCUAUCUCCAGAAAAACAUAACUGUAACUUAAUGUCCUGGCUAUAUUUCACUAGUUUUAUGAGUAAACUAAAUUGAAUUCAUUUACAAUAAAACAUUAUAAUAAUCUAUCCCUUAGCUUUAUAUUUUUCUUUGAGUAGGAAGUCAACCAGCCAUUGCUGAUUAAAACUAAUAACAAGUGUCUACUUAGUGUAUGUGUAUAUAAGUUCACACAUGUAAAAUAACUGAGUUUCCAUAAUGGGCUGUUGUUACUAGAUAAAUAUUCCUGCCUUAAGCAGAUUCUUGGGCUUGGAAUAUAUUGGAAGAUCAGUAGGCUGUGGUAUUCUAUUAUGUUGAGUUUUUCUCUCUUUUUUUUAACCAUGGGCUCUUCUUUUAUUUUAUUUUAUUUAUUUAUUUAUUUAUUUAUUUAUUUAUUUAUUUAUGUUUCACUGUCUUACCAGAAAAAUUGUUAUCUCUCUGCUUUCCAUCUUCUUCCGUCCUCUGUGAAUCCAAAUGGAACUUAACUUUUAUUGUCACUGAUUAUUUUGAAUGAACAUGUUUCUUAAUGUAAUUUUUGUCAGGUCAGUUCCAUUUAUUAUGUCUUUUAUUCAUUCAUACAUUCAUGCAUGCAUGCAGCACACAUUGAGUGGUGACUAUGAACUUGCUUCUGGAUUAGGUUCCUGGGAAGUAAGGGUUCAUAAGUCUGUAGAGAGAGGCAGAGGUGGAAAUGGACAAUCCCAGGACAGUUUUACCUGCUGGAUGGAAUUGGUACUACGGAGCAUGGGGUCCCCCAUUUUGAUGGCGGGGGGUGGUGUGGAGAAGUGACACAGAAAUGGUGAUGUUGCCCCUGAAACUCCUAUUUGUAUGUUUAUUUACCAUCUAGAAAAUAAUGCACGAUUACGGGGCGCCUGGGUGGCGCAGUCGGUUAAGCGGCCGACUUCAGCCAGGUCACGAUCUCGCGGUCCGUGAGUUCGAGCCCCGCGUCGGGCUCUGGGCUGAUGGCUCGGAGCCUGGAGCCUGUUUCCGAUUCUGUGUCUCCCUCUCUCUCUGCCCCUCCCCCAUUCAUGCUCUGUCUCUCUCUGUCCCAAAAAUAAAUAAACGUUGGAAAAAAAAAAAAAAAGAAAAGAAUGCACGAUUACAGAAAACUUGGUAAGCAUAAAGACAAGAGAAAAAUAACCUAUGAUUGUGCUACAAUGAGCCAGUGUUAGCAGCUGAUAUAUUUUUUAAGACCAACUUGUACAUGGAUGAGCUCAAAUUUUUAAGUAAUUUUAUUAUAUUCUACAUAUUUUCUCAUAUCCUGAAAACUUUUUUAAAUUUUUUUAUAUGUGCGUUAAUAUUCUUCUGUGUACAAACACUAACACUCAUCUUAUCAUUCCUGUAAUAGUUGUCUCUUUCUUACAGAUAACAUUGUGAUGAUAAUCUCUGUGCAUAUUGUUUCCUUGAGAAGGAAUCCUGAAGGCAAAUUACAGAUUAAAGUGUAUGAUCACUUUUAAGACUUUUGACAUUUUCUCCAGUGCCCUCUUCUUUACUGAUCUCAAGGCAAGAGCUCAUGCCUUUAAGAGAGUCAGAUGAAUUAGAAGUUGGAGAAAUUCUUUAAGAAUUCCUACGUUGGGGUGCCUGGGUGGCUCAGUCGGUUGAGCGUCCGACUUCGGCUCAGGUCGUGAUCUCACGGUCCAUGAGUUCGAGCCCCGCGUCGGGCUGUGUGCUGACAGCUCAGAGCCUGGAGCCUGUUUCAGAUUCUGUGUCUCCCUCUCUCUCUGACCCUCCCGUAUUCAUGCUCUGUCUCUCUCUGUCUCAAAAAUAAAUAAACGUUAAAAAAAAUUAAAAAAAAAAAGAAUUCCUAUGCAUGUGCAGAUAUGCACAUGAAUGUGUACACACACAUUUUAGGCACAUACACAUGUAUCCUGACUUCCUCCUACCUGGGGAGCAUUGUGUAACACCUCUUGCCUAGUACUUAAAAUGGGCUGAUUUGUUGAUUUUGGUGGUGGUGGUGGUGGUGGUGGUGGUGUUUUUGUUUUAGCCACCUCUGUAUUUCCAGUGCCUGGUAUAUGGUAGGAAUUUAGGAAAUGUUUCUUGAAUGAAAGAGAGGAAAGAAAAAUAAGGCCAUUAAAUAAUUAUUUACUUUCUUAAACAUCUUAUUUUACUUGUUUUCAGCCUUCGGCAAGACAUGGUGGUGAACCCUGGCUCUAAAUCUUCAUGAUUGAGGGACUCUUU
rnacentral:lncRNA from 1 species